UUUUUUUUUAUUUCUUUCUUUUUUAUAUAUAUUUAUUAACUUGUUUUAUUAUUAUUUUUCUAAAAUUUAGAUAAAUAUAAUAAAAGUUUUUUUUAUUUUUGGUAAAUUUACAUAAAUAUAAUAAAAGUAGCGUAUAACAAUUUAAGAAAAGUUUACACAAAAUCGUACAAGAGACAUUUCCCUGCAUGGUUUACGACCUGUCAUCCUUACUAUUCUUAAAGGCUUAUAAAGUGAAAGUUCUACCAACACGAGUUCUUUUAAGUCUUUCUUCACAUAACUUUCAUGUGAAGUGGUGUAUCCAUGAUUAACAACAUAAAUCAUAUGUAGGAGGGCACAAUUAACAAAAAAUAAUUGUAGUGAAUAUGUUUUGAAUCCAAGACCUUGAAAUUUCAAAGGGGGCACAAUCACUAUACCAAAGACAGAAUAUAAUAAAAAAAAACGCAUUUUUUAAGAUAUAUUGUAAUUUUGCACUUCAAAAUUAAUAUUAAAAUACAAAAAUCAGGAAUGUGAGGGAGACACAUGCCUCCCUGGCUCCUUAAUAGAUCCGUCCAUGUUCAUGUCCUCAGGAUCCCUCUCAUUCAGAUAUGGUACCGGUUCAUUCAUGUCUCCCUCCUAUUCUCGGGCGUUACAAGAUCGUUUAGACUGGGUACAAAUUUGUUUUUCAUGAGUGUAAUCGAUUAGUCGUAGAAAUAUUUUUGUUAUUUCACGUUGUGAGUUUUUUUCUUUUUCAAAAUUGUGUUAUACAGUGUAAAUAUUUUUGCACUUUAUUCUAUUUUUUUUAAAAAAAAUCCUUUAUUAAUUUUUAAUAGUUCUUAAUUCAUUUUUUCCUUCCUUCGUUAAUUUUUCAUAUUUAUAUGUUAUUAUAACCUUUCAAAUUUAAAUUGUGAAUAUAUUUAUUUAAAUAUUUUCUAAAUUUUAAACUAUAAAUUUCACAUUUGCAAAGUGCAUGUAUAUAUAUAUAUAUAUAUAUAUGUGUUAUUUUAAAUUUAAAUUUAUUAUUUUUAGUACCACCAUAAUUAUUUAGAAUUUUACAUUAUAUAAUUUCUUUUUACUAAGGUAAUCAUUUAUGUUAUCUUAAUAUUUUACGACUACAACAAUUAUCUAAUAAUAUAAUUGAGUUGAAUUUGAGUCAAAGACGAUAAAUGAAUUGAAUGAUAAAUAAUAUUUCAAAUCAAAUUUAAACAACAUAUAUGCUUAAUAAAAAUGAUUGUAUUGUAGUUAUUAAUUUUACACAGUAGUAUUUAUAUGUACUCGACGAUGUUAAUGUUUUAUAAUUAUUUUUCUAUAUUUUAAUGAAUUCUAUAUAUUUUAAUUUUUAUAUAAUUAAAUUAUCUUUAAACUAAAAAUUAAGCAAAAUAUUAAAGAAAACACACACAAAAAACAAAAAAACAAAAUAUAUUUUCAAAAGAAAUUUUUUUUGCUUCUUUUUCUAAAAAAGAGAGAACAGAAAUAAUUAUCAAAUGUAGUACCAUUUCUUAUUUUUUAAAAAAAAUAAAAAAAUAGAAAACGAAAACGUCGUCAAACGAGCUCGUAAGAAAACGUCGUCAAACGAGCUCGUAAGAAGAUUCUCAGUAAGUCAAUAAAAAAUCAACAUAAUUUUAAUUGUUGUGAGAGAGGAAGGAUAGUUUUAUUUAUUUUAUCCUUUUAAAAAAUGUAAUUAAGAGUAGAAAUGAAAAGAUGAAAUUAGAUAUUAAAAAAGAAAAAGUUGGGUUCUCGUGGUCGCCAUCAAUCAGUAGCCACAGUUGUUGUUCCCUCCGGAGAAAUUCAGCCAAUUCGAAAAUGGAGAUGACGACGCAUCACACAAACACAUAGUUCUCUCUUUCUUCCCUUCUUCUACCUUCCCCUCAUUCACUUUCUUCUUCUACGGUUAGGGUUUCCAAUCCCCUUUCUCUUUCCUUUCCAAUUUUUUGCAUCCUUCUUUUUUUUUCUUGGUUUCUCUUAAUUUUAUUCCUUUUUUUUUUCUUUUUUAAAUUUCUCCUUUGAAUUACUACAGGGGUUUGCUUGCACGCCAAUUUCAUCUUGAAGAUCGAUCGAAAACCCUUGUUUUUAAGGGUUAAAGGGGUAUGAUAAUUUCUUUUUUCCUCUUCUAUGCCUGUCUUGCAACGUUUCUACUGAUUGAAUAACUAGAUAUGUGUUGGUAUACAUGUUUGAAUAUGGAUGUUAUUUAUGAGCCUAGUGCUGGAAGUAUUGAUAUAUGUGUGUGUGUGUGUUAGGAUUGUUUCACUCUUGAAUUUUGAUUGUUUAAUGCGGACUCUGUGGGUUGUUGAUGGUAUACUGAUCGAGGCUCCGUUAGAGAUGAUUUGGGAAGUGUUUAAUUUUUCAUUGUAGAUUUGGAUUUUUUAAAUCAUAGUUGGUUGGUGUCAUUUUUCUGUUAUGAGUUUAUGUUUUUAUGAGUACAUGAGCCAUUUGAUUAUGGUUCAGUUGUGGAUUCAAGCAUCCUUUUGUUGUUAUUUUUAUAACCCACGACAUGUUUUGGGAUCGAAGGUUGAUUGGGAUGGAUAAUCUGUUGCUUUGGAGUUAAGAUUAAAUUUUUUUUAAAAAAAUUUCUGAUGAGUAUUGUAUGAAUUUUUUAUUUAACUCAAGAGUGUUCAAGAUAUGAAGACUGGGGAUUGGUGGCAUGAAACUAUAGGAGCAUUGUUGGAAUUUGUUUUUAUCUCUAUAGUUAUCAAUUAAAUUGAGGUCUUCUUGGUUUUUAGCUUUUGAUAGUUAUGCUGGUUUUCUCACAAUUCUUUACCAGUCUUCAUCUUUCCUAAUAAACACUUGAAUUUUUAGCCCAAAAAAAUAUAUUAUUUUUAUAGUUUUUAAAACGUGGCUUGGUGUUUGAAAACACUCCGAAAAAGUAGAUAACAAAACAAAGAAAUUGAUUGAUGGAAUUAGUGUUUUAAUGUUUAAUUUUCAAAAACCACAAACUCAAAACCAAACGAUGAUCAAAUGGCGCCUAAAUCUCUUGAUUCUUUUGGUCAUCUUUAGGUAUCUUGGUUUCUGCUGUUGAUGUUGGAAAGACAAUUCGUGGAUAAGAUGUGAAUCUCUUUCGAUACGAAGUUUUGUACCAAUCUUAGGACAACCUUUUAUGGCUACUUGUUCAUACUUUUCUUCUCUUCUAUUAUUUAUGAUUUAAACCUCGUUGCAAGUUUUAUUCUUCCUCAAAUUCCAAUUUAUAAUUUGUAUAGUUUCUCCAUUUUCCAGACUUGUAGUUAAUGGCAUCUGUGUGACCUAUGAAUGAGAUUAGCCUAAGAAUUAUUCUUUACCUUUCCAUACCCCUAAUUAAUUUAUAAUUUGUAUAGUUUCUCCAUUUUCCAGACUUGUAGUUAAUGGCAUCUGUGUGACCUAUGAAUGAGAUUAGCCUAAGAAUUAUUCUUUACCUUUCCAUACCCCUAAUUAAUUGCAUUACCGGUACCUCAAACAUGCAUAAAUAACAUUCUGUGUUCAUUGUCAUAUGUAUGGUAUAGAAUUUGAUAUCCUCGAGCUCGUACUAGUAAUAGCAGCUGUAUUUGAUAUCAAUCAUGGCAUCAUCCUGAUUCCUAGUACAGUCUACCUAUUGAAUGAAAUUAUGUGUAGUUUUAAGCAUGUGUAUCUGUCUGUUUCCCACCCAAAAGGAAAAGAAACAAAUUAAUGUAAAUGUGUUGCAGGAGAUUGAUAAGAUGGAACAUGACGAGGCAAGCUGUCAAGCUCCCCCUGAGGGUCCCUUUCUAUGCAUCAACAACUGUGGCUUCUUCGGAAGUGCAGCUACUAUGAAUAUGUGUUCUAAGUGCCACAAGGACUUGAUGUUGAAACAAGAACAGGCUAAACUGAGUGCUUCGACUCUUGGAAGUAUCAUGAAUGGAUCAUCUAGUUCUAACCAAAAUGAAACCUUUGCCACCGCUAGUGUGGAUGAGCCAGUUAGCUUGGUGGAGCCUAAGAUCACGUCAAUGCAGGCAUCCCCCAUGGUUGUUUCUGAUGAGAACAGUGGAGCGAAGCCAAAGAACAGGCCUGGACGUUGCAACAGUUGUAACAAGCGAGUUGGAUUAAUGGGAUUUGACUGUCGUUGUGGUAACAUCUUCUGCGCCGUUCAUCGUUACUCUGACAAACACAAUUGCCCCUUCGAUUACCGCACUUCUGCUCAGGAUGCAAUUGCUAAAGCCAACCCGAUUGUGAAGGCAGAGAAGCUUGAUAAGAUCUAAGUGCAAAUCAGGCUAAAGGUGGGUUCGAACCCUUAUAAUGUGUUGAUCAUUGUCAUCAUCAUCGCCUAGAUGAUUUCUGCUUUGCUGCAUGCAUAUCUUGUAACCUGUUGUGUAUUGUUAUAUUUGGAGGGGAGGGUAUGGCAAAAUCGUUGCAUCUUUGCAUCUUUGCAGUCUGAAAGAAAAUGUAGGAAGGCAGUAGGCCGGUUUCGUUAUUUUUCUUGUUCUUACAACGGUUUAAAGUUAUCAACAUUAGCGUGUUACGUUACUGUAUCGUCAUAAAGUGUCUUGAGGAAUACAUAUAUGAAUGCAUGCUGUCCUUGUUUGAUUUGUUUAUGAGCAUCAGUUGCACUCUAAAUUGUUAACUGAGUGUGAAUUUUCUUCUCGGACAUCUUUACAUGGUUGCCUCAAUCCGAAUCAAUAACAAAUAAAUUGGUGUGGUUAAUCAGAUUGAUUCAAAUGACGGUAGUAUUGUAAUGUAAUCACUAGUUCUUAAUCUUGGUACGUGAUAAUUUCUACUAAUGCUAUACUUAUAGCAGUAAUAAAAACCUGCUUUGGUAUUAAUGAUGAGAAGUUUGUGUGUAAUUUUACGUCUGUAUAUUUUAGAUAUCUUAGAAGAAAAAAAACAUCAUUCACCAAUUAAUUUGCUCAUUGGGAUGUAGAAAUGAAUGGAUUGAUUGAACUUCAUGUUGUUGCUUUGUUUUAUUUGAAAUUUUUAUAUAUCAAAAUAUUCAAAGCCUAUUUUAAUCCUUUUAAGAGUUUGCUGUUAUUAUUAUUAUUUUAUUAUAACACCCAAAAACCUUAUUUUUAUUUCUAAUAACAAAGUAUAACCAAAUUGAUCAAAACUCCAUUACAUAAAUUUUAUUAUAUUUUAUAAAUAGUUUUCUCAACAAUUUUUCAAAAAGUUUUUUUAUUAUUAUUAUUUUAUUUGAAAAAAAAGUAAAAACUUAAACUAAAAAAUUAAGGAGAAACAAGCAAAAAUUUCAAAUACAUCAAACUGAGAAUGAAAUCAGUAAUUAAACAGAAAAAUGUGGAAAUCAAUAGUUCUGUUAACUCCUUCCCUUCCGUCCCUUGAAUGCUAAAAUAGAAAAUUAGCAACACUAAAUAAAAAGGAAUACUAAUGCAAAUUGUGAAACACAACCAGAAUUCUUAAGAAUUUAUAAAAGGCUAACGUACAUUUACUUAUAAAGCAUGAAAGUUCUUUUAUCUUUUCUUUAAAAAAAAUGAAAACACAACAAAAUAGUUGCAAACCAUUUGAAACAAAUCAGUUAACUUCUUGUUUAAAAAUAUUCACCAAUUCAAAAAAAUCAGCAUGAAGUCAAUUUUGUUUGAAACAUCACUUUCAGCCAUUGCUCAAACUUUUGCAAUACUAAAAUAUGAACAAAAAUAGAACAGAUCUGAAGCUUUUUUCCUACAGAUGGAACGAAACAACAGCAGAAUAUCAUAGCUGAUGCUGCCAGAGAGCACAUGAAAAAAAAGUACAUAUUCUGUAAGCAUAUUUAUUAGAGGUUAUGAGGAAAAUCAAGGUCAUUUUACAAGCAAUCAACUAAAAGCUGGAAGAUGACAGGAAACAUCAAUAGUACAUGAUGCUCUAUAAUUAAAUCUCAUCUUAUCAAAACUUGGGACGAGUUCUAAUAUGAUGCUUUCUGCUUCUCCAUGAGAAUUAUUUUGGCAUAAAACACCUUGUCUCUGGAAAUAUUCUUAUCGAUCCCUUUGAACCGGUGCAUAACAGGGAGAGGAAGUAAAAGUUAGAUUGCGAAUCCACUUGAUUCUGCUUCAAGAUACUUACAAAUCCUCUCCAUCACUUCUCUACCUUUGGCACUGUUUUGGACAAACUUCUCGGCACACCGUUGCUCCACUUUUUCAGCCAUCGAUGCCAGUGCUGACAAUGGCUUGAUUUGAAUACUAGUCUCCUGUUUGCAAAUAGUCCAUCCGUUCGGAUUUUCUGGGUGAGGUUCGUACCUAAUUUUUUCAACCACUUCUAUGAAUUUCUGGAGACUAAUAUUCCGAGUGGUGAGUUGCAUUGAUUGUGACCGAGCAUCUACGACAGUAGAUUCAACACAAUGGCAAAUAUCCUGACCAACAAUUUUACGGACAAACCAUGGUCCAGGGGCAUGGAUGGUGAUAGCACGAGUUGUAUAUAGCUUCCCAGAUUCAGCAUCUACCUUUCUGUUCAAGGUAUCAACUUCAAGAAUAUGUGACAAUGUACGCUUGUUUUCAGGAUCGGCAAAUUUACGCCAAGAUGCACAAGUUACCCGUUCCCACGGGUGCUUGUAAGUGUACUCCUGAGAGUAUGCUUUAACCAUUACGCUGUUCUCAGACUGCCAAAAGCAAAGUUAACUAGUCUGCAUAUGAACAAACCGCUAAAUUAAAUGUACACCUACUAGUUCAGCAGAGAAGGAAUGGAAAAGGGAAAAUAAAAACAUCAAUGAAGAUAAUGAAUAUGUACCAGACGUUAAAAUCAGGACAGAAGAGAGCACAUACAAUGUAACAUUGAUAAAAAAAUAAUAAACCCUAUACAUCAUCUAAGACAGCAACAAGGAAAAACUAAAGAACUUGGGCAUCACCGGUGCAUAAGUCAAAUAAAUGGGAACAGUAAAAUUUUAUUUGAUCAAACCACCAAAAGUUAUUUAAAAUUCAUAAUAGUUCAUUCGCAGAAACAGAUUUUAUAGUCAAAUUGUAGUUUUCCCUGUAACUCAACACAUUUUCUGAAGGGAGGUGUUGGCGUGUUGCUUCUAAUAAUCAUUCGUGUAGUUCUGUUCUUUCACUAUUUGUCCAAUACAUUCAUUCAAGUGAUUCUCAUUUUUAGAGAAUAAAUAAAGUACCAAACUGAACAAUUGUUUCAGAUCAAUCCAAAUAAUGAUAUGGUACAAAAAAUGUUAUCCAUUCUUCGAACAGCAACAAAAAAAAAUCCACAGUAAAACAUGAAAAUAGUUUUGAAACCUAAGAUGCAAGGAACAUAGUUAACAAACUUGAAGAUUUUGUGAAUCUAACACCGUGCCACACUACUCAUGUUAUUUUCUCACUAAUAAACAUCAACAGUUGUUUGUAGGGACAUGUGAAAAUAUAACGCAACAAAUCAACUUGGCUUUGACUUUUAAGGGUAGUUUAACACAAGACAGUCUUCCAACUGCAUCUAGCCAUUAGAAGAGAGAAAACAUUGGUAAUAAAAACUGAAGUAGGAAAACGGGGAAAAAGAGAAAAGGGAAACAUAUCUUCACCAAUUUAACAACCGAAAGAGGAAGAGAAAAAAAAAGAAAAAGAAAAAGAGGACAUCACUUCUAGAUUUUGAGAAUCUAACACCAUGCCACACUGUUCAAAUUCCCAUUAUGUUAUUUCUCGCUAAUCAAUAUGGAUAGUUCUUUGUUAAAACUUGUGCAAAUAUACCAUAACAAAUCAACUUAACUUUGACUUUUAAGGGUAGUUUAACACAAAGACACUUUUGAAACAGCAUCUGGCCAUCACAAGUGAUAAAACUGUGAUAACAAAAACUGAAGUAGAAAAGGGGGGGGGGGGGGGGGGGGGGGGGGAACAGGUGUUUUCAACAAUUUAUCAAGCUCAAACCAAAUGGCAAAUACACUAAGUCAAAAAUUUGCAAGUAAAACUGUACAACAAACAGUGAUCCAUCAAAAGAAGUGGCAGUCAUCCAUAUAAUUCUUUUCAGUUUUUUUCACCCACUCUCAAUAACCACAAUUCCAUCCUUUGAAUUUGAAGAGAGGAAAUACAAAACUGGUCCAGUUUCCAGUUUCACAGGCAGCUAGCGCAGGUAGUUGAGAAUUCAAAUCAUUGCUGGGUGGGUGCAUAUGAGAAUCGCAAUCUCAACAGCAAUUACACAGAAAUCCAAAGAAAGCAGUAUAAAGGUAAGAAAACAAAAGCCCUAAAGAUGAGCUUAACAAAAUGGAAUCAAAACCCAUGUCACAGAAAGAGCUAAAGAGAUGAAAGAAAAAAAAAAGUUCACCUGAGAAAUUGAAGAUGAUGGGGUUCGUCAGCGGCAGGAGAAGGCAGUUCCAAUGGGUCAAGAUCUCAACCUUCAAAAUCAAAAUCAACAAAAAAGGAAAGAAAAUUUCUUGGUAAAUCAAAGGUUUGAGCAAGAAGAAAAUCAUAUUAAUUGGAGAGACUUCAAAUAAAGGGUUUAGUGUUUUUAUGACAAAAUUGUCUGUCACACCUCGUUCUGGUUUUUCCACACUAACCUAGAUUGAGGCAUGAAAGUACCAAUCAAAAACUGAAAACACAUUUUUUAUAAAAUUCAAGCCAUACAAAUUCUUAAAAUGAUGAAGAGUAAACACAUCAUUUAAGUAUUAAUUAAAACACGAAUAAAGAAGUUUAAGCAAAGGUAGUUUCAAAGCCAUAUCAUAAAAUAACACAUAUAUAGAUUCUACAUAGAAAGCUUGAAAAUGAACUACUAGCCAUCAAUAACGCAAUCCCCGGGAUAAUAAACUUUUCCAACUUCAGAUUGACUUGAAAACAAUGAUUGGGGUUACUAAGUAAACAUUACAUGGCAAGAUGACACAACAAUCUCCAAAACACUUCAUUAUGACAACUCAAGCUAUCGAUCUUUAAGUAUGGUGAACAAUGCUUUAGAAUUCUCCAAGUCUCCAAUCUUGUGGUAAUGUCAUGUCAAAACUAAAUGGAUAUUCACGAAACUUACCCAAAAUCUUAUCGAACACUUAUCAAAGUAGCCUUAAUUCCAAUGCACAGCACUCGAACAACCUUCUAAGUUCGAAAUCUAGCAUCCAAUACCAUAGAUUAUUCUACAUUAGUACCAAACUUAGAUGGGUGCUCGUCACCCGGCUUAGAAUCUUACCCAACGCGUGCCAAAACACUCAAUUUCGCAUUUCCUAACGGCUGGACAGCAGCUAAAAUCUCCCAAGAACCCAAAUGUAACAUCAAAAUGUAAUGGAUAUUGGAAAAUAAAAUCCGAAACUUAAUGGGUAGUCGAAAAUCUUCCAGAAAUCCAACUGAAACAAAUAAAUUUUACCCCAAAUCUUAGAUUCCGUGUGAGAUAGCCGGAAAAGAACGAGGCUACUGACGAUUCGGCUAGCGGGAUGACGGCGAAAGAUGGUUAGGUGUUGAACGGCUCGACUGACGACGAAAUCCGUGGAGGAAGUCGGAGAGAGCGACGCCGAUCAAGGCCGGUUGACCCUUGAAAUCGGCCUGAAGAGUUGCGGUGCAGCGUGGUGAUCGUCGUCCGGUGAGUCGAGCGGCGCAACGGAGGUCGGAUUUCGGUGGGCGGUUGAAGAACGAUAGAGAGGAAGUUGAGGUGAGAGAGUUUGGAGAGGGGAGCUGUUGCAUAGCACGAAGAAGACGAAGAAGAACUCUUCUUUCUCCGUAUUAUUAUUUCCCUUUCUUUUAUUUAAGAAUAAAUAAACAAUUAAAGGAAAAGACUAUAAUACCCCCUCCAAUCUUAAAACUAAACUUCUCUUUUGUCUUUUUCUUAAUUCUUUCUAACCUUUUAAUUGUAAUUUUGUCAAUUUUGAAACGUUAAAUAAAAAUUCAAAAAAAAGAUUGUAAAGUCACGUAACUUAUUAAAUUAAUUAACAAUAAAUAUCUAAAUUAUGUUCUCAUUCUACAGAUUUAAUUACGCUAUAUGAAUCUUACAUGUCAUUCUCUCACGUUUGUGAUAAAAGUCUAUGGUAACAGAUUUUACAAAUCAUUCUUCGUAUUAAUUUGAAAAUCACAAAAUAUUAUCGUCAAAAUUUAGGAUAAAAAACUUACUUUCGUUGACGUUUCUGAAUUUACAAACCACCGAAUUUAGGACACCACUUGGAUGAAAUUGGUUUGUUGGGAAGAGCAAAAUACUUUUUUUCUUAAUUGAAAACGGUCUUAUUCGUGAUAUUUAUAACUUUAUUUCCUUUUUGGAAUAGGAAAAAGAGUUGGUGAUAAGAGUGUGAUUCUAUUAAUUUAAAAAACAUUAAAUUAAUAGAUAUUUCAAAUCUACUAAUCUAUUAACCACUAAUCAAUCGGUUAAUAAUUAAUUAAAUCAUAUUUCAUUUAAAUCUUAUUUAAAUGAAUAUAUGCAUGAUAUCUUAUAGAUUUAUAUUAAUAUAAUUAAUUAAAUCAUAUUUAAUUAAUAUUUAAUUUAAAUCCUAAUAUCUUACAGAUUUAUAUUAAUUUAAUUAAAUAAAAGUAAAUUAUUAAUUAAUUCUCCAAUUAAAUUAAUUGCUAAAUUAAAUAUCUUAUAUUAAAAUAAAUUUGAAUCAUAUUCAAAUAUAUGUUUUUCUCAUAACCAAUAAUUUAAAUUUAAAUCCAGUUCACAUUAAAUUAAUAUUUAAACUCAUUCAAAUAUUUUAUCUCUCAUAAAUUAAUUUUGAAUCAUAUCCAAAAUUAAAUUUAUAUAAUAAAGUUUGAUAAACUUUAUAUUAAUAAUGUAUCACUAUACAUUAAACUAAUUCUCAAAGUAAAUUUGAACAUUUCAAAUUGCAACCAAUAUAAAUAAAUCUCAUUACUCUUUACGAGCUAAGAGGGGGCCUAAUGGACAUACAGAUCAGAAGCUACAACGAUAUAAGACUAAUUGGCUAAACUCAUUAAUCAAUAUUCGUUAACUGUGUGUACACUUCAUUAAAGACUCACAGUUGAACUUUUCUCACUAUAGAUAUAUUUAUGUGUCCAUGGAUAUAGACCAAUGACAGUAAGUUAGUCCAUUUACGAGUGUUCGUAACACCAGUUGGGUCAAUUUGCCAUUUUAUCUAUGGGUUACGUUUAAUCUUUAAAUACUAGUGCUUCUCUAAUGAACAAUCUGUUUAUGAUCCUACCAAUAAACAAAAACCUUCCUCGUGCCAUAAAGAGGGUAAGGGCUCUUUGUUCAAGUCUUGAAAACACUAUUUAUGGGGAAACUCAUCUAUUUACCCUAAAGUAGGGAAUGAGUGAAUUUCAUCUUGUGUAUUUAUGUUUCCAUCUCCCCACUUAGUCUUGUCCUCAAAAUGAUAAGCUUAUUGAGUUGGUAAUUUGGUCAUUCUCACUCAUACAAAUCAAAGGACAAUCCCUUGCGAACAAGAGUUCAUAAUACACUCAGGAUUAAGACUAAGUUAUUUAGGUCAUCCUAGUGAAAUAAAAAUCUAACUAGUUAACAGAGUUACAUCUAGUGGUUACUAUUUCGCGGUUCAGUCUUAUUUCAUAGGAUACCUUCACUCGCCUGUCAACUACAUGAACGCGUUGGAUCAUUGUGUUUGUAUCAAAUACAAAGUGAGUCAUAUCCAUAGUGUUACCAGGAUAAGGUAUCCAACAUUAUCCCUAUAAUAUAGAUCAUUUAAGUUGAUCUCGAACAUUGAUUCUUGUAUGUAUCUACAUACUGUUCAAGACUCAUUAAACGACUUAGGAUGUUAGUUUAUUGGAUUUAGGUUAUUAAGACAAAACUAAUAAUUUAAUCAAUAACAAUUAUUAAAAUAAUAACAUUUUAUUAACAACGGUCAAUGGAUUAUAUUUACAAUCUAUAUGUUUUAGAACAUAAAUCCUAACAGUCACACCAUUGAAGUAUCAAGUCACAAAAACCAAAAUAGAGGAAUGAGGCACCAAAGGUCACUAGUUAGCAAAAUUAAUAAAGAUUUUCAUAUUGGAGUAUUGUUGGUUAAGGUAAGUAUACACAAUAGUUAUUGGAGUAAUAUCAGAAAUAGCUUAUUUAAAAAAAUUUAUUCAAUAAAUAGUGAGCAAAUGAUUUUUGUGCUUGACGGAUGCAUAUUAAUUGUUACUCAUGGAAAUUGUUUUGCCCUUGUUUUAUCACGUGAAGAUUAAGGGAUGAUUGUAGAAUUUAUUUUUACUGGUUUUUAACACGUGCGAUGCACGCGAUAUUUAUGUUUCAUUUUUAUUUCAUUGAAUAACUUGAUUUUUUUCUUCGCAACAAGUUUUUUUUGUUAAGUAUCUCCAUUUUCAAUUGAUUAAUUUUUCUCCCAAUUGUUGUUUAAGAUUAAACUCUCAUAAACAGUUCUUAAAAUGCUAUAUGAUUGUUAGACAAUUCUACUUUGUAACUGUUAGAAAAAUAAAUUUAGUUUUCCAUACUAAAUUACGUAAACUUUUAGAGAAGAAAGUUGAUGAAUGAAUAAAAGGUACAAAUUAAGAGAAUAUGACAAACUAACUCAAAGUUUUUUUUCUUCUUAUAUACGUACAUAUUUAUAUAUUCUUAAGGAUAUCAAUUGAUGAGAUUUUUUUUUAUAAAAAUACAUCAACUUCAUAAAUCACAUACUAUCAAUUAAGGAUAUAUUUUUCUAAUUUCUAUUGUUGUUUGUAUUGGUAUUUGGAUAUGCUUUCAUUUUUAUCGAUCUUUAUGGAUUUCUUGGAUCAAAGCCAACAACUUCUCGAUUUGAUUAACCUAACCCCUAGGUGGGUAGAUUGAUUGAACAAUUGAUGACUAAUGAAGAUGUUCUAAAGUGCAUAUUUUAUGUAUAAAUUGUAUUUCGAUGAAAUGUAUAAAAAUUUCAAAAGAUAUAUUUUUAAAAUAAACACAUCCAUAAAAGCAUGAAAAACCAAAAAAGAAAAAAGAUUAGAAAGAACAUGAACAACCCACGAAAACAUGCAAUGAAAUUGAGAUAUUUCUUCUUAUUUGAAAUGCUAUUCAAAUUGUGUGCAAAUUGAUAUAGAAAAAGAGCUUUUAUAAGCAUCCAUAUUUUAAAAUUCCUAAAAGUUCAUUCAUUGUAUUUUGUAUAAAAUUUAAUAAUUAAAUGAAUUAUUAAUUAUUUUCCGAUGAACUUUUUGACUUCCUUAACUAUGAAAGUGUUACUUAGUCACAACUUUUUGAGAAUUUCUAAAGCCUUAUUCAUUGUAUUUUAUGUAAGAAUUAGUAAUUAAAUAGAUUAUUAAUUAUUUUCAUUCAUAAGAGGAACUUAUUUACUUAUUUAACUCUGAAAGUGUUCCUUAGUUAUAACUUUUAAUUUUCUUCUGCCGUUAAAAGUUGGAAAGAUUUUUGAUUUUAUUAAGCUAUUAGUUAUUCAUAAGUUACUAUUAUCCUAAUCAAUUCGUAAAAUACUCAUUUUCUUUUUAAUUAGCAUAAAAUUAAAAAAGGACAACAUUGUCAUCUACCUAAUUAGAAAAGCUACUCCUAAAGAAAUGUCAAAAAUGAAAGAAAAAAAAACUUUUAUAUAUACUAUAGAUUAUAUUUCAUAAUCCUAGAUUGGCUUUAAAAUUAAUAAUUAAUAACUUAUGGUUACUAGUAUAGCGAUAGGUAAAAAAAAUACGCACACAUAUUUCCAACAAACUUUUUUUUCUAUUUAAAAAUUUAUUAUUCUAAUAAUUUACUUUAUUUGUAUUUUAUAAUAUGUUAAAAAUAUUUUAAGAAAAAAAUAUGCUUUAACAACAUAAUGAAAAAUAUGAUAUACUUAUUUAAAAAUAUAAUUCAAAAUGUUUAGUUUGUGUAUAUUAUAUGUUUAGUAAAAUGGUUAAGCCUUGAUGUUUUUCAAAAUUUAGUGUUCAACUUUAUAAUUUUUAAAUAAAUUAACGUAUAUAUUAUUUAUAUUAGUGAUAUUUUAUAACUUUUGUGUUUCUUAAUUUUUUUUUUUACAAUAUAACAAAGAUAUUGAUUCACUUCUCAAGUUGAUAUUUUGUUAGGGAACUUCUAGUGUUGAUAUUAAACCCAUAAAAAUGUGUAAAUAUCUACCUAAAAAUAUAAUACGAAUAUGAAUGAAACUAUGAAUAAAUAUUAUGUUUUUGUUUGAAUAGAGCAGUAAAUUUUUUUUGUUAAAUUGCAAAUUUAGAUUAUAUGGUUUGAACAAAGUUGGAGAACGUUGGUAGAAAAUUUUAAAACGGAUGAUUUAACCAAACAAGAUUCUAUUUCAUAUUUUCAAAUAUGUAUUCGAUAGCAAAUUAAUUCAUAAAUUAAAAUUUAAUUCAAAUAACAGUUUGGAAUGUGUUUGGUACAACAUAAAAUUUAUUUAUGAAAAUAAAUUAUGUUAAAAAAAUUAUAAUUACUAUUAUGUAAUAUUAUAUAAUUUAUAAAACAUUACAUAAUACAUAUUAUAUUAUAUUUGUAGAACAUAAAUGGAGUUUAUAACAUCAGAUAUUGUUUUUUCAAAAAGAAAGAAAACAACAUGACAUUACUUUUCUACAUGUUUUGACUAUUUAUUUACUAUAAUACUUCAUUUUAAAAUUAAAAAUUGAAAAUUUAGAAAAAAAAUCAUGACUAAUUCAAAAUGGCAAUAAAAGUUUAAAAGGGCAAUAAAAGCUUCAACUUUUUAGAGUUUAUAGUUAAAUAAAUUCAUUGAAGGUUAGAUGGAACCAAAGAUUCAAUUUUAUGUCAGAUUUAUCUUUGAAUUAUUUUAUAAAUAAUGAAUGACUUAUUUAGUACAAAGUUGAUGUUAGAAUUUGAGGGAAAAAAAAGGUAAAUUACUUUUGGUAAAUUUUUCAUUUUGACAAGUGUGCAUCCGAAUGAUAUGAUGAUUUUGAUGAGAGAUGUAAAACAAUAAAAGUGAAAAGAAUUAAAACGUUUAUAUAUUUACUUGAAUAUUUUCUUUUAAUUUUUUUGUUUUAAUAAAUUUUCAAAAGUAUCCACCCAUGAAAUUAAGGCCUCUAACAUUUUUAUGGAAGUUGAUAUUAUCGAUAUCACGCCCAAGGAUAGGGAAGAGCAGUCAGAUUGUGGAAAAAUGAAAAAGAUAUAUUUGGCUUAUAAGUUAUAACCCAAAUUUAUUCCAAAGUUUUGUUAUAAAUACACAUGAAAAUAUUUGUUCUGCAUGGUUUCCUAAAACAUUAGGACUAAAUAAUAUACAACUACAUUAUAUGCUAAGCUUGGGACGGAAAUCCAGACCAGCAAAUGGCGUAGUGAAUUCAUCCAAACAAGCCAUUCGGAUUCGCUCCGGUGUAGCAGGAUUAUCAAGAGGAAACCAAUCGUCAUGCCCCGAUUCUUUCCUUGCAGCGAUUAUGGCAUCCUUGAUUGCAAAAAAGACGGCAGAGGCCAAAAAGAAUGGAGGUUCUCCCACCGCUUUUGAUGAAUGAAGGGCCUUCACAUUCGGGUGACCCUAUCGAUUAUUAAUCGCAGUGAUUAGUAUGCAAAACAAAUGCAUCUGAUGAACCACAAACAUUAAACCAAAGAUAAUUCAAACAACAUCAAAAUAUAAAGAUCACAACUGUUGAGCCGGAGCUUAAAAUGAUGGGUUACAAUAAAUUUGAUCUUUUAAGAAUAUUUUAAUACUUUCAUACACCUUGUGAGCUUAGAAAUUUGUAGGAUAGUCAAGAAGUAGAAAUCAAUAUCGAUAGUAACCGAAGAAAAAUGGUAUUAUUGCCAAGGCUCGAACACAAAUCUUUAUGCUAUGACACCAUAUUAAAUCUCUAAUGAAGCCAAAAGCUUGAAUAAUCUAUUAGAACGUGUACUCAAGUAUCAUGAUGCAUAAUAUUGCAUCUAAGAGUAGUUUAACAUUAAUGUCAGAAAUGUGAAAAAGACUUAGUUUCCAAGAACGAAUAGCUAUUUCUCUUUUUAGUGCAAACAUUUUUCACAUUUAGUUGCAACAAACAAAAAGAAAAUGUGAGAAACAACGAAAGAACAGAAAUUAGCGUACCUUCAAAAGAGAAACAUUAAAUUUGAAAGGGACAUCGUUAAUUGAUGGAAUUUUGUAACUUCCAGGUCCAGCAGUAUACAAAGUACCAGGGGGAAUCCAUCUAUGAGCUGGAUCUCCCCAUUUCAAUUCUUCUAGAGCUACCCAACCCAAUCCUUGUACAAAUGCACCUUCAAUCUGUUGAAUAAAGGAAAGGAACAAAAGAGUUCUUCUAAGAGAUUCUGACAACACAUCACAUCUACGAUAUCAAAUAAAUUUAUAUUUUGAGAAUGUAAACUGAACAGUGAAGUCUCAAGCACCAAAAGGAAAUAACAACUUUGAAGAUUGAGUCAAAUAGGAUCAAAUAAGAACUUGAAAUUGCUACUGAAUUGCUGUCUAUCCUGUCGGUUGCUUAGUAUCAAACUGCAUUUUCUUAGCACCAUAAACUAGCAACGAAUUUAUCAACAAGUUUAUCUCUUUCCAAGUAAUUAAGGAUAUACCUUAUAGCAUUCUCCUCUAGAAAGAGAGAAAAUCUAAUCAAAUAUUCAAUACUAAUAUAUAAACAAACAUAGAUUAUGGAAAGGCUGCGACAGAAUGCAUCUAAAGUAUAUCAAUAAAAUAAUAAUGGAAGUUGGUUGUGUUUUUUUAUGUUUUUGGGGAGUGAGAAAUAAUAGAAUGCUUAAAGGAUUAAAGAGGAACUCUUUUGAUGGUUCCUUGUGAAUUGUGAUGUUUCUCUCAACUUUGGUUAAAAGUUUCUUUAGUAAUUAUUUGCUAGGUUUCAUUUUGUUAAAUUGGAGGCUCUUCCUCUAGGGUGCUCAGUUUGUUUAUUGUAUUCCUUUUUUUUCUUUUCUUUUUUUAACUCAGUGAAAGUUAGCGUUUUACCAAUAUAUUAACACUAAAAUGGAAGAAAGGAAAUUCAGUACUACCUGGCCAACGUCAAUGGCUGGAUUGAGAGAAUGUCCAAGAUCUAGGAACACAUUUGCUGACCGAGUAUGAAAGUCUCCAGUUAACGUGUCAAUUUCUACUUCCGAAAAUGCAGCACCAUAAGUGAAAUAUCUGAAGGGGAUUCCUUUCCCAGUUGUCCAAUCAAACCCGAUUUCGGGUGUUAUAAAGAAACCAUGAGCAGAUAGAUCGAUCCUUUGAGCGUAGCAUGCAAGUGCCAGCUGAAAACAACGGAUGACUAUCACAUGAUGUGAUAUCAAAAUUGAAAACAGAACAACGAGUAGCUGGAUAUUAAAGAGAAUUGCAAGUGAAAGAAUUGUGCCAUUUAAAACAAGCAAUCAGUACAGUGUUCCAGGUUUGCAAUUUUUAUUUUAUUUCAACUUGAUUCCCAAGCCUUGCAGCAUGUGAUUGUUGUAGAGGUGCUGGUUCGUUUGGAUGUGAUUUAGAUAUUACAAAGCUCACAUACUACCAUAAUAUUUGUAAAAGAACAUUGAAAGUGCCCAUUUUUUCUAUUUCCCAUAUACACGAAUAGAUACACUACCAUAUAUUAAUAACUAAUGGGUUUCAUGAGCUAUCUAUACAUUAGCCGUUCUCCAUUAUACAUCACAACCAGCUGCUUCGUAGUAUUGACAAUUAAAGCAUCAUGACUAUGAAUAAACACUGUCAUCAAAUGAUCACCCACCCAGAAUUAAAAUAGUUUCUGCUUAAAACAUACAAAGGAUCGUUAAAACCACAGUACAAACAUUUCAAGUGGUAAUUAGAUGCUGCAAUCCAAUUAUAAACUAUUUGUAGGAUAGAUGUGUUCAACAGAAAAAUCUUAAGACACUGUUCUGGUAAGGCUUUGUUUUAUCUUCAUUGUUUCUUAUUUUCAUUUUUAGAAAAACAUUUUUAGUCAUAACCGGUCUUUAUACUUUGCUUCACAAAUUUAAGAAAUCUGUCCUUCAAAAGAAUUUUAAGAAACAUUCCUAAAGUUGUAUACAAUUUUUGGAAAAAGAAAAGGCUUCUUUUUACUAUUUUUCAAGUUUCUAAAACGUAAAAACAUUUAUUUCAUCAAUUUGACCUAUAAAAUAUAUUAUAAAUAUAAAAAAAUCAAGAAAAAAAAAUGAGAUUACAAUCUUGACCAUUUUAUAUUUUAAAAAUAUUUUGAAGUAAAAAUAAUUAUAGAUAACGAGACAAUAGAAAUGGUUACCAAAAACAUUUUUAAUUCUAUUUUCAAUAAAAUAAAACAAAAAACCUAAAACAAUACCAAACAUGUCGGUUCUUUUAUCCUUUUUCACCAAACCCCUAGUAUACACAAUACCUCUGCAAAAGAGCUGAAAUUAUGCUGGGAAGCAAUAGGUUCCAUCCUUGCCUUGAUUUGCUCACAUGCAUCCAAAACUGCAGCUCCAUACAUAUCAGAGCUGGCAGAAGCUGCAGUAGGAGAUGCAUUAGGAACCUGUUUGCAUAAAAGAAAAGGAGGUAAAACAAACCAUCCAUCAAACAUACCAGCACUUUCUUCAAUGUAAAAUUAAUAUAGGUCAACUAAAGGCUUAAAAAUCAAAUGGAAUGGAGAAAAGAUUCAUCUAGUCAAAAUAUUUUGAAAUGCUAUUGAUCUAUCAGGAAGUACAAACUUGCAUUAUAGUAACAAACUUCGAAGAAGUAAUACUGUGAAGUAUAGAAGAUAGUUCCAGGUGAUUCAAGAACCUACAUACCUACCAACAUUGAGCAAAAGUGGCAAUAUUCCGUGAUUAAAUUUUCAAGAUGCAGCAUUGUGGAACUUAGGAGACUUAUGAACCAAAGUUCUUUUAGGCUUCCCAUUAAGCAAGUAUAUGGAGGGGUAGAAAGGGGUUUUCACCCUUGACAAAAGGGUAGUUGUGGUGCCCCUUUGUUCUGACAUGGCUGAGGUGAAUGUUAGUAUAUAUUUGGGUGUUUUGUGCUAGGAUUAGUUAUCUUAGUUUAUGUGUUUUUCUGUGGAUGAACAGUAGUUCAUCAUAGAGGGUACAACCCUCUUAUUAGGCUGAGUUCUUGAGUACAUCUUUUGUGCUGGAAUUCUAUCACUUGAUGUGUGUGUCUUGUGCUUUUAUUCCUUGUUGACUUCAUGAACCAUUGCAAUGGUAUUAGAGACGUUCGAAACUCUGGGGAGGUGGAGCAAGAUGACACAAAAACAACUGAAAGAUAGACUUGCAGCGACGAAGGCAGAUAUUGCAGCUAUCAAGCAAGAGAUACAGAGGAUACCGAUGUUGGAAAAGACAGUGGAGAAAAUGCAUGCUAUGUUAGUUGAGAUGUAUGAGGAUUGACUGCAGCAACAAGCAUUGUCGGAAGUCAUGAGGACAAGCACAGGGAAGAGAAAGUUAAGAACGGAAGAUAAGCUGGACAUUGAGGAAGGAACAGAAGAGGGAGAGACAUCCCAGCUCAGAAAAUCUGUAGCAAAGCAGGAUCAGAUCAAGUUUAAAAAACUUGAAAUGCCAAUGUUCAAUGGGGAUUAUCCAGAUGGAUGGUUCUACAGGGCAGAACAUUACUUUCAACUACAUUUGCUGAAGGAACAAGAGAAGCUAAAGAUUGCCAUCGUGAGUCUGGAAGGAAAAGGGUUGAGCUGGUUUCGAUGGGCCGAGAACCGCCAAAAGUUCAAAUCCUGGCGAGUGCUGGGAAUUCUAGAGAAUGUUCUUACCAAAGGGAGCUCUGCAAGUGCUGGGAAUUCUAGAAGAAUAAGUGGGUUGCUUAGUAAUUUGGGGGGUUUACAUUUCUAGGUUGCCAAUGAGAGGAUGAUAGACUAUGCUCAUAUUAGGAAUUCACCUCUUAACGGGUGGCAAGGAUUAUUCAAUCUAAUAUUGGGUUUUACCAACUCAAUCAAUCUAGUAGCGUAAUUCUACUUUUACAAAGUUUCACAUCGUUUUAGGAAGCGACACAACUUCAGUCUCAAGCUCUCUGACUAUUUCCAUCUCUUCCCCAUUAUUUGUUGUACGAGAUUAUUGUCAUAACUCCUAGUUUUCGGUUAUUAAUCCCAAGAAAAAAAGGAAGAAGGAUUGAGGUCCUAUUUUAGUCUCAUUGUUGUCCAUGUCCAUGUUGUAUAAUCCAGAGUCGUUACUAGAAAAUUUCCAUGGUCCUUGAGUCCAUUUUGUAACAUUUCUCAGUUCUCUAAUGAUUGAUGGUUCUAAUGCCAGGAAAUAGCAUGCAUAUAACUGUGAUCCAAGAAUCCAGAGAGAGCGUUUGCAAAGCCAUACGGAAGAUUGAUAAAUAUUUUAUUUCUACUCACUUUUGAGAGUAAAAGUUAGAGGCGUUUGCAAAAGUAGCAAAAAAAAUUUAUGAUAAUAGGGUCCAUGUCACUGCAUUUCCUAAAUUGCAAAAGUAACAAAUUUAAAAGCGGAUAGCUCUCUAAUAGCCAUUUGAUAGCUCUCUGAUAGCCGUUUGAUAUAUCUAAUUACUUAACAUAUUUGACAUAUUUGCAAUAUGCAAAAAAGAGGUGCUAUGGACUGUUUUUUUCUAAAUUUUUUUGUCAUUCUGAUGCAAUUUUCCUAAAACUUAACGAUGAGAUGUCUCACAGAAUUUUCUGUGAUUGGGAGAAAAUAUUGAAAAUAAUAUUUCUACAAAUCAAACUUGUGUGAACUUAUGGAAAAUAUAGUUGGUGUUUAAGUGAAAUUAAGUUGAAUUUUCUGUAAAAUGGUAUACAUUGCUUAAGUAUCCACCGAAAAAGGUAUAAAUAUUACAAAUAAAUCCCAUAUUACCUUGUCCGUACUUGUCUCUGAUAUGAAGACAGAACUUAGAGGAAUAUUAAAGGCAGAAGCAGCAACCUGUGCAACUUUUGUAUGCAAUCCUUGGCCCAUUUCAACACCUCCAUGCGUAACUAAAACUGUCCCAUCAGUAUAGACAUGAACCAGAGCACCUGCCUACGGUCAAUAAAAUGUAUGAGGUCAGACUUCUUAUGGAUGAAAUAUUACCCAAAUAAUAUCACGGUAUUUUCAGCAAGUCUUUUCCCACCUGGUUCAUUAGCUUUAGUGUAAAUGAUAUGCCAAACUUUGUAGGAACCAUAGCUACACCACGCUUCCUCCACCGAUUUUGGCUGUUAAAUUGUUCAACUUCUUUACGAGCAUUAGCAAAGUCACAAGAUGUCUUAAGUUGAUCCCAUAGUGGGGCCAGGGUAGAGUAUUCAACUUGCUGACCAUAGUGAAGCAUAUACCCCUCGCCUUGGAAAUUGAUUUCCUACAUAAAUAUAGCGUGCUAAAGUAAUGGUCACUGGGACAAGAGAGCGACGUUAAGAACAAUUAUCACUAUUAUUAACAAGAUACCACAAUAAUAACAAUCACCACUAUGAAACUUACCCUUAUCUCUUCCGGGCUUUUCUUGAGUUCAACAGCAAUUCUUUGAAUCCAAUUUUCAGUAAUAAGCAUGCCUUGAGGUCCACCAAAUCCACGGAAAGCAGUAUUACUAGGAAAAUUUGUGAAACAAACCUUUCCCUGAAUCCUCACAUUUGGUAUCUCAUAUACAUUAUCCGAGUGAAACAUAGCACGUUCAAGGAUAGCAAGAGAUAGAUCUAAUGAAUUUCCACCAUUGUUGUAGAUUUCCAAAUCAAGAGCCAUCACUUUUCCCUCAUUUGUGAAACCAACCUAGGUCAGUUGUUAAAAAUCUUAUUGUUAUAUGGUUUCAUAACAUUUCAAUCAAAGAAAGGAUACUUGCAAAAGCAAAAGCAACCAAUUGAUAUGUUAAGAAAUUAUAUUGACUAUAAAUCAUCGACUAGGACGUCAUGUGUUCAAACUUCUAUUAUGUCAUUUUCUCAUUAGUUAAAACUGAUCCUCAUUGGGCUUCAUGUUAUUUGUUAAACCACAAAUCAGGGGAGGAGUAAAGAAACUAAAUUUUCCGUAGUAUCAGCUUGUGCUAUUGAGUAUAUUGUUUGGUGGUUAUUAAACAUGAUCGUUAGUACUCAAUGAGAUUAAAAAAGGCCCUGUCUUCUCCCUCUAUGAUUCCAAAAUUCUUUCAUAUGUAAAAGAUUUAAAAUUAAAAAAAAAAGGCAUUGUCAAGCAUUUUUGUUUAACUAUAUGCCUAACCAGUUUAUUGAGGAGGAAGUCUCUCACUUUUUCAUACUGGCUGGCUGUAUAUUAUGGUCCAAGAAAGAGGGAAUGUUUCUUUCGAAUUAUAUGAUACAAGCAACAUUGACCCCAUUCACGUGCUUAUUUCCCCAACUUCGUAAAGAUCAACAUCAAAUUAAAAUCCAACAGUUAAUUCAGAGUGUAAAAGAACACCUUAUACUUUCCAAGAAAGCUAUGCCGUUGCCCUGUAAUCAUCAUGUCUGUAUCCCUGUCUAGUGUCAACUUCACGGGCUGAUUCAACAAAAAUGAGGGGACAGAUGCUGCCGCAGAAUACACAGCUGCUCUUGUUUCCUUCCCCCCAAAUCCACCACCAAUGCGUUUGGUCUUGCAAACUACUUUGGACAUUGGAAGCCCAAGAACACUAGAAACAUACUUCUGGUGCUUUUGAGGCGCCUGCACAAGGAAAAUUGGGACAAUAAGCUUAACUAGAAAAAGUACCAAAUAGUAAUAUUUUCUCUUUAAAAAACUGAAUAAACAUCUUAAGAAUGGACCAAGAACAAGAGCAUUGAAGCUCAAACUGUUGGAAGAAAUUGAAGACUAAAGGUAAAGGAGGUAAAAAUCCAUUAAAAAACUAAAAUUCUACAUCUUUAUUUUAAAAUAAAUAAAAAUUCAAUACAUUAUAUAUAAAAAAAAUAUAUAGCAGAAAGGGAAACCUAUACAAGAGGUACUCGUUAUAUCAAAGAGAGUUAUAGUGCCUUUUUUUCCUUUCCUUUCCUUUCUCUUCUCUUCUCUUUUCUGUUAAAUAAUUCAAAUUUCUGAUUGGUUGUAAAUUUUCAAAUGAUACAAGGCUACCACUAGUGCCCCUUGUAAUAAAGUUCACAAAGAAAAUUAGUCAAUCAAACAUAGUUUUCAAUGACUCAAUACCAUGUAUAAAAUGUUCAAACCGAAAACAUAAGCAAUGAAAUACUGCAGGGGGGGGGCGUCUAGAAACAAGGUCAUUUUCAUCAUGCUUGUUGGUGAUAUAUAAUUAAGCUUAAGCUGUUGGAUGAAUUGGUGGUUUAAUAUGGAUAUCAGAGAAGGUGGUCCAGGGAGAUCCUGUGUUCAAGCACCUGCAUUGUAGUUUCCUCUCCAAUUAAAAAUCAAUUUCCACUUGUUGGGCUUUUCAAAUAUUUUGAGCCCACAAGUGAGGAAGAGUGUUGAUGAUAUAUAAUUAAAUUUGCCUUCAAUCAUAAGCUUAAGCUUUUGGAUGAAUUGGUGGUUUAAUAAUUCUUAUAUAUAUCAUUAUAUUUCUCUAUUUCAAAGAGGCUGUCAGAACCCAUCAUUCUAAAAGAGUGGUAUUACGUCGCAAAAACAGGGGAAAACAUGCAAGAAAGUAACACUACCAUACUUGUGUUGAUGACACCAGAUGAACUUCAUUACCAGAAUCCAAUGUCCAUACCACACUACUAUUUGGCUCCAAGUAAAAGUGUUCCUGACCUCCCACUUGAACUUCACCUUCAAUUAUCUUAUCACACUGACCUGAUUGGAAGCAAAAUUCCACAUCCCCUUUCUUCAAACACUUCUCAGUGUUGGGAUGGAAACUGUUAGCAAGGAUAGCAUCCUCAAUUGAUAGUAUAGCAGGGAGCUCCUCGUAUUCUACAUGAACCUUUCUUGCUGCUAGUUUUGCAUUUUCAUGAGUAUCAGCAACUACCACUCCUAUAAUCUGAAAAAAAAUUGUAUUUAGUUCAGAAAAGUUAGAACAGAAAAAAUUAAAUUGAUUAUUAGAAACAAAGUACUCAGCAUUUAGAGAUAGUGACAGGUAAAAGGAUUGCUGAUGGGAGUCUUAUGAAAGUGAUUAGAUACUAAUUGCACAUUUUCUCUAAUGGACACUGGUACAAUUGUAACAACAACAACCAUCCCAAUUCAAGGGUAGUUAUUUCAUUUUUUCCUAUUCAUUAUUACUGUUUUUAGGGAAGAAUAAGGUUAGGAAUGGCAAAGAGAAGAAAAAUAUCAUAUUAAGUCAUAAGUCAUGGUAUAGUUAGGAAUGGCAACCUAGAACAAGCAUUACCUGUCCCACGCAAGUGACAAAUUCUGAUGCAAAAAGUUCCUCGUCAUGAAUAACUGCCCCAAUCUUAUUAUCGGCUGGGACAUCUUUGGACAGGAAGAUGCCGGCAAAACCAGCAGAUUUUCUGGCUUCCAAGUCAUCUAUGCAACAGAUGCGAGCAUGGGGUUUCUUGCUCAGAAUCAAAGCAGCAUGCAAACCAUGAGGAGGUAAAGGUAUGUCAUCUGCAUAUUCUGCCUCUCCUGUGACCUAAAAUUAUAAGUACUGUAUCAAUAUUAAUCUCCGUGAUAUAUUCUACAAAAUCAACCAAGUUUGUUAUUAAUCGAUUUAAGUGCAUUGAGAAUUUAGUCAGUCAACAUGUCUAGAAAAACCAAGCAAUUACCCUCCAUUACAUAUUUCUUCUUUUUUUUCUUAAGAAAGAUCAUUCCAUAAAUUAAAACAAACAAAACAAUCAAUUCAAAUUCGAAAUUAGCUUUCCAUCCUGGUUUCACUUAAAUAGAAUAAACCAAGAAAUAUCUUCAUGUUUUUGAAGUAAAAUAAAAGAUGAUCCUUUACAUAACGCCUAAUCUUUUAUGUUAUGUGAGCAUGUUUAUGUAAUUUUAUAUUGUUCUAGAAAUUUAAAUGACAAUAAAAAUAAAAAUUUACUAUGAGUAUGUAUCAAAGAUGAUCAAUAUUUUAUGACAAAAUGGUACAAGUGCAUUGGUUAUGUCCUUCCAGUGCAAGGGGAAUGAGUCUAGAAUACUAUAAAGCCACCUACUGCAGGUAAAUAAAUUGUAAUCUGCGUUCCCAAGGCAAUAAUGCAGUAAUUCUAUAGGACAAUAACUCUAUAUCGCAAAAAACAUUCAUGCAAAGUAAGCAUUCUGUUAUUAUUAAACAAGUGACCGUGGAUGUAUAUCAGAUGUUGGAAAGUUUUGUAUGCAUUUGGUUUAUUUCUAUAAUAUAAAGUGAUACACUUUUACAUACCUGAAGUCUAGCAGAAAGAUGAACCUCAGGAUAGCCAACAGCCGUCCCAUGUUUUUUGAUCUCAUAGUCUUGACUUCCAAUAACAUGUGGCCGUUGAAAUGACUUUACGGCCGAAAGAUGCGACAAUGGAACUUUCUCCCCGAUAAGACUAUGUCUCUCCAUCUCAUUAGAAACCCAAAGAUAAAAUUUAAAGAAGAAGCUUAAAGUUAAGGAUUUCCGAAACUCCACCAUACCUCCGGGAGCAUUUUCCUGCAACAAAAUAUCUUCUUCUAAGACUUCCAAUGCAUUCUUGAGUAGCAUUUGAUCCCAGAUUUUCCCAAUUAGAUACUCUUUAGUCCUUAUUGCAGAAAGUGAUAAUGGAGCAACCCCACCAUAAGCGAUGGAUGCAUCUGAAACAACCAAAUUUUUACCUUCUUCCUUAAGAAAAACACGCAUACCAGCAUUUACAAUGGCAAUGUCAUCAUCUCGCCUAUGAGCCUGCUUAAACUCCUUCACAUACUCAAAACGCCUACUCCAUGGUAAGAAUACAGAGAGUAAGAAUUCAUCAUUUGCCAAAUCCACUUUUCGAUAUCCCAGGAAAAAAUUUUCAGCCAAUGUUGUUCUAAUCUUUCCCAUGCAAUUAAUAAUUCUGAACUUUGCCCUUGUAGCCAUCCAGAGAGGGUUCAAAUCUGAUAUAGGACUUGCUGUACAUAUGUUCCCACCUACAGAUGCAACAUUUCUUAUUUGUGUCCCAGCAAACCAUUUUAACUGUUCGAUAAAUGCUUUACAAAAUGAAGUUUCAUAUGCAGCACGCUCCGCUGUAACCUUUCUUAGAUUGCUUAGAAGUUCCGAUAAUCGUACGGCAGCUCCUAUCUCAAUGCCAUCGUCUCCCACAUUCAUCAUAUUUAACUCAGGCACAUGCAUAACAUGAACCAGAAUCUUAUACUGCAUUUUCUUCAACCUCAUUUCAAUUCCUACCUCAGUAUUUCCAACCAAUAACUUGGCUUCAGGGUAUCUGGCCUUCAAUUCUAACACUUCUUGAAGUGUUGUGGGCCGAAACCAUUUAAUCCCAUUAAACCCACUUAAAGUCAAGUAACUUAGUUUCUUUCGAAACAGCUCAGGAGGGAAAAUAAGCUCCUUAUCUGAGUAUGUACUGCCAUCAAUCUCACUAUAAGAAAGUGGCUCACGCUUAUUGCCACAUGUUAUACCUUUUCUACAGUCAACCCUCUCACUCGCAGAUUUAGAUUUGCAAGAACAUGGCUUCCCAGUUGAAGGGCAAACGAAUUCAUCUGUUUCACUAGUAUUCAAAGAAUUUGUGUAUAAUGCAUCAUCAGUUUUUGCAAAAACCCGAAAAGCAUCAAUAAUUGGUCUGUAACCUGUGCAUCGACACAAAUUUCCUGCAAGACAUUCUUCAAUUUGCUCUUCACUAGGUGGACUUUUACUUGACCUUAAUAAUGCAUAUAUAGACAUGAUAAAACCAGGAGUACAAAAUCCACACUGUGAACCAUGAGCGCUUGCCAAUGACUCCUGUAAUGAAUCAAUUUAGAGAAAGUUGAAAAUCUGAUUUGUAAAACUACAAUGGUGGUUGAACAUGGCUAGCUUAAAGUCUUCUUUGUUAUUCCCAACCCUCUUAACAAUGACUGAAGGAUAUAGCGUUUAGGGUCUUAGUCAACUUUGAUACAGAAUUUUAAAGGCAAUAAGAUCAUUAUUACCAUCAAAAGAGAAUAAUUUGAUCCAUAAUUACAAAUGAAAUUCAAUAAAAGGAUCAGAGUCUUCACAACAGAGUUAAAAUUAUUAUCACUAAAACCAGUCUAAUUUAAUACUAAAAAACAACACAAAUAUUUAAAGCACUUGAAAGAGUCUGAAAGUUGGAAUACGUUACUUGGAUAGGAUGCAAUCCACGCUUAUGACUUCCCAAACCCUCCACUGUUAUUACAUGCAUCCCCUCUACAGAAUAUAGAGGAGCCAAGCAAGCAUUAACAGCAUAAUGCCUGAAAGAAGAUAGUGUUUAUGCAAAGUUCAGUAUGAUGCUUUUAAUACAAUAGAUUUACGAAAUAAUGCAUGUUCGAAACCAAAUAGAGACUCACAUGCAUUUUUUAGAAUUUGCAUCGUAACUAGAAACCAUAACAGUGCAUGCUCCACAACCACCUUCGCCACAACCAAGCUUCGUCCCAGUCAAACGAUUAUCUACGUCAGAAGAGAGAAAAAUAACCCAAUUUCAAAAUUCAGAACAAUAGCAGUGAGUUUCGGAUGAUUUUUCAUCAAAGUAUUUUUUAAUACACACCAAUCAGUGCUACUUCAAAAAGCAAAUUCUAAUCGUUUUUAGUAUUUUCAAAAAUUAUUUCUCAUUAUCUAAUCAAAUUUAACAAUUUCUUUGAUAGUAAUGUUUUAUAGGCUGAAAAAUUGUUUUUUCACCCUCUCAAAAGUCACCUGAAACUCACCUCUGAGUUCUUAAAUGCUUUCAAAAUAGUUUCAAAGUAACCAAACCAGCAAAAAGGGUUUCUAGUUAAACUUUAUACCAAACUUGAUCUUAAAGUACACUCCAAGAUCCACAAACUCGAAACGAGGAAAAGGGAUCAUAUAAACCUAAAGCAGAGAGCAAGCUAAUUGAUACAUUACAUCAAACCAAGGCAAAUAAACAAACACUUGGUGGGCAGACAGGAUUCCUCAUAAAUGAUACAUAAGAACCAUUGAUGAAGCAAGUUACUCUUAAACUACGACACAAAACUUCUUACCAAACUUAUUAAGAGCCAAAACAGAACAAAUCCAGAAAACCCUUUACCUCUAAGAUAUUCAAGAAGAGUUAAAUGGGCUAAUCCGUUAGGAAGAACUCUCCGAACCCCAUUAACGUAUACAAUGGCCUCCUUCGGAUCCUCCCCAAUCUGUUCCAUAUCUUCUUUACUCUUCAACGAUCCCAUCUGGGUUCACUAAGAAGACUAGCCAAAGGUAUCAAAUUCUCAGAACCAAGAGCAGUUGAAAAGAGUACUUCAAUGAUAAAAAUGAUAAAUAAUGGGUAAGACCCACAUGCCCAGAAAUCAAUCAGAACCGAACUAAACGAUGAGAGGGAAUUUUAGUAUUCAAACCUGAGGUGGCGAAAACGAAAUGGACUGUCUGUUCUUCCUCGCAAACAUUGAAAGCUGAGCUGUACAUUAACUUAUCGAUAAAAAUUAGAGGAGCAUGCCAUUGAGAGAAGAAGAUAAACUCCACGCCCUUGCUGACGCAUAAAGUCAUCAAUUCCCAAUCAAUUGGAUGAAAAAAAGGUUGCUCUUUGGUUUCUAGCGAUAUUAAAUGGUAAUUUUGUUUCGGGGUAUUAAUAUCUUUAGUGCUUGAUUUUUCGUGUCAUGUUUAUAAACUAUGGUGGUAUGCGCAUAUGUGUUAUUGAGUCCUUGAGAUUUGUUUGAACUUUGGCUCUUUUUGUCCGUAUGUUAGACUUUUGCAAUUGGACGUUGUUUUGUUCCUAUUCUUUCAAGUGUUGUUCUCUUCCACCUCCCUGACUUUGGUUAGGUUUCUUUUUUGAAACACUUUUAAAGUCCAUACUUUCCUUCACACUUGCAUUCUUGUUGUUUAUUGAAUUUUGUACCUAACAUACAUUACCAUCUUCAUUUAUUCUUUGAGAUUGAAUCUAAAAAAAUAAUAUACAUGAGCUAAGGUCAUAUUGGUAAAUUACAAAUUCAGUAAUUAAAAAUAAAUUUUUGUCUUAUUCAGUUGCACCUAUUUCUUAGACUAUAAGAGUUUGUCUAAAAAAAAUUAUCACUCGCUAGUUUUUCUGUUAUUUUAAACCAGGCCAAGUAUCCACCAUUGCCAGCUUUUUUUACUUGGUUCAACUACUAAUAAGAGUGAGAUAUUUAAAGUUUGGUUAAAAUAUUAAUUUUAUCACUAUAUUUUAAAUAUUUUUUAGUUUUAGUUCUUUACUUUCAAUAAAUUUUAUAUGCUUUCUAAAAGAUAAAUAUUAUUUAAGAAUAACUACACAUUUUAAAAACAUAUUCAUGACAAAAAUGACUCAUUCAUAUUUUGAUGUCCGAUAUACUUAAAAUAUUUAUUUAGGUCUAUUAUUUUUAAAAGAUUCAUUUCAGUCCUCCCACGAAAUUAAAUGUUAAAUACAUAUUAUUGCUUUAUCUAGGUAAAUAUAUAUAUAUAACCUUUAUUAUAAACAAGUGGGUGAUUCAAUUUUGCUUUUGUUCCAUUAUAGAAGAAGUGGAUUUCAGAGUUAGAAUUUUAGUUGAAAUGAUAAAAUAAAAUGCAUGACAAUGACCAAUAACUCACAUGCACACUGUUGCAAUGUUGACAUAAGCAAAAGAUCAACUUUUUAAGAAUCGAGUCAAAUUUUAGGUGUGCUUUUAAAAUGAGUCAUCCAUAUGAAAAAAUCUAUUCUCAUUAUGGAAAUAAUAAAUUAUGAAUAACAAUACCCACGAGUGUAGUGGUCUUUAAUAUCUCUAUUUGCAUAGAGAUAUCUCAAUUAUAUAAGCAUGACAUCUGUCCCUACAAGCUAGAGGGUUCAAUCUUUCACCCCAACUUACACCAUCUCUCUUAUAUUUAUCUUAAAGGAUACGUAGAAUCGACCAUUUCAAUCCAACUACGUCCAGCCAUUUUCUUCAACCCUCUACUUCUCAUGGCAACUCGAACAUCAUUAGCAUCAUUCCAUCUAUCACAACAAGCAUAAGUAUUUGAUAACAAAGCAAAAGUUCCCACUGUAACCCCUUUGCUUCCAAGCAACCAUUCCCUAACUUUCUCAUACUUCUUCUCAUUCCCAUGAAGUUGACAAGCAUGAAGCAAAGCUCCCCAAACUGGGCCUUCAGCUUCCAUAGGCAUCUCCUUUAUGAAUGCCUCUGCUUCGUCUAAUAGCCCAGCCUUUCCAUACAUGUCCACCAUACAAGCAUAAUGCCUCAUUUGAGGUGAAAUAUUAUAAACAUCUUUCAUGGCUUCAAACACCAUCAUGCCUUGAUUGAUCAACCCACCAUGGCUGCAAGCAGAUAACAAACCAAGAAAUGUUAUAUCAUCUGGAGAAACGCCAUGGACUAACAUGAGUGAGAAGAGAACAAAAGCUUGCUUUCCCAGGCCAUUCAUGGCUAACCCACUAAUGAUUGUACUCCAUGAUACGAUAUCCUUGUGCUCAAUAGCUUUGAAGAUCAAAAUCGCCAUUUCCAUGUUGCCACAUUUGACAUACAUGUUAAUCAAAGCAUUUCCAACAUUUCCAUCAAUUAUCACAUCAUGCCUAGAGUUGAUAUAUGAAUGCACCCAUUGACCCAAAUGCAGAGCAGAUAUGGAAGAACAUGCAGAUAAUACAUUAACUAGAGUGGCUUCAUUGGGUAUAGCCUCUCCCACAUGAACCAUGUUUUGAAAUACCCUCACAGCCUCUUCACACAAUCCACUCUGUGCAUAGCCCCCAAUCAUUGUCGUCCAAGACACUACAUCUCUUUUAGGCAUUUUUUCAAACAGAUUCUCUGCACUCCUCAAAUACGCACAUCUAACAUAAAAAUCAAGAAGGGCAUUUUCCAAAAUAACAUUUUCCUCAUUCAAAGUCCUCAUUCUAAGCCCAUGUAUAGCUUUCCCAAGUUUGAGACAUCUAAGACUAGAACAAGCAGAUAAAGCAGUGACAAGAGUAGUAGAAUUAGGCCUCACAUUCAUGGACAAGAACUUACUCAGUGCUUCUUUUUCAAAACCGAGCUUGGAAAGACCAGAAAUGAUUGAAGUCCAAGAAACAACAUCUGGGUCAGGGAUGGAGUCAAAGAUUAGAGAAGCAGAAGAAACAUCGCCAUCGAGAAUGUAGAAAUGGAGCAGAGAAUUUUGGAUGAAGAUGUCAGAAAGAUGACCUGAUUUGAUGAGAUGGGCAUGGAUUUCGAGGCCCUUUUGGGUUUGAUGAAGGAAGCAACAGGCUUUGAGGGCAUAAGUGAAGGUGAAGUGGUUGUGGGAAGAUGGGUAGCGAAGCAUUUGGUUGUAGAGGAAGAGGCCAUUUUCAGGGAAAAUGGAGUUCACCAAAGAACCGAGCAAAGGGUUGAAAAUAUGGGGUUUUGGAUUUGUGAGGAGUUUGGCAUGGAUUUGGGUAAAUUGAGCAAUCGAAAUUGAGGGUUUCAGAGGUUUCAAUGGCAUGCUAUUGCUCAACCAUUCGUGUAGAACUUGGAAAUGAUGAAUUGAACAUUGAACCUUCGAAAAGUUAGGACUUACAACCGCCCGUAUUUUCCAAUACAGUUAUUAUAAAAAUAUGCAUAAAACAUAGCAAAUGAAGCUUUUACAACUUACACACUUCAGCGGAAGCAACUUAUUACAAAUAAGUUCUGAGUAAAACUAUCAAGUACUAAGGUAAACAUCCAUUGAUCUCCUGCACCAUACCAUAAAACUUCACUUCAUUCAAACUAUCACCUUAUCCUUUAUCUGAAAGCAUUUUAGAAAAAACAAAGAUGAGUACAAAAAUAUUCAAUAAGAAAUUCCCAUAUCAGGCAUUGAAAUUCAUUGUCUUUCAAAACUGUUGAAAAUAAAAAUACAAAACAUUGUAGAACUCUCAAUUAAAACUUGCUAGAAACAAUACUUUAAAAUUCAAGAUCUUCCAAGCAAAUAAAACUUCAACACCAAAUGUUUCAAGCUGAAACUUCCAGAUAGCCUUUAAAAAAAAAAAAAAAAAAUCAAAACGUUCAAAUAAACUUUUAGAACCUUUAAUAAAUAGAACUUUCAUACUUUUUUUCAAAUGCUAGCAUUUCAAUACUUUCAAUCAAGCAAUACAUUAUACAAUCGACCAGAACAACAAAAAUUCUGACUAACAACCGACCAGAACAACAGAAAUUACUUAAGUGUGAGGUCAUGUGAGUACAACACAAGCAUGAAUCUUGAUUCCAAAGAUGUAUCUUCUCACAAAUGAGUGUAUACCGCCAAUUCCAAUUUUGGCUACAACAAAAUACCAUAGAAUCCCCAAAACACAAAAAUGGGCAUAUCUAGAUAGCCCUAAUUGAAUCAUUCAUCAAAGUUUCAAAUAACAAUUUCAGCAGCUGAACUCAUCAAAUCCAAAACAUGAACACUUUCAAUUUAAAAUCAGUCAAAACACUCUCAACUAUCAUUCAAAGCAAUCAUAUAUUUUUACUUGACAAAUCAACUAAAAAUAUAACAAAUACUUUCAGUUGAUUCUCAAUCACAUAAAACGUGAUUUCUAAUAGGAUAACAUUUAAAACAUCCAAAAACAAAUUCAUUCAAUUCCAAAUGGUGCAAAACAUGCUCUCAAACAUCCAACACCCAUAUUCACCCAUUUAACUAAUCACAACAGCCAAAACAUAUCUUUAUCAAAAUUUACAUUGUGUAAGGGAUGUGGAAACUAUUUAGCCCGAUCAACAAUCCUAUAAUUCUCAAUCCAAAGAACCACUUCCUUGAACAAAUGUCAACUUUUAGAAAGCCUAAAUGAUAAAUCUCAACCUUGAUCAACACCGAGAGAUUUUCAAAAGUAACAUACUUAUCCAAAAUCCACCAUAAACCUUAACUAAUCACUCCAAAUUAAUCCAGAACUACGACCAACAAACUUUCACGGUUCAAAAAAUGAUCUAAGACAUCUUAACCAAGUCCGAAUUAGUCCAAAAUGUGUUCAACCUUGUUGAAUCUUAAUCAGACACUUAGAAAUAUACCCAAACAUAACAACAAACGAAUUCCAAUAGCUCAUAUUAAUCUUCAAAUACUCAAAUCCAAUUCGAAAAAGAAAUUAAAGCAAUAAUCCUUACCGACUCUUACCGAAAAGGCUCGGAUCCUUGCUGGUUGAUGACCGAAAAACUGUGAACUUACAGAUAUGAAGCUUAAAGUAAACUGAUUUGAAGCCAAUGGAAUAGCAAUCAAAAGCUUACGUCCAAGUCGAAAAGUUGCUGCAAGACAAACCAGGUAUCGAAAACGUGACGCAUCACGCUGGAGUCUCAAACGGAGAAGAAAAAAAUGCUUCAAAACUUGUUGGAAGUGGGUGUUUACGUGGUUGGCUAGCUCCGGUGUCGAACGUGGAUGAAGAGCGUGUCGGUAUGAAUCGUGUGAGACGCGAAAACUGGUCGUCUGAGUCUGUUAACGACACUACUGCUCGUCGCCGGGGAAAAAGUGAGAAGAAAACUUUUUGAACAAAUUAUUUGAACAAAUUUUCGAAAAUGAUGCUAAAUUUUUUAGGUGAAAACUUCGAUUGUCUACUUCAUAUCUUUAACCAUUUCUUCCUUAUGGAAAAGUGAGAUGAGAAGGAUAGAAGGAGCAAGAAGCCUUAUGCGACAUUCUUAAGACGAACUAGGAAUUUCACACGUACUAUUGAGCCUAUCUUUAAUUUUAUUUUUAGGUUUCAAAAUAUUCAAUUUUAGUUUUACCAUGUUUUUUAAAACCCAAGUUUAAUUUUGAAAACUCAAAAAUAAUUUCUAAAAACAUUUUUGUACUUUUACAAUUAGAUUGAGAAUGCAACUUUUCUACUUUUUAAAUACCAAAGACAAAAAAAAUUAAAUGAUUAUCAAACUACGUCUUUUAACUCAUUUCCUGCCAUUGUAAUUUAUUGAAUUAUUCUUUCCUCUUUUUUCUAAUGCCUUUUUCUUUUUGGGUGCAUCAUACUUGUGUUUUUCUGGUGUAAAUACCCUUUGUUCAAUUAUAGAAAUAUAUGAAAUUUUAAACACUCCAUCGAUGUGCAAACAUUUCAUGAAGCUUUUAUUUUUCUUCUACAGUGCUGACUCUUAGCUUAUUUUUUAGCCGACUCUUCCUCUACCCAAAUGCAAAGUGAUGCAUUGACCAACCAAUUGUUGUUAUUUAGAAAAUCAAAAUGUUGUUGAAUGGAGUUUAAAUAUUGGUUUUAUAAAGUAUAUAGUAGCUUUUAGCUAUAUAGUCUUUUCUUUAUGAAAUGUGCAUAAAAGGGGAAACAAAAAGAUUAUAUAGUUAUGGAGUUAUAAAAAAAAAGGUCAUUACUAAAACCUAACACUCAAUUAAGUAGACCAUUUGGAAUGGAGAGGAUUAUAGCAAAAAAAAAAAAAAAAAAAAAAAAAAAGAGAAGCUUCGUUAGGAAAUAUAGCAAAUGACAAGCAUAAAUGUGAAUUUCAAUAUAAUAUUUCACUCUUAUGCAUUUACAUUAGGUUGAUAAAUAGAUUUGUUCCACAGUCACUCGAUAUCACCUGCCAGAAUCUUGUGAAGGAGCCAAUUUCAUGAAGGAUUAAUUGUUUUUUAGUUUGAAGAUCUUGAUGUGGCAAUAACUUUCACCUCCCAACAAAAGGGUCCGUCGAAGUAAACACCAUGAUACCAAUUUUUUUGACACUCCCCCUUGGUGCAAAUAAACAAUCAACAACACUAAAGUGUAUUACUCAAUUCUUAUCAAAAGUUUUGGUAAAGAUGUUAGCAACUUGCUCUUUGUAAUGUAUCUUCUCCAACUGGAUGUCUUGCAUCAAGACUUUCUCUUCACAACUUCAAAGAGUAAUAGAGAAUUGCUUUUUACGUACCAUGAAUAAAAACCUGAACCUAUAUUGAAACAAUAUCUUGGUGUGGAACGUCCGUCGUUUACGUUGUUAGCUCAAUCUGCAUUAACAAAACCACUUAAAAUAAAUGAUGUAAUUUGUUUAUACGUCAAGUAUUAAGAGACGAUAUUACUCGACGCCAAGAUCGAUAUCUUGGAAAAUUAGAAGUAGAAGAAAAUAAUUUGAAAAUCAUAAUAUUGAGAUUUUGAAAUAUAAAAGGAGAUGUUGGUAGGACAAGAUGGUGAAAUGGCAGAAGUUGAUUGGUUGUGAUGAAGAGAAGGGGGCGAUGCUUGUUGGUGUUUGUUGGUGGUGAGAAAAGAGGGUUGAAAGUGAAGAAAUUCAAUUCAUUAACUUUAUUUUUUCUAUCAUUUCCUCAUUAAGCUUUCACGAGCGUUCCCCAAUUUUUCUUCUUCGCAAACAAAACGCACCCACGGGGGCGAAGUAGCAACGGGAACAAAUCAAAAUUUCCCCUUUUUUCUUCAUUUUUAAUCAAAUCGGUUUGUGAGAUGAGGAAAACAGGAGGAACCGAGAAGAAGAGGGUCAGAAGGCAAUCAACUGCUGUUCAAAAUGCUGCCAAAGAUCCCAAUUCCGAUACUCCUCCUAGGGUUUGCCUUCUUUCCUGUCCUUUUUUUUUCCCUCUAACAUCUUCAUUUCUCCUCUAAUUUUUUUGUUUUCUGAUCUGGGUUUUUCUUGCCUUCAAGAGAGAACAUUGCUUUCAGUGUGAUUAUUUGUUUGAUUCUACCAUGACCCAAUUGCCGUAUCCUUGCCAUAUGGACAUUUGAUGUGUUUUUGGACAUGUUCUAUGAAUCUCUCUUUUGGAUUCUUAUAUUUGCCUUUUUGCUUUUCCGAGAAAUGAUUGAUGGACGUAAAGUUUUCAUAAUCUGAAAUGGGUGGUGGCGUGUGAUUGGAGGAUUCAUUAACUCUACCAUCUAUUUCCAAGAUCGUGCUAGCGAGCAUCCAUUGUUUUGGUUCCUUAUUGAAGAAAAUAAAGGAAAAGGGAGUGAUUAAUGUGAAUGAACUGCAAAAGGGUUUUUGUAGUUUCUCAGUUUUGCAGCUUUGUAGUGUAGGUAGAUGAGCAACUAGAAGUUCAAAUUGUAAAAGUAAAAUAGCCUGGGCUUCAAUGGAUCGGAUUUACAUUCUCCCAUGUGGGCGUUGUUAAUUGUUAUUUUAUGGUUUGAAUGUAGAAAAAGUGUGACUUAUGAGGUUCCAUCACUCUGAAUCAAUUUGCAGUUUGAGCAUAGUUUUAUAUUUUAGUUACGAGAAAUGAAUUGUAAUUUAAUCGUAAUUUAGCAACAAGCAACAAUAUGAUAUGAUUGUGCUGAAAGCGGCCAUUAUUUUUUUACAAUGUGGGGUGUUUGGGGAUCCAUAAUAGGAUUGGUUUGUCAUGUAAUGUGAUCCAAAUCCCAUAUUUAGAUUAAUCCGACAAUUUUUAAGCCAACCUCUUUCUCACCGUUUUCAUGCUUUACAAUCUCAUUUUCAUUCCAUCUUCUACCGCUAACAUUUUCCAGCACUCCUCUAAUUUCUACUAACCCUGAUGACAUUCUAGCUCCCCAAAUAGCCCUUGAUUCUUCUUAGUUUCCUUAGAUGGAUGAGAAACGUCUUAAAUUACAGUGUGAUGGUUAUUAGGAAGUGAGUUCUUGAGUUAAAAGAGAGGGUAAGGUUAAAAUGUGUGCGUUUUUGUUUCUAAUAAGUUCUAUUAUCUCUGUAACGCUAUGAGUUUAGGAGAUAGUUUAGGGGAGGUUCAUGAAUGAAAUCGAUAUCACCUCUGAAUGAGAGAGAUUCUAAAGACAUGAAAGUAAGGUUAAGAAAUGCUUAAAAGAAUUAAAAAUUACUACCUAUACCAACAAGGUGCACCUUCCUUUUCGGUGACUCAAUCAGAAGAACUCCAAGGUUAAGCGUGCUUAGGUUGGAACAAUUCUAUGUUAGGUGACCUCCUGAAAAUUUUCCUCAAAUGCAUGUAAGUGAGGACAAAGCAUGCUGAAAGAAUCCGUGUAGGUUCGUGGAAAAAAUUUUCAAAAGCCCUUAAGACAAGUAAGGAUGAUGUUUGUUACAACCUCUAUCUGGUGCGUUUUUGUAUUGGAUUUUUCUGCCUUUUGGCUAUCAAUCACCAAAUAACUAUCUCCAACAUUAUGCUGAGUAAAUAAUCUUUGUGUGACUAUCUGAGUAUGAUAAGGAUUGGGGAUGGUUUUGUUUAUUUUUCUGAAUUUUAACUUUCCGCGUCGCUGCAGGUCAUGAAUUGGUUGUUGGUGUCUACUUUUUUUUUCUUCUUUUAAAUCAGUUUUCUAAAUUUUUUUAUUUCAUUUUAUCUGUCGCUGUUAUCUCAUCGUGGUUAUCCUCACAUGUAUACUUUUACUUUUCAGAAACAAGCUGCAAAGAAGGAUGUGUUUCAGUUGUUUUCUGAGAAAGUGAGAGACCACAAGGAUUUAGAAUCAAGAUGGGCUGUUUUACAAGAGACACGUGUUGAGUAUUUUAGAGGCAAGGAUUUUGUUAGUUUUUUGAGAAAUCAUCCAGAGCUCAAGGAUAUUCUCGAUUCAGAUAAAAAUUUGGAAACUGAAGAUAUUGGCAAUGCAUUGCUAAGUAAGAAUCUCUUGGUUAGGUGUGAUCGUGUGGUGAAAACUGUUCGUCCUGGAAAGAGAAAAUUGUCUACAUGGCCAGCACAUCUGGAGAUAUUCCCGGUGCGGAUUUUUUUUAUGCAUUAUGUAUUUCUUUUAAAGUUGGAGGUCUCAUCCCUUUUCUCUUAAAAAAAAAAAGAAACUAGCUUUCAUAAGGAAAAAGCCCACAAAGGGCCUCCGAUCAUGUAAAACAAUCCCUAUUUAAUAAUUAUGAGAAAUCUUGAUAACUAAAGUAAGAAUGGGAACAUGAAAUCUAGCCAGGGACCAUACACCCAUCAUAUCCCUUUUCAAGUCUCUAAACACUAUUGUUACUCUCCCUCAAAGAUCCUCAUAUAAUGCACCCACACCAACAAGCCACGCUUCUCUCUUAAAUAGAUGAUAUUCUUGCUGAUAUGGAUGUGUUUAUAAAUUCAGCCUCCUUAAUGCAAAUCUAAGCAAUUGAGCAAGAAAGUUAAUUAUCAACCUGUUUCAUAAUUUAGUUUAAUAUCGUAUAUUCAUAUUCUCCGACCAUUUUCCAGGUUCUGAAUGUGCAACUCACUCUUGCAGGAUCAGGUGUUCUCUGAACAGGAUGCCUUUUUUGCUUGGACAUUUGUUAAGCGGAGGCCAUUUUGGCAGACACUUCUUUCAUUUUGUUGGCCUGUGUUGACCCUUGCAAUUUGCUUGUUUCCUGUAUAUCCUCAUCAGUGCAAGCUUUUGAUACUUUACUCAUGUGCUGGGGUUCUGCUUCUUAUACUCUCGCUUCUUUUAUGUAGGUCAUACAGCCCUUUUCACUGCCUUAUUUUUGUGUUGUUCUUUUAUAUAUUUAUAAGUCAUUCAUAUGCCCUUGUAUUAUUUCAUUUUUUUCUCAAUGAAGUAAUUGUUUCUACCCAAAUAAAUCAUUCAUAUAGUUUUGUUAAUAACUUAAUUUUGGGAGUGCUGCAUCUGAAGCAUUAUGGUAGGAUGCUAUCAAAAUUUUUUUAAUGUGUCUACUUUUAUUGGCUAUGUUUAAGUUAUAAAUAUGUCUGCUUUUAUCGGCUACGUUUAAGUUAUAAAUGUGUCUACUUUUAUUGGCUAUGUUGGUUGACCUUUCUCUCUCUUUUUUAUUUUUAUUUUUAUUUUUAAAUUUUUAAAUAUUGUGAGUGAUUGAGUGAGGUUUAUGUGCACCUCGGCUAUGAACUUUUUCUCCUUUUUUUAGUCAACAUUUUUUUGGUCCUUUUCUAGAAGUAGUGUAUGGGGAGAGCAUAAUUUCGUUUUAUAUUUUUAUUUAUUAUUAUUUUAAAAAUAAGAAGGGCGGAGCACAAAUCUUUUGACCUCCUUAAGUUGUUCCUUUAAGGAUUGGACAACAUCAUAAAGUAAUAAUUGUUGGAUAGCUUGGGUGGCAAAGUCAGCGAAUGAUUGCAACUCUUUCUAAAUUCUUGAUUGUUAUUUGUGGUAGCUUGGUUGGUCUUGGUUGAUUUGUUGAUUUAUUGUGGUUCUUCUUUGUACGUAUACAUUAACAUUCACUUCGCUAGCACAAUAAAAGGUUCUCUAUUAUUUUAGGGGUUCCCAAUUGGCUUGAGCAUUAGUAAUUCAUGUUUUGAAUUGCUCAACUGCUCAAGUAAAUUGGAACUUCUUUAGCCUUUACUGUCACUUUGUGGUUCUUAUCAAAAUGGCUUAGAAACUUUUAUAUAUGACAGCAAUUGUUGCAUUAAUGAAUUAAACAUCAGCAUACCUUUGAAAUGCUUAUGCUGCAUCUUAUGCUUUCGUUUAAAUUUGUAGUGAGGGGAGCAGUUUUUGGUUUAUCGUAUAUUCUUCUGGGCAAACGUAUGUGGUUUUUCCCCAAUAUUCUCGCGGAGGAAGCGACGUUGCGAGAGCUAUUCCGGUUUUGGCCAAGUAAAGAUGAAGAAGAGAAACCGAAAUGGACAACUAGACUUUUUUAUGCAGUGGUGGCUGUACUCAUCAUAUUGCUGCUGAGGCACCAUGCUCCCGAUGAGGCUGCUAGAGCAAGGUUUGUGUCAUACUCAUACCUUUCUGAACUUUUAUACAACUGAAGAUAGAGUAGAGAAGUCUAUAACAACAAUCUAUUAAGAACCGGCCUAGCAGGUUAGAAUGUGGAUCAGUUGCACAUCGGUGUAGCAUAAGAAAACAAUUUGACAGCCAAAUGUUAUCUGACUUGAAAGUUUUCUGUUAUGUAUGGGCAUCUGCUCCAUUUAAUUUCUCACUUGCUUUCUGUUCUUGUCAUGAACUGCGUUGGCCAAUGCAGAUACCAAAAGCGUGUAUCGAAUAUCAUCGAUGAUGUUCUCGAAUGGUCUCCAAGACUUGCCCUUUCAGGGAUGAUGGAGAAGCAGCAAACAGUGGUCAAUGCCACAAAUCCGGACCCCAACACGGCUGAGAACCCAACAAGUGACAGUACAGGUCCAGAUUCUAUCCCCGACCAACCUGAGCCUGAAACUAUUGACUAUGUAGAGCAUUCUGAUCAAUAUAAUCACGACGGUGAUCAUACACAUCAGUAGGCCUGUGAAUCUUUUGAGGAAGAGAAGAACCAUGAUAAACGUGUUCCUAUAUGAGCUUUGUUUAAUUAUUAUUUUUUGUUUUAAAAAACAGUUGGUUUUUGUUACUUAUAACCUUUUUUAGGAGUCACAGAAGUUGGUUUAUAUCUAAACUAAAGUGAGCUUUUCUUACUAAAUUCCUUCUUGAUUUACACCAAAAAUCAUCUGUGAGUUGUGUCAUGUACAUGUAAAACUUUUCUUUGAAAUGCUUCCUUCCAAUCAAGUCACCUCUUUUUUUUGUGGCAGUCGUUUUCAGUGUUCGUUAGAAGUUUCUUCAACCUUGCCUGAUUUCGAUCGUUCCUUGCUGAGUUUUUCUUCUGUGAACCUGUCUUUCCAUAUCCUUGGCUUGUAAUUUUGUCAUUGUCCAGAUUUAUACAACUCUCCCAACCUCUCUUCAGGUUUCACUCAUACAGCACUCAUAGGAGGCAAUUCUCUUUUUGAUGGAUGAGGUUUUGGGAAUAAGAAACAUCAAACAAUUUUUUGGUGAAGCUUGUUGUUUCCAUGAAGUUUCUUCUCACAGGAUCUAAAAUGUGAGGGAUAGAACUUUCAACGAUCUAUAGAACUCAAGAACAUAGUUGUACAAUCUAUAAAAUAGAUCCUCUUUAAGUAAAGGCAUGAUAAAACUUAUGAUAUGAUGGAACAAGAUAGCAUAUGCUAUGUGGUAGGUUAACACUAGUACUUGUAAUUGGAUCAAUUUGAUUAUCCCAAUUUGAUUAGAUGUGAUAAUUUAGUUCAUAUCAAUUUGAAGUUUGAAGUUAAUAGUGGAAUGAAUUAUUAUAAUUUGUCAUUUUGUUCAAAUAUAGCGAUGUUUACUAGCUAUUUAUAACUUUUUCACGUGAAUUUACAACUUUAUAACUUUUUCAUGUGAAGAUUGAUAAAUUAUUUAGGAUAUAGUGUAAGUAAUUCCAUGAGAACUAUUGAUUGAGAUUUUUAUGACGGGAUGCUUACAAAUUUUUAAGUAUAUAUAAACACUAAUCGUUUAACACUAAAAUUUACGAUAUAAAGUAUUAUAUAUUUAAUUAUCUAAUCUAUAAUUAUAAUUGAUACCGUGAAAAAAGAACUUUGUUGAUAAUUUUAUCCCACUCUUCCAUUACUUGAAAGAGUUUCUUGAUACGAAUAAUAAUCAUUCAAAAUUUAUACUGUUAAUAUUUUAUUUAAGAGUAAUGUUUUAUUUUUACUCUUCAUCGAGUAAGAUCGUUGGAGCAUCGUGUUGUGCACAAAGCUUUGGAGUAUCGAAUGUCAACAAUUCUCUAUUCUCUUUAUCCUGUUUUGGUCUUUCACGACUUAUGUCUAGUGAUGUUUAGCUAUUUUAGUAGGACUUUUGCCUAUAUGUUCUUGUCCUAAAAAAAAUGUUUCAUUUUGACAACUUAUUUAAUAUAAAAAUAAAACAAUCUAAAUCAAACUAAAUCAACUGAAAAAAGAGAAAAAAAAACUAUUUACUAAUAUAGAAAACCUAUCAAAUUCAACCAAUUUAAGUUUUUUUUAGUUUCAAUGUUUUUUUUGUUAUUCAUAACAAUUUCUAAAAAAAAAAAAGAAAAUUUAUACUCUUUGUUUGUAUGUAAAAUCUAAUAAAAAUAUUUAACAAAAUAAUAAGUUAAAUUACACAAGAAAAGGCAGACUUGUACUCUUGUUUUCAUGGAAGGAAAAGUAACAGUAACGAAUGAUAAAAGAGAAGUGAAAAAAAAAAGUUGGUUGCGCAUCCAAUUUGUAAAAGAGAAGGUUGAGAAUGUAAAAUCUUCAAUAAAAAAUAAUGUGGAAAGACCCAUGAAAUAGUAAGAAGAAUAGAUUGAGCCAUCCUGUUUCAAGGUGGAUGAAUUCCAAAUGGGUGAGAUGCAUCCAUUAAUCCUUCCCUUCCAUACACAAAAUAUCCUUUGGCUUUAAAACAAGUCAUAGUCAAAGCUGAAGGAAGCCAUUUAAACUCUAUCCAUUUCUGUACCUGAAAACUAUAAUUUGCAUCAAUAAUCCGUCAAACCUUAGAUACUCAAAUCUAAAAUCUUUCAAGUCUAAGCUUUGUGAAUCACAAUCACUGUAUCUAUCCUAAGCCUUAUGAUUCAUUUAGUUUCACGCACUGCUAAUAUAAUACAAGAGACCAAAGUUCUCACUCCCUUACGUCAUCAUAAACUAUGUACAAAAAAGGCAAAAAAGGAGAAUGGAAUGAAGAAAUCUCUUAGACUUUUGAGGAAUCCUUUGAAGAAGUCAUGAGAUCCUAUAAGUCACACAUAUCAUUCACCAUCCCUUUUUCUUUUUCUACAAAGCAACAGAACAACAAAGCCAAGAAUGAUUUGCCGCCUAGCAUGCUUUGCUAGGAACUCAGUACUUCUAACAAACAAGCAAUUGAUCCCUCAUUCCCCACUGAACAACUCUGGCCAUUGUCUUGGCAUUCAGUGCAGGUUGCUUUGCUACUCAGAGGCCUUGUUCGUCAAGGAGCUUCCGUUCUGCUGUUCAGAACCGUCAUUUAGGCGGUAAUCACUCUCGUUUACUUUAUCAGAAUGCUUUUCCUUUCCCUCAGCUUCGCUUUUCUUCGCAAAACGACCUCCACUACUUCUCGACCUUCUAAUGGCAUGCUGGUGUCUAGACUCAUGAAGGUAUGGCUGUUAAAUAAGAAAAGUGAGCAACAUAACCCAAAAAAAAAAUGGAUUUUUGCGAGUGAGGUUAACUAUGAUUGAUUUAGUGGUUGUAAAAUAUGAUGAGCAAUUAAGCCUAAGCGUUUAUAAAAUAACUCCUGGGCUAUUAACUAAAAUACUGGCAGUUGGUUGAUUUUUUAACUUGUUUAGAUAGCAAAUAGAAAACUAGAACAAUAACAUGUCAACUAGUGCUACAAGUUUUACAAGAUAUUAAACAUGAACCAGUAUGAGCUAAAUCUAUAUCCCAAUUCUACCUAUCGAUAUUGUCUAUAAGAGCAUAUAAAUCUUGAUUUGAUAAUUGCUUAAAAGAUUACUCAUAAAAAUUCAGAAAGUCAAGCAUCCCCCACCCCUUACACACGCAUGCACAAUAACAAUCUAGUCCACUCGAAAGACACAAAAUCCACCUUUCUGGCUUUUAUUGAUUUCUUCUCAGCCUCAGCUUUUGCACGUGCUUGCCUUCGCCUCAAAAUUCCCUGGUAUUGCUUUGCAUUCACAAAAACGGGGUCUUGUGCUAUCUCAAUGGGCAAUGGCAUUCUAGCAUGUGGUCCUCCAACCAUGGGAUAGCCCUGUCCAUGACAAAAAUAAACUACAAAGCAUGAAAAUUUUGUUAAGACUUCAUGCAAUGGAAACAUCAAUGCUAUGUGUAUUCCAAAGCUAUACUGGAUGACAUACGUUUCUUUUAGGAUUUAGAAAAAACAUAUAUAAAAAAAAAAAGAGCAGCCUUCAUUAAAUAAAUGAAAAUUGAAGAACAAAAUGUAAAAAACCCCUGGAGACAAACUACAUAGUGAAUAAUAAAAUUUGAAUGAGAAAGUAUAAAUUUCACAAGCAUUGUCCUUUGAGCAAGCUAAUCCUGGUUUGAAGAGCAUUGGAUGUAAAAGUGUAGGUCCUAAUUCAAAUCAACAACAUUUUACCACUCCACAGUGAAUAUAAUAUUUCAUGAAAUAUCCACGAAAACAACCUUAGAAGAAAAUACAAAAAGUUAACUGAUUUUUGACAACAUUCAUUUCACGGAUAUAGAAGCAAAAGCACCAAUUUUCAUGAAGUUGGACCUGAACCCUUUAGCAGUGGGACUUGAAGUUCCAUUUCUCAAUAGGGUCAAUGUGUUAAUUAGAAGUGUCAUUUUUCUUUUGAUUUCAAAAGUAUAAUAGAUGAGCACAAGCAAGUAAUGGCAAAGAUCAUGACAGUGAAACCAAUCUCUCGCAUGUAUGAAGUCGAGAUAAUUACAUACCAAGGGCUGAUGACCAUAGAAGGCCAUCAUUCCUCCAUAAUAUGGAUCCUGAUAAGGAUUUGAUGCACAAGCCUGCAACAGUACGUCAAGAAAUUAUUCAGUAAUAUAAUACAAAAUUGUAAUUUGACCUUCUCUUUUUUGUUCUUUUUUUUUUUUUGUGGGGUGGGUGGGGUGGGGUUGGAGGGAACUUUAAAUCAGGGAAUAAAUGCACAAUAGUUUUAGUAACAAGAUAAAGUACUUCCUAAGAUUGGACAUUAAUUGAACUUACAAUAGAGUGACCAACAAGUUCGAGUUGUGUAGACUGUGCCAGACAUUCACCGUGCAUUGCCGGCAAAGUGGAUGAAACAUGCUGCAUCUUCUGAGGAUCCUGUCUGUAGCUUCCCGCUGAAAUCAUUGAGAUGUUACUGUUAAUUUGGGGGGGAUUCGGUGUUUUUCUAAAAUAUAUAAAAUAAAAUAAUAUAAUGAUAAUAAUAUUUCAUCGAUUUGUGAGUUCGACCAUCCAUACGAAAGCUUCUUACCCUGCACAUUCCUCUGUUACCUAUUUUUAGUAAGUUACAAUGUAGUAAAAAUAAAUCCCAAUAUGGUAAACCUAAUAAUUAUCAUUGUGAAUGGAAUUGCUGCUUUUGAGAACCAUCAAACACAAAUAUCUGAGAACAGCCAAAAGUCAAUCUCUUGCUAUAUAUUUAUUUUCUUUUCUUAAGAGAGUUUCCCCAAAAUAAUUCUACAAAAGUUGUUCUCUCCAUUUUCAUAAUAACCCCUUCAAAUAAGAUAGAUUCAAUAUUGUCAGACACAAAACAGAAACUCAAGGACUGUGAGGUGCUAAUCGGAGAGAGAAUUUGCACUAAUAAAUAUGGAUUAAAAGAUGUACCAGAAUGUGGAGAUCCAGUAGCUUGCACUUCUUUAGAAACAUCAUCUUCUUCAUCAUUUACAUCAUUAUUAGACACAGAUUGGCCAUCAUUUGACUCCGAACCACCAUUAGGGAAUUCAAGAGAAGUUGAACUGGAAGCAUUUCCCCCAACCACAGGUAAUGGAAAAGUAUUGUACCCCAUGCCACGCCACCAGGGUUCAUAAUAGAUACUCGUCGAUGGUGCACCAUUUGAAUCGAGCUGAUUAUUGGUUUCAGACUUUGACUGCAUACCUUCAGACCCUUUGAAACAAACAAAAGAGCCUCAAGUUCUCAAUUACCACAAAAUAAAAACUUUUAUACCAAUGGUUAAAAAAAGAAAAAGAAAAGAACACCCUUUCCUAACUCCAGUUACUUAUUUAAGUAUUAUUCCAUAUUGAUUGAAAUCUUAGAUUCCGACAUCAUCCAUCGCUCAUUGUUUCGAGGUUUUUAAUUUAUGAUGACUGUUAAGCUAACACAGAUCCUUAUCAUGGAAUUCAAAAUGAAAGAACCCCAUCGAACCAAAUUGCACAGCUAGUUGGGGUGCUUUUAAACAAACUCUUUAGUCUCUUUCUUUAGAGAAAAGUUUUCUUCUUCCUUUACUUGAGCAAGUGCAGGGAGUAAAAAGUAAUUUCAACUGCGAGAGACAUAAAAACAUAAACAGAAAAAUAGCAUAUUUCUCAUGAUUCAGUCCUGUACUAUUACAUCUUUCCAAUACCAAUGUUUUUCAUGAUUCAAUCCAGUACUAUUACAUCUUUUCAAUGCCUUUUGACUAAAUUGUUGUCCACGUUUCAUUAUUUUUAUGCAAUAUGUCAGACACAAUUUAGAUCCCUGGAUGGCUACACUCCCCUAUUCACAUCUCUUAAAAUUUAGGGUUAAAUUCUCCCAAAAUUAAUUUAACAAUGCAAAGCACAUUAAGUUGGAGAGACAAAAAGACAGAAAAAAAAUCUGAAAACACAACUCAUCAAAAAAGUAUUAACCAGUAACCACAUCAUGUCACUGAGAUCUGUACCAAAUGCAUAUUUCCCACCAACAAAAGCAAACCUAAAGCUAACCCAGAAUUUAUUCCAAGUUAAAACUGAAAUUAAUCAACAAAACCAAUAAGGAAGACUAACUUAUAGAUCCUAUUCUUACAAUCAGUUAAUACCCAAAAUCAAUGAACUAAGUAAAACCUGAAACUGAAACAUACACAAUCCUAGAGAAUUGAUAAAGCUUCACCUUCCAAUAGAACUAUUUAUCCUUGUUUAGAGAUCCAAGAGAACACAGUCCCAGGUCAUGCAUACUUGGUGCAUGAUUAGAAUUAAAAUAAACAAAGAAGAGAAAGAAUUAAUCUCAGGUAAUAUAACUUCAGUUCUGGUCCCCCUUUCAUAUCGCAUUUAAGUUGUUAAAGUAGAAACUAAAGUACAAAUACAUUCAUUCACUAAAUUCCCAUCAACAGCUAUCCUAGUUUCAUAAGUUAAAAGAGUUUAAAUUAUUUCACCCGCUAAGUGUUGUUUGUAGUAACUCGAACUAGCUAGAAUCGGGAAAUCCAGACACACACACACACACAAAAGUAACAAAACAAUCUUCAAAAUGCUUUAUCCAGUUUCAAACCGGUGAUCAUCUGACACAUAAUUAUCCAGUAACCUUACAAAAACACCCCCCCACCCCCCACCCCUCCUAAAAAAAAAAAGAAAACCCACCUCAAAUCCUCCCUGAAAGAAACCCAAAGAAGCACGGGAAUUGUCAUCCAUAACAGACAUGAAUCAGCUAAACCAAAAGUAAAUCCGAGAAGAAAAAAAACCAAUCAAACCAAAACCCGAAAAAGAGGAAAAGAAUCCCUAAAAAGGGAAUUGCGGGAAUACCCUAGAAAUGUAACACCAGAUAUAUUAGAGAAAUAGAGGAAGCAAGAGGCAUAGAUAGCGAAAACAAAAGGAAAAGAAAUUGAAGAAGAAAAAUAGGUUACCGGAAGGAAUUGGAGCAACGUCCAAAUGGAGAAAAGGGAAAAAUCUGAUGGGGGAGAAGAGAAAUCGGAGAGAAUUCAAAAUAAAAUAAAGAAUAAUAAUAAGAAUUAAAGGAAGGAAAAAAGAAAAGUAGAAAAAGAAGAGGGAGAUUGAAAUUUAAUCGUUUUGGUGAAAUCCAAAAAUGAAAAAUUAUAAGUAAGAAGACUCUUCAAUGUUUCAACUUUAGAGAGUUUUUAAAUCACAAAGCUAUGGAUAUGAUAAUCUCACCCACUCUGGGUCCUACCAAAGCUAUUUCCCUCCUUUCCUCUUUGCCACGUGGACGCUUCCUCCACUUCUUUGGCCUUUUAUAUUGGACCAGAAUCUUCCUCUUUUCUCCCUCCUCAUCUCUCAUCUCUCAUCUCUCAUUUCUUUUUUUAUGUACUUCUACCCUUCUUUUUACAUCAACAUUGGGUACACGGAAGCUGGGUUGGGUGGGGCUCAACCUUUGACAUACAAUACUGUUGUGGUUAACCGAUGCUUUGCUUCUUGGUUUUUGGUUCGAAAUGGAUCAUGAAUUGUGUUGAAUCUGCCCGAUUUUUGGUGCUUAUUGACUAUUACUCACAACCUAUUUUCUCGCCUCAAUCAAGGUUCUACUAACGAGAUCUUUUGUUGCCUUAUUUAUUUAUGAUAUGUGCUUAGGGUCUUUCUAUAAUUCAUAGAACUGGUGAUAGAGGAAAAGUUGGUGUGAUGAAGAGUUCUAUAGCAAGAAGAGUUAGGUGAUUGAGUGAAAUAACACGAAGAGAAGUUCAGAAUGAAGUGGGCGGUUGUAGUUUGUCACAAGGAAGAAAAAGGUGGAAAAAAUGAGUUUAGCUUCCUGAAAAGAUAAGACAAGGAAGAGUUUGGCUUCUCGAGAUGAUAAUUAAGGUUUACGUCUCGAGGGAAUGUCAAAUCGGAAGUUGACAAUUGGCUUACCUGUCAAACUUGAUUUGGUUGUAUAGUGUGGCAAAGUGGUAUAGUGACACGUGUAAAGUUAUGAUUCAGAACUAAUAGGCAAAGAGAGUAAGCAAUCCAAAAGAUGAUUAUAUAAAUAUGGGUCUUUAACUCAUAUAGCUUGAUUUACCAUAGAAUAUUACAAAAAAAACACAAUUUGCUAAUAUUUUACACAAAUGUACCAAAUGGUCCACAAUAUUACACAAAAAUAUGCCUAAAUUACAAAUAUGCCCAUAUGGUAGUUUUUUCACACAAUAUAAGAAUUAUUUUAAAAUAGGAAAUAAGAGAAGAUCGUGGGUCAUUAAAAUAGAAAAUUGGUGGAAAGGUUUCUCACUUUUCAUAUUCAAAAAAAUUAAUUCCAUUUCGACAGUGGAGAAAUUAUUCGAGGAUUCUAUUUUCGAUAGUGAAGAAGAAGGGUUUCUAUGAUUUCGACAGUGAAGUGGGAUCCAUUUUUGGCCGACCAGUUCCUCUAUUUUCCGACGAACGAAAAAUACAAGGUUAGGUUGUAUAUAUUCAAUAAACAGUAUACAUUUGGUAUAUUACAUAGAUUAAAGAGAUUAGUUUGAUAAGACAACGAAAAAAAAUGAAAUUUUGCAUGCGUUAUAUCCUAGGGUUUAUUGAGGUUUCGGAGUGAAGAAGAUCGUCGCAUGAGGGUUUUUCCUAUAAAUAUUGGGUAUAUCUUAAAUGUUCAUUUGGUAUAUGUUGAAUGUUCUAAUUGUUGAGCAAAUGCAAAAAUGUAAUUUUUAUUGUGACAUACUCUCGUGUUUAUUGAGAUUAUGAGUUUUAUGGCUCAAGUGAAAUGUAGUUUGAGUUCAUUUGGUACUCUGAGUUUCUUUAACUUAUUUGACAAUGCAAUGUGCUUUACAUAUGUUAGAUGUUGGCAGUGUAGAAAAUGGUAAGACGAGGUGAAAGAUGCCUUGGGUCACAUAUGUUCAUCAACUACUAUUUCAGACACACUGUAACUAACGUAAUUGUUAAUUUCGUUGAAAAAACCAUCAAAAUAGACUGCAAUACUAGCCAUCCUGACACACAAAUAUUACAACUAUAGGUUAUUAUAAAGUAUAAUUGUAAAUAAUAUAUGAUAUGUAUUAUAUAAAACAUCAACUAAAAGUAUUAUAUCUCACAGGUAAUAUAUAAAACUAAUAUAAAUGUAAAUAAUAAAUCACAUAUACGAAGUAUUAUAAAAUUAAUAUAAUUGUAAAUAAUAUAUGGUAUAUAUAUUAUAAAACAUCAACUAAAAAGUAUUAUAUCUUAGGUACAACCUUAAUUGACAAACUUAACAGAACAUCCAUCCAUAACAUGUAACAUCAUCAUAAACAUCAUAAAUAUGAGAUGAAUAUUAAUCAUAACACUACUACAAAAUUGGCUUUACUUGACGCUUUUCAAUACUUCAAGUAAUCUAGUGUUAAAAAUAAAUGAGGUUUACUUGACAGUUUUUAAGUGUCAAGUAAAGCCAGUUUACUUGACAUGAAAAAUCAUCAAGUAUAUGAGAUUACUUGACGUUUUUACACGUCAAGUAAUCCAAUGUAAAAAAUAAGAGGGUUUUUGAUUGAUAUGUUUUACGCGUCAAACAAAAUUAUACUUGAUAGUUCAUAAAUGUGAAGUAUAUAAGAUUUGUUGACAUUUUCUACCUGUUAAGAAUUUGUUUAUUCUUGACACAUUAUGCAUGUCAAGUUUUUUUUUAAAAUAAAAACAUAUAUAUUUUAAAAUAUCCCUAUAAUUUAUCGUGCACUUGUUUUGAAGUUCAACAAUGUCAAACGUAUAUAAGUAAAGCAAGAGAGUACACGUACAAAUGUGCUAAAGUACCACUGAACAUAUACCAUAGAUCAAUGAAUGAGUAUAUUAUGGCCUUUAUCCUCUUCUCUUUCUUUUGCAUCUAGGGUUAUGGCUUUUGCUUUAGCCAAUAGUAACUAUGGUUGGUCAUUACAUACUUACAACAUAUAAACAUAUCGUUCUUAUUCAUAUUACAAAAUGAGUUAUGAACAUCGUGCUUAAUCAUAAAACACAAAGCAUACGUAAUAACAAGAAACAAAGACAUCUUCCUCCUCCAAGCACCACAACACUUGUAGAUAACUCCAAACUGAUCAAAGUCUCACCGAUUGUUAUCCUCAACUCCUUGAAAUCUACAAACAAAAUAAGAAUAUAACAUUAAAACUAAGAACUUUAACUUCUAUUUCUAAGAACUUUGACAAUAGAAUUAUGUUCAUGAAAUAAAAGCAAAGCAUAGGAUCUCUAAUCAAAUUAACCCAACACACCAUCGUAUCUAUAUGGACCUAUAAAAAUUAAUACAACGAAAUCAAUGUCUUAAUACCAAAUUUGAUAACAAGCUACACCCAUAACCCAAAUCUUAAUCUACUUGCUAAUAUAAUCAUUAUAAUCAAAACCCUCAAGCAAUAAUCUUUCAAUUUUCCCAACUAAACCAUCAACUCCAUAAUUACUACAACUAACCCUCUCCACAAUCCAUUUCAAAUCCCCAACAUUAACCAUUACUCCUUCAUUAUUCUUAGAAUAAUCAAAUCAAAUGGUUAAUCAAAUCAAGAUAAGAGAUGUUGUCACUUGUGAGUUGAAUCAAAUCAAGUUGCUUCUACUAUUUGACAUCUCAUAUAAAGUUGUAACAUAUUUGAUCAACCAAAGAAAAAAAGAAAAAAAAAGCAAGAUAUUUGCUUCUGCUAUUCAGUCGGGCCAGUAAAAAGAACUUGCUAUUUUCAUUGAUUUCCUAAGAUUAUUGCUAUUGUUGUAGAGUUAAGUUAGCAAAACAGUUGUGUGAGAGAGAGAGACUACCAUUUAUAACAGAAUCAAAUUGGAUAUGAAAAAGCAUAAGAAACAAAACCUUCCAUUCUCUCUUCUGGCUUUCCCUACGUAUAUCACCAAAGAAGCACUUUAGGAUUUUAAUUUCAAAGAAAAUAAUGCAAAAACGUAUCUUUCAUUGAAGCUUUAGCUGAUGAAUUAGUACUAUCCAACACCAAAUUUACAGAAACUACUUAUUAGAUGAAGAUAACCAACAAUUAGUCAUAACCGACUAAAAUAUUUCAUGAAUAUUUUAUUCCUUUGCGAACUCCUCUCAAGUUAAACAUUCAUUGUAAUUAGCUAUCGCAAUUUAAUUGUUUACUCUCAAAACAAAGACACUAACACAUUAUAUAAAAAAGAAAAACAAAUAAACAAAGAUGUAAUAAACAAAAAAACAUGGUAAACUAACCUUAUUAUUUUUUCUUUUUGGAGUGGCAAAAACUACUCAAUCAAGGUAGAAAACAAAAUCUAGCAAGAAAUAAAGCCACACACAAAGUAAGCUAACCUUAUUAUGAGAAAAUCAAUCCCAAAAUUGUAUUUUCGGUGAGAAGUAGGUCAUACAUAUGAUGGUUCAUGAUCUCAACGAAAAAUUUCUUUGGUAUUGGUGUGUUAGAAUGUAGCGAUUGGGUGUAGGCUUCCUUGUCGAAUUGCCCCAACUCUAUUCUCUCCAUUUCCAUUUGAAAUUUUGAAAAUAUAGUUACUAAUCAAACAUUCCUUCUUUGGCAAAGGAAAUGCAAACAAUAAUUUCAAACCAAUGGAAAUAUGGAUGAUUUGAAAUCACACCAUCAACAAUAGUUUGAAAAGUAAAUAAAACUAGUUUUUCUUGUAUAUAGUUCAUGGAUUUUUUAAGGGAAAAAAACAUUUGGAUUCUCUAUGUACAUGGUUGUAAUGAUAUCCUUCAUUGUCUUAAUCAUGUGACUAUUUUAAAGAAACACUAAUAAUAUUUCUAGAGAGACGUUUCUUUAUAUCGAGUGUUUGAAAUCAAAUGAUAACGUACAUUAACUCUUCUAUAUUCUAGGAGCAAUGCAUUCUACAGUAUAAGGACCAAACAUACUGAACAACAAUGAGAGAGGAAGAAUGUAGGACAAGAAAUACUGAAGUGUCAAUUCGGUGAAAAGAAUGAAAAUUAGAAUAAGAGUGAUAACAGAUAAGGAAAUACAAAUUUGCUUGUUUGGCCCAUCUGUUUUUUUUUUUCUCAUUUAUUUGCUCAUUUUCUAAUUAUAAAUGUUGAAGUGUAUUUCUUGUUGGUUCAAAUUGCUCAGCACUUUCAAUUUGAAGUGUAACAUCCAUCAUGCUCUAUAACCCUAAAAUUAGUUCCCUACCCGUCUUCCAAAGUCAUAAAAGCUCCCGACGUAAUGCGAUAUACCAAGAGAUAGGAUUGUCUAGCUAGCUCAUUACUAAAAUCACCAAAGCUUUAAAAAAAUAUUGACAAUAUAAAAUAAAGAAAAGAAUGUUGAUUUGUGCUACAAUAGUAAUAUUCUAAAUGUAAGUCUUUACUUAUGAAGGUGAUCGUGGUUGAGGUGUUUUUUUUCCUAUAACAAUUAUACAAUCAUUUCAGCUCGUGAUACCUUAGCUAUACAUUUAGUUGUCUUUGUGAGUGUGACAAUGUGUCUAUGUUUAUAUAUUUAAAUGGAGACUUGCAACUCAAAUCUUCAAUAGAACAAUCCUUGAAAUCAUUUUUUCAUUAUUCCAAAACACUAAGGGUAAUCCAAAAUAAUAUACGGAAAGAGAAAAGAGAAAAAUAUUAUCAAGAUGCUUAUGGUAAACAGUGAUAGAAAAUCAAAUAUUUUAUAACUUUCAUUAAUUUGAAGCUGAAGGGAACAAAUACCCUAUUUAAUAUUGCUUGCUCUGCCUCCUAACCUUUCUUUGACGAUUUAUAUAUAUUUCACUUCCUCCUCUCGACGCUGUCUCUCCAUCCUAACUCAUACAAAAUACAUUGAAAAUUUGUUAUGAGGAAAAUAUAAAUGAUUUUCCAAUGCUAGGUUUAAAUUAUGUGGAUUCACGAAAACAUAGGGGAAGGUUGAUACAAGUACCUCUUUUGUAUCAAUCUAAAAAAAUACUGUGAAUAAGUAGUUCUUCGGAGAAAGUGAAAGUUUUGUCCAUUGGCAAAAACCAUGUCAACCUCUGGAAGAACUUUUAGAAGUUCAGUGAUACCCCGUACACGACUUCAAUAAACCUCAAUGGUGUCGUGGACCGGGCCUACAAUAUCUGACUGGAGUCGUGGACCCGACCCACGUUUUCUGACUGGAGUCGUGUACCGGGUAUGACAUUGCUUCCACAUCAAUGUCAUAACGGUCAAGCGAUGUGGACAUAUGUGGGUCCUAUGAUUUGCUUUCAUCUCGUUGAGAAACAUCAAGCAGAUCAUGUAUUGCGACAGUUCCAUAUGCUACAAAUGGCACCAGAGUUUUGCUCCACAGAUCAGAGCCUACACCAAAUUGAUUUAAGAGGCAAGCACGAUCAAGAUUGUAAUAGGAUUCAUGCGGAGCAUAUAGCAAUAUGGCAUUCACGAAAUAAUUUUUGUGCCGAAGCAGAAACAACACAGGAGCCGACAGUAUCAGAUAACUACUUUUCCUGGUAUACGUCGAUUACCAAACGGUUCAUGACACCUGAUGACGCUUACUGUUAUCGCAUGAUAAUAAUUUUAAUAUGAUUUAUAAAUUUAAUACAAGUAUGAACAUUUUUUAAUUAUAUUAUUUACAAUCGUUCAGAAUAAUUUUGUUGAAGACUUACGUCGAGUCUCCAUGGAAAACAAUUUUGAAAUUUUUAGACCAAUGUGUGACGAAGUCAUGGGAGAUAUAGACCAACUUGUUCAGCGGACUCGACGUUUAAAUGUUGUCGACACAGAUCUUAGACGCAUUCGACGGCGACGACGACGACAAGACGAUGAUGUCGUAGAGGGAGAUGAGGAAGAUUCUUAAGUUGUAUAAUUUAAGUGUUUUUAAAGUUUGCUAUAACUUAUUCAAGUUGUAUAAAUUAAAAAUUAGACUUUUUAAAAUUAAUUAUAAAUUAAAAGUUGCUAAUACGUGAUUUAGAUGUAGGAGUAUUGUUAAUAAUAUCAAAAUAUAAUAUAUUUGUUUUAAAAAUAGAGAACCAAGUAUUAAAAAAAAACAUUCAAAACAUUUUUUCUCGAUCUAUCUUAAGCCACAAGAAUUCCUUAAUAAAUUAACAAAAAUUCUUAUAACAUAUCACUAAUGGUGUGUUUUACCUUUCGUUUUUUGUUUUAGCACUUACCAUGCCAAAUUUUGAAAACCACCAAAAAAUUAAUGAUCAAAAUUUUGUUUUUAUUUUUUUAAAUUUGUUUAGAACUCAAUUCUUAAUUAGAAAUAAAUUACCAAAAAGUUGGAGAUUUAAACAAAAACUAAAAUCUUCACAUCUUUUAUUUUCAUUAGUCUUUCACAAAUGUUGUUAUUUUAAAAAUAGUUAGUCUUUUAAAAUUUAAUAAUUUUUUAAAACUUUUUUAGGAAGUCGUAUUCCCGAUACAUGACUUCGGUCAUCAACACGAACUGGUCCAUCCGUGGAGCAAAUUGAUCAAAUGUGUUGACGUGUACAGUAUGAAAGUCGUGUACAUAAUGAAGUCGUGUACGGGGUACACGACUUCGUCAAAUUUCAAAAACUCACAUAUUUUUUACAAUAGUUUUCCAAACCAUCUUAUUCUUAUAAUUUCUUAUUAAAUAACCCUAUUUUUCUAAAUAUUUAUAGAAAACAUAUUAUUUUUGAAAAUAAUCCAAAAUAUUCUUUUACUAAUAAUUAUAUUUUUUUAACAAUAUAAUUAUUUUUCCUUUUUCUCCCUAAAUAAAAUCUUUUCGCCAAACAAUUUUAUUUAACAAAUGAUUAAAAAAUUUCUAAAAAUAAAAUUUUAAGAUGAAGGAUCUUGGUGAUGAUUUUUUUUUAUUAGGAAUUGAAAAAUUGGGAGAUCACUCUCAAGGUAUUUUAAGAGCGUCACAAAAGCACUAAUUAAAAAAAAUUGAGUAGAUUUGACAGGAAAAGAUUGUGCACUAUUAGAUACCCUUGUUGUUAAAGGUGAUAAAAUUUCAUUUAUGUCAAUGUCUUGAGACCACACUUGAGAUUAAGGAGAUGUAGAAGGUUCCAAGUGGGAGAUUGUUAGACGUAUUUAAAUAAUAUGUAUAACUAAAGUGUGUGUCGUAUGUGAAUUAAUAAGGUCCAGUUGAGAUCGUACUUCUUCCUUGCCAAUUCCUAUUGAAAGCAAAAGUGGAAUUGAUUCACCUUCCUUCAUGGAUAUGUCGCAUGGAAAGCAGGUCUCUAUGCUUCCUCAACCUCAUACUAGACUUAUCGACUAAUUUAUCACAUUGAGUUAUUUUAUUAAAUUAGGCCUAUUACGUGAUCUAUUUAAUUAAGACUCAAAUUUCUAAUUGAGUAUGAACUAAAUGGGUAGAAGCCUAUUCCUCGAUUGAUUAGGAUUUAAUGGAAAUUCUAAUUGAACUAGUAUAUAAAGACACUUAGGGCUAUAGUCUCCAAUAUACCAGAACAAUAAGCACUCAUCUUUCCGGUAUCCCAUCAAGAGAAACAUCGACUAAUGCAUGAAAUCAAGAAUCAAUAAGAAUCUAGAAGAAACUUGAAAGUAAGAAGCAAUAUGAUGUAUUGAAGAUAUAUUUGAAUAAGUUUGAUAAGUAGUUGUUAAAGUGAGGAUGAUUUUAUCAACCAUAAAGCUGGUGUAAUAAUAUAGUAUUGGAAGGAUUUAAAGAAUAUUAAUGAAGAGGGUUGUAAUAAAGAAAAGAAUUGAUGGGUAGAAUUUUGGAAUUGUAAGGUGGGGUUUGGUGGUGUGGUGUUAGAGAAGUUUGAGGAGUUAGAUUUUUGAAUGAUAAAGAAAAGGGCUGUGAGGGGGUGAUGGUGGUUUUAUCAGUCCCGUAGACAGAUUGGAACCCACGUAAUGCGGUGUUGACUAAACAAACUUUGCCAACACGUGGCACUAAAGUCUGGACCACUUCAGCAUACAACUGACAACACCCCUCCCCACGUGUCCUUUACUUUACAAUAUAUAUAUAUAUAUUUUUUGAAAUUAUACCUAAUAUUAAAAUACCUAACUUUCUAUAGUAUUAUAUGUAUGUUAAAUUACCAUUUUUUAGUAAAGUAGGGUUUAAAUUUGGAGUUUUUUAAAAUAGAAGACAAAACGUUAAAAUAUUUAGAGAGUAUAGAAAAAAAAUUUAAAAGAAAAAAAAAGUUCACAAACCUCCAACGUGAAAUAACAAAAAUACUUCCUAAUUAAUUGGUCAUAGAUUUAUGAAAAAAUAAUUUUGUAAUUAAUCUAAACAGUCGUGUACCUAGUUUCAACCAUUUUUUACCCCGUCAAACAAUCUUGUAACAAGUCUAAACGAUAUUGUAUAAUUGUACACAACCUAAACGAUCUUGUACUAUUGUAUCUAGUCUAAUGAUAUUUUAUCAAAUCUAGACAAUCUAUUAGUGAUAGUGGAUUAUCCUUGUCUAUCAAUUGAUUGUUUAGAUAUUGGUACACAAUCGUUUAGAUUUUAUGUAUCAAUAUCAUUUAGAUCUUGUACCAAGAAGAAAAAAAAGAGAAAUAAAGAAAUUCUAGAAGAGGAAAUGAAGAUAUUGCAAACCAUAAGUGAAAAUAUGAAGAAGAGAAGAAUAUAUCACAAAGAAGAAAAAGAAAAAAAGAAAAAAAAAUCCUCCGACAAUAAUCAAAAUCCAAUAAGGAUAAAUAUGUAAUUUAUGAAAAAGUAAUUGCAUGACUUCAUUAGCUUUUCUUACAUUGUCAUACAUGCCGUAAAUAUUUAGCAAUUUUGUUAUAUUUAUGUAAAUUUACCUUUAAAUUUCAACCUUUUUUUUUAAAAAAAAACAUUAUUAUUAUUUUUUUGAAUUAUGCUUACUUCUAUAAGUAUCAAACUUAGAGGUAAUCAUUAGUUAGUCGGAAUUGGUUUUUCGAACAAACCACCAUUGAAUCAACUAUGGUCAAUUUAGUAAAUGUUCAACCGAUCUCGGUCAUCAAUACGUAAAUGUUGGUCGGGCACUCUAAGAAAUACUUUUUGAAAUUUCUCAAUUUGAAACUUUCCCAAAGUAACAUUGAUCAACACAAUUCUCAUCAUCCAACCAACCAACUUCGAUUUGGUCGACUGACUCAGUUUUUGGGUCUACCAUGCUCACCCCAACGCCUAAAAAUACACAUUGGUUGAGACAAGUAAUCUUGACGUCGUGGUUCAAGACAUCAAAGGAAGAUAAAUUAAUAUUUAAUUCUAGCAUUUUUCCUAACGUCUCUAUGGACGACGUCGGGGAAGUUUAGUCAUAUCCUACUUCUAUGUUGACUACGUUGGGUAAAAAUAUACAAUAAAAUAAUUAUUCAACUUCUCCCGCUGCCAUUCAAUAGACGUUGGGAGAUGUGAACACUAUUCCCGAUGUCACAAGUAAAACAUCAAGAGAGGUGGAAACUAUUUCUGAUGUUUUACUUAUUAUAUUGACAAUAGGGGUUGUCUCCCAAUGUCUUCGUAGUGUGCAUCGGGAAUUCACCUAUAAAAAUCCACUUUCAGUUCUAUAAUUCAUAGAACUGAAAAGGACAAGGCCGAGAAGGAGAGAAAUCCAUAUCGUCACUCACCACAAUUCGUUAUCAUCUGCUGCCACCACUCCUCAUUCUAGUAAGUGGUUUAGUUUAGUUAUUGUUUUGUUUUAGUUAAUUAUUUUUAUAUUUAGAUUUCAAAAUAGUUUUAGGUUUUAGAUUUCACACGAGGUAAUUAGUUUUAGUAUUGAAUUGGAAUUUUGAGUGUUGUUAGGAUUUAAGAUUGAAGUUGAAUUUGAAUUCGAAUUCCAAUUCGAAUUUGAGAGUUAUAUUGAUUUCUUUUUGGAAGGGUUUAUAUUGAAUUUUUAUGUUUUUUUUAUUAAUUAUGGAUUGUAGACAUUGCCCUACAUAAUAUCUAUAUUUGUUAUGUUUAGUAAUUUCAGGAUUCCCUUCAUGGAUGAAUGUUAUUGUUGUAUACAUUUUAGUUAAGGUUUGGUAGAAAAGUGUUGCUUUGAUCAUUUAUAGUUAAUUUGUGGUUGAGUUAGAUUUUUAUAUUUGAUUUUGUAGGACUGAUUGAAUUAGGCAUAGUUUAUGGACGAAUGUUGUGGAAUGUUGUAUUUGUGGGAUGUUGUUGUAUCAAUCUAUAUGGAUCAACUUGCUACUAAAGACUACUAGUUAGUUGAAGUACUUGAUAAGUAAUCUAUAAAUAUUGUUUGUGGAAUGUUGUUGUAUCAAUCUUUGUGGAUCAAUUAACGUUAUAAACUUUCCAAGUUAUUGGUUUUGUUUAGUAAUAAACUUCCCCAAGUUAUAAGUUUUUUAGUUCUUUUUCGUUUAUGCAUAUAAUUUAUCUUCCAAGUUUCAUAUCACCAUCAAUAUUUUAUGCAUAUGACCAUUUGAUUUGAUGCCUUUUUUCACGAUCUUUACAUCUAUUGUCACAAAGUUAGCAUUUUAUUAGCGUAUCUUAACAUUGAAUUUUCUUCAAAAUUACAUAAAACUAUGUUGAAACUUUGAAAGUCCAUAAGUCCGAAGGCAACUUGUCCCCCCUCUCUCAUCCCAAAAAGCGUCCGUUUUGGCCCCCAAAUUGGGUUACACAAUGUUUUUCAUCAAAGUUCCAUUUAUUGAAUUUUGAAACUACCACCUUAAAGUUCCUUUAUGGUUCUAAUUUUUUUUAUCUUCUUUCAUCUAUAUGUAGUAACAAUACAAGAACAUAAAAAAUUAGGAGUGACGAUACCCAUAUAUGGCUACAGUCUACGUUCCAUUGUUUUAAAACUUUUUUUGUAACUAUUCGUUUGGUCUUAGCAGGAUCCCAUUCUUAUAGGUUUGUCUCCUUUUUGUGAGCUUCCUUAGCCCAUGUUUUCUUCCAUUAUUGAUAAUUGAAUUAGUAAUUGGUUUUCUAUCAUUAUUUUUCAGAGCCAAAACGAUGAGUUUUCUGUCAUUUUUAACCUAGAAGACUACAAACUACAAGUGUAUGUUUUGUUUACAUUGUGGAGUUCAUUUACAUGACCUUGAUAUUAUUCUUGUGUUCUUAACCUUCACUGAAUGAUACAUAUGAACUUACAAUCUCGUUCGUUAUAAGGUAGAAAUAAACGAUCACAUAAAAGUGUUUGAAGAUAGAAAGCUAAACAACCCCUUAGAGAACUUAGACUAUCUCUACUGCAUUCACCCUUUGAUGUUGGUUAUGUAUUUUAUUUCAUAUGUACAAUGCUAUAGAUUAAGUGUUAGGAAACAAAUGAAGUUGUAGCAAUAAAAACGGUGAUGCAGGGUAAGCAAUAUAUAUACCUUCCAUUUAACAAUAGAAGAUAUAUAUUUUUUUAAAUAGAGGAUCUCCUGACGAACAACAUUCUGAUGUCGUAUGGACAACAUCAGAAGAUCCUCUAUUUCAUUUUGGCGCGUUUUGUUGUGCGUCAGAAGAUCCUCUCUCAACACAUUUCUUCUGACUCUUAUCUCGAUGAGCCUUUAUUCGUCGAAAGAUCCUUUCUCGAUGCAGUUACGUACAUCUCCCGACAUGUUUGUGUGUCGAGAGAUCCCCUUUUAUUGUACUGAAUUUUGAACAAGUCAUUCAAAUUAAAAUGAAAUUAACGCCGUUAAUCCACAGAUCCACAAGAAACAACAAUACCCCUACAUCCCCAAACAUCCUCCACAAGCAAACAUGAUCAAAACAAGAAAUCAACACUGAAAAGUUUAUGUUUCUCCCUCUAAACUAUGAAUCGACUGAACGAGAGAGAAAUAGAGAGAGAAUCAAACCAAUGUGACACUUCUAGUGACGAAGAAUUGGAGAACGAAAAACCAUAGAAAGGAAAUUGAUUAUAGGUUAAAUAUAAGGAAUGACUCAACCAUUGAGAGAAGAAGAAAAAUUGUGAAAACAAAAUUAAAAAAGAAAAACGAAAAGUAGAAUAAGAGAAGAAAACAUGUGGUUGAUUGAUGAAUGAAGAAGAACAUACCUGUUGAGGGAAGGAAUCACAAAUCCAUGCUUCUCGACCGAAUUAGAAAUUCUCCCAUUGUGUUGAAUAAUAAACCUCCGAAAAUAACAUUCCUAAGGUAAACAAAAAAAAAAAAAUAUAGGAAAAUUGGAAUGAAUAACCAUUUCAGCAAUAUAAUUAAGGAUAUAGCAAAAAUUUUAAAAAAUUGCAUAUAUACUAAAACUAUCAUCGAUAGACUUGUAUCACUGAUACACUUCAUAUGGUCUAUCAGUAAUAGACCAAUAUUUGCAACAUGGUCUAUCGUUGAUAGACUUAUAUCAAUGAUAGAAUUUGACAAAUUUUGCUAUACUUGCAAAUUUUUUAAAAUGUUACUAUAUACUUAAUUAUUUUGAAUCUAAUUACUAAAUUUGCAACUACUAAAAAAAAAUACUCAUCAACCAAACAUGGGCUUUGUAAGCCCAUACCCAUUCUCACCCUCUUUACCCACAAACCAAACCGGUUGUUGGUUAAAAUAUACCCGGUUUUAACAAUUUUUAAAAAAAUUUAGUUAAAACUUUAACUUGUUUUUUCUCUUAAAAACAAUUUGAAAAUGUAUAAAUUUGAGGAGAAAAAAAAAACAUAUUUUCCAAAACCAAACUUACAGAUCAGUCACCAAAGCAGCCUACUUUAUUUAAUUUGAUAGCCAAUUGAAUUUUAGUUUAUAACUUCUAAAAAUCAUGUGUUUGUUCUAUUACGCGUUGUCUUGCAUGAAUUUCAUCUCAUUACUAUGAAAGUUAAAUACUCUAAUAACAUUUGUAACCUUAAAUAAAACAAUUAAUUAAUAAUUAACAAUACACAUGGUUUUUUAUUUUUUGUAUGAUCGUAUCUUCCACUAUUAAAUUAACAAUAAAAAUUCAAUUUAUUGUGACUAUCCACGUAAAAAUUAUUUUUCUAUAAAUUUCGUUAAAAUUAAAAUGUUUUAACUAGGAGUUCAAGUAUUGUGCAUAAUACAUACUAGUACACCUUUUUUUAAGAUUUUGAAGCACGUUCCCUAGGAAAUUUAUAAGUUGUAUCAUUCAUCAUCAUAAAAUUUAGGAAACACUUGUAAGUUGUAUCAUUCAUCAUAAAAUUCUCUCCUUUUUUUCUCUCUUGCCUAUUGAUGCUUAAAGGCACAUUACCAUUGAUAUGAUCAAAGUAGAGAGGAAAGGAUGGGAAGAGCAAAGUUAUAGAGAGUAUGAAGAUGAGAUUAGGAGGAAAAUAUCCAUUUUAAUGAGUUAAGAAUUCGAGGGAUUAGUUUUUACAAUUUUAUCCAAUUUCUCUAUUUCAUGCAUAGUUUAUGCAUUUGUCACAUUUUCUUUUCUUUUUUUUACUUUUCCUAACAUUUUAAAAUAUCUUCAUUAAUGAAUUUAAAAAUUAAAAGUCCAACAUUGUAGUAUGUAAACUUUGAAUUAAAAUCAAUCUAUUUUAAUAGAAGGGAAAGAAAAACCCCUAUAACCCUUAAUGUGCUGUAACUUAUACCUUUGGUUUGAUUUACAUUACUUCACCCACUAAUUUUAACCCAAAGUAAUCAGUUUCAAUAAAAUAAAUGUCCUUGUUUUCGUUUUGCUGUGUUUUGCUCCAAAUUCCCUCAUCAAAUUACAGCCUAAGAUAAACUUUAAAUACCAGCAAAAUUACGAACCCUUCUCAACAUUCAUCCCAUGAAUAAUUGGCAUCCACCAUAUGCAAUUGUGAGUGUUCUAAGCAUGCUUAGAUGCCAAUUGAUAUAGUUAAAACAACAUGGUAGACAAAGCAAUUUGGAUCUUCUAAAUGCAAUCAAUUUAUAAGAUUAAACAUGUUUGAACAAUUGAAAAAAUACAGAUUUAAUGAAAUACAACUUUUUAGUUCAAAAUUCAAACUACCCUUGAUUGAUUUUAAACACGAACUUGAUAUACUUUUAUGUCAAAUAAAGGAUCAAGUCUUGUUCUAUACUAUAGACUAGUUUGGCUAUUUAUUUGAACUUCAUAUACUUUUAUGUCAAAUAAUGUUCUAGUAUUUGAUAGUGUUGAGAAUGCAUUAUCUUAUUCUUCUUUUAAUUGGGGUCAUUCUAGUAUUUUACGUCUUUAUUCCGUAAUUUUAUCGGUGUUGAGUUUAAUUCAGGUUAUUCUUGGCUUUAAUGUUUAUUUAGGGAUUAGUUGAGCUUAAUUGAAUGUUAAAGUGUCAUGAUCGAAGCAAGAAACAAAAGUUUUGCAUGUUGGAGCCUGGACGCUCCAUGGCGCUAGGCUCAACACCAAAAGGUAGAGAGCUUCAAUUUCGUGUAAAAGGUCAAACGUUGCGGCGCUCCAAACUUUGGGCUUAAAAGCCCAAGCCGCCAACUCUAUAAAUAUAGACUUUUCGACACACUUUUUUGGACUCUCGAGACAUCUUUUUAACAUUCUUUUGUUAAGUUGUUUCGAAGGCUUUUUUGGAUAUUAUUUGAUGCUUUUGGUGUUACAUCAAAGCUAAGGUACUUAUAUCUAGCUAGAGAUAUAUAGGAUUUAUCUUUUGAUUGACAUGCUUGAGAUUUUGAAUAUUUUAUCUUUUAGGAAACUUUUUGAACAAUUGAAUUCAUUCCUUGGUUUAAUUUGUGAUUGAAUGUAAUUGGGAAUACUGACAAUUAGCCAUAUAUAUUUAAUCCAUUGUCACAGAUUCAAUCUUAAUAUGGAAUUGUUAGUCAAAGGUCACAAAAGCUAAAACUAGAAUUGCUCAUUGAUUAGGUUGUUCCAAUCUAAUGGCAUUGUGUCUUAUUAGCUUAGGAUUAAAUCCGCAUUGAACGUUCAAUGGGUAAUUCCUACUUGUUUGAGUGACUUAGUUUUUUUGCCCCAAAUAUUAACGCUUAUCGAUUUGCAUGUUUAGAAUGCUGCAUCUAGACAUAUAAAUUGAAUCGAAUCAUAGAACGUCACUACUACAAAAAUGGGUUUACUUGACGCUAGCAACUUUUACAUACUUGACGUUUUUAUUAAAAAAACGUCAAGUAUGAACUAUGUUAAAGAAAAAACGUCAAGUAUAGUCUUAAAAAAUAUGAAGUUUUCACGAAUUUUUUAAAAUUAUUUUAUGUUAGCUUUAUUUGACGUUUUUUUUUUUUUUUUUGCGUCAAGUAUAAAGUAGAUUUUACUUGACAUUUUAUUCGAGUUAAAAGUAGUGAACAUUUACUUGACACAAAAAACAUGUCAGGUAUGGUUUUAAAAAAGAAAAUUUUUACGUUAACUUUUAUAUGACAUGGUUUUCGCGUCAAAUAUAGUGGAGAUUUAUUUGACAGUUUAUUCGUGUCAAAUAUAGUGGAGAUUUUACUUGACGUUUUUUUCAUGUCACGUAUAGUGGACAUUUACUUGACGCGAAAACAACGUCAAAUAUAGUUAACAUUUUUUAUUUAACACUUUUAAAAUGUCAAUUGCCAAAAUGUCAAAUAUAAAACGUUUAAAAAUAUGAAAAUAAAAAGUAUAAAAAUCAACUUAUUAAAAUAAUUUUUUAAAAUCAACUUAUUAAAAUAAUUUUUUUAAAAUCAACUUAUGAAAAUAAAUCAUUUGAAAAUUUUCACUUAAAUAAUUUGAAAUCUCUCAUUAAAUUAAAUUUACUAAAAUCUCUCGUUAAAAUAAAUUUGUUGAAAAUUUUCCUUUAAAUAGAAUUAUUGAAAAUAUUUCCUUAAAUAGAUUUAUUAAGAUAUUUUAAUGAAAAACUCAUUAAAUAAAUUUAUUAAAAUAUUUUAAUAAAAUAUUAUUAAAUAAAUUUUUUGAAAUCUUUCACUAAAACAAACUUUUACAAAUCUUUGACUAAAAUAAAUUUGUUGAAAUCUUUACUUAAAUUAAAUUUAUUAAAAUCUUUCUUUUAAAUAAACCUAUUGAAAAUAUUUUAUUUAAAUAAAUUUAUUGAAACCAUUUCUUUAAAUAAAUUUAUUAAAACAUUUUAAUGAAAAGUUUAUUAAAUAAAUUUAUUAAAAUACUUUAAUAAAAAAUUGUUAAAUAAAUUUUUUGAAAUUUAUCACUAAAAUAAUUUUUUGAAUUCAUUAAAAUAAGUUUAUUGAAUCUUUCCUUUAAACAAUUUUAUUGAAAAUAUUUCAUUAAAUAAAUUUAUUAAAAUAUUUUAUACAAAAUUUAUAAAUAAAUUUAUAUAUUUUAAUGAAAUCUUUCAUUAAGUAAAUUUAUCAAAGUAUUUUGAUGAAAUGCUUAUUUAAUAAAUAUUAAAAUAUUUUAAUGAAAACAUUAUUAAAUGUAUUUGUUAAAAACUUUAACGAAAAUAUUAUGAAAUAAAUUUAUUAAAAAAAUUAAUAAAAAUAAUUAAAUAAAUUUAUUGAAAUCUUUCAUUAAAAUAUUUUACCAAAACAGAUUUGUUGAACUGUUUCACUAAAUAAAUUUAUUUAAAUAUUUCAUCAAAGAAAUUCAUUAAAAUAUUUUAUUGAAAUGAUUAUUAAUGAAAUUUAUUGAAACAUUUUAAUAAAUUUUAAAUGGAUCAACUUUUUCCAUUGUUUAGUUUUUAGUUUGUAGUGUAGAUUAAUAAUAGAUCCAAUUUAUUGGUAUAUCUCCAUAAUUAUUUACUUUUACACAUCAUUUAUCACUACUCACAUAAAAAAAAAUUACAAAUUUUGUGACAUGAUUAGACAAUUUGAUAGACAAAAAUAGGUGAUAUCCAGGAGAUGCAUAUCUAAAUAUUGUGUUGGUAAGUGAUAUAAUAUUAAGUUCUCGUGAUUUUAUGAAGUUUUGUUUAAUAAAAAAAUCAUUUUAUUAAAGUGAGCAUAUAUAACUCAAUUCAGUUAUUUACCAAAAAAAUUAAAAUCAAAAUAAUUUAGGGUUUCUUUUUUCUUUUUUUGUUUCUUUUUAUGGAAAGAUUGAAGAUCUUGGAAACCUAAAACAUAAUUUAAGAAAAUUGUUUAAUGAUAGCGAAAAUUAAGAAUAAAUUAAUAAAAACAAAUAAAUUGAAACAAAAACUCACAAACCGCUCUAUUUAUUUUUUUUUUUAAAUGAUAUAAUUAAAAAAAAUAUUAUCAAAAACUAAGAAAUAAAGAAAAAUAAUAAUAAUAACAAAUUGAAAACAAGGUACAAAUCCAUUGUUUUCUAAUUUUGACCGUUUCAACUUAUUUUCUAUUAUCAAUUCCUAAUUUCUCUUAUAAAAACCUUCUUUCCUAAUUCAAAAAAUAUUCCUCAUCUCAAAUCUUUAUAUUCUCAUGAUCAAUCCAUGGAUCUUCUUCAAAAGUUAACAAAAACUCAUGUAAUUUUCUUUUCUUUUCAAUGUUUCUUCCAUUUUUUUCUAUAGAAAUUUUCAUGUUGAUUAUUAAAAAUGAUUAGUGGGCUUUUUUUUCAACUUCCUCAAUAACACUUCUUUCCUUUUAUAUAUUGUUAAAAAAGGUAUCCAAUGAAAAGAUGAAAAAUUUAUUGCUUUUCAAGUUUUAACCUUAAAACAAUAUAUAUGGAAAAAAUUUAUAUUUAUAUAUUGUUAAAAAAGCUUGUUUUAUUUUAUAUUUAUAUAUGAAAAAAAAUAAUUUUUUGAAAAGUUUAUCAAAUAUAUUUAUUGAAAUAUUUUAAUUAAAUUUAUUAAAUUCAUUUAAUUAAAAAUAUCAAGUAAAUAUAUUAAAAUCUUUUAUUUCCCUAUUUUUAGUAAUCCCUCACGUCUCCACGAUGAAACCCUAUUCUCAUCUCCACGCUUCCACACAACACAGGCGAACGACCACUUCUUCGAAUCGACGGACGACUUCCACACAACACAGAGUGGCAAACGGCGAAUGGCUUCCACACGACGAACGCUUCCACCCGGCGAACAGCUUCCACCUGGCGAACAGCUUCAACCCGUUGCGAACAGCUUCAACCCGACGAACGGCUUCCACGCAGCGAACAACUUCCACAGUGAACGACUUCCACGACUGCGAACAUCUUCCGCACGGCGAACUGCUUCCGCACGCCGAACUGCUUCCGCGUUCAAAGGUUUCUAUGCUCCUCAUUCUUAUUGUAUUUAACAUUUUUCAAUGAAUAAUGCUCCCUUGAAUUUGAUUUAUAUCUUGUAAUUAAGGAUGAUAUUGUAAACCCAAAGUGAGAAAAACACAAAGAGAAGAAAAUUGAGAAUGACUCUCGUAUAUUUAUAUUUAUUUGUGUUAUAUGUUUAUGUUGUUUAUGUUCAAAUUCGUAAACAAAUGGUAUAAUCUAAUUGACAAAUAGAGAAGACCAUCAUUUUUCUUUAUUGUUGUUUUUUUUACAGGAAUGAGUAAUGAAAAAUUAAGGGUGACUCUUGGACGAUGUUUUAGACCGUAAUUAAUUUGUUGUCGUUAUGGUUAUAAUUAUCAUAUUGAUUUGUUUAUAGUAAUGAGUAAUGAAUUGGUAUAUUUACUCUUGGUAAGAUUCAUACUUUUGAAUGCCAUUUUUUUUUUAUAGUAAUGAGUAAUGAAUUGAUCUUGUGUGCAUCAUCAUAUCCCAAUUACACAUGCAUCUUGGAAGCUGGUGCCGACUGAGUUGAAAGAAAAAGUAUACAAUAUGAUUGAGGUAUGUAAUCAUCCUUCUCAUUUGGAAAUCAUGCAAACACUACACACUUAUUGUAUAUUUUGAGUCAUACUAUCUUGUGGUUAUCAUGUAGCCUUGGUAGCCCCAUAGCCUUGGUCUUGUGGCUAUCCUGUAGCCUUGGUAGCCCCAUAGCCUUGGUCUUGUGGCUAUCCUGUAGCCUUGGUAGCCCCGUAGCAUUGGUAGCCAAUCAUGUAUAUAUUACACAGUUAUUGUAUAUUUUAAGUUGUAUUAUGUGUGGCUAUCCUGCUAUGGUAGCCAAUCAUGCAUAUAUUGGUAAAUGUAAAUAUAUUUAUAAAAUAAUUUUUAUUUUAAUCUAGCACAUAAUAUAAUAUAUAUGCAUUGUUAAUUGGUUGUGUUAUAGUGUUCUUUACAAGUAGGUACGGUUGAAUGUGGAUAUUAUGUCAUGAGAUACAUGCAAGAAAUUGUGACUAAGGACACAAACAUUAUCACUGGUGCGGUAUGUUUUUAAACUAUUUACAUUGUAAAGUUAUAGAUAGUAUAUUAUGACUAACUCAAAUAUUUUACAAAGUGUAUUCUACUUUUUAUGUUUUAUAGAUUGAUACAAGAAGCCCAUACACACAGCUUGAAUUGGAUAGACGAGGGGAGUGGGCUGGAUUUUUAGCUCGGUACAUAUGAUAGACACACCUAGAUAUGAUCAUGUUAAUUUUGUAAAUGGCUAAGAUAUGGGAAUGCUCAUAACCUUUUUUGUGGAAACGUUUUGUUCAUAGCCAUUAUGAGGGCAAAAGAUAUAUGGGGAUAGGCUUCAAUUUUGAUUAUAUAAGACAACUAUUAUCAUUUAAUAUUUUGGAAUAGGACACAUAUAGGAAAUUUUAGUUGGCUAUAUUGGAUUGGAAUUGUGUAAUUGUUGAUGACAUUGUUGAGAAUAAUGAAAUUAUUGUUGGUUUACAUAUUAUACUAAACUUUUUGUCUUUUUUUUGUUGUGUAAUUGUUCGUUGGAGAAUUUGUUUUGUUUAUGGAUAUGUCUUAUUGAAGUAAAUGUAUGUAAUGCAGGAAAUAAAAAAUGAAAAAAGAAAAAUUUAGUAUAUUUAAUAUAUUAAUAAAUGGUAUACAUGACAUUAAAUACAUGUCACAUAUACUAUCUUAUUUGAGUCAAAUAUACCAUUUUACUUGAUGGAUAUAUAGUGUCAACUAUAAAAUUUUACUUGACAUAUACAUAAUGUCAAAUAUACUAUCUCACUUGACAGGUAAAUAGAGUCAAAUAUAUAUCUUACUCGACUUGUAAAUAGUGUCAAGUAUACUAUCUCACUUGACAGGUAAAUAGAGUCAAGUAUAUAAUUUACUCGACGUGUAAAUAUUGUCAAGUAUACUAUCUUACUUGACACAAAAAUGAUGUCAAGCAAUAGAGUACUUGACGUUUUUUUAGUGUCAAGUAAUAGAACUAUACUUGACAGUCGAUUACUUGACGCUUUUUAAAACGUCAAGUAUAGAUUUACAUGACACUGUAUUAAUGUCAAGUAAUUCAAUUUUUGUAGUAGUCUCUAGACGUGGUCGAUUAAGAAAUUGUUUGUAAUUUUCUAAUGAUAUAAUAUGGAUGAUGAAAAUGAUUGAGUGUUAAUUAAAAGUAAAUCAAAAUAAACCCCGGGAUAUAUAGGUGUUUGUUUUAUUGAAUACUAUCAUCAUUACCAUAUUUAGAUUUGUCUUCUGGCAUUUUGUUUCAAUUUAUUUCAAUUCCAAUAAAAGGGCCACAUUAGUAUUCAUACUAGAUCUAUGAGAUCUUUGUUCAUUGGAUUCAAACUUACAACAAGCAAAUCAUUUUUCCAAUAACAUCUUUAUUUAAUAAAUCCUCAAUAACAACUUUAUUGCAUUUACAAUAUUCAUGUUGGAAUUAUAUCAACUUUUACAAGUAUAGUAUUAUAGAGAUUUGAGGUUUGAUUUUUCAAGUACAAUUAUUGUACUAAAAAAAUUAAUGGAAUGUUAAACCAUUAAGCAAUCCCUAUUGUUCAUUUGACAAACUAAACUCUCUCUAAGUCAUUGUUGAAGAAGAGAAGCCUUUUGGUUCCUGUUUUUUUACAAGUAUUUUCAUACAUAUGAGGAAACAAUAAUCUCAUCCUAAUUUAGAAUUCAAUUUCAGUAAAAUACAAGAAAAAUUGACUAAGUCUAACCUAAAGUUGAUAGUAACUCUUUGAAAGGGUAAAUUUUCAAUAAUCAAUUUUAUUUUUCAAAACUAAUUAAUUUCAUUAAUACCAUUUACCUACUUGUUUUUCAGUGAGAACUAGGUGAAUUGAAGGUUGAUGAGUGAGCAAAAAGAAACACCGAUAGUGUAGAUCAAACGAACCAUUAUUUUUCUUUCUUUAAAGAGAUCAACAAAUGUUAGAACAAAGAUCAAAUUAUUGACUUUAAGAUACAAAAUCGUAAUAGUGUUUCAUUCACCGAAUUGUGUGUCUAGAUUAUUCAAAAAAAAUUUGUAACAUUUUAAAUAAAUACAAUCUUUUAAUUAGUCGCCUAACUUUUGUCCUAUUUGCAAUGUAAUAAGAGGAUUUUGGUACAACUUGACUCAUUACCAUAACAUAUUAUUUAAAAUAUUCUCAAAAUAAUUAAAGAUGUUGAUGUUGCUUACAAUGAUAUGAUCGCAUCUUCAACAUUUCCAUUACUUUACAUUUAAUUUUUGACUUAAUACAUGUGUCAUUAACUUUAGUUUGUUUUCAACUUUACUACUUUUUCCAAUCAAUUAUUUUAAAUUCUUCAAAACCUUUUCCCCUUUUAUUUAUAGGUAAUUAAAACAAUAAUAAAAUAAAAUUCCAUGAAAAAUAAAAUAUAGUAGUCUAAAGAAAGAGGAGGUCUUCUACUAAAACUCGAUUAAGAUAUAAAUAUAAUCACUUAAAGAUGUUGGGCUUAGGCCUAUACAUUUGGGGUCGUCCUAAUCCAAUGAUAAAAGUAACUUCAAGUGAUCAUAGAUUUUUGAAUUACAUAAUCUUUAUAAGGUAAGUUAGUAGUUAUUGAUUAGAAAAUAUUUAGAUUUGAGAAUAAAGAAGAAGAAGAAAAUGAAGCCUAAAAAAAUGUGAGAUGGGAUGAUUUUAGUACAUUAGAGUCAAUCAAAGUUGUGAGUACAGAAUUUAAUGCAAGUCAUGGUCUUAAAGAAAGACAAGGCAAUUCUUUUUCCCUAUAGUUUUUGCUUUGUAAGGCAAAGCCUAAACAAUGUUGGACCUAUCAAAAAGGUCUCUUCCAACUAUUUUUCCAACCAUCUCAUGACAACUAAAGUUGACAACUUUAUUUUCUCUUCUCAUCAAUAUUAUUUUUCCCUUUAUUUCAAUUUAAUAAAUAAAUAAAUAAAACCACCAAACUGUCAAAACCAAUGUAUAAUGCGAUUAUAACAAAUAUAACAAGUAAUUAAUGCUAUCAAACAACUAUCACACACCAUAUUUUACUAAAUAUUUUGAAGAGGUUUAUAAUAAAAAGAGUUAAUUUAUGUUAAGAAAAGAAAAUACUUUACUUUAUAAUUUGAUGGAAAAGGCUGAUUCUAAACAUUCUUGUCCAUGGAGAUCAAAGUUUUUGAGAAAUGGAUUUAUGUUUAUGUAUCUAUCAAGUUAUGAUGAAUGUAUUGAUUAAAAAUGGUUAGAAAGAAAUAUAUAUAUAUAUAUAUAUAUAUGUAUAUGGUCAAAACGAAUAUUAAGAGAAAAAGUGUAAGUUUGUUUUAGGGAAUUUUGUUAAAGAUGAUCUUUUAAAUGGAAUAAUGAUUAUGAAAUAAGCGGCAAAGAAGUUUCAAAUUUUAAUAUUAUAUAUAAAAUUAUAAAAGAAAAAUAAAAGUUCCAAAUUUUAGUUGUCUUUUUUUAUGUAUAAAUUUAUUUUUUCUUUUUAAUCUUUCGAAUAAAAUUAAAGUUACAGAAUUAGUUAUACCAAAGUUUAAAAUUUUAGUUCUCCUUUUGUAAUUUUCUCUCUUUUUUUAAAUUUUAUUUUAACUUUCUUGUGUAUAAAUAUAUUUUUUUUCAAGUAAUUUCUUUUAGGAAUGGAUUCAAACUCAAAUUUGCAGCAGAGAAUAUACACUUUUUUAUUUUAUUGAUCAGCUGGCUAUUUGAAAAAGAAUAGUUUUCCUUUUUCCCGUUGAAUAAUAUACGUAAUCAAAUUUUUGAAUAUUUUAACAUCUUAUCGAGAAUAUAUACACAUUACUUAUUUGUGUCAACGAAGUAUAUUGAUAUUUAAAGAAAAAUACACAUUAGACAAUAACUUUCAAUAUAGAAGUGAAAUACUAACAUUUGUAAUACAAAUCAAUUAGCAAUGAUAUUUUUCUAUAUAUAGAGUUUUAUUUAUCCAUUUAUAGAUGUGUUUAUGAUUAAUGAUUCUCUCUUUUACAAACAUAGGUAAUUUAACCUUUUGCUUAACUCAAAGUGUACUACUGCACAUUUAAUAAACAUAUCAUGUUAGAGAUGAUCAUGUCUAUAAUAGCCCUAAUAUUAUGGUCAUUUCUAUCGCGUUAAACAAAAGUUCGACUGUGUUUUCCUCAUUUUUUCUCACAUUUUGUCGCGUAUUUUUGGGUGAGAACAUUAAAGUUGGGAUCACAAUAGUGAUAAUGGUCAUCACAUCAAGCCUACACAUGUUCAUCCCUAACGCGAGACAUUAUAAAAUGCUUACAUGCAUUCCCUUACUCUUGUCAAAGUUGGUUGUGGAAUUUCUCUUUUAUCACGAUAGGGUUACGAUAGAUAAUCAUUUCUAAUAUGAUACCGUAUAAAAAUAUAUAUGGUAAUCAUGAGCACUUAAUGAAAGAAAAAUGUUUGAUUUCAUACGUUUGUGGUGUAGUGAGGGAAAAAAAACUCCUAAUUCAAAUGAUUUGAAUAUAUAAACAAUAUGAUUUGAUUGAUUGGUAUACCGAUUAAAAUCAACCAUAAAUUGAAAAUUUUUAUUCUUUGUUCAUAAUGAAUGGGAAUUAGAAAUACUUUUAAGUACUGAAGUUAUAUGUUCGGGUUAGUAGGAGUCGUGGUCUCGAGGCUAAAAUGCAACCCUAGUUUGUUCAAAAUGGGAUGGGCAGGGGUACCAAAUGGAUGAAGAAGACAGGUAGGAGACAAAGACAACCCUAAAUUAAUAUUUUGUAUAGUAACUUUUGUUUUGUUUUUCUUCCUUUAAACAAAGCUUAGGAUCCUCCCUUUGCUUCUUUUAAUACAAAAACUUUUUAACCACCACCACUAACACUACACCUCACACCCUCUCUCUUCUUUUCCACCCAAAAUAAAUUUAAUAAUAAUGAUAAUGAUAAUAAAAUAAAAAAGAAACUUCAAAUUUCUUUUUUUCUCCUUAAGUUUUCAAUCAACUAAUGAAUACACAUUUGAUUGUUGACAAGUCAUAGUACAUUUACUUUUGAAUUACCACAAUAAUAUAGAAAAUAAAUCAUUGUUUCUCUAACCCUAAUUUGAUGUGGUUUGUGAUAUCAGUGGAUAGAUAUGUUCCUCAAACAAAAAGUACUUUUUCAAAUCUGUAUUUACUAAAUAAAUUAAACUUGUGAAUCCAAUUUUUAGGUUAUGUAGUUAUCAUGAAUUAAAAAUAAAAUAAAAUGUUCUACAGUUUUAUUAUUUUAAAAUAAUUUUCAUACGUACAAUUAACUUUCGAAAUGAAUAAAUGUAUAAGUUAGAUUGAAGUGGUACUAAUUCAUGGGGUUUCUAUAACUAACUAUUUUCAUUAUUGGUAUAGUUUAAACAUAGUAUAUACAUUUUUAAGUUUUUGAAAUUUUCAUGUACUUGAAUAUAAGUUAAUUUGAACUUUUAUCCACUUUUUAUGUUGAUUUUUUUUUUUAUGUUUAAAAUCUCAAUCGUUAUCCUCUCAUCAAACAACUUUCUUUAAAGUUGCAUAUUUAAUCUUUCAUUUGAAUAUUCAAACUCUUUCAAAUACUUAAAAGAUGGAAUGAAAGAUGAUAAAAUUUGUUCACAAAUUAAUAAUAACAACAAAAAGAAAACUAUACAUCUAAAACUUACAUUGAAUUAUAAAAUAUUAGAGUUGUUAGGGUAUUAUCUUUCUGAGAUCUAAAAAGGGUUUUGGAGGAAAAACAAAAACAAAGUUUGACUCAAAGAGAUAAAAACAAACAAGUGCUUAACUUAAUAAAAACACAACAAAUAAAAGCCAAAAUGGCCCAACAAAGUCAGACCCUUAAAUCACAAAACUUUGAUUAAGAAAUUAAAAAUGUUAAAAAUAUAUAUAUAUAUAUAUCAUUUUGGAACCCUUGCUCUCGGUUUAACUUUGUUAUCGUGAACGUAGUCAAGACGUUAUUGUUAGUGAACUCCAAAAUCUUAUUGUAUUUUGUAUUUGUAAAUUCGUAAGACAUACAACACAAAAUACAAUAUGAAUAAUUUUUCACAUUUUAUAACAUAAUGUUAUUAAUUAGAAACCUUUUUCUAAAAAAAAAAAACUAUUAUGUAUCGACUAAUACCAUGAGCAUAAUUUAAACUAACAUUAAAUAUGAUUAUAAACUAUUAAACAUUAAAUUGUCAUCUUCCAUAAAAAUUUGGUUAGCCAUAACUUGAAAGGAUGAACUUGAGAGUUAAAAUAAAGUAGCUAGUUUGGCAAUAUCAACCAUAACAUAUAUAAAACUGUUAAUGACAUUAUUAUUGUUUCCAAUAUUUUGAUAGUAAUGAAUUUUUGAGAGAAGGGAUUAGGGAAAUAAAAGAAAAGCUUUAAAAGAGUUAAUUAACCUAGGAUUCUAUGGAACAUUAAUAAGACCCCAUAUGUUAUGAAAAUAUAAUGGUUUAAUAAAAGGGAGAUAUAAAAAAGAAAUGUACUUUAUUUCAAUCACCAAAGCAAAAGUUGAUUGCUUUGGCCAUUGAUGACAUAAGGUUUCAUUGUUGGAAUUGGAAAAGGAAUCUCUUUCCUCCACUUUAAAUUAAUUAAUUAAAACAUACACACAACUCCAAUCCAUAUGCAUAUUUAAUUAAUUGAUAUUAUCAAAAGAAGAAGAAGAAAAACUCAGUACUCAAAACCCUAAUUAGUAAUUAAAGAACAAUUUAAACCCAUCAUGUCUCAUAUUUUUUCCCUCAUUCCAAUGUUAAUGUUUGUUUUUUCUUUCUUUUUUUUUUCCCUUUUUUUUUGCCUCUCAAUAGUACAAGAGACAAUUAAUAAUAUAUAUUGCUAAAUCAAAUUGAAAAGCCAAGUGAAAUUGUUUUUAACAAAAGUUGUUUCACACGGAUUAACUUGGAUUGUGUUUUUUAUUUAAUUUUUAAAUUUAAAUGAAUUAAUAUAUAUAUAUAUAUAUAUAAUGCAAUUAAUUAAAGGGGUUUUUCUAUUAAUUGUAAGUAUAUAGGUAAUUAAAAUUUUAGGAUAUUUAUAUUUUUUAAAUAUAGUAAAAUGGGCUAACUUAUUUAUACAUGAUAACAAAACUUUGUUGAACAUCAAAAAUAAAAAGUAAUUAAUUAUAGUUAUCAAUUGUAAAUAUUUUUAAUAAUUUUGAGGUUGUGGUGAAAUAAGUAAAUAAGUUAAAUAGGAGUAUAAUUUUACUUGAAACUUAGAUAAAAAAAAAAGGGUACAUAAAUUCAAAAGUGUAGUCGUUUAUAUGAGGGCCCAUUUGUGAAGAGAAAAUGUGUGUAAGUAAGAGAUUGAUGAGAGGAAAAAUGUGGAUAGACAAAAGGUUGGUAAGAAAAAUAUUGCAGUGUAGAAGAAACUUAGUGAAAAGAAAGUAAGUUUGUCAUCUGUCCUUCUUUGACUACUAUAUUUUCUUAUUCCUCCCUCUAAUUUAAACCUUUUUCAGUUUAGUCCUUUUUACUUCAAUAAUUUAUACAAAUAGACUUUAAUAUUUUUAUUCAUUUUUUCAUAUUUCAAAUUAAAAUAGUUUCUAUAUGAGUAUAAUGAAUAAUUAUAUUGAAACUAAACUCAACCUAUAGAAAAGUAAUUCCAAUUAUAUUGCAACAAUUAGUACAUAAAUGAUAAUUAGUCAACUUGAGUAUAAUAUUAUAGUUUUUUUUAUAAAAAAAGUUAGAGAUUCAAAUUCCAUCCUAAUUGUCAAAUAUUUAUUCAUUCUUAUUAUUAUUAUUUUCCCAUAGUAAAAGUUUGAUGUUUGAGUUGGUAAAUAAUUUUUUAUUAAAAAGAAAAAUUAAUUAUAUUUUCUUUCAAUUUCAUAUAAUGUUUUAUUUAUAUCUUUUAUACUAAGUCGUUAAACUUUUAGUCAAAUCUAAAAAACAAAAUAAUAUUUUAAAGAGAAAAUGUCAAUGAAUAGCCAAAAAAAAAAUUGAAACUAUUUACAAAUUAUAACAAAGAAAAAUCAAAUGAGCUAGAGAGAAUUUAAUGAUUUUAUUAUAGUUUGUAAAUAGUUUUAAUUUCUUUGCUAUAUUUAAAAAUACCGUUUUUCAAAAACAUUUUUUUUGUGUUAAAAAUUAAUUGACUUUUUUUUUUUAAAACGUUCUUAUAAAUACAUGCAGAGCAAAUAAUCUAUAAGUGGAAGGAUGAUUAUAGGCUUAAUUUUUAAAGCCUAAAAACAAAAACCUAAAUAGUUAUCAAAUAAAAGUUUAGGUAUUACUUUUUAGUUUUUGAAAAUUAAACUAUACACUAAUGAUUCAAGUGCAUUGAUUUUUUUUCCAUAUGUUAUCUACUUUUUAAGUAUGUUAAAAUUUCAUAAAGGAAUUCUUUUCCAUAAAUAGAGUUAUCACACAACAAGUCUGAGUAAAUAUAGGAACAAUAAUAAAAAUAACAAAAAAGAAAAAUAAUAAUAACACACAAGGAGUUGGCAACCUAAUUCGGUGAUAUAACACCUACAUCUGGAUUAGCGUGCCUAGGACACAUAACCCACUAAUAUAAUUGAGUCAAACGAUUACAACAUUGUACUUAUCUGUAUACUCUCAAGAUUACAGUAAUAACCAUAGAGCUAACUCAGUGAACAUCUAGGCUCUCCUAGAUGCAAGACUCGCUCACUUUAAAAUUUAAGCUCCCCUAAGUAUGUCACUAUUAGUAGUGAAGAACUUUAAUUAGGCUCUUCCUAAUAGUGUGUUAGACUCCUCACUUGAGGUUAUAUUUCCUUCUCUCUUUAGGAUUUUUCUUCACUCGAGUAACUUAGAAUCCCUCCAAGUGUAUGAAAACUUCCUUCUAAAGAACAAAUCUUUAAGCUCCCCCUAAAGUAGUGUAAUAUAUUUGGAUUGAAUGUAGUCUUCAACAAACUACUCACCGAUCUAAUUUGCUUCAAAUUAAACAUAAAGUUGCGUCGAAUUCACAAUAGAGAACAAGUGAUAUAACAUAUGCGAUAACCCUACCGGUGAAUGCUUCAUGAGCUGAAAUAGCACAACAAAGAAAGAAAAAAAAAAUCUACAAAUCAAAUCGUUAGAGCUCUGGAAAAGAAAAGCAUCCAAGCAUAGAAGGAAAUAUUUUGUAGAAUCUGCAACCUUUGAGACAACUACUGCAACGAGAACAUUCUGAAACAUAUUCUAAGACAACCACGAAAAAACUCAUUAGAAGGCUAGGAAAUUUAAACAAAUAUAUAUACUUACACGAAAUCCACGCCAAGUUUUGAAAACAAAAAAUAUUAAAUUUUAGAAUCUUGUUGAUCUUUUUAGAAUUUAGUUAAGAAUUUCAUCGUAUUGUUUCUACUUAAGAAGCAUGAAAACCAUGAUAAAGAAAAUGUAAGAAAACAAUCGUAAUUUUCAUAAAGCAAGUGUUUGGGAUUUUACGUUGGUUAUCAUAAUCAAUAGGUUAUAAUAGUGUGUUUUCAAGAUGUAGACAAUUUUAUUUAGAUUAUAAUAAUAUGUAUGGUAACAUGUAGACUAUUUUAGUAUGAAUAAGAAACGGUAAACAUAUAUAAAAAUAAAAAGAGGAUAUAAGUAGAAGAGUAAACACACUAACAAAAAAGAGAGAGAUAUGAAAUAGCAUUACUGCAGUUAACUGAAGGUUUUACCAGUAACAUAUACCAACUAUUAUAAUUGAAAGUUGAAGUAGAAGAAAUAGUAUAAUAUAGUUGAGUUUAGUGGUUGGAAGUUGGUGGGUAUUAAAUGAGAAAGGGAAUAAAUGGAAUCUCUUUUGUUGAUGGUAAAAAAGAAAGAGAGAAAAAGUGAGAGAUGAAAAAUGAUGAUGAGAGAAAGAAGAAAAAUGGUAGGAGAGAGGAUAAGUGUAAAAUUGAGAAAAGAAUGAUUGAGAAGCCGCACGAGUCGUUUCAUAGGAUUCUCUUAUGGGGUUAUUUGUCUUCUCAUCACAAACACACAUCACAUUCAUUAAUCAACCAAACUCCAAAACCCUAACUCCAAACAAUAUAUAUAUAUAUAUAUAUAUAUAUAUAUAUAUAUAUAUAUAUGUGUGUGUGUGUAUAUAUGUAUUAUUUGUUUUCAAAAUAUAAAAAAGCAAACUCAUACACACUACUUCUCUGCUCUUCUUGUCCCCCUUUUCCUUCUUUUUCAACCCUAAUCCAUGUCUUUUUCCACACACACACUUCAUUUUUAAAUCACAACCCAUAAACAUCUUUUCUUCCGUUGUUCACUAUUAUUAGAAACCGUGUUUCUUCCAUAAUCGGUUACUUUGGAUCUCUUAAGCUGAAAAGUAGUAUAAAUUUUAAAGUUCAUAAAUCUUUUAAACAAGAUGAUUGAAAGUUCUUGUUAUAUUUGGAGAACAUAUCACUCCAAAGCAUGUAUACAUAUAUGAGAGAAAAAACAAAAAUGUGUGGGAAGAACAAUAAUAAUAAGGAUUUAAAAUGAAAUGAAAAUCUCUCACCCAAGAAGAAAGCAUUUCCAAAAGUAGUGUGUGUAAGAAAAACCUUUUGUGGAAGUCUUUUAUAUUCUGCAUGGCAGGUUCUUGAAGCAUCAAAUAUAACAGUUUCUUUUCUCUUUUCUCAAUCUUGAUCAGUGUGAAAGAUACAUCUUUUAAUCUCAAGGACUACACAAAGUAAAUGGUCCAAAUCUUUUGCAUAUUUGGCCUUCAUUUAUUUAUUUUUUUUAAAUCAAAUAUAUACCAAAGUAUUAAGAAGAGAAUCCAUAUUAAGAAUAAAUAAAUACUAAAACUUUUUCACACUAUCUUAUUCAGGAGAGACAACUAUUGAUCUUAUGGUAUAUUCACAAUGGUAUUCUCUACUUUGGUAGUAAGUUACCAGUUUUGUUUAAUUUUGAUUUUGCAUGGUCAUUUUGUAAUUAACUCAACCGUAGAAUACAUUCGAAACUUUUCAAGAAUUCUAUUGACAUGACUAAGUUGAAGCAUACCCUAAUACUAAUUUGUUAAGGACAAUAAUCUCUCUCUGGACUCCAAUUAUCUCAACAAUGAUAUGAUCAUAUAGUUCAUUUUGUAGACAAACGUCCUUAUAGCUUUAUAUUUUGUUUCACUCAAAAGACCGCAUACCAUCAACGAUAUAUUUAUCGCACCUUAUAUACUCACGAUCAUCCUUUCAUCUAGCUAAAUAUGGAACUUUACUCACAUAUUAUCUUUAACUUUACUAAUAGUUUGAUCCUUAUACUUAUUUUUUUUUUCUAAUAAAUAAGUCCUUUUCUCGUUUUUGAAUAUUUUUUUCUAAAAGAAAUUAUAGUAUUAAAAAUCUUAUUAUAAUUACUCUCACUCACAUAAUCAAACUAUGUAAUUGAUAGGAAGUCAAUUAACUUUUGUAGAGCUAAAUUGUUAGAAAUAGAAGUAGACAUACAAUCGAAACAAAGUGACAUACAAUAAUAAUGAUGAGUGAAAUACAAGAACAUUGAAUAGGUAAUUAGAAGGUUGAAAAGAGAAUGUGUGAGAGAGAUUUUUACACAAAAUAUUGUUAAAAAGCCUUGUCUUGGGCCCUUAACUUUUCUCAUCUUGACUAAUUAUUCAAAAGCUGAUAUCACAAAACAGCACAAACCCAAAACCACACACACUUAUACAUUGCCACACUCAUUAAUAAAAGUCAGAAAUAUUACAUUAAAUCAUCAAAAUAAAAAAGAAAACACUAAUUAAAAACCUUCAUAGCUAAUUAAUUAGCCAUAGCCAUUCCCCAUAGCCAUAGCUAUACAAAUUACAUAUACAAAACCAGCCCUUUGGUAAAACUAAAAGCUGAAUUUUUCUGGUCAUUAAUAUAAAAUAAAAAAAAACUCAAACUCCUCCUCUGUUUCUAAACUCUUAUACUCUCUUAUCAACAACAUUUUCUCUCAUUUUUUGAGAGAAAUGAAACCCAGAAGCUAAUUUGAGUACUAAAAAAAAGAAAAGGAAAAAGAAAUUAGCUAUUGGUAAAUAUAAAAUGUCAUUGUGAAGAGAAGAAGAAGAAAAGCUCUAUAUCUGGUGAAGCAAAGAAAGCAAUAGGAGAAGGUCUUUGUAAAGAACAAUUUGAAUUUGAAUUUGAAAAAAGCCUUCGCUUUUUAGGAGCGGGUGGACAUAUUUUGAUUUCUGGGAUUUUGAAUCUCUCUGCUUUUGGAGUACUACAACACUCUUCUUCUUCUUCUUCUUCUUCAAAAUCACAGCUUCUUCUUGAAACUGAUUUUUCUUCAAAAUUAAUGGUUGUUGAAGAACUUGUACCUUUUUCAAUUUCUUCUUCUUCUAGCUUGAUGUUGUUGUUCUUGAUGUUCUUCUUGAUCUUCUUGUUCUUCAACUGGGUCGUUGUUGUUUUUCUUGCUCUUCUUCUUGCUUCUCCUCUUUUGGAAGCCAUGGAACUCAAAUGUGGAAGGCUUUGAAUUUCUUUGAAAAAUGGUUUCUUUUUUGUGAGAUUUUGUUAGUAUUGGAAGGAAAUAGAGUAACCCAUUUGAGAGUUUUUUUAGAAGAAGAAGAAGAGAGGGGUUAAUAUGUAAGAGGGUUUUGUUAUAUAGUGAAAGGGAGGGAAAACAAAGGCACAUGUUUGCUUUAUGUCAUAUUUUGAAAUGUGUUAUCAUUGUUUUUGAAUUCUCCUUUUUCAAUUAGAGGAUACUAAUGCUCUUUCUUUUUUUUCUCUCUCUCUCCAUAGAAAACCAUAUUGUGGGUAAAAAUUGGCUUUUAGGGUAAGAAUAUAUCUUAGCUUACAUAUAUACAUACAUAUAUAUAUAUAUAUAUAUUAUUGAUGAACUUUUUGAAUAUCAGUAUUUUGUAUUUGUAAUUUGUGAUGUAAUCCAUACAUAUGUUUCCAUACGAAGAAUCAAACCAUUAAACUUUAGAGUGACAAUUAGAGAUCUAUUAUCUAAUAUUUGGUUAAAAAAAUGAGUAGAAUAAAUUAAUAUAUAUCUUCUAAGUUAUUUUAAAAAAUAGUCAAUUAUUAAACUAUUUACAAAAUAUAACAAAAUUCAUCAAACUCUCUCAUUACAAAUUUUUACUAUAUCUGGUAAAUUGUAUCAUUUUUUUUUUCUUUUUUGUUAUUUAUAACAAUUCCUCUUAUUUGCUUUUUUAUAAAUAUUUUUUUUUCACUGUGAUUGAUAGAUUGUUAGAAAACGAGUGCAAUUUAGAUAAGUUCUAUUUGGCAUAUGAUUUAUAUUUCUAGGUUGAGAGCACUCUCCUCAUUCUAAUGGUAAGGGGUAAUUAUUUGGUUUUUUUAGUUUUUAAAAGUUAAGUCAUUUUAUUUCUAACUUUUACUAAUAUUCUCAAGAUGUAAGCCAACUUUUGAAAAAUAAAAAGAAGUAGUUUGUUUUUGCAAUUUAGCUACGCAUUCAAACCUUUGUACUUAAGAAUGAUAUAAAUGUUCACAAGAAAUCGAGGGAAAAUAGAUUUCAUUUCUAAAAAAGAAAACCCAAAAUAUUAAAAACUAAAAUCUGACUUAGUAACCGUUCGUUUUUUGUAUUUGGUUUUCAAAAUUGAGUAUCUUUAUAUCUCCUACUUCAACAUUUUUUGUACUGAUGUUUUAAAAGCUCGUCAAAAUAUGAAAUCUAGAAAAACAAAUUAUUUUAAAAUACGUGUUUUUUCUUUCUUUCUAAAUUUAGUUAAGAAAGAACUUAUACAAAUUAUAGUAAAAAUAAUGGAAGAAAGUAUGUUUAAUUUUUUUUUAAAAAAAAAUAGUUAUCAAAUUUCACUGAAUAAUUAUCAAACAAAACAAAAAAAAAUAACGUAGCAAAUGAAAUAUAACACAAGGUAAUAGAAAAAUAUAAUUCUCUAAGCUUUAAAACCUGAAGAAAAAAAAGUAGGUGUGAAUAAAGAGAGUUACAACACAAGUUAAUUAUUAAUUUACUAUAAUCUAUGCCAAUCAAAAUCUAAGAAAAUGAAUGAUUGCUACAUAAAGUAGUGAAAGUGAAUGUGAAUUGGUUGAUAUUACGAAGUCAAUGGCUGAUUAGUAUAGAUUUUUCUUUAAAAAAAAGGAAUUAUUGUUUAUUAAUUAAAUUACUAUAUUGAAAUAAUAAAUUACAAUUUUUUAUAUUUUAAAAAGUUUAUUAUAAAAGUAAAGGUAUCCAAUGAAAAAUUAAGUAAAUGUUUAUUUGAUAAGGCACUAUGGACGGUUUGGCAGGUAGCAUUAUCCCUAAACAGUAAACACACACCUAAAGCAUAAUGUGAUUCUUAAUAUAAUUAAUGCUCAACAUUAAUCCAAUUAAUUUAGAAAAGAAAAAAGAAAAACAAUUUGCUUAUAAAAUUAAAUAUCUCACUAAACCCUCCAUUAUUCUAACCUCAUUAUUUUAUCUCAAAACAACCUCAAACUUUUUUUUUUUUUGUAGAUUCGUUUGCAUUUACUAUUUUAAUUUUCGUAGUUUCAAUACAUUUCAAAUUUAUAAUGUAUUUGGAUUACAUUUUCAAGUGUUUAAUUUAAAAAACAAGUUAUUUUGAAAACCACUCAAAAUAGAUUUUUGAGUGAAUUCUAAACCAUUUUUAGAAAGAAAAAAAGUUUAAACAAAAAUGAGUUUCUUGACAACCAUUUUUUCUUAAUUCAAUCCAAACGAACCCUUAGUCUAUACAACUAGUUUGUUGUUGAAUUUUGCAAAACCUUUUUUUAGUAUAUUAUUGGUAUGCUCACUAAGAGACUCUGUGUGGUGCUGGGUAACGUAGAGUUGUUUUGUUUAAGUUCAUGUAUUUGAAUUCUCCAAUAUUUACAAUUUUUUGAAUUUUAGAUAAUAUAUUUUUAUACCUAUUUUUGUUUUUGAGAUUUUUUAUUCAAUAAUUCUACCUAUCUUUCGUUAAAUAAAAUAUGAAUUUUUUUUUUUUUUUGUAAUAAACAACAAUUAAUCAACUACAUUUCUUGCACUAAAUAAAAUGUAAAACAAAAGAAAAUUGAAGAAAUUUUAUUCCUAAUUUUUUUCAUGAAUUUCAUCUUUUAUUUCUUUUUUCUUUUUAAUUAUUAUUUCUAUUGUUGCUUUGUAUUUUCUCUCUGUCAUUAUUUAUUCUAAUUGAAUCUCCCCUAUCAUUUUAAUUCGUAUGAAAUGGUAGUUAAUUAUUUGCUUGUUUUUACUUUGUUUUAGGUUUGUUUUUUGUUCCACCAUUUAACAACAUGCAUAUUUUUUUCAAAUCCUUAACACGUGAAUGCAAUAAAAUAAAAGGAUAAUAGUUUGUGUGUAAGUAUAUAUGGUCAACAAAAAACCAAUUUCAUUCAUACAAAAAAAAAAUUAUUUUUGAAAAUAGUUAAGUUGGUUAGUCAUACGUAGUAAGUCAAACAAUCCAUCUUUAUUGAUUGUGGUGAUUAUUGUUAAGAAAGCCAUCGAUCUUUUAGAUGUUUGUGGCAAAUAAGUCUAUAAGACAAUCCUUAGACAACUUUUCAAUAUCACAUUACUAUAAAAGACGAUUAUUAAACAUUACAAAUUAAUCAUUUCAAUUUUGUAUUUAAAUGCACUUUUGUUAGCCAAGUUCCUUUUCAUUUUUCUUUUUAUAGUAUAUUAUUGAUUGAGUUGGUCAUUGAAAAUAAACAACAAAGUUGGUGGUUGGAGUUAGUUGUUCAAGAUCAUUUUCAAAGUUGGGCGUUAGAUGUGAUCGUUGUUGAAGUUGAUUGAUAGAGAUGGUCUUUAUCGUUCUUGGUUGCCUAAGGUAAAUGUUAGUAAUUGAUUGUUAGAGGUGGUUGUCACUUGUCAUUGAAAUUGAUUAUCAAAGGUGAUUUUCGUUGAAGUUUAUUGUGGAGGUAGUUGUUGGAGCCGAAAGUUGAAGGUUGUUGUUGAAUUAAUUAUCAAAGGUGAUUUUCACCCAAGUUUGUUGUUGUAGAUGGUUGUCAGAGGCAUAAGUUGGUUGCAUGAAAAUGAUCUUGGAGUUGGUCACAAGAGUUUGUUGCUAGAGCCUGAAAUUCUCGUAUCGCAAAGGUGGUCGUCGAAGUUGAUUUUCAUUGGAGUUUGUUAUUGGAGAUGGUUACUAGAUCCUAAAAUUGGUCGUUGGAGUUGGCCACGAAAAAGUGGUUGUCGAAGGUGAUCGCUCGAGUUUGUUGUCGGAAGUGGUCGCUGGAGUUUGUCAUCAAAGGUGGUUGUUGGAGCUAGAAAUCGAUCAUCAAAGUUGGACGUGUGAAAUUUUUCGUCAAAUUUGGUUGUCGAAGUAUGAAAUGCUUCUUAGAUCCUUUAGGUUGCCAACCUAUCCAAUCCAAAAAAUUGGGUUGGUCCCAAAAUACCCCUGAACCCAACCCAACCCAACCCAACCCAACCCAUUUAACACCCCAGUACUAAUCCCCUUUAGCAGCAAGCCAUGACUAAAGAACUCCAAACUUUAAAGAAGACUCAUACUUGAAAUUAUGUUGUCCUACCUCCUGAAACAAAACCUAUCAUGUAAGUGGAUCUAUAAAAUCAAGACUCACUCAAAUGUGACUAUUGAAUAUGGUAUAAAGUCCACCUAGUGGCCAAAGGGUAUUCUCAGUAGUAUGAUAUUGAUUAUGAGGAAAUGUUUAUUUAUGUUGCUCGCAUGACAUCUAUUUAAAGUCUUUUGACAGUAUUUGCCACCAAACAGUGGCCUCUUCUUCAAAUGGAUUUGACAAAAACUUUUCUCCAUGGUAUUUUAUCUAAAGAUGUAUAUAUGAAACUACCACCAGACACAUCUCCUCCAUCUCAGAUAAUUUGUCUUCUUCGUCGUGCCUUAUAUAGGAUAAAAUAAGCCCCACGUGCCUGGUUUGCUACUUUUAGUUCUACUGUUACUCAACUUGGGUUUACUUACAUCGUUCAUAACUCAGCUCUCUUCGCUCAUAUGACUCCUCAUGCCAUUUUUUUCCUUUAGUGACUUUGCUCAUGUCAUUGCUACAAAGGUUAUAUAUGAUCUACAAUGUUACUUGAGCACGCAUUUUGAAAUAAAAGACUUGGGACCUCUAAAUUAUUUUUUUGGUCUUCAAAUUCACGUCCUGCUGAGACGGAUGCAACUUGUCCUAAACCAUGUAUCUAGGAAUGAAAUUCCUAUAGCAGAAACAUAUGAACGUCGUGCAAAUGGAAGUCAAUUUGAAAAACACAAAAUAUUCAUAAAACAAAAAAUAAAAAACAACACGCUUCUAAGGAGGAAAGAAAAAAAAAAUUAACCUUUAUAGAAUCUCUCAAGGACACCUUCUUAUAGAAUCUAUCAAGAACACUACGAAAUCUUCUUUAUUAUUCUCAAGGUGUAAAUGACAUAAAAAAAUUGUGGGCUUAUAUUAUAUUGAUUUUGUGAAUGAAAAAAGUUUUGAGACAUUUUGCAAAAGAGAGAUCGUGAAACACUAGAGGAGAGAAGUUUAAGAUUAAUUGAGAAUCUUCACCAUUUUAAGAGAGAUGGAAUUAAAUAUAUAUUAAUUAAAAUAAAAUAAAAUAAAAUCAAUUUAAAUUUAAAUCAACAUUAUAUUAUAUCAUAUAUAAUAUAGCCAAAUGACUUAGUUCUCGAGUAUGACUUAUAAUUCGAAUAUGAAUCGAAUCCAUAUUAAUUUGAUUGUAAAUAAAUAUAUAAACAAAUAACAACCAAUUAAUGACCAUUUUUUUGCAUCAAUUUUAUGGUUGAUUAUAUUUUCUCUCGAAACCAACACCAAGAGAUGGAUUUACACCCGUAGUAGUAGUAGCAAUAGUAGUUGUAAGAGCAAACAAACUACUUGGUUUGAAGAAAUUAAUGCACGACCGCAUGAAGAGAGUGUGAAGGUGUUUGCAAAUAACCAAGUUACUUUAACUAUUUGCGUUCAUAUCCAUUUUUUCAUGGAGGUAUCGGACGUUGAGAUAAAAAUAUGGAAAAUUACCUUUUUUUUAGAGUUAACUCAAGGUGCAAUUCUAUGUACUAUGUAGCAUGUAUGCCCCAACCCCAACUAACAACAAUAGUGUUAAACAAAUUCAAAAGCAACAUCAUUAACAUAACUAAAAGUACUCAACAUACAAAUUAUCAACAAGCAAGCAUUUUAACUUCCCAAAAAAGGUGAACUAUUAGGCAAUUUUAAGUAACUUUUUUUAGCAUAAAUUGGUUUGAAUAAUUCAAACAGCAGACCAAUGCACUAAGACAUAUUAAUUGAACUAAGGUUUGGUUAGCAUUCAUAUGCAAAUUUGUCAUUGUUUACCUUUAGUGAAUCCACUAUCCACACAUAGUAAAGCAUAUUGAGUCUAUUGACCAUGAGGGGAGUUUGAAUUCCAACCUUGAAUGGUUAGAAAACCCACCAAAUUCAAGAAACCGUCCAGAUGAAUUCAAGUACGAAAUCCAAAAUAUCUAAAUUUGAAGCUUUAUUUGGAGAAAAAAUGGAAAAGAUUUUCAAUAGCUUUUUUGAGCUGGUGAAUUUUGGACCUCACCGAAUUCUCUGGUUAAGAUUCAUCCAACUUCAAAUCUCCCACAGCUCCCCACUUUCCUCCUUUCCCUCACACAAUUCCCAAACAUAAUAAUCUAAGAGCUCUAAUUCGGAGCUAUCUCACAUACCCAUUUCAAAUCUCUGGCGGAAAAUCAUUGAAGGGGUUUCGUUUUUGUUUCUCAAAUCGACUCACAGACGAGGGUGGUCGAUUUUGAUUAGCGUAUUUCCUCUGGUUUCAUCUUUCUGUAAGGAUGGUGGGAGCUUUAUCUAUGGUGGGUUCUUCAGUAGUGGAUUCUCAUAGCUCCCCUUGUUUGUGUUUGGAUGCUUUGCCCACAACCAGCAUCAAUCUCAAAAGUUGUGGGGAUUUUGUAAUGAAAAAGAAAUAUUCAAAGGGUCGACAGCGUUUGCCGAAACCCAAGCACUUAGAUCUAAGCAGCUCGUUUGUCGAUAAUGGCCGGGAGUGGCUGCUCUCGGUUGAUAUGAUAAAUAGGAGUUCGAGGAAGCAGACCAAAAAUAGAAGACUUAUGGUUGUUGAUGAACUUGGGGGGCAGUAUGAAGAUAACUUUGAUGAUGUUAAAAUGGUAAGAAUGUGAAUUUGGAAUCGUUAUUCAUCUGUAUGCUUAAGACUGAAUUUAGAUAGGUAUUUAAGCACGUUUUGGUAGUUUAUUGUGUUGCUGAAAUGUAUCUUACUGAAUUUGGAUAAGAAAUCCUAUGUAGCUUAAUGAACGGUUUAACGGUUUAAGUCUGAUUCAAAAGUGCUUUGACUCUGUGAUGUGGUUCUAGCUUUGUGUAGUAUUUAGAGCUAUUUUCAUGUUGAUAAGACAUACUUUUGGGUACUUUGGAGAUUAUAGUUCUUGGAAGGCUUCCUUUUAGACGACUUUACUUGAACUAUAGGUUAUACAACUGUAUCCUUGAGUUCUAAGGAAGGCUUCCUUUUGGUUUUGCAAUGAUUUAGAUUACAAUUCAUCUACGGUAUGCAGCUUAGGAAUUCACAUGUCUUUCUAGUUCCUUGAUUCUUUUUCUAUGUUGAUAGACAUUAAUGAUAUAAAACAACGCUACCAUUAUUGUCGUAAUGAAGUAUUCAGAUGCAGAUGGGGCUCUCAGCAUAGGAAAAUUGUGGGUAUCCUUUCUUCCAAAUGAUCAUGCGAAGAUUUGGUAGGGAGCUGAGAAAGUUGGCCUUUCUACUAAUACUUUAAAGGCAUGCUAGACUCUAGAGUAACAGCACUAGCACAUGUUCUCUUGCUUGCUAGUGCUUUCAAAAAUUGGAGGGCAUUCAUUAUUGACUUUAGUAAGCUAGCUAGAAAUAACUUCUUGGAUGCUGUGGACUUGGUUGACCAUAACUAAUUGUAUUAGAGUCAAAAUUCCGGUUACACCAUGGUUAAGAGGAGUUUCUGUCUUAUGUAAUAUUGGGGACUGUAUUAACAUAAAUACAACAUAAAGAAGUAAUGCAAAAUCAAAAAUUGUAAACUGCAAAAAAUUGUCCCACACUUAUACUUCCACAUAAUCACUAUACGAAAGGACCUAUUACUAGAAUAGCUUUCAAUACAUAAAUUACGAUUUUGACUGCUGAACAACCAAUAUAGUUCCAAGCUAAGGAAUUGGAAUAGAAAGUUACAUUGGUCGAUACAGCAAUAAUCACAAUUGUUACUUAAGUCGACUCACGAGGCUUUUCAAAGCCACCAGUAUGAUACACAUACAAUGCAAAAACCAACAGGUUGAUGCCAAACGCAACUGAAAAUGUUCUUUUUAUACUUACGAGAUAUGCUUGAGACUUAAUCUUUUCAUUAAGUUUGUUAUACUUAUAGUCAGGUCCUGCAUUUUCAAAUUGUUGGUUGAUACUUCUUUUUAGUUUGAUUUUAAUGAUUUUCCAGUUUCUUGAGCGUUAUCUUCUCCCAUCCUUUGCUAAUUCAUUUGCCUAUGAAUUAAUUAGUGAACUGACUGAAAUUUCUCUGGCCCAGCAAAUGCUUAAUUAUUUUACAUACAAAGCUGUGAGGACUGUUAUGAACCAGCUGUAUGAAAUGAACCCCCCACAGUACAGGUGGCUUUACGAGUACGUGCUAUCUUUUGUUGCACUCUGAGACCUGCUUUUUUUGUUAUUUUUUUUCACUGGAGUUUGUUUAAUAUGCUGGUUUCGAUAUAGAUGCAUGAAAUAGUUGCAGUAUUUUAUAUCGUGCAAGAUCAAGUUUGGCUGUUAAACUAUUUCUUGUUAGAAUGGAUUUGGUCUUAAAUUUUGAUUCAUAUGUUUUCUUAUUCACAGUUUCGUGUUAAACAACAAGCCAACAGAUGGAAAGCAUUUCAUCCGCAGGCUUGUAAAGGUACUUCUUAAAAUUCAUACCUACUUCAUGACUUGGAUACUUUUUUUGUGACAAACAAGUAACCUUCAUUCAUUAAUGAGAGAAAUUACAAAAGAGGCUCAAGUGAUCAUAAGAAUCAUAAAAAAAAGAAUUGCCAAUGAAUGAAAAGAGAAGUUAGGCGUGUUAGUAAAGGAGUUUAAAUCUUUAGCUUUUUCCUUGAAGAUGCAGAUGGUUUUUCUUGAGCGAUGAUAACCAAAGGAUGGCUUCGUUGUGAGAGAUCCAUAGACCUCUUUACUCUUUACUAAUGUAUGACUUGGAUGCUAAUUAGUUGUACAGAGAAGCAAAACUUGUCUAAUUGAUGCUUCACAUAUGUUUUUCGCUAUUGAUUUUAGGGCAUGCUAUAUUUUGGAUUGAUAGUUGAAUAAAGGCAUGCUUUAGAAUGAUUUUGAGUGCAGCAUUAGUGAUUUUAACCAUUUCAAGAGGCUUACUAUAACUUGUUCCCAAAGUUCUUAUGGUUACCUUUUUAGCAUUUGGCUAUUAGUAGAAAAGAAAGGCCUGCCAUAGCACAAAGAUGUUACAAAAUAUGAUACGUUUCAAUAUGAUUGUUAGAUUGUGUACCAGUCUCUAUGCUUUAACUUCUAGUUUAGUCUACAAGUUUCAUUAUAGUCUAUCUAUUGAUUAAACCUACUACUAAGUAACAUGAAAUGCACCAUGUACAUAAACAUUCUCUAAUAAGUGGAAAAAUAGCUGUUCUAAGUAUGUAUAAAGCUCCAUCAUUUGUUGACAAAUUAGAAGUAGGAAAAAGAGCUAAAGUCAAAGAUUUGUUUAUAGGAUGGAGGUUUAGUAUGUGAAAAAUGAAUGCAUAUUGGAGUGAGAAAAAACUGUGAACCUCAAAAUUGCAUGCCAAGUUACACGAAGGCCUAUGCCUAAUUGAAGCCAUUUUGCUUGACAAUAAGUCAGCUUAAAUACACAACUAAAAUAUUUUCUUUUACUUCAAAAUCCCAAAUAUUCCAGUUUAAAUUUAGGGCAUCAAGGUUUAAGGUCAUUUACGGUGCGGUAGAUGUGGGAUGGUUGGCUACACCCACAAAACUUGUGUUUAACCACUAUUGACAACGAAUUGAAAGCAUGCACCAGCUUAAAUACACAACUAAAAUGAUUUCUUUUACUUAUGGAUUCCACACAUUCCAGCUGUAAAAUAGCGUUUUACUUCACCUGAAUCAUUGUUUUCCUAAUUGACAGGAACAGCAAGAUCUUGCUGAAAGAGUAAUGAUCACACGUCUCCACCUCUAUGGAAAAUGGGUGAAGGUAUUGUUAUCAUUAUAGUAUUUCUUUCCUUUCAAUACUAUAUGUUCUUUUAAUUAUAGGAAGACCAGUAUUUAUAUACAUGGAAACAAAAGCUUGCAAAAAUUUAUUUCUUCUGUGGUGUAGAAAUGUAACCACGCCGAAAUAUACCAAGAGAUCUCGGAUGAAAACGUGGAAUUAAUGCGAGAACGACUUAUGCAGACUGUUAUAUGGCCUUCAGAUGACACAAACACAGAGAAGAUUGGCUAAAGAAAAUAUCGAGUCAUUUUGAGUUCUCUCUUCCUUGACAUUCUUAUUGUAUUGCAUCCUUCAAUCCUAAUUAGUUUGAUUGUCGAGUUGCCAAUCUUAUUCUCACUGGUUAAGAAGUAGAAAAUCAGUGCUGCAGUCUUUUUUUUUUUGGUUGAAGGUAUGUAUGUAAUCAAUCAUUAUAUAAUGUAAGAUGUAUAUUCAUUUAGCCUCCAUUUUAGUUAUUGUGAAGGUAUAAUGUAGAGCUGGGAUUUCUUCUGUGUGCUUCUAUUUAUUCAUAUGCAUAUUGGGAUGAAAGGAUACUAGAAUGAGCGAUAAUGUGCGAUAUAGUUCUUUCUUUAUUUUCCCAUGUUGGAUAAUUUGUUUGCACAACUUCAAGCCUAAUGGACAUAAAUAUGUCUUCUUUUACUUGAAUGUGCUUGAAUUUUGAGAUUGUUUGGCAAGUUAUUAAGCAUGAUGUUGAGAAUAAUAGAACUUUUCUCGAGUUAGUAACAUGUAGGACAAAACUAACUGAUUAUUCAAGCAAGAGAGAUUAUAAGUUGGUAAUUCAUCAAUAUAGUAGAAGGAAGAAGAAUAAAGCUAGCGGGAAGAUAACCAAAAGUGGGGGCCACAAGGUAGAAGGGAGUCAUAUAAAUAGGAAAUAAGUGGGACGGGAAAGUCAGUUAGUUUCUGUUGUAAAUCAGUUCGAUGCAUUCUUGAGAGAUAAGAUCGCAGAUUGGUGAGAGAGAGAUUGUAUUCAUCGAAUUGAAGUAAUCAUUCAAUUCGAUUUCUUAACCUGUAAUCGAAAAUGAUUAAUAGCAAUAAAGUUUUAAAUUCAAUUCCUAUUGAAUCUGUAUUGGAUUCUAAGUUCUAACAUAUUGGUAUCAGAGCAAUUCAUCUUGGGAAAACAGAGGAAGAUGACAAAGAAGCAUGAAGAACAUUUUGAAGCAAUCGAACAAGAAAUUUCUGAGAUCAAAACGGGUUUGUAGAAGAUAUCGGUGACGGAGGAAAAGUUAACGUCAUUAGUGAAGAACAUGGAACAAUUAAAUGCUCAAAGUGAUAAGGAACAUCAGCAACAACAAUUAAUGUUGAAGAACUUAGAUCGAUUGAAUACGCAAGCUGACAACCAUAAACAACAUCAAACAUUGAUGAAGUAUAUUGAGAGUUCAGUUAAAGAAAAGUUGACGACUACUUUCGAUAUGGAAGGAUCAUUGAUAUAGAGUAUCAUCCAUUCUAGAUGUUUCUUUUAAGUUCUUUAAUAUUUCUUUGGCUAAUUCUUGAGUAUCUUGAAUUACCAUUCUUGUAUCUUGAGUUCGUUCUAAAUAACGAACUCAAUUCAAAGUUCGUUUUAGAAUAACUAACUUCUAACCAACUCUUGUAAACUUCUAGCCUAUAAAAGGUUUCCCUACUCGUUAAUAAAAAACAUUAAAAGUAUUAUUCACAAAAUUCCUAAGCUUCAUAGUAGUUGUAUCAGUUGGUAUCAGAGCGUGAUCCUAGCUCACUCUUCGCACAAAAAAAAAAAAAAAGGAUUUUAGCACUCCUAACCAUGGCCGCGAAAGCCUCCUUAAACCAAUGAUUCCAGUUGGUGGAACAAGCUACUGAAGAACUCCGAAAAGGACAGUCAUCAUUAGAUUUGACUAAUAUUUUUACCCGAUUUCAUGUCCAACCUUUUGAAGAAACAAUCCAACCCCCAAGAAACCCAAUUGUAGUGAACCAAGUACCAAGAAACCCAACUGCAAACCAAGGACGAUCAAGAAAUCAACUCGUUUACAUCCACAAUAACUGACUAUAUGUGAAUGCAAACAAGGAAAAAUAUCAGGUCUUAAAGCGCAAGACUGUCAUAUUUUGCUACACCAACUUCUAUCAAUCGGUGUUCGUCCAUUCUUACCAAAAAUGUGUACACCGUUAUUACUGAACUUUGUAGUUUUUUUCCUGAUUUGUGUGCCAGGACAAUAAGAGUAAGUGACUUGGACAGAUUGUAGGCAGAUAUCAUAAUUAUAUUGUGCAAACUGGAAAGAAUAUUUACUCCAGCUUUUUUCAGCGUAAUGGUACACCUAGCAGUUCACCUACCAUACAAGACCAAAGGUUGUUGGUUCGGUUUCUUACAGUUGGAUGUGUCCCAUUGAAAGAAGUCUCCGCACACUAAAACAAUAUGUUUGUAACAAAGCACAUUCUAAGGGGUCUAUUGUAGAAGGUUGUCUUAUGAACAAAUCAAGUACUUUUUGUUCUCGAUAUCUAAGUGAGAUUGAGACCCAAUUCACUAGAGAUGCUCAAAAUGACGAUAGCAUUCCAGAUGACGAGGUGAUUGGUGAGUUCGAAGUGUUCGUACAGAAGCUACGAUCAUUGGGAGCGUCCUAUUUUCGAAGCAUAUCACAAAAAGAUAAACGACUCUUUCAUUGGUACAUUCUCAAUAAUGUUGAUGAAAUAGCGAAGUACGGCAAGUAUGUAUCUCUACACUAAUCAUGAUGAGUUUUUGUUAUUAUCGCUACCUUAACUCAAAAUUAUGUACUUCAGGAAACACCUACUGUUGAUCCGUCAUCAGGAUGAAACCGUUUCUGAAACUUUUAAAAAACAUGAACAAGCUUUUUCUGAAUGAUUCAAAGCUCAGGUAUAUAGUGUAGAUGACUUUGAGAAUUUGUCCAUGCGGUAUUUUAUAUUCUAUAUAUAAUUCGUUCAUGUACACUCAUUUCAAAGCUCAUGUUAUAGCAUAAGGGCGUGAGAGUUCAAACAAUAUUUCUCAAGAUUUCUUCUCACUCCCAAUGAGACCUUCACUUGAGGUUCACUCUUAUAGUGGAUGCAUUGUCGGUGGCGUACGAUUUCACACAUUGAAGCGUGAUUUUUGACACACAACACACAACACGAUUUCACACAUUGAAGCGUCAUGGUAGUCGGUGAAGGUAGUGAAGGUGGUGCCGACAACAAUUUCUACGAUGUUUUGGAUGAAUUGGUGUAUGUUUUGGAUGAAGCAUCGUGGAUUACAUUGAAGAAUUUUGGCUUGGCUCUCGAAAUAACCUUUCUGAAACUGAACACUGACAAAUUUCCAGGUUUAUUCAUGAUCUACAAGAUGAGAUUACGGAUAUUGUAAACUUACAUUCUCUAAUUUUUCUUUCAGAUGUCAUCUCCUUGGCUUCCAAGAUUAAAGACAGCAAAGAGAUCAAGAAACCAAGAUUUAUCAAAGAAAGAACAAUCGGGGCAAAUAGCAAAGAACUAACCCAACUAAUUCAUUUAGAAACUUACAACAAGCAAGCUUGUCCACAUCCUCACAUCCUGUCAAGAAAAAUGACAAUCCACCAAAGAUUUCAACCACCAAACUAGGUAAAAAUACUAUAAAAAAGAAUGUUGACAACGUUUAUAACCAUCCUACUUUGAGUAAAUGCUUCAGGUGCAGUCAACAAGGACACCUCUCCAAUGAGUGCCCUCAAAGAAAAACUUUGGCAAUUGAAGAUGGACAAGAAGAUGAUGUCUCAGAUGACAACAUCUAUGAGAUUUCAACACCAAAAGAAGGAGAUCAGUUAUCUUGUGGAGUUCAAAGAAUUCUUUUCACUCUUACGACCGAUCGAAUACCUCAAAGGAACUUCCUUUUUCGAACAAUAUGCAGCAUUAACAAUAAAGUGUGUCAAGUUAUCACUGAUAGUGGUGGUAGUGAAAAUUUGAAAACUAAACCACACCUGAAUCCCUAAGGUUGUUGGAUAAAAAAGGGGGGAGAAUCUACUAUUAAUGAGGUUUGUACUAUUUAUUUAUCAAAAGGACAACAUUAUAAAGACCAAAUUAUAUGUGAUGCUCUAGAUAUAUGGAUGCUUGCCACAUCCUUUUAGGACGACCUUGGUAAUAUGACACAGAUUACGUUCAUAGAGGUAGAGCUAACACUAUUGAAUUUGAUUGGGUGAGUCAUCAUGUAAUUCUUUACCUAUAGCCUAUAGGCAACUCCCUCGAAAAAAAAAUUAACCCUAAUAGAGGAAAACAACUUUUUCCAGUAAUCAAAGGUAAGGAGUUCUUGCCAUCCUUUGUCAUUAAAGGAAACAACACUACACCUUCAAAAAAUCACACCUAGUAAGAUAACAAACCUUCUAGUCGAAUUCUAAAAAAUAAUAGAACCAACCACUUCUCUGCCACCUCUUAGAAAUAUACAUCACACUAUAGACUUAAUGCUUGGUAGUAUCUUACCUAAUCUACCACAUUAUCAAAUGAACCCUAGGGAGUACAAACUCUUACAUGAACAUAUAGAAGAACUCCUUAGCAAAGGUCGUAUCCAGCCUAGCCUAAGUCAUUGUGUUGUCCCAACUUUAUCUUGCUUACUAACCUCUUUUCUCUUAAAUUUCUUAAUUCCCAAAAACCAAUUAGUAGAAUGCAUACUCGAUGGCUACAAUUAUUGCAACGAUUCAAUUUUGUGAUUAAACAUACUUUAGGUAAGACUAAUAAGGCUGUUGAUGCUCUCAAUCGAAAAGGUAUACUUCUCACCACCCUCUAAUCUCAAAUAAUUGCCCUUGAUCAUCUCCCUACAUUGUACCCACUGACAUUGAUUUUAGAAGUAUUUGGGAAGCUUGCUCAGCCGUAAACCUUGCAAAGACUACUACAUUGUUAAUGACUUUCUCUUCAAAGGUAAUGUUUUGUGUGUACCUCAUACAUCUCUAAGAGAGGCAAUAAUUAAAGAAGCACAUUCUAGUGGGUUAGCAGGACAUUUUGGUCGAGACAACAUUAGCUGCAAUUUGUGCCAAAUUCUUUGGCCACAACUUAUGCUCUAUUUGUCAAACCGCUAAAGGUAAUUCUCAAAACAACAUUCCUACUUUGAGCAUCAUACACCAAAAUUUGAAAUAGAUGUACCCAUAAGCAUAUAUAUUUCUUUUCAUUUUUCUUUUUUUCCCCUACCUCCAAUGUUUCUUGUAACUCUACUCCACAAAAAGAAAUUAACAACAAUAAUAAUAAUUAUUAUUAUUAAUAAUUAAUAUUCUAAACAAAAUUAUGGCUUUGGGAUCUUCCCAAAUUAGAAGUUUUGAUUUUAAUUGUAGUGCACAAAAUGGUCAAAUUUAAAUAAAAAGGUUAGAUAAUUCAAUCUUAAAUCAAAUUGAAUUAGAAAAAAACAAAUUCUUAUACCAGAUCAAAUCAAAGACUUUAAAGUCAAUCUUGGAAGUCUAUUCUAUAUGUAAGCCAGAAUUUGGAUAGAAUUCAAUAUUUCACCUUGAAUUAAAAAUUAUGGAACACGACAAAUAUUGUAAACAAAAUUCAAAUUAAAUUUAUUGUUAUAGAAAAUUAUGAUUGGAAUAUAACAAGCAAUAUUAAAAUGUAGCCAAAUAAAUAAUAAUAAUCACAUAGAUUUCAAUGCUCUAAAUUAAACAAUUCAACGUCCCAAACAUAUACUUGCAAACACAUUAUUCAACCAAUAGAGGCUGGUAUGCAUCCAUGACUUGAUGAUAAUUGAUAUAUAUUCAUCAAUAUAUAUUAUAUGAAGUUGGAGGCUCAAAUCCUCCACAUUACCUCUUGUAACACUUUGUAAAAUCCGAGGCUCCAGAAUAGCCAUUGAGGGAAUUCAAACCACCGUCAUUAACCCCAAUGGAAAGAGAUUAUGUUAUAUCCCAACCAACACCAAUUAUCUAAAUUUAAGCAUCUUAAAUUCUGCUGCCUUAUCACCCUCUCAUUUGUACACUUAGUAAACAAAAAAUGUUAGAAAAGCAAUGAGGUGGAUCAUCAAUAACCACACAAGUUAGAACACACACGCAAUCUAGUUAAUUGGACUGCAUCCCUCCCUCUUGGGAUCACACAAUAAGAAUAGUUCGUCUACCCAAAAAGCCACAUAAAUACAUUAGGGAUAAAUAUGGAUCAACACCACAAUAGAAUUUCAGAAGUGAUUCAUAAGGCUCUCUCAAUUUCUUUAUGUAAAAUGCCCUCGCUGGAUCUUUAUCCUAUUCGUUAACCAUGAUUGAAUCCGCAUAAAUUUAAUUGGCAACAAAACAAAAUAAACAGGAAAUUAAGCAUAGUAAUAGAUCUGGACAUCAUAACAGUAAUUACUUUGAAGGAAGGGAGACAACUGCAUGAAUUGAAUUACUCUCCCUAUAUGCUUGAAUAAUAUGAGCUAUCCCUGAAAAGGUAUAAUUUAGAUAAACAAUCAUCCAUUUGGUUUUGGGUAUUUUUCCAUAACAAAGCUACAGGAUAUGUUUAUCAGAAAGAAAACAUGCCUCUAGGUCUUAGUGACCGCUGGAGCAGGGUAUGAAAAGGUCAAUCUUUUGUCUAUAUUCUGAACUCACCAAAGAGACAGCUAUUCAAAUUACAUGAUGAAUAUUGAAUAGUGAAGUUUUUUAUAGGCAAUAUUUACGAGUCUUAUAUUACACUUUCAAGCCAAACUAUCAUAUGAUAUGACAAUGUGACGUACUAAACAGGAGAAAAAGGAAAAAAAAUUUAGAGAAAGAGAUCAAAAUUUCCACCAAUAGAGGCUGGUAUGCAUCCAAAAAUGAAGAUUUUUAUGAGUAACCUGUAAGGCCAAGAGUCGCUCGUGGAAUAUAUACUGGAAAACGAGGAAAGCUUCAUGUUCCUGUGAGGCCAAUGACAGCAGACAAAGUUUUGGUAUGUUAGAGCUCAUGUUACAUUUCUUUAUUCAUAAAAUAUUACAAAGCAAAUAAAGAUUUCCCAGGGUCGACAAAUCUCAUUAGAGAGACACAUAUACAACAGUAAAGUUAUUUAUCACAAUUCACAAAAGAAAAUAUAGAAAAUGAUAGACUACAAGAUUCACCAAUUGAGUACUAAAAAUUUGUCUUUUUUUCAAGAACAAUUGCUUAUUUCAAAGAUACUGUUACCGUAAUUUAAUAACAUGUGACAGUUUGGUUAUAGUUCACAAGUAAAUUAUGAGUCACUUGCUCAAUGAAAUAAUAAGUAGCAUUUUAUUUCAAUUGGGCAUCUGGGAAGGGAUAAUCAGACCUAAUCAUACAAGAUUCGAACAUACCAGAUGGAUCAAAGCCGCCAACGAAAAGCUCAACAAUAUCCUACAAAAACGGUGGAUGAAAAACAAAACUGCUAGCAGCGGACUUCUUCCCUUGGGUUUUGAGGAUGGGAAAAUUUAUAAUGUAAUACCAUCACCGAAAGCUAUUAGCUGUCCAAGCACUGUUCUCACACGGAGCUAUAAAGGAGAAAACUUCGUAUUAAGAUAAUAUAUGAGGAAAAUGGAGGAUGGGAAAGUUAUAUGGUAAAUAGAUCUGACCUUUACAUCCAGGCACGGAUCAUUGACCAUAUUCUUUAUUUGAGAAACAAUACCGGCAUUCCGUAGCUUAGUAACACGAUCUAGUGCACGAGGACUUGAAGGCAAGGUAAGAUUUAUUAUUGCCCAGAUCACAGCAAUUCGAAGCUGACUGUUAUCACUCUGCAAAAACUUCACCACAAACGAGCGGGUCACGUCAUCUCCUCGUGGAAAUAGUUGUUUCAUUACCCCUUCCUUAUGAAACUCAUUUCCACUUGCAACAUUGCAAAGUACAUACAUUCCCUGCAUCAGUCAAACUUCAAUAAUUAUUCCACUACAUGAAGCUUAUCACUUUCUUCUCUAACACCUCUACUACUCCUUUGCAGUAUGGACUGCUUAAUAGCUUCCAUUGAUAUACUCGAUACAGAUGUUAUAGUCAUAUAAAAUUCCUAAAUACAGAUUCUAUAGUAAUAAAAUUCCUAAAGGAUAGUUAAAAAUGAUCUGCUGCUACUGAAAUUUAACUGUUCAGUGCAGACAGCAUGGACAUUAGCCAUCAGAUGGCGCCUUUCUUUGAAAUCAUGCUUUCUUUAAAUGCAUACAACAUAUUGAACAUUUCAGUAACAUAUAUGCAGCUGCAGAACUUCACCUGUGUCUAACUUUUUGUUCCUACCAUUAAUAGCAGACCCAGAAAGUCAUCUUAGGGGAGCACAAAUUUAUGGGACGUUAGAAGUUUAACCAAUGAACUUCAAAAUUUGUAUCUGGUCUCUAAACUUUAAGAAGUGUCAACUAGGUCUCUCAAGUUCUCAAUUAUUUUGUCAAAUAGAUUUUCUUAAAGUGUCAGUUUUGCAUCAAAUAAAUAUUUAUGAAACUUGAAAUGUUUAUCAAAGUUUAUUAUAGAACCAAGUUUUUUAUACUAGUUUUUCUAAAAUAAUUUACAAAAUAUUUAUAUAUCUGUAUAUGUUUGCAGAUAUGAGAAAAAUUAAAAUAGAAUGAAAUUCUAUUUAACCAGUUUCAACACUCCAGAGUGCAUAUUAAAAUAAUGCAAGAAUAUUUAUAUAAUUAUAUUGCAAAAUUAAGAAAGAAAAUUGAAAACUAAAAGAGUAUAUAAUAAAUAUGAGUUUAAAAAUUUGGAAAAAAAGAAACUAAUUGAAUAAACCAGCUUUUUUCGAUUCUAAACUGAAAAUUGCAAAUAAUAGAAAAUAUAUUUCCAUGUAAAUGAAAUUAAAAGAAAAUAUUAAAAAAUUGCAAGAAGAUGGCUUAAUGAAGGAUCGAACAAGGUUAGGCCUUGGGAGGACAACUUAACGACCAUGCUCACUUGACCAUUGUACCAAAGACAAAUUAUAUGAAAACGUUCAAAGAACGCCAUACAUGUAUAUAAAACUGAUCACUCGUUCCCCCUUUUCCCCAAUGUGAAUCCACCCCUCCCUAUCAUCCUAUGAAAGAAAUCCACCAUCAUUCUGAAUCUUUCCAUCAUUAUUGGCUCCCUUAAGAAAUUUCAAAAUCUCCUUCCAUGUUUGAUAUCAGCUUUCUAAGAGUAAAGUAGACAUGUAAAGAAACAGAAGUUCUAGACAAAUGCCACAAUCGCCAAACCAAGUGAGGAAGGGUAUUGAAACUCCUAUGGAAAGGAGACAGUCUUAAUUGGCUAAUUUCCCAAGGUCGUUUGCUCAACCAAACUCCAUAUAUUGAAAAAAAAUUGGGUUUCCAUCUAAACACAUGACCAAGUAACAUACAAGCCACAGGCUUACGGCAUAAGCAGGCAAAAAUGACAUUUCCUUUAUCUUUCGUCACUAAAGUGAUAAUUUAAUUUUAACUCACAAUUUUUGUUUUUUAAUCUUGUUUGCUUUCUUAAAAGAAAACAUGAAAAUAGUUUUAUUGCUAAAUGAUGUUAUAAACGAAAAGAACAUCCUGAGACUAGUUAAAUGGUCCUUAUGGCCUUAAAACUGGAAAUAUCUCUCUAGUUUGUCGGUCUCUAAUUCUAUGUAAAAUAGUACUGAAUAGUGUCAGACUUACUUAUAAGAUCUUUCCGGGAGGGAAAACGUCAAUACUUCGACAUGGCAUGUUUAAUCAAUUUGUGUCUAUUGUCUUUAGGUGACUAUAUGUUUAUUUUUAUUCAGCAUGGUAGUAACUAGCCAUUAUCAAGCUGGGGUUAGAGUUGCCAGGUUAUUACUGGUAAGUUGGUAACUGAUACCACUUGGUAAAAUCAGGCUCUUCUUAGAAAUAGACUACUUUCCAAUCAUUACUUAGACUUUUCCUCUCCAAAAUAAAACCCUAAAAAUAAAAUUAAACUAACCUGAACUCCAAUUUCAUCCGUUGAAAUAUUUUGCAAUUGCUGGCCAAUAGUAUUCAAUACAAUAGCAUCUUCAGCAAACACAUACUCAAUUGAAUCCUCACAUCCAUCAAUAAGAUUGCGCACAAGGGCCAUAGCAUGCUCCUGUAUGGAAGGCUCGGGAUCUGAACAUAAACAGGUGAUGCAACAUUUGAUUAAACACAAAAGAAAAUCAACAAUAAAGAUGGACAGACAGAGUUCAACAGUACCGCAAACAAGGCUAGCUAACAAGGAAGCUGUUAACUCCAUGAAGAUUGCUUCCUUACACAUAAUGUUCGUGAGGAACAUUAAAUUCCUUAAAGCCCACAAUGCAUUAAGCCUUAUUUCCAAGUCCAUAGACUUUGAUAACCGAACCAGCUCUUUCACACCUCCACAUCCUAUAAAUAUUGAUCUCUUCGUUGAAAAUUCAACCACUAUGUUGCUAAUAGCACCAAGUGCUGCAAGCUGGUUAAAGAGUAUGAAAUGAUAAUUAUCAUUCAAAACCAAAAAUAACUGGAAAGUUCUCCAAACAACCCCUUUCAAUUUGAACAUUCAAUGGCUUAAAAAGUCGGAAGAUUCCCACUAUUGGGAAACUUGAUUUAGUAAGAUAAUGGGCAUACCUGAACAUCAUUACAAGGAUCGUGUAAAAGCCGAACUAUGGGAAGGACAACUGCUUCGUUCAUAAAGUAACCUGCGCUCAAAUUCUGAAUAGGAUGCUCUUAAAAAACAGGGGAAGGGGAAAAGACUGUGAACAUCAGAAAAGCUAAUAUGAAUACAAUAUUACACACCUUGAUUGAUCGAGAAACACUUCUCAAGCAAGUGCAAGCUGCAAUGCGUAUGUCGCUACUUUCAUGUUUUAUGGCAUCAAUCACUAUGUUCAUUACCUAGGUCAAGAUUAUAAGAAAAUAAACAAAGUCCAUAAACCUUAGAACAAGUUAAAUUGAAACGAAUUUCAGAUUGACUAACCUCCAUCAGUCAGCAGCUUAGUUAAAUUAUCAAAAUGUAGAAUAAAGAAAGAAAAUUUUGAGUACCCACUACAAUUAAUAUAUUUCCACGUGCUACUUCUUCCUUCUUUUUUCUUUUCCUUUUUUUUUUAAUGUUUUUCUUUUUUUUUUUCUUUUAUUGAAUUGGAAUAGACCAGCAGGUAUAAUUUAACUUUUUUCCUUUGAGAAACAGAUAACAGGACACCUUUGUCAAACAGAAAAACAAAUCUUUAUAGCAAGAAUCAGUAGCAACUUAGGUCAGAAAUAGAGCCAUUGAGAAAGAUUCAAAUAGACAAGCAAGCAACUUUAGAUGUCAAUUUAGGUACCUAGUCAUGUUGACUUAGUGAAAAACAUGACUAAUCUCUUGACUAGGAAAACUGCACAAGUUAAAUACAAGUAAUCGAUAAAUGUUAUGAUCAAAACUAAUAAGUUGGUUUCAUAAUAAAUAAGUUGAUGCAAUCAGAAUAGUAAGCAAACCUGCAAAGAGAGAAAUCUAGACCUACAGCUCUCCAACUUUGAGCACAGAUGAGAAAAGGCCAACAACAUUCCUUGAAAACGUCUAGGACUUAACUGAUCCUUUUGCAAGUGAUUGUACAACUUAUCAAUUGCAUUUGCCUCAAAAGCUAAUUUCUGUAGCUCCUCCUUCUCUGCAAUUAAAGUUGAAAAAACAAACGGAGCUUCAUCUCCAACUUGAUCUGGACUGUCAAGAAGCUCAAGCAAACUAUGUAUCAAUUUCAUUUUGAUUCCUAUAUCUUGAAAAUAACAAGGUGACGAAUUCCUUAUAACGAUCAAGCAUACGCAGGCUAGUAAUCUUGUCUUGGGAUUUCUAUCCUUCAAAAGCUCAAUUAUAUAAUUCAGACAAUCUUCUCUACCAGGUUGCAUGAACCUUGCUAUCGCUUCAACAUUAUUUUUAAAUAUUGUCGCAAUAGACUCUAAACUAGCAUCCCUUUGACUUAGAGAACCAUCAAGAAGGUCAAUCAGCUUCUCAAGAACUCCACCAUCAUGCAAUGCCUUCUGCUCUGCAAUUGUCUCACAUGAGUGAACAAUGAUACUUGCUCCAAGUCCAGUCACGUUUUCAUUUUGACUAUUCAGUAAUGAAAGAAGAAAUUUGGUGUUUUCCUGCUGAAGGAAAUCAUGCUUAGGAGCCAACUUCGAUUGAUAAAUCAUUCUUAACGAACGAGCUCCAGCAUCCACAACCUUUGAAACAGAAAAAAAUUAUAUACCCAACAAAGUUCACAUUAUGAUUGAAAAGUGAGGUGAAAAAAAGAAAACAGAAAAAAUGUUGCAUUAUGUACACAACAAAUUUUUUUAAUUUGUUGAAGGAAUAAUCAUAAAAAGAAAGGAAAAAUUGGAGAGAUUUUGAAAGGAAUAACUCUUUUUUUGCUUCUUCUUUCCUCCUUUUAGAAGAUGGUAGUUCUAAAAGAGUAUUUAAGGAAUCUGCUAACUAAACCAAAUCCUUCCCACACUCCAAAAACUAGUCCAGUUCCAACGAGAUCUUCUUUUUCAUUUAGAUUAGAAGAUAGAAGGAUCGACGCCACAGAAAUGAAACUAAGAACUAAGCGAGAAUUAGAAAUUUGCUUGAAUCCUUAAUCAACGCGUUAAAAACAAUCCUUGCAUUUGUAACUUAAAAUUAACUUCAUAAAUGAAAAUUGCAACACACCAACAAUAAAAGACUCCUCAAUUUCCUAAGAAAUGCAAUUCCAAAUUGAAACAAAACUGCUAAAGAGAAGAACCUUGGGAUCGGGAUGGGCAAGCAAUCGAAGCAGUCGAGGGAAAGCUCCGGCAUCGAGAACGGCAGAGACACCAGCGUCGACGCCGCAAGUAAAGCUGCCAAGAACAGCAGCGGACUGAACGAGAAUGUUGGGGUCAGAAGUGGAGGAGAGAAUAGCAGCUACAUGGGGGACAACGCCGAGCUUGAUGAAGGAAAGCUUCUUAGUGCGGUUACCGAUGAUCUGAUUUUUGAUGUCUCUCAAUGCCUUGAGGUUAACGGCGGCGUCAGCAACAGUCAAUCGGGCGAUGAGGUCAGAGGAGGGCUUGGGAAUCGCAGAAGAAGCUGAGGUUGGCAUCGUCCCAGUACUGAGGGAGCUACUGGGAUGGGAAUGGCAUGGAGGCCAAAGCAGAGAGAGGUUCAACACAAACCUCCAAUGGAGUUUUUCAGGGGAAAAGGAUUUUUCUUUUUUCUUUUUUCUUUUUUGGAUCCUCCAAUAAUUUGAUGGUUCAAAAGCAAAAUAAAAUCAUCUUCUUUGAUAAUAUGUGUAUUUUUAUCAAACUAUCAUUCUAAAUAUAAAUACAAAUUCCAAUAAUGCUAUUCUUUUUAUUCAAAUUGCUCUUCAAAAUUUAUUGGUUUUCAGGGGGUUUUUCCAAAUGAAAGAAAACAAAACUAGUUUUUCUAAAUAUGUUAGUCAUAAACUUUUUUGGAUUUCAAAGUUGACCUAAUUUUUUUUCAAUAAAAUAAAAAUAUUUAAAAGUAAAUUUUGAUUUUGGAAUGAAAAUUUGUUUUAAAAAUACAUUAGAACUUUAAAAAGAUUCUCUUACACUAAAAAAAGUCAAAAAUACAUUUAAAAAAUAGUUAGUGCAUGAAUAGAAACUACUAGUAAGAGCAUAGUAAAAAUAACACUAUUUUCUAAAAUAUAUAUAAUUGUUUGAAUCUUUCUUGAGUUCGUGAGAAAGAAAAUUAAACAAGAAAAAUAAAUAGUUCAUUUUCCUAAAAAUGGAAAAAUAAUCUAUCUUAGCCUUCUUAAUUAUUAUGUUAUGUUAAGUAAAUAAUUGUGUUCAAUUGAUUGAAGGUGAUCAACUUUUUUACUUCUUUAAAACUCAUUUUAUUUUAAUAAAAUUAAACCACUAGAUUGAAUUCAAUUUUUUUAUACUUUAUAUAUUUUUAGACUAUAAUCCAGCUAUUUAUGCAAUGAUGGUAAAGAGAUAUCAAAUGAAGUAGUUGCAUGCCUAGAAUUUCAUGAAAGAAUUCUACUCAUCAUUCACGUUCAGAUAGGCCAAAAUUGAGAAAGUCCCAAAGGCUUGCUUUUUAAUGGACAAAAAAACUUAACUGCUCCCUUAGAUGCAGCUACGUAGUUCGAUAUAAUUUUGCCACGUACUAUCAAUAUUGCUUUCUAAUUACUUAUGUUGUCAUAUAGAAGUGAGGAACACAAGAGAUAAGAUGCACUUAUUCAUUGCUCUUUUCAAUAACGUGUUUCUAAUUAAUGUUUACUUCAAAUAUAAUGUCUUUGAUGUAGUCUUUGUUUCUUUUUCUUGCUCCAUUCAUACUUAAACCGUGUAUCUUGUAUUCAACUAAUAAUGUGAUUGUCAACUUCUAGUUUCUAAGAUCAAAAUCAUGCAAUCCAAUGUUUGGAUAUAUCUAUAAGUUGAUGGAAAUAUUCUCUUAAAUCACCCAUUGAUUCAAAAGUUUAAGCUGAUGGAUGAAGAUAAAUUUAAGGAAACAACAUCAAAUAACAAAAGCAUUUAGAAAAAACAAUUCAUGACACCUCUUUUUCGCGAAUAUGGAAAAUAUGACAAGUAAUUAGUGUUAUCAGACGACUAUCGAACGGUUAUCAGAGAACUAUCAUAGAGAUAUCGGCACCUCUUUUUUGCUAUUUUUGUAAUUGCCCCUAAAUUUAAUAAUACAAUCCAACACUUCUCCUUCCAUGUAGGCUUGAAUUAAGCUGAUGAUUCUUUAUUAUUCUCUCGUAUAUAAAAUACGAACUUCUCAUUCGAAUAAAUUUCAACACUAAAAUAUGGUAGAAGAAACUCAUCAAAAAUGGAAAAUAUACAUUAAUAUCACUUUGCAUGUAUCCCAUUUACCAUCAAAUAUCAUCAGAGAUUAUAACAUGCAUGGGGUAAAUACGAAAUGAGGAAAAUAAAUAAAUAAAAGAACUAUUUAUUCAAGUGGACCGUACAUAAUCUAUGGUCAUAAGUCCAGAACAUAACAAUGUCAGGUAACCCAAUUUUUGUAGUAGGGUAGGAUUAAUGUAUUAGGUUCAAAAUCCUUAAUUAAUUAGGAUUUGAGAAUUAGUUUUCUUGGUUUAUUAGGAUUAGUUUCUUUUAUUAAUUAGAGAUUAGAUUUAGUUUGCUUCUGAAUAGAGGACCUAUCUUCUUAUAUAGACAAACUUUUGAUUAUUAAUAAAAUUCUCUCCUUAGUAUACAUCAAUUGAUGUCAAAGCAUGCAUCGAGAUCAAUUAGGCUUGGUGGAGGGAAAGAAACCUUCCAAAGACAUAAACUUCUCAAAAUAAAGAGACAGAGACACAUGUAAUGAAACAAACUUUUCUACACUUUUCUACUCAACUGAAGUCAUUACCAUUUAAAUAAAUAUAGAUUUUUUAAUUUUAAAUAAAAGAAAGUACUAAAUUUUUAUAAAAUUGUUUUAAAUAUUUAGUUAAAAUCAAUAAUAAAGUAUAUAACGAAAGAAUAAAAUAAAUAAAACAUUAAUUAGAAAACACUAGUCGGGCCCUAAUUAAAAUAAAAGGAUAUAUUUAAAUAUACUUAUAGUUACGAAAAUAAAAUACUGAAACUUAAGUACUAAAACAUAAAUUGUGGAAUAAAACUUAAACUAUUUUCUAUGGCGAACCACGGUCAUUCUUGUCAUUCGCCAGUUUUCCCUUACCUACUUUUGCUUAAAAAAUUAAACAUAGAAAAUAGUGAGUAUAAACGUAUACUCGGUAAGGGGCUACUACUAGUCCUGUUAUGUAUCUAUUUCAUUAGGAUAACCUAGGUAACUUAGUCUUAAUCUUGAGUGCAUUAUGAACUCCUGUUUGCGAGGGGUUGUCCUUUGAUUUGUACCGGUGAGAGUGGCAAGAUCAUUGAUUCAAUAAGCUUAUCAUUUUGGAUACAAAACCUAGCAUAAACUUGAAAACAUAAUUAUCACACCAGAUUGAAUUAGCUCCUUCUCUACUUGAGGGUAAGUAUAUGAAUGUUCCCUUAAAUGGUGUCUUCAGAACUUGAAAAAAUGGCCCUAUCCUCUCUAUAACACGAGAGGAGGUUUCUGUUUAUUGGUAGGACCAUAAAAAAGUUGUUCAUUAGAGGGGCACUUGUAUUUAAGGAUUAGAUGUAACCUAGGGGUAAAACGGUAAAUUAACCUCAACUAGUGUUACGAACACUCGUGAAGGACUAACUUACUGUUAUUGGUCUAUAUCCACAGAUACAAAAAUAUAUCUACCAUGAAAAUAGUUCAGUUAUGAGUCUUUAGUGAAGUGUGCAAUAACUUAUACUUCACGAAAUGGGAAUUUCUAUGUUGGGAUUAAAUGGAAAGGGGAAGGGAUAAAAAUCGAGGGGAAACAAAUUGAUUUCUAGGAUUUCAUUACAUAGGAAGUGAAUUUUUUACUUUAGGUGCAUAUGUAAGAUUGAUCGACAAGAGAGACCAAGUCAAUACAAAUCAUCAAAUUUAAUUGCAAACAAUUUUUCUUCUCCUAGUAUUUUUUUUCUUUUCAAAUAGAUCUUCUAUUAAGAAACAUAGCAGGCAGGUACUCACCCUUCUUUUACCUUUGAAACCUCACCAUGGGAUAAUUUAUUUUGCCAUUUGGUAGACAAAACAAGUUUGCCCGAUGACUUGGUCGACAGAUAGGUUGACAUUCCAUUUUUUCUCCCUCCAAAGUUCGAAAGUAAAGUUUGAAAGUUGAAUGUUGAUAUUCCACUUUUUCUCCCUUCCUUUAAAAGUUCGAAAGUAAAGUUUGAAAGUUGAACGUUACUAAAUCUGAAAUCUUUAACCUCUAUCUUCCGGUUCUAUAUAUCUUGAUCCAUAGCUUUGAUUAAUCAACAUGGAAUGUUCUUGAUAUUUAUUCAAGCAAAUCUUACCUUUUUAAAAAGUUUCUUCAAUUUCUUCACAAAAUUUCUCUUGCGUGCAUCUUGGAAUUCACAUAGGCUCAUGAGAAUAGGAAUGUCCUCCUCCAACUUCCAACCAAAAGUUCCCUUAAAUUCUUGGCAUUUCUUUUGUCCUAUGAGGAUUAAUAUUGGUCCCUUACCCAUAUGGAUGAAACUCGGUUGAAUGAAACUCGACCUGGCUCGGAUGUGACUUUUAGAUGAUAGAAUUUUCGUCAAUCCCACUUUCGUGCUCAUUUCUAUCUCAUUCUCAAAAGAAAGAAUGUCAUUACGUAUUGAAUUAUUUUUAUCUCAUUUUCAAAAGAAAGAAUGUCAUCGCAUAUAUUGAGUUUUAAAAGAAAGAAUGUUUUUGCACAUUAAAUUCCUAUCCAUCAGAUAAUUUUGACGAUUUGCUAAAAAAAUUCUAUAUAAUAUAUAAGUUCUUAAAUGGACAGAUAAUAAAUAACCAAAAUUCAUAAUUGCAGUCAAUAUGCCCUAGGAUUAAAUAUUUCUGUGAUCGAAGAUUGACAAUAACCUGCAUGAACCCAUCUUCACAAAUAUUGAUGAGAUUAAAGCCAAACAAUUGGGAAAUUGUAAAUUCCAAUUCAAAUUUAUAAGUAAACUUUAAUUUCUCUCAAUAUUGGAAAGAUUUUGAAUAACAAAUGCUUUAAUCCAAGAACAAGACUGUUGCUCCAUCUUCCAUACCUACACCUAACUUCAUAGCCUAAAUAAAAUGUUACCUUUAAGAGGACCAAGUCUAUCAAGAUGGGUUCUCCUUCUCAAUCUACUAAUCCUUCAUCGAGGAAAAAAAAUCGGGAUGUGAUUGAAUUUCUCAUGUUCCACGUCAAACCGAAAUAUGGGAAAAAUAUUUGGACGAUGGUGUUGGUAAACAACUCUUUCUCAUUAAAGAGCUCCAUCGAAGUAGACACCAUAGGAACUAAGAAGGCACAAAGAAAGGUUUGGACCAUUGACCACUAGUAGAAGAUAAUAUGGCAAAUGCAUGUUAAAGUUUCUACCAAGGUACCAAACUUCUUAUGAGAGAGUCUCACAAUUUUGUAAGACUUUGUCUUGGGGCUAAAUCCAAAUGGUAAACAUAGUUGGACUUAGAAGGAAGUUGAAUAUACUCAUUUGUCAUGGGAUUCGAUAGGCAAAGACCCUUAAAACCAGAUGUACUUAUAGGAGUUAGAGAAAGAAGGAAAAGUCCAUUGCAAAUUUGCAAGAAUGUAUGAUUUUGAUACAACUUUUGGACCAACUAGGAUGGAAGCUGAACGAGGCAACACGAUUGAAUAUGUUUAGAAUCCAAGUCGAGGAAGUGGAACUUUGAACAAUGGCAAUAAUAAUCAUCUAAUAAAGGCAAAGAAAAACUUGGAAGUUGAAGGUUGAAGGUGGUUUUGUAUUAUCAUCAUCAAUAAAUCAUCAAUAAAGUUGUGUUUCACAGCGGUUUUUCAUGUGAAAGUAAACGAUGUUAAAUCUUAUUUGUGUUUUCUUCAUUAUCUCAAACACACAUAUUUGUGUGUAUAUAUAUUUAAAGAAAAAAUCCUCUACCUAUAUCUAAAACUAAAAUAUCAUAUUAUGGAUUUUAUUUAAACCAUCAAAUAAUUUAAAAAGAACUAUAUAUAUUUUGGUUGAUUUUUAUUUAACAAAGUUAUUUAUCAAAGUUCAAUACGAUUUCGUUUAUAUCAAGAGUGUUAUAUUUGUAACAUUUUGAAUUUUAGAGGCUCAAUGAAAACCAUAAUAGAAAUUGUGGAUCAAAACUACAUUUCCCCCUAACAAAAUAAUAAAACAAAAAAAAAUCACCUUUAGUUAGUUACAUGUAAGUUACCAUUUAGUUCAUAAGAAAGUUUUCAAUAUUACAAUAAAUAAAAAACUUUCUAUACUAUCUAAUUUCGUUUAUUUGACCUCAGAUCAACACACUUUUUAAAAAAUAAAAUGCGAUUAUCUGAUAUUAACGUGGAAUUCACAAAUGUUUGUAAAGACAAAUAUAUGGUGUGGACGUGGAGAGUGCAUGAUAUUCAUGUAGUACUCGAAAAAUCAAUGCUAACAUUGAUCAAUACUUUUAAAUUUGGAAUGAUUUACUAAUUAAACUUAUCAUGAAAUAUAAUUUAUUCGUCACAUAAAUAAUUAGUCCCCUCCAUUGAAAUUUGCAACUUAAUCCAUUGUGAAAAAUCUCAUAAACUAAUGGUCAAUUUUGAUUAUGCAACAACUUUAGUGAUUAUACUAUCAUUUAUAAAUAAAUUUGAGUUUUAAUCAAUUUAUCAAUCUAGAUCAGUAAGAAAUUUCAUUAAAUUUCAAUUGUAUUCUUUACGAUAAGAAUCAAAUCAAUACAAAUCAUCAAAUAUAAGGACUAAAAUGUUAACAAAUUUGAAAUUACAUGAACUAAUUAAAUUGAAGCAAAUUUAAAGUAGGCAUGAACUUUGAUAUAGUUAGAAAAGUGACGAGUAAGUUGUCUAAGUGAACUUAACUUAGUCAUAAUUGGGACGAACAUCUAUGCAUCAUACUAAAAAAAUAUUUUUUCUUUCCAUGAUGUAGUUUGAAAAAUAAUUUAUUGUUUAUUUUAUCUUUCGAAUUUAGCUUAGAUUAAACGUUGAGAGUUUUUUUUUACUAUUAGCUUGUUCGAUAAUUGUUGUACUAAAAAUGAUAUGUUAACUUAGAAAAUGUGGGGAACUAAUCAAUUUAUCCUCAUCCUAUUCAUUUGCUAAUUGAAUAACCAACAAACAAACGGCAGGAGUUAGAGUUAUCAAAUCUGCGACCAAACCAAACCACCAUGACCAUGUUCAUCAUCUGGAGCUUCUUCUAAUGAAAUCCAUCGCACCAUUUGAUUCUUCAAAACACCACUAAUUCCUCACAUUUCUCACCCUUAAAUCCCCUUUUUCCCAUAAUUUAAACUAACCCCAUUUCUCUCUCUCUCUCUCUUUUCAUCCACAUUGUGGCAAUGGCGAUUCCUGCUGUGUUUGUCAUCGUUCCUCUUGGCCUGCUUUUCAUCCUCUCCGGCCUCAUCGUUAAUGUUAUUCAGGUAUUUGGAGAUUUCCCUUUUGUUUUAUUUUCCUAUAUUUAUCGUGAGUGGAAGGAAUUGCCUUUUUAUAGUUCUGGUUGAGUUGGGUUUUCAUUGUCGCAAUUAAAAGGGUUGAAUUAUUUUUGGAAUGGGUUGCAUGAGAUGUAUUUUAUGAUGUGGAGUUGAUCUUUCCACAAUCCUGAUAUAUUGGACUUUAAUUCUUUUUUAUUUCUGAUUUGCAAAUUAGUUUUAAAUCUAGAUUGUUUUCUUUGAUUCUAUAGCUGCUUUUCGCACCUACUGUAAUUGAAAAUGGAGAUGAUUGAAAACAAGAAAAAUUUAACCGAAAUCAUUAUCAAACUAUGUUUCAAGAUGUUUGUAGUUUGUUGAUCUUGUAAUCCAGAGUGUGUUUUACUACUAAAAAUCAAAGAUAUACAUGCCACUGGGAUUAUAUGAAUAAGAUGGACUUAAAUAUUUUCCCUCCUGUAAGCUGUAGCUUUUUAUUUUUAUUUUUAUUUUUAUUUGUCAUUGAUAUUCUUAUUCUUCUUAUUAUUGUUUCGAGUAUAAUACUUAUUGGGAUGGAGAUUGAACCUUUCACCUCUAGGAAUGACAGGUAAUGUCAAUUUGGUGAAGCUGCAGUGUUUAGUUAUUUGUUGUGAAUUUAAUAUUUUAGAUAUUUGUAUUUGUUCGCAACUCAGUCUUGUACUUCUCUUUUACUCCUUUAGGAACUGUAGCUUGGGUUUAUUAAGUCCGGGGUUUUAAGCGGGUGCUUAGAUUGUGGAAAAAAUAUUUGUUAAGCCUUUGUUUGGAUUGCAUGGGGAGAAUAUGCUUGUUAAGCCUGUAUUUGGUUUCUAUAUUUUCGAACCCUUAACUUAACUGGAUGUAUAUGUAUAAUUGUUUCAUGUAAUUCAUGAAUUGAACUUUCAGGCGUUUAUCUUUGUUCUUGUUCGACCCAUUUCAAAGUGUUUGUACAGAAGAAUCAACAAAGUAGUUGCUGAAUUGCUAUGGUUGGAACUCAUUUGGCUAAUCGAUUGGUGGGCAGAAGCAAAGGUGUCACGGUUUCUUUAAAAUAUGUUUGGUUCUUAACAUGCAUCUCUUUGCUAUUUGAUACAAGUAUGAUACUAGUUACCCUUUUUCCCCCAAAUAGUUACUUUUUUGUGGUAAACUUCUAAGAUGUGAACUUUUUGUUUGAAAUGGAAACGACUCUUUUCAUUGAAGAGGUGAAAAGUAACUAAUGCUCAAAAUAGAAGAUACCAAUUACCAAAUAAAGUACCAAAUGUAGAACCAACCGAAUCAAGCUCAAAGAUAAAGUGUUUAAAUAAAUUACAAACACAAGCAAAAACAUUAGGCUGGAAAACUAAUUUCACUCCAAUUUAAGCAUAGAUCUUGGAUGGAAAAACUGACAAAAGACUUCUGGGAGGAAGUGUUAAUCCAAGCAAGAUAUUUAUCGUGAAAGAUCCUUUAGUUUCUUUUGAACCAAAUUUCUUCAAACAAUGCUUUAACCACAUUAGACUAAAUCAACCAAGGAGAAGGCUUCAAAACUGGACUAACCAAAAUCUGCACCACAUUAUCUCUAAAAUCAUCACCAAACACCCACCUGAAUUUGAAUAAAGAGAGUGCCGCCAACAAUGAUUUGUAUGAGGUUCUGUACACCUUCAUUUUCAGCCUAAGAAAGAGGACACUUCUGAGGUAUGAACUUGAACAACUAAUAUUAAUACAGAUAGAGAUAAAAAGAGAAUUUUCCUAAUUAGGCCAUUUAAUAUAAGUUGAGUUUGCUUAGGUAACUUGUUUUUUCUCAUUACAGGUUGAGGUGUAUACAGAUCAAGCAACCUUCCAAUUAAUGGGUAUGCUAUUAGAAAUUAGAUGUCGAAAAUUUAUGAGUUGCAAAUAGAACCUAAUCAAGUACAUACAAAUUUACAGGCAAAGAACAUGCACUUGUUUUAUGCAAUCACCGUAGUGACAUUGACUGGCUAGUUGGAUGGGUCCUAGCUCAGGUACUUUAAAUGUGUGGCCAUCAGUUUUUGAAUAUUUUCUUUCUUCACCCUUAUGACUGUAUUCUAUGUUAAGAUCAAGAUCAUAUCGUAGAUUAGGCCAAAUCUAUUAUAUCCUUUUUCUUCAAUUAUUUCAAAAUAUACGCUUUGUAUUGCAGCGUGCAGGUUGUCUUGGUAGUGCCUUAGCCAUAAUGAAGAAAGAGGCAAAAUUCCUUCCAGUAAGUAUUAACUGUAUGGUGUUAUUUGCAUUAAAUGAAUCUGUAAGCCAACCUUUGUGUUUCUUUAAGCUGCAUUAUCCAUAAGGGCUCACUUUAUGAGUUGCAGCCAGUCAUUUUGUGAAUGAACAGAUUGCAUGGGAAUCGUAGAGUAAAAGUUAAGCGCGUUCGUAUCAUGAAAGUUCUAGAAAUAAUAAGAAAAAUCCUGGUUGUUCAUUACUCUAGGAUUGUUCAAAUCAAAAUCUCAUUGUCUUUUAAGAAUGCAUCCUUCCCAUUUCAUUUUGAUUACAAUUCUAAAUGGUAUUACAUUCCCAUUAUGCCUAUUUACUUGGUGGACCCCAAGAAUCUAUUUUUAUGGGGCUAAAUUUUCACAUGAAAACCUAAACUUCUAAACUCUCACAUCCCUCCUCAUCCAUUAUUCCACUUUAAAUAAUGGCUGCAUAAAAAUUUUCCUACUUUUGUCUGAAGCACAAAUAUCAAAUGAGCAUAACUCAACAGUAAUUGGUAUGAACUCCUCUCCUUAGGUCAGAGUUUCAGAUUUCCGUACUCCUACUUGUUGUACUUGUAAAAAAACACCACUGAUGUCACUAUUUCCAAGAGUGUAGUUGUCAAUGUUGGGAUUCUGAGUUUGUUCAUAAUCUCUCUGUUCUACCAGUCGACUUUCUCUAAGAAUUUAUCUACUAAUUGGCAAAAGAUAUCAUGCUACUGUUGCAGGUCAUUGGCUGGUCAAUGUGGUUUUCUGAUUAUAUCUUUUUAGAAAGAAGCUGGGCCAAGGAUGAAAGCACUCUGGAGGUGAGCUCAUAUAAUUGCAAUAGUAGUUACUUUAGUGUUUUUGUCUCAACCUUUCCCUUUCCUUUCCAACAUUGGAGGAUUUUAUUGCAGUCAAGUUUUCAGUCGCUCAUGGAUUUUUCCAUGCCAUUUUGGUUGGCACUUUUUGUUGAGGGAACUCGUUUUACACAACAAAAGCUCCUAGCUUCUCAGGAAUAUGCUGCAGCUAGAGGAUUGCCUGUCCCUAAAAAUGUUUUAAUUCCUCGAACAAAGGUAAAUUGAAUGUUCUUCUAUUACAGCUAGGAUAAAACACACCAUGCCUAUCAUUUUCCUUAUUAUCAGCCUGUUAUUUUCAGGGUUUUGUUUCUGCAGUGAGUCAUAUGCGCUCGUUUGUUCCGGCUAUUUAUGAUUGUACAGUGGCCACUUCUCCAAAAGACCGCCCUCCUACAUUGUUGAGGAUAUUUAGAGGCCAAUCUUUUGUGGUACGCCAACUAACCGUUGAAGAAUACAAUUAUUGACUGGUUGAUUGUCCAUGUAACAUUUCUUACACACUUGCAUUGUUUCUCUCAUCAUUUACUAGUUCAAGAUAAUGCUUAUCAAUCUUCAUCACCUAUAAAUUCAUCUGUUUCAUGACUGAAUGUCUCUGCUCCUUUGAGGUUUAUGUUAUGUUAGUUUGUGCUAAUAUAUAUGUACGGUGCUCUCCAUUCAAUUAGAAGUCUAUCAGUUCCUGAAUCUUGGACAUGGCUGGAGGAAACUUCUUUAAUUUGAUCUGUGUAAUUGAGCAUUAAAGAUUCUUAGCAAGUGAAUAAAAUUUUGAGAUAAAUGAUGGUUUGUGUCAUCAACCGUGUCUUAACUUAAAAUGAACUGGGUUAGUUAUGUAACUUAUGUUGGUGCUAGAAUAAGAACAUAUUAACCUUGAUACCAUGGUUGUAAUCAAUCCUUAGUUGUGUAUGAACUGAUAGGUUUUGUAUAUUCUAUAAUAAAUAAAAAUUAUACAUCUAAGAUGUGCCCAUUGUACAGGUAAAAGUGCAAGUCAAGCGACACGAAAUGCAGGAAUUACCAGAAACUGCAGACGGGAUCUCACAAUGGUGUAAAGAUCUAUUUGUUACCAAGGUAUGGGGGAUACUUGCGAAGUUUAUAACAUAUUACCAUUGCCAAGAGGAAAAUGUUGGAAUCUUUUGUAUUUAAUCAUUAAUCUCUUUUGAUGGCAUGAUCGAUUGAUGGUAUUAUAUCCAAUAUCAUGUCACCUUCAGUUUGUAGCACAGAAGUAAUUUAUUUCAUAGGAACCUGAAUUGCACCGCACUCUACUACCUAGUUUUUGGAUGUCUAUAAAAGCUUUAAUCUGAUGAGCUAUUAGCUUCUUUUAUUAACAAUCUAUUAUUUGAUAAGGUCCAUUUGGAAACAAUUUCAUUUUUAGUUUCUUUGUUUUUAAAAUUUAUGUUUGUUUUUUAACAAUUACUCUUUUUUGGUUUUCACUUUGUCUUAAUUGAUAUUUGACCUCUUAGUCCAAUUCUAAAAACAAAAAUCAAUUUUUGAAAUACUUGUUAGUUUUAAAAACUCGGCAUGGUUUUUGAAAGCAUGAGCAGAAAGUGGAUAACAAAAUAUAGAAACUUAUGCAUAGAAGUUGUGAUUAAGCUUAAUUUUCAAAAUUCAAUUACUAAAAACAGUUUUUGGUUAAUUGGAAACUAAGCCUAUAACUCCUCCUUCUGCCUCUAGGUUUCUCUGCAAUGUUAUCUAUUUUCUGCCAAUGUUUUUUUUUAUAAAAAAACAAUCCAAGUUUUGAAAACUAAAAAAGAGUAGUUUUUAAUUUUAAAAUCUUGACUUAGCUUUUGAAAACAUAGAAGAAAGUGGCAACAUAACAUAAUUCCGUAGGGAUACAAGUAAAGUUUGUAAGUUUAAUCUUCAAAAACCAAAAAUAAAAAACCAAAUGGUUAUUAGAUAGGGCCUUAGUUACUUAUUUGUUUGGUUUGGUUGAAGUCAGUAGCUGAAAUAAGUAUGCAACUGAACAUACUUUCAGUUUUCUUCUAUACUUUCCAACUUUUCUUGCAUUUUGUCUCUACUUGCCUAUGUCUCUUUCUUAACUUGAACUUUGUGCAUUUCCCAUUAAAAUCACAAUUCCAAUCUCUCCCUGUUAUUUAUUUCUUUGGGAAACUUUUCAGGAUACAUUAUUGGAGAAGUAUAUGAUCAAGGAUUCAUUCAGUGAAAAACAACCUAUUGAUAUAGGCCGACCAAAAAAGUCGUUAUUGGUUUGUUUGCUUGACAUUAAGACUGAGAAACCACCACAAACACACGUGACACGUCCUAUUUGCACUUUCCUCUCUCCAUAUCGAACUCAGAUCUUUCUUCUUGUCAACAGGUUGUUCUUUGUUGGUCAUGCAUCUUGGCUUAUGGCAUUGUUAAAUUCUUCCAGUGGUCUGCUCUCCUAUCCUCAUGGGAGGGCAUUGCACUCUCAGCAGGCCUCUUGAUUCUUAUAAUCCUUGUUAUGCAACUGCUCGUUCAUUCUUCCGAGUCGACCCGUUCUACACCUAUAAUUGUAUCGUCUCAGGAUACCACCAAGGAACGAUUACUUCAGAAAUGAGAUAUCAUCAUCAACAUACUCAAUUCAUUAUUCAUUCCAUUCUUUGUCCAAUUUAGCAAUUCUUUCAGCUGAAGUGUAGAAAUUGUGUCCGUCUAAAGCAUUAUUCAACUCCCUUUCAGGCACCUGCAUUUGUGUGUAGGUAGGGGUGUUAGAAUUUAUUGUUUGUAUAGCUAACAACAAAAGUUUUUUUGACCACAUAAGUAAUGAAUUAUUUGGCCUAUUUGUGUAAGUUCGAUUCUAUCCCAUUAUUUUCACUUCAAUGAAAAAUACUCCUUUACUGAAGAGGCCAGGUUUUUAACUCUCUUAUAUAUUACAUCUAUGUGUAUAUCAUUUUAUUUUGCUUUAAAUAUCAUACUUUAGCUUCUGUAAUUUGGUUCAUUACGGUUCUUAUUCGAUUUAUUUUUGUUUUUGUACUUUAAAAAUGGACUAUUUUGGUACUUUAAUUUUAAUUUUAUUUUAUUUUAAAGAUUAAAAUAAUCACUUUUUGAAAGUUGAAGAAUCAAAUUGAACAAAACUUGAAAAUACAACGACUCGAAACCAAAUGAACUAAAGUGAAUCAAAAUCGAAAGUAUAGGAACUAAACUAGUUUUUUAACUUUUUAUUUUUUAACAAGAUUAUAGUGUCGUUGAAAUUUGUUUUUCUUAGAUUUUAGAUUGGGAUAUUAUCAAAUAUAACAAAAAAGAAAAAAAAAUUGAAAGACAUGUAACAAAAAUGAAUCAAAAUUUUCUAAUGAAUAAGUAAGAAUGAAAGACUUCUUGGUUCUUAUGUAUGUACAAAUAUCAGUUCAAUUAAGUUGUUGUUGGCUGCAUUUUGUUUUUUUUUUCAACAAUGCAAAACUAUAUACCUUCUUAGCUACAUCCAACUAUUUUCUCUAUAGUUAUUGCCAAAUCUGUAUAUUCUUUCAAACAUGUUUGAUAUAUAUUAUAAAAUAGCUAUAUCAAGUGAAUAGUACAAAAUUGGUGUAUUAGAAAUACGAUAGUUUAUUAUUAUUAUCAUUAUAACUCUUGAUUUACCCAUUUUUGUAAUUGAUCUUCUUAUAGUUUCCAACCUAAGUGUACAAUAACUCUUUUGAAAGUCUACCCUAAUUUGGUUUUGUUGUUAGAAUUUUCUUCAACGAAUUAAUUAAAGCUAACUCCCUAAAAGGACUUUUCUUCAACAACAUUUCUUCAAGUACUAUUUGCUUUAAUUUGGUCCUCUCCCCUUCCUCAGUCAAACUCAAAUCCUUCCAUUUUUCAAACACAGAUUUUUUUUAAUUUGGUUAGGAAAAACGCAAAAGUAUUGUUUGACCUAAAUGAUGAAUAUAUUGCAAAAUACCAUACCAUACCCUAACACUUUUACAAGUAAUAGUAAGUCUUCAAACCAUAUUGUGUCUACAACUUUUUUUUAAUUAAAAAAAAUUAGAAGGCAUUCUCGUGUAAUAUGUUUAACCAAGUAAAUCGUCUUGGAACGUAGUCCAAGUCACGUAGGUCAAAAUCAUUAACAUGGUCGGUCCACUACAUUUUGGUUAAGUGAUUAAUCGAAAACAUAUAUCAAUCAUAUUUAACAAUAAAAUAAAUAGAAAAUAGAUCUUUUAUCAUAAUUUAUUUAGCUAAAUAAUUAUUUCUCAAAUACAAAUAGUAAUUUGAUAAACUAUAAAUUAACUUUUUUGGAUGGUCAAAGAAACCAAUGAAUUGAAAUUUUUUGCUUUGUUAUGGUUAAUUACUUGAACAUAAGGUAAUAUGAUUUAGUGUAAGCUUUGAUGUCAUCAAUUGAAAAAUGGUCCACUUAGUCAAUAUUAUCAAUUAAAAAGACUAUGAUUAAAUUAGUAUAUUGUGUUGGGAACUUCAAUUCUAUUAUGAUUUCCAUUAAGAUUAAGAAGACAAUUUGAAGAUUAUGAUUAUGCAUUCAUUGUAUUAAUGAACGUUUAAGAAAUCCCCACUCCAUCGUACAUAAAGGUUAGAUUCAUAGAAUUUCCAAGCUCAAAUAGGGUUAUUUGGAAAAAAAAUGCCAUAAAAAAUAAUAAUUCAUUAUACAUUAAUCAACAAAUGAUGAAUUUUUAGGUCACCUCAAGUAUAUUAUUAUUGCUUCAUUAAAAAAAAUGUUUUAAAAUCCCCAUACAAUCAUUUGUAUAUAUAUAAAAAAUUGAAUGCUAAAAUUGUUAUAAUAUUUACAACAAAAAGCUAGUUGUUAUACCGUACGUUAUUAUAAUUACUUUUGGAGUGUAGAUUAUUUUAGUUAGAGUUACACUUAAAUUGAAUGUGUUUGAAGUGUGAACUAAUUUAGUUUGAAAAGAAAAUAAUAAACACACCAAGAAAGAACGCAAAAAAGAAAAAAAAAGAAAAAUGUAAAAUAGUAAAAACGGUAGCAAAUAGUAAAUAUUUUAGUAAGUUAAAGGUAGAACGGUGUAUAAAUGAAAUGUUAUAUGAUUUUACUGUGUGAAAAUGAAAAUUUUCAAAUAACAUAAUCAAAAUUGGUAUGCCGUAUUUACUUUUUAAUAUUUGUCAUAUCAUACCAGUAGGAGGGAAAAUCAACUUAUAGGAAGUUAAGAUUUUGAUGUUUUCAAAAUUUGUACACAAUUUAUAGACAACGUCGCUUAGAAGUAAACAUUUCUAGUGGUUAAUUGUUAGGUCAAUUUGACUGAAAAGAAUAGAUUUAAAAAUAGAGAUAGUUGCAAAUAUAGUAAUUAGAUUUAAAAUAAUUAAGUAUAUAACAACAUUUUAAAAAAAUUGCAAGUAUAGUAAAAUAUGUCAAAGUCUAUCUAUGAUAGAUUCUAUCGUUGAUAAACUAUGUUGCAAAUAUUAGUCUAUCAUUGAUAGACUAAUAGAAGUAUAUUGCAGAUAGAUUUUACUACAUUUGCAACUUUUUAAAAAUGUUGCUAUAUAUUUAAUUAUUAUUUCUAAAAUCGCCACCAAAUUAUAAUUACCCUUAAAAAUGAAGAAAAAGGAAAAUGAAACCAAGGCAAACUCCAUCAAUCACCUCUAAGCUCGAGGAGCCCCAACUUGAACAUGAGACAUGACCAAAAUGCUCUAUAGGUCAACAAAUCCACAAAAUAUCUAAUUUAAUUAAUUGAUAAGCGGAUUUCUAAAGAAGACAACAAAAGGCUCACGUUAAACACACGAUAAUAAAUACAUCAUUGUAUUAUAACUUCUAAAGUGGUAUAUUGAAUCUUACCUCAAACUUCCUACCUUCCACACUCUUCUACUUUCAAACUUAAGCAACUGUGUGGGACAAAAGUGGUGUGGGUAUUUACUUUUUUACAUUCCCUUUGAACAAAUUGAUUGUUGAAUGACAGUAAAAGAUUGUAAAGAGAAACAAGAGAAGAGAAAUAUGAAGAUGAAAUAAAAUAUUGAUGCAACCAAAAUGGAAAAGAAUUGAUGAGUAUUACUUUUGAUAGUUUUAGUUGAAGCACAAAAAAGUCCAAAAAGUAGUUGCAAAAUGUGACCAAAGGAGGAAGAAUUUUUCUUUAUCCACAUUUUACUUUGCAUAAAGGUUGGAACUUUGGAAUGGAAAAGUCCAAAAAGUCCAACUAUACAUGUGUUCAACAAUAAUAUACUUACCCUUCCUAUUAAUUCAACCCCACAUUUAUUUUGGCUUUCCUUUCAACUUUAAACUUAAUAUACAUAAACAAAUCCCAACUUGUUCUUUAUACUCUUCAUUUCCAACAUUUUCAAAACUAAACAAAAACCAAUAUAACAAACCCCUCUUCGAGGAUUCAUAACCAAAGCAAUGUUUAAAUAUUUAAACCCGUCUUUUCAACCAUACUUUUUCAAUUCAAAUCAAUCUUUGAUGCGUCUUCUUUCAUCUCACUACUUUGACAAUCUAUUUUGAUUUCAUGUGUUUAUAAAACAUGCAUAAUUAUUAUAUCUUAUAAACAUGUUUUUAUUUGUUUUUUAAAUCAUUCGAGAAAAAAUUAGAUAAGAAAGGAUAGAAAUGUUAUAUGGGAGGUGAAAGUAAUUUGUGUAAAUUUAAUUUUGAAAAGCAAAUACUUAAAAAGCAAAACCUUUGAAAUUACCAAAUUGGGUCAUACUUAUUUACCCUUUUUGUAAAAUAUUAUUGUGUAUACAUUAAAUAUUUCAACUAUUAUAUUUAUACUUGAAAUAAAAUGUGCAAUAAUAGAAUGGGUGAGAUGUUAUAAUUUCAUUUUUGUAUUUUUGAAACAAAAAGGCUAUAAAUAUAUAUACAUUAUUUUAAUUAGUACUUUCAGCAAUAAUUAGUACUUUGUUUUUGUCUCAUUCAGUUUAUAUUAUUUACUAUUAAUUUUCUAUUAGUUAUUCUAAAACAAUAAAUUAAAUUAAUGAAAAAUGGUAAAAAGAAAAAAUAGAACAUUUUGACCAAACAUUUACUAUUUGAAAAUUUUAUUUAAUUAAUUAUAUAUAUAUUUUAAAAUAUAUUAAAUAUAGUAAAAUCUAUUAAAUUCUUUAUAAAUCAUUUAAUUUUUUUUCUUUUCUUAGCUACCAUUUCUCUAUUUUCUUGACAUUUUAUCACUUAAAAUAGUUAUCUUUAGUUUUUAUUAAAUUUUUACUAUGGUCAAAGAUAAUGCAUAUCAUAAUAAUUUCAAAAGUUAGGAUGAAAACGAGUUUUCGAUAAGUUUUGUGAAUGGAGACAAUUUAUCUAAUUUUAAAAAUAUUUAUGAGUAUCUAAUUUAUGGAGUUUGUCUCUAUUUUGGAUGAUUUUCCUCUUCUUUCAAAAGAUUUUUGAAUUUUAAUCUAUGAACAUCAAAAGUUAGUUUGUGAAAAGAUUUAGAAAUUUGAAGAAGAAAAUAAGAAGUAAACUCCUGAUUUAGUAAUGUAAAUAUAACAUUAUGAAAAUGAGAGAUAAUAUAAAAGGCAAUUUAGAAUUUGAGGGAGAAGCCAUUGCAUUUUUUUAAUUCAAUGAUUUAACCUAAGGUUAAGAACUUGCAACCCAUCCUUGAAAAAACCCAAUCCGAAAGAUAAAUUAUUUGGAGAAAUACCCAUUGAUUGGGAAAGGAAGAGAAAAAGGAAGAGGUUUCUCUCUUCAUUUGAAUCAAGGAGAGAGAAUUUGGAAUUGAGAGAGAGACUCACACACAGAGAGGAGAAGGGUCUCUGCAAAUUGAGCUUUGACCUUCUCUCUCUCAGAGAACCCAUGGUGUUUUCACACUUUUGAUUCACUUUCCCCCCCCCCCCCCCCCCCCCCCACCCACUCCUUUCUUUAACCUUCCCUUUGAAAUAACUCUCUCAAUCUCCUCUUUCCUCCAGUUCUUCAACAGAUUCACACAAGACCCAUUUUGAUUUCUGGGUGUUUUCCAACAGAUUUUGAUCUGGAUUUUAAUUUCAGGUGAGCCCUCUGGGAUUUCUCUGUUUUUUUUUUCUCUGUUUAUUUGGGUUUUCUUAUCUUUUUCUUUUUUGCUUGUUUCCCUCUUUCUCUUUGGUUUGGUCCAUGACAAGACUAUCCUUUCUCGCUUUUGGAUAAUUUUGGGAGAUAUUUGCGUUUCUUCUUGUUUUUUCUUCUCCGUUCCUAUGAAUCUUUUUCUUGUUUCUUUCUAACGUAUUGCUUUCAAAUAUCUUCUUUUAAAAAUCUCGAUUCCCCUUUUUCUGUCUUAAUCGUUGCCCUGUUUUUGUAACAUCGAGAUCUGUUUCCCCUUUUUCUCUUUAUUCGGUGUUGUUAGGAUUUCUGAAGAACAAAAGAAAAAUUAGACCCUCUGAAAGCUCGAGGAUCAGAUUUGAUUCAUGGGGAAUUGCUGUGCUACUCCGGCUACUCCUUCAGGGAAGCAGCACAAGGGGAAGAACAAGAAGCAGAACCCAUUUGCAGCUGAUUAUGUAGUGAGCAAUGGCAAUGGUGGUGGGAACUGGGUGUUGAAAGAUCCAACGGGCCGAGACAUUUCUGCCUUGUAUGAUCUGGGAAGCGAGCUUGGAAGAGGUGAAUUUGGAGUAACGUAUUUGUGUACCGAUAGAAACACUGGAGAGAAACUUGCUUGUAAAUCGAUAUCGAAAAAGAAGCUGAGGACUGCUGUGGAUAUUGACGAUGUGAGGAGAGAAGUUGAAAUUAUGAAGAAUUUGCCUAAGCAUCCGAAUAUUGUGUCAUUGAGAGAUACUUAUGAGGAUGAACAGGCUGUUCAUAUUGUUAUGGAGCUUUGUGAAGGUGGGGAGUUGUUUGAUAGGAUUGUUGCGAGGGGUCAUUACACCGAAAGAGCUGCUGCAGUUGUCAUGCGGACCAUUGUUGAAGUUGUGCAGGUGAAACAUCAUUUUUAUGAGUUGUUAUUGUUAUUGUUGGAUCUUUAUGCUUUCCAAAUUUGUGGUUCUUGUUGUUCUUUGUUUGGAAGGGUGACGAUAAGGUUGUGUGUCUUGGUGAGCUUGAGUUGUUUCAAUGGUUCCUGAUAAAAGAUUCUUUUGAUUGUUUGAUUUCAUUAUGACUUAGGUUACAGUUACUAACGUGGUCACUGAACUUUGGUAGAUGUGUUAUUAGUUUUCUGAACUGCAGAAAGCUCUAUUUUAUGUCACAAACUUUGAAUUUUAAUUAUUUAUAGUUGUUCACUAAAUGAUAACAUAGAUAUAUUUAUUGGAAACAUAUUGGUUUAUUAGAAUUACGCUUCGAAUUGAAAAAUGUGGGAUACCCUCACCCUAAAGCACUGUAUGAAUCACUCUAGAGACCAUGCCACUUUAUUUUAUUGCAUUGUUUACUUUCUUAUGUUAUUUUCCUUCCACAUCAGCUCAAACAAGCUAAUAUUUAUCUAAUGGGUAUUCUACAAAACUAUUUUGAUUAAUGGUGCUAAUAGAAAAGUCACAUGUAGUCACAAUUUAAGUUAGGAGAUAUAGUAGUAGCUUUUUUAAGUUUACAAACUAAGUGGACAAAACCAUACAAGGUUAUUGACUAAGUUUGUAAUUUAACUGAUAACUUAUUUUUAGUAUUUGGUGACAAUGUUUCCAUCUGUGUUGAGAUUAAUGAGAAGUAAUAUGAUUCACUCAUACAUUUAAAUGCAUUUUGUUGUGCAGAUGUGUCAUAAAAACGGUGUUAUGCAUCGCGAUCUCAAGCCAGAGAACUUCCUUUUUGGAAAUAAGAAAGAAACGGCUCCAUUAAAGGCAAUUGAUUUUGGGUUAUCAGUGUUCUUCAAACCUGGUAUUAUUCUAGAUUCAUUCACCAUAACUGCUUUUGACCUUUCCAAUAUAUAGUUGUUUUUGUGAAUGCAUCUUUUCCCCUCUUCUUCGUAAACAUUUGCAAGUUUAGUAUAACAAAUAUGCAAUUCUCUUAGGUGAGCGGUUUAAUGAAAUCGUUGGAAGUCCGUAUUACAUGGCUCCAGAGGUCCUGAAAAGGAACUAUGGUCCGGAAGUUGAUGUUUGGAGUGCUGGGGUCAUUCUCUAUAUUUUACUUUGUGGUGUCCCACCUUUUUGGGCAGGUUUGUGACUCUUAACUUCGUUUGUUUUUUUUUUUCCACUUAAGGAAUGGAGUUAAAAAAGAACCUUUAAUUCAACUAAUAUUGGUUGAAGCCAAACUCAAAUCAGUCUCAAUUCCUUUGUGUUCUAUUUUGCCUGAUUAUGAUCCAUAUCAUAUGAAUAUCGAUGCAUAUGAAAAUUCUUGUGAUCCAUAGCAUAAGAACAUCAUGGCCCUUCAGGGACAUCUGAUAGCAUAAGAACAUCACGUGCGUAAAAUUUCUUGUGAUCCAUAUCAUAAGAACGUCACGUAUAUGAAGAUUCUGCUUUUUGCUUUUUUCUUUUCGGUUAAAUCAUCUUCAUAUUUUGCAUGCAGAAACCGAACAGGGGGUGGCACAGGCUAUCAUCCGAUCAGUAAUUGAUUUCAAGAGGGACCCUUGGCCUAUAGUGUCUGACAAUGCGAAGGAUCUUGUGAAGAAAAUGCUUGAUCCCGACCCCAAAAAGCGACUCACUGCUCAAGAAGUUCUUGGUAUUAGUUUUAUUCUGUUACAGAAGAUUAUGUAGGUUUUUCAAUUCAGUGCUUUAUUAUGAAAUGAUUUUCUCAUUUCGUUCUAUUCACAUGUAGAACAUCCGUGGUUACAAAAUGCCAAAAAGGCACCAAAUGUUUCAUUGGGUGAGACUGUGAAAGCAAGGCUAAAGCAGUUUUCUGUUAUGAACAAGCUGAAGAAAAGAGCUCUACGGGUAAUAAUAUCUUGAAUACAAACAACACUUCACAAUGGUUUUGGUAGUUCUUGCCGAAUAUUUAAUCCCGAAUGAAGCUUGAUGUCUCAAAAUUUGAAUUAUAUUGUAUUGUAGGUUAUUGCUGAGCAUUUAUCAGUUGAGGAAGUGGCUGGAAUCAAAGAGGCAUUUGAAAUGAUGGAUACUGGCAAAAGAGGGAAGAUAAACCUUGACGAGCUUCGCGUUGGACUACAAAAACUAGGCCAGCAGAUUCCUGACCCUGAUCUUCAGAUACUUGUUGAAGCUGUAAGCAUUCUUCUUUGUCUAACCCAUUCCGUAUAUUGGCCACUGUCUUCAAAAUCAUAUAUAACUACAGAUCUGGGUCUGAUUACUCUUUAAGGCUUGAACUCCUGCUCUGUACAAUCGAUCAUCAUCUUAGUUUAAAGAGCUUAAUGCUCCGACUUUCUUACUUGUAUGGACAAAAAUGUCUAAAAAAGUAAAGAAGCAAUGUAACUGCUGAUUUUUUUUUAAAAAAAUGAGUUUAACAUGUUUUGACACACGAACUCUGCCCAUGGUAGCUCCAUCGGCAUCUUGUUUGCAUUGUUGUAAAACAUGGCAACUGGAAGCUUUUGGUUAUAUUGUUGAACUGAGAAAAGUGUUAACUCAUGACAGGCUGAUCUUGACGGUGAUGGAACAUUGAAUUAUUCAGAGUUCGUGGCUGUUUCUGUCCAUCUUAAGAAGAUGGCCAAUGAUGAACACCUACACAAAGCUUUUUCAUUCUUUGAUAAAAACCAGAGCGGCUACAUAGAGAUUGAAGAGCUAAGAAAUGCACUUAAUGACGAUGACGAGACUAACGGUGAGGACGUUGUCAAUGCCAUAAUGCACGACGUGGACACAGACAAGGUCCGUUUUUGUUCCAUACAUAAUAGGGGUUGAAAUAUCUCAAAACCACACUACAGUGGGCCUAGCAGCAUUGUUUUGUAUAUAGUUGAUCUUUAACGCACACAUGUAAUGUUUUCCAUUUCAUUACUUCAGGAUGGGCGCAUAAGCUACGAGGAGUUUGCAGCUAUGAUGAAGGCGGGUACAGAUUGGAGAAAAGCGUCGAGACAAUACUCACGAGAAAGAUUUAACAGUCUGAGUUUAAAGUUAAUGAGAGAUGGAUCAUUACAUCUAACUAACGAAGCUAGAUGAAUCACAAACCUUGGAAGCUGAUUUAUUUUGUGGAUUUGGAUGGAUAGAUACCGGGAAGAAAUUACUCUGAAAUUUUUUCUUUUUUCUUUCCCCAACUUGAAUAUGUUUUACUUGGUUAGAACAGACAUUUUGGGAUAGCCAGAAUUAGAAUGGAGGUCUAAAAAGGGUCUCUUGAAAUAUUUAUUUUUAUCUUUAGGGUGUCUGUUUUGGGGUAGUUGAUAUCAGAGAAGACCACCAAGUUGUAGAGAGGGAGAGAGAGAGAGGGGGGGUAAAAAAGAACAAGAACAUAGUGCUGGUUGAGGACCUCAAAAGUGUGUGAUUGUGUGUACAUAAUCAAUCAAUUAGGCCAACAAGUGAUUUCAUUUACUGUUGCAAUGUAAGAAUUUGGUUGAAUCUUACUCUUACAUUUAAUUUUUUAUUUUUCAACGUCUUUUGGGUUGUUGGAUUAGCACAACAUUUGUCAACUUCCAAACAGUAUUUCUUUUGCCCUCUCCUUUUUUACCUUGGGUUGUUUGAAGAAGGAUUUGUUAAAUCUGAGUUUAAAAAAAUAAACCCAGCCUUUAACAAUAAUUGUAUUGCUAAUUUUAGGUUAGUCAAGAUGUAUAAUUUUGAUCUUCACAACUCUAAUUUCUUGUGUCAAACAUGCAGUUGGUUGUAUGAUAAUGUCAUCCCAUCUCGAUGUUUAUAUCAACUCUCAUUUAGCUAAGUUGUACCAUCUCAAUCUCCAUAAAAAUAUAAUAACAUCAAUAUAAUUAUUAAAGACAAUUUGACUCAAUUGAAAAGACAAAGCUCUAGAAUAAUGAAGUUUUCAGUUUAAAUUUGGUUUGAAUUUUGUAUUAACCCUUUAUUCAUAUAUAUAUAUAUAUAUUAAUAACAUAUUAGGAAGGAAUGGUAUAUAUUUCAUACUAAAUUAAUAACAAUUAAUAAUUCGUAAAAUUAAUACAAUUUUUUAGAUAACUCCAUCGCUCUUUUUUCACUUUAUAAGCAUGCCACUUAAUUUGGGGAGUUUGAAAAAUAGCAAAAGAAAAAUUUAUAAUAAUAUGUCUUAUGUCAUGAAUUGUAAAAGUAGCAAAUUUAAAAGCGGAUAGUCCUAUGAUAAUCUUUUCAUAACUCUCUAAUUGUUAUUUGAUAGUUGUAUGAUAUCAUUAAUUACAUGUCAUAUUUGUCAUAUUUGCAUUAUGCAAAAAAGAUGUACUAUGAACUGUUUUUUUUUUUUUUUUUUUUGUCAUCUAAUACAAUUUUUCUUUAAAUUUAGAAAAAAGUAUAUUGAAAUGUCAAAAUUUAAGUUUGGUAGUAUGUGGUGAUUAGGGAACACAAUCACGAGAGAAGGUUAAAGUUGCGCUUUUGUAUAUUUAUUUGAGAACGUAUAAAUCAGUUGAGACCAAUUCUUCAAAAUACUAGAAAAUGAACAAUGAAAAUGGCAUAAUAUCUAUCGAUGAAGAAACAAACAUAAAAGAAAAAAAGCAACUGCCAUGAUCACCAAUUUCUCAGGAUGAUAUAUUCUCUUAUGUCUUAGCAGGGCUUGAUGUUGAAUAUAUUUUGAUUGUCUGUGAUACCGAAGGUAAGAACUCUUCAACUUGGCAUGAUGUUUAUUCAACCUUAUUAACCUUAGAAACAAAACUAGUUCGCUUGAAUAUUGUUAAUACUAAUGGAGAUUUUGGUGCAAAUUAUGUCUACAGCAGGCAAAUUAGCAAUUUGAAGAAUGAGCAACAACAUCGUUUUCUAGGUUAUAGCUCUCGAAAUCAGAACAACCCUACCUUUAACAACAAUCAAUCCCAAGGAAGAGGUAACAAUGUUAAUGAUAACACUUUUCAAAAUCGACGAGCUAGAGUUAGGUUCAAUAGUCAUAGAAGUAAUAAUUAUAAAACCACUUGUCAACUAUAUGGAAAAUUUGGUCAUAGAACUGUUGUUUGCUACCUUCGAUUUGAAGAGGAAUUUAACAAUCCAAGAGGAAACAAUAAUCAGGUGAACAAUAAUCCAACAACCUUUAUUGCUACUCCUGAAAUUGUGACGACAGAUUCAAACUGGUUGGCAGAUAGUGGAGCCAUAAACCAUAUCACCAACAAGUAUGGUAAUCCACAAUUCAAAAUAAAAUAUUUAUGGUACUAGUUAAAUUGAACUUUUGGUUUUAGUUCAUGUGGUUUACAACUAGAAUUUAGUUUUCCUCGGAUUGAUAAAAUCCUAGCUAGGAAAAUAUAGCCUCCCUACCAUAGGAACUAUUUAGGAAGGUUUUAUCAAACCAUAAAGAAUAAAUACUAUAUAUAUGAGAUUCUAUUAAGGAUUAAAUUCUAAUUUUUCAAACUACGAGUCUAAACCAUAGAGUCCAAAUUUACAAUUUAACCCCAAAAAUAGAUAUAUAAUGUGCAUUUAUAUCAAGGAAAUAAAUUAUAUAUAAUUUACAUUUACUACUAGAAAAUUGGCAUUUAACUAUGCGAAAUAUGUGUCACGAACGGUUUCGAUGACACAUAUAUUGCAUCCUUAAAGUCCAUGUAAAGAUAGGACAUUUGACGACACAACUAAAAAAUGUCGUUAAUAUUACUUAAAAGUGUCGAUAAUCAAUUUCUCUUAACUACUAACUUAAUUCCUAAUAGCUUUAUACAUUUUAUAGAAGUAUUACGGUCGUGCACGUAAUUCAAAAAACAAGUUAGCGUGAUUAGGGUUUGGAAGAGCACAUAAAGUAAGAAAUUGAAUAAAUAUUUUGUAUUAACGAAAUGGAUGUGUUAAAGGAAGUGAAGGGAAAGGCAAUAAUUAAAAGAAGAAAUGUGAGAUUUGGGGAUUUGGGGAAAGUCCAGAUUCAAUGUACCAAUGGUUUUGGUUUUGUGAGUACAAAACCAACCCCGCGCGUAGCAAUACCCUAAACCCAUACUCUAUUCAUUCAUAGAUGCCGCCGUCGAGAAUGUUACUACAAAAUCAAAUAUUAAGUUCUUAUAUAAUAUCUUAUGUAUAUUUGACUCAAUAUCUUUUCUUUUGACUCUCAAUUUUUUCUCAUCUAUUUAAUUAUUUUAAUCCUAAUAUAUACUAUAUGACCAUUUUUUUAAAAACUUUUUAACUCAUGCAUUUUUAUAUGAAUUCAACAAGUUUGGAUUUAUUAAAUUUGCCUUUCACUUUUUGGGUUAAUUUCUUUCUUUUUCUUUUUCUGGAAAAAUUUGUAUAUGAAUAUUAAUAAUUUUCUUUCAAUUUUAGAAAAGUUAAUUUAUAAUGUUUAAUCAAUAAUUUAUUAUCCCCAUUUUUUUAUUUUUGUAAAGCUCUCCUUUGUUUUAUGGUUUUCUUUUUAAAAUUUUUUAAAGUAGAAUUGUUUAAAUGAAAAUGAUUUUUUUAAAAUAUUUUUUUCUUAAUCAUUCUAAAUAAGUUCAUAAACAAUUUUUAUAAAACAAUUUUGCAUUUUACCAAAAUUCAAAACUAUUUUAUUCCUUUUUUAUUAUAUUUGGUAAGGAUUAAAAAAGAACUAUUAAGAAACAAAUAUUAUGUUAUGUUAUUUAUUAUUCUAUAUUCGUAAAUUUAUAUAUAUAUAUAGAUAGGUAGAUUAACUUGAUGUACAAAUGUACAUAUAGAAAUGUAUCACAAAACAACAAAAAGAUUGUCGCCGUCGUAAAAUCUUAAAAUUUAUUUUAUUCAAUAAUUCAAAACAUUGAGUCAAAAAUUCGUUAAUGAAAUAUAAAUCUCAUAAAUUUUAUUCAAUAAAAUGUACAUUAGUAUUUUAAAGGAAAAAUCUGCCCAAAAUGUCAAUAAAAUCUCAUAAUCGAUUAAACAUUUAUUAGUAUCGAUCUAAUUUAUAUUAGUGAUAAAAAAAAUAGAUUUAUAAAAAUAAUUUAGUAUAAAAAUCUCAUAAUCGAUUAUAUUUUGCUAUAUUUAAAAACCGUUUUUUUUUUAAAAGUAAUAAAAGUUUAGGAUGAACUUGAUAUUAAAAGAGAAAAAAAAAAAGGAAGAAGAAGAAGCGCGUGAAGGAAAUGAGAGUGGGCGUGUUGUCUUUACAAGUAUUUGAAAGGGCACCCGUGUCAGGCACGUGACCCCCUUUUGUUUUUCUUAGAAAUAAAAAUAAAUAUGAAGCAGAGAAUUUCGUUUUCGUUUUCGUUUUUCCUUUUCAAUUCCCUUUUUCUUUUUAUUAAUGUUCGUUCGUCCAUAGCCAACCAAAAUCUGAUUCUCUUCCUCUCUUCUUCUCCACUCACUCACUCUACAUUUCUCCAAUUACCCACUACCCUAAUCCCCCCUCUCAUGACGACGCCGUCGUCAUUCGCCGCCUCCACCUCCUCCGUCUUCACCGAUCCGGCGGUUCAGAUUCCUACCUUCCAUGGCCUUAAAUCCUCCACUUCCCUUGCUUUGGCAAGACAUGUCCGCCUCUUCGCCCCUUCUGCCUCCUCUUCUUCCUCUUCCCGCCCUCUGCUUGUUCGAGCCGUUUCCACGGUACAACCCAUCUCCCCCCCUUUUCUUCUCUGUUUUCCAUUCCUGCUCUUUCUACUCAUUUUGGCGUUUUUACUGCUCUGGAUCUUUGUAUUUGUUCUAAUUGCAUGUGGGUUUGUUUUGAUUUAAUCUAUUUUUUGUUUUCCUUCUCUAACUUUGACGCUGUUCUGUUUUAGAUUCUAAUAAAUGCAGAUACGAUUUUGUUUGUUUUAUACUUUCUUUUUGGACGGUUCGACCCAGAAGGGUUAUUUCAGUUUUCUCUUGUGUUUGAUUAACUCAAUUCAAAAGAAUUUAUGUUGGGAUGUUUUCUCUUUUACCGAAUGUGGGUUCCCCUGAAUUUUUUUUAGUUGGGAAAGUGUUUGUGUUGUAAGUUAAGUUCAUCACCAAUUGCAGCAGGGUGUCGAAAGAUUUCUAUUGCUCUUCAUUUAUAAUCGAAUAUAUUCUGCUUUCUAUUUUAUUGGUUACUAAAAGUAUUUUUUGGAUGGGUUCUCUUUUUUUUUUUUACUUUCUGCUCUACUGUGGGAACACGUUGGUGGAUUAUCUUAAAAAAUAAGCUAUAUGUUUCUUUCAUUGAUUGCAUUUGUCUGUAUUUUUAACCAUUCCACGGAAUAAAGCAUGUUUGAGAGAUUUUUAAAAUCACUUUUAUCCUGUUUAAAAUUACUUUGAUCUCAAAAUCAGUUCAAUGGUUAAUUUUACACAACAUAUUUUUUACUUUUAAAAUUAAUUUUGAAUGAUUAGAAAUAUUUUGAGUGAUUUUAAUAAUGACAAAAAUGAUUUUAACCACUUUAGAAGCACUCCAAAACAUGCUCGAAUGCUGUCAGAAAAAUUCUUUUUGAUUCAUGUAUUUUUGCUAUCUAGAGAUAUGUUUUGGAUUAGUUAGGUGAAUUUUUACUGAGCUAGGUUCUUAUUCUGUAAAAUUUAUGGCUUAAUUUGCAGCCUGCAAAGCCAGGGGUUGCUGCUGAGCCGAAGCGUAGUAAGGUUGAAAUUUUCAAAGAACAUAGUAAUUAUAUAAGAUACCCUCUUAAUGAGGAGUUGUUAACGGAUGCCCCUAACAUAAAUGAGGCUGCCACACAAUUGAUCAAAUUCCAUGGGAGCUAUCAGCAGUAUAAUAGGGAAGAGCGUGGACAGAGGUCUUAUUCAUUCAUGCUUCGUACCAAGAAUCCUUGUGGGAAAGUGUCGAACCAAUUGUACUUAACAAUGGAUGAUCUUGCUGAUCAAUUUGGAAUUGGAACACUUCGUCUAACCACCAGGCAAACAUUUCAGCUACAUGGAGUUCUCAAGAAGGAUCUGAAGACAGUAAUGAGCUCCAUUAUUAGAAGCAUGGGUUCAACCCUUGGUGCUUGUGGUGAUCUGAACAGGAAUGUUCUUGCCCCAGCUGCUCCACUUGUGAGAAAAGAUUACCUUUUUGCACAGCAAACUGCAGAAAACAUUGCUGCUUUGUUAACUCCUCAAUCAGGAUUUUAUUAUGAUAUGUGGGUAGAUGGGGAGAGAUUCAUGACAUCAGAACCGCCAGAAGUGGCGGAAGCACGUAAUGACAAUUCUCAUGGAACGAACUUUCCAGAUUCUCCUGAGCCUAUUUAUGGAACUCAAUUUCUCCCUCGAAAAUUUAAAAUUGCAGUGACUGUGCCAACAGAUAACUCUGUAGAUAUUCUGACAAACGAUAUUGGCGUUGUUGUCAUUUCUGAUGCUGAGGGGGAGCCUCGAGGAUUCAACCUAUAUGUAAGUGGGAUUCAGGUCUUACAGAGAUUAGAGAUUUGGAGUUGAUAUUAUUAUUUAUUAAUUUUUUAUUUUUGAUAAAUUUCCUUGCCCCUAUGGUUUUUUUGCUUAAUGAUCUCUGCUGCAGGUUGGAGGAGGCAUGGGAAGAACUCAUAGAGUUGAUACCACUUUCCCUCGAUUGGGAGAGCCAUUAGGGUACGUUCCAAAGGAGGAUAUUUUAUAUGCAGUUAAAGCUAUCGUAGUCACACAACGUGAAAAUGGUAGAAGAGAUGAUCGCAAAUACAGUAGACUAAAAUAUCUGAUCAGUUCGUGGGGGAUUGAAAAAUUUAGGAGUGUUGUAGAGCAAUAUUAUGGGAAGAAAUUUGAACCCUUUCGCGAAUUACCAGAGUGGAAGUUUGAAAGUUACUUGGGGUGGCAUGAACAGGUUAGUUUUUAACCCUGUAAGACAUCUACUUUUAUUAGCUUUGAUAUUUGAAUUGUAAUUUCUUUUAACUGCCGAGGUGAAGUCUCAUGUGAUCUCUUAUAUUCAGCCUGCAGUAUUCACACUGAAAUGUUCAAUUCCAGUUGGCUUAAUAUCUAAUAAUCUAUUAUCACUCUUUAGUUUUAGAUUAUCAAUCAUCUGUUAGAAUUAUUAAAACUAUAUGCAUAGUUAUUUUGAAUGAUAAUAAUUUGUUGAAGACAUGGAAGUUUUAGUUACAUUUUUUUUUCAAUCAUGAAUGUCGAACUCUUAUCUAUGUUGAAUUAGUAUCUAUUAUAAGUUGAACAAGUAUCUUCUAUAUAUAUGUUGAAUUAAAACCUGUUUUAUCUUUAUAUUUGGAUGUAUUCAUGGCAAAUGAUUUUCCAUUAGGAUUGUUGCUUAAAUGCAUCGAUUAAGCUUGAAAAUAUUAUCAUUUUAUUAAAUGUGUUUCGUAAUUAAAAAUGUCAGUUAAAGUGAUAUGGGUCCAGUUUGACAUGAGGAUAUCAUUUGGAAUUUAAUUUUCCUUUUAGGCAAUAAUGAAUGUUGAUAACAAAUAGCAUCAUGUCUUGAAAAAUAAAUACAACAGUCAGUAUUGGUAAUGUCGAACUUGUUUGUUCGGAGACAUCAGAAGCUACCAGCAAAUAAAUUAUUUCCCUUGACAGCUAGCUUUUAGUCCCUUGGACUUAAACAUUUUUUGUUCUCCUUGUUUGAGACUGUUAUCUACCUUUCAGGGGGAUGGUCACUUAUAUUGUGGACUACAUGUUGAUAGUGGUCGUAUUGCUGGGAAAAUGAAGAAGACUUUAAGAGAGGUGAUAGAGAAAUAUAAUUUGGAUGUUCGGAUUACCCCGAAUCAAAACAUUAUCUUGACCAACAUUCGCAGUGCGUGGAAGCGACCCAUUUCCACAGUUCUUGCACAAAGUGGCCUGCUGGUAAACUACUAUUCUUUGGCCCUACUUGGUGAUUGAGUUCUCUCUGUAAAUAUAAAACUUAAAUCUUCAUCUUAGCAUGAAGAUCUCAAUCGAUUUUCAUAGAAUUGAGUAGUUUCAACCCCUCAGUCCGUCUAUAAAAACAUGGCUGACGAGAUAUAGAAAGUUGCUUGUGUUGAUAAGACACCUGGUGUAAGGAUCAAUAAUAUGCAAAUGCAUAACUCAUAAUUGAUGCUGAGCUGCUGAGGCUAGGAUGGAUAUAUAGAUUUGUGGUUUAACUUGGAAGUUGAAACAAUAGAUUUGUUUUCCCCCUUCUGUUGUGAAAUAUUUUUUGUUCUUUUGCAUUUUACUUAACUCAUUUUGCUAUACAGCACCCAAGGUUUGUAGAUCCCCUUAACAUAACUGCGAUGGCAUGUCCAGCUAUGCCACUUUGUCCUUUGGCAAUAACAGAAGCUGAGAGAGGAAUUCCAGAUAUCCUUAAGCGAGUUCGAGCUGUAUUUGAAAAGGUAUAGUUUUGGUGGCCAUACACAACUACCUGAUUUUUCACACCUCGGCUCAAGAUGUGAGGAGGCUUGCCUCUAUCCUUAUUUACAUUGGGAUGAAAAUAGCUUGAUUUUAAAUUUCAUUUUCACUCCUUAUCAGUAUCAAUGUAUGCCAAUAAGCAUUGGCCUGAGAGGAUAUAAUUGAAAAUUAUUAAAGUGUAAGGGGGGACUAACUUGAAAAUUCUUAAACAAUGGGGACUAAAUUGUAAAGUUUCCCAAAUAUCAGUAACAAAAAUAUAAAUUUAGAUGAAACAUAAGUUUCACGAAAAUUUAGGCACUGAUGGCUCUGUUUUCCUGUUAUCAGGUUGGUCUGAAGUACAGUGAAUCUGUUGUCAUAAGGAUAACUGGUUGCCCAAAUGGUUGUGCCCGGCCUUAUAUGGCUGAACUUGGAUUGGUAGGCGAUGGUCCUAACAGCUACCAGGUAUAUCAUGAAUUGCAAGCCAAUGAUUUACUCCAUAACUUUUGGGAAUGCGUACUCAGAUUUUAUAUCUUUGUGAAAGUUUAGUUUCUUAUGAAAAAAAAAGCUUAUAUUUAUGUGCUGCUUCAUGUAUGUGUGUGUUGUCUUGUUCAGAUAUGGCUUGGGGGAACACCCAAUCAAAUGUCACUGGCAAGUACUUUUAUGGAUAAGGUUAAGAUCCACGACCUUGAAAACGUUUUGGAACCUUUAUUUUAUCAUUGGAAGCGUAAACGGCACUCGAAAGAAUCAUUUGGAGCCUUCACAAACCGCUUGGUGAGUGUGUAAUCAAUGGACUCUACAGAUCUCUUUGUUAUUGUCUUGCUUUAACUGAGAAACUGUGAUAAUUUUGAUUAAAUGCUCAUCAGGGGUUCGAGAAGCUUAAAGAGUUAGUUGAAAAAUGGGAUGGUCCUGUACUUUCACCAGCACGUUACAACCUGAAGCUUUUUGCUGACAAAGAUACUUAUGAGGCCAUGGACGAUCUUGCAAAGCUUCAGAAUAAGAAUGCUCAUCAAUUAGCAAUGGAAGUAAUUCGCAACUACGUGGCUGCUCAACACAAUGGGAGGACCGAAUAAUUUGGUAAGAGAGUGUUUAAAUUUUGUCGCCUUAGAAGUUGAUGUUAAAAAAGGGUGAACGAGUGUAAUAGUGUACUCAUUCUCUCCUUAAGCUUGUUACUGUUUUGUAACAGCUGGAAUGAAUCGAUACUGCUGGAUUUGGUAUAAUUUUGUACCCAAAGUUAAUUGUUUAUCUGCAUGAGUUUUGUAUUUACCGUUUCCUUGGAUCUUUGUAUCUUACUUUAAGGUUGCUUCUAAUAAAAUUACCUCCAUUCCAGCUUCUUCUCGUGUGAUCUGUUCUGGCUAGACUGGGAAAUUGAUAUGACAUGGUUGAUAUCAUAGUCAUGUUUGUUUUAUUGUUCAUGUGUUGUGUGGGAGAGGUUUUUUGGCAAGAGUUGAGAAUGUGUCUUAGAAAGAAGUUUUUGCAAGAAGAGUAUCUUUCUGUUCAUGUCGCGUGGGGGUUGAUUUUGGCAGGUCCUAGAUAUGUGCAACGAUAACGAGAUAACGAGUAGUAUAUUGAGAAUAUACACUAUCCGUACGAUGUAUCUAUUGUAUAUGCACUAGUUUAAAGGAGACGUGCUCGAGUGCAAAAGCCUGAGUUGAAAGAAGUGGCUCGUGUGACACAAAUACAAAAAGCUAGACUGGUUACAUUAGUCUAACGAUGACGAUGUAAGCGUUUCGAACGAGAUAUUAUGAUUUAGGAGUUAGUCAAUUGUUAGACAUUUGAAUAAAAUAUUAUAGUUUAGAGGCUAGUCCAUCAUUGCCAAACUUUGAGUAAGGAUAUUAUGAUUUAGGGACUUGUCCAUCAUUUUCAUACAUGCAUGGACACGAGUGCGGUCAUGGAGAACAUAACAACCAUAUGAGCAACACCAGAAAAUUAGGAGGGACUAAAGCAACCAAGAGUUCAGAGUCACGAUGACAAUCAACUCGAAAUUGACAACGUCCAAGUUGUGGGAUACGUUGAUUUUUUUUUAAUGUUGUACUAUUGUAGUCAUUCUACCUUUAUAUUUAAUUGAUUUUCAACUACAAAACAAUUACUAUAAAUUUAGAUAUAAAUAUCUGUAGGGAAUGAUAUUAAAUAUCCGUAGGGAAUGAUAUUAAUAUAGAUCGAGUGAAUUACUAUCAUGAAUUUUUACACUCGAUGGUUGAUGGUUACGAAUUGAAAAUUAAAAAGAAAAUUCUUCCCUUUGAAAAUAGAAAAGAACCAAUUUUAAUGUUAAAAAAAUGGUAAUGGCGAGUCUUGUCCAAUUGUAUGUAAAAAAAGAUUUUGCUUGGUCAAAUUACUCGACCAAAGAAGAGAAAAACAAAAUAGUAAUACUAAUAUAAAUAGUUUGAAAACAACAUUAUUUUAUUAAUUAACCAUUUCUAAAAUAACAUUAUGUAUAUAUUUUUUCUAUGUACAACCAAUUAUGAUAUUUUGUUCGUCAAUUAUAUACUUACCUUGAUGGCGGUUUACAUGACUAAAAAAACGAGUAAGGAGAUGUUACAAUGACAAUUUUUUAAAUGUUACGUAAAUAUGAUUAUUAUAGUAUUUGAUAAUAUCGUUUUAUGAUGGUUUUUUUUUUUGAAAUAUACCAAACUCACAAAAUAUAUACAUUGUAUAGAACAAUUUUGAAAAUAGAAAAGCCCACAUGCCCAUAUGUCCAUCAUGAGAAAUAGAAAAAAAUGUUCCACUCAAUACAUGAUUAAUCGACCACCUAAAUGAUCAUGAUACACGAUCAUGUAAAAAAUGAUACAUGAUCGUGUAGGUAGUAUCAACGUUGGCCACACACGCGCGUGUAACUCUUUUUCUAAAUGAUCAUGAUAUGCGAUUAUGUAGAAAAUGACAUAUGAUCACAUAGUUCAUGAUACAUGUUCGUUAGUUCAUGAUAAACGAUGACUUUGAAAAAGCUCUAGUAAACGAUUGUGUAGAUAAUGAUGCACGAUCAUGUGUAGUUUAUGAUUCACGAUCAAAUAGUUCAUGAUACAUGAUCAUAUAUAGUUCAUGAUAAAUACUGGUUUGAAAAGCCUAUGGUAAACGAUCAUGUAAUUCAUCUUUGUCAAUGACACAUUGAAAAAAAAUACAAUACUGAUAAUUGAUUGAAAACAAGAAAAAUAAUAGUAGAAAUAUAAUGAAAAAGAAUAAUAAUAAUUGUAGGACAAUGAUCAUGAUUUCAAAAAGUUAUAAAAGAAAAAUUGCACAAGAUGAAGAGAAAGUGACCACAGCCGUGAAGAGGAUGAAAAGGAAGAAGGAAGAAAUUGGAGCCACGUGAAUUUCAAAAGCGACAAGGACAAACUUGAAAUAUUUUAAAAAUGACCAAUUUCAUGAACUUUUUAUUUUUUUAUACGGCCUGUAAAUAUUUUAGUGUUUUGUUAUAUUUAUGAAAAUUAACUUUUCUAAUUUUUGAAAUUGUAUCAUUCCAAAAUCAUUAACCCAGUGAAUCAAAUUAUACCUUCAUUAAUUUUUUUUAACUGUUUACGACAUUCAUUUUUUAAACGUGUAUAAAGUUGACUAUUUAAAUACAAUGAACAAUGUAAAUUGAUAAAUAGCGAGAGAGACUCUUUAGGUCAUGAAGAAACCUCAUACUUUUGUUAAGAUAAAAUGAAUUACUUUUCUUAUUAACAAUUAAUUUUGGGAUGAAACUUCGUACUCCUUAAAAGGGUAAGAUUUGAACCCAAAAUUAUGGACUCAAGAUACAACAUAACUUGAUAAAUUGUUAAAAUAACUCGACUUUACUGGCUUUCGGUUAGUUUUGAGAUUAUAUUGAAAAUUUAAAUUUUAGAUUGAUAUACAUAUACACAAUUGUAUCAGAGUUAUAUGUAUCAAAGUUAUUUUUCACAUAGAGAUCCAUCCAUAGAAUAAGGAAUACAUAUAGCUUUUAUUAAUACAUAUAAAAACACAUAGCAAUACAUGGAUCCAAAGACCGUAUAUUAUACACAUUUCUUCCACACCUUUCUUCUCUCAAAACAAGCACACACACCCACACAAAAUAUAUAAAUUUCAUCCUCUCAUUACCAAAGUAAUUAAACAAGAACACACCUUAAUUAGUUACUUACUUGAGCCUCUUUUGAAGAACCAAAAACCAACCUAGGGACCGUAGGUAUAUGCAGCCGAGGAGGCCAAUCAGAAGGCAAUUGAACUUGAUUCCACAUAGUAACUUUUUGAACAACAUCAUCAUCAUCAUCUUCAAAAAUCUCUAUCUGAAAAAACACUGUUUUCCCAACAGGACUCUCAAUCAAAGCUUCUGAUCCAAAAUCGUUUUGGUUCAACUUGUAACAUGUUCUACAUGUCACCACAAUUGGGGCACUCCCUUUUGGAAUUUUAUCAAGCCCUUUUACCAAAACGUGGACACUCAAAACAUUAGUGAUUGAUGAAAAAAACAAAGACAAAUUUAUGUUUGGGAAAACAUUGAAAUAAAAUGGACCAUCUCCUAACUUUGAUUCAACUAAAGCAAGUAGUGAAUCUUCAAGUUUUUCAAUUCUAUUGUCACGUAGACAUAAAAUUAUGGAAGCAUUUGGAGGGAUUUUUUUGGUUAGGGUUUUGACACCAAUUUGAACAAGGCCUAUGUUCAUUGUGUUGAAGAAUGAGAUUCUUCUUCUUCUACAAUAACUUGAAGGGGUUUGACCAUAUAAUUUAAAAGAUCCUCCUUCAUUGCCAAAGCUAAUUUGGCCUUCUGUGGUUCUGAUGGAAGGAUCAUUCUUUGAAGGAAAAAUAAAAAAGUGGUUCUUUCUUCUUUCUUCAUAGAUUUUGUGGAUUGGGACUCUUGGCAUCUUCCAUUUCACUAAACUUUUACCUUUUUCAACAUAUUCUUCUUCUUCUAAUGAAUGAUCACCAACAAAAUUCUUGGAGCUGCAAGACUUAAAAAAGAGUGACAUUGUUUUUUUCCUUCUUGAGAGACGAAGAACCGAUAAUCAAAAUAACAGUGUACCUCUUUCGAUAUUUGGCUUCUUUGAACACAAACAAAAUAUGCUAAGGAACACUACAGAAAUAUAUAUUUUUGGAUGCAAUGUGUGGUGGUUCAAAUUUGAAGAAAUCAAUACCACCUUUAUAGGAGUGUCACGAGUGUGUGAAUUAUUGUGGGGAGAGAGAAAGCUUAAAGAAAAAAUAUGUAUUAUAAUUUAAACUUGUGAAGGAAGUUCAUGUAGUUGAUUGGUUAAGUUGUCUAUUCCAUGGAAAAGGGGAAACAAAGUCUUUGUAGUCUUUUUUUAUACAAUAAUAAUGAUAGUACUCAAUCUAAGAGUGUUUGGAUUAUAUAUUUAAUUUGAUGUAUGUUAUCAUGUUUUAACUCUAAUCAUGAUCAUUAGUUGUUACUCCUAGUAAUCUAUAAACAGUACAGUAAAUUAAUGAACAUUUAUACGAGAGUUGAUAUACAGAGGAAAACUUAAAUCAUCUAAAGACCAAUCAAAAUUAUUUAUAACUCAUCUCACCCUUAGUAUCUAUUUACUUCCUCUCCCUUUUAACAAAAACUUGUGUGUAUAUUAAAAGAUAAUUUUUAUAAAUAUAACAAAACAUUAAAAUAUUUACGAUUUGUGUAACAAAAUUAAAAUGUCACGAACCCCAACAUUUUUGUAAAAUAUUUCAGGUCCACCUUCUUUCUUCUCUCAUUUUUGUCUUUUCCUUUCCAUCUUCUUUAUUCUUUAUUUUUUUCUUUUUGAAAUCACGACGAUAUUUAUUUUCAAUCAAUUCAUAAUUUCUGUAUUUUUUUCAAGGUGUUAUUUGGUUCAAGAUCAUGUAUCAUGUAUAAAAGAUCUUGUAAAAAAACUGUUGGAUAUUGGUACACAAACGUUUUGAUUUGGCAUGUACCAAAGAAUCUUGGAAAAAAAUCAUUUAGAUUUCGUAAUCUUGAACUAAAGGAUCGUAUAGCCAAAUCUAAGCGAUCAUGUACCAAAUAUAUUAUGUGUGCGAGUGACCAAUCAAUUGGUUUGUUGACUGAGACAUUUUUUAUAUUUUUUAUUAGGAACUUGUGGACUUUUUCUAUUUUCGAAAAUGAAUUAUAGACGAUAAAUAUUUUGACGGUUUGUUAUAUUUUGAUUUGUUGAUUUUUUUUGACAGAGAAUUGUUGAGACUCGAUACUUUAAUAUAAUGUUUUGGAUCCAUUUUAUAAAGGAAAAAAUGAGAUCAACGUCUAUAUAUGAUUUUUUUAUAAAUUUUUAUUACUCAAAGUAAAUUACUCAUUUUUUGAAAGGUUGAAAAUAAUUUAGUUCAUACAUCCUAUAAUUAAAAUUUUAGCUUUUAUAUUUUUGAUAAAUUUCUCCCAUUCCUAAGAAUAAUGGGCAUUUAUAUGAUAUAUAAUAUAUAACAAUGGACAUUUUUAAGAAUAUCAAAAUAAAACAAAAUAUUUAUAAGCUAUAAGAAAAUUUUGGAUUCUAUCACCGAUAGUCUUCUAUCACUAUAGCAUAUCAAUGACUAUCAAUAAUAGAAUUUACUAUAGGUUGUAAAUAUUUUGUAAAAUUUGUUGUUUUUGAAAAUUUCCCAUAUAAUAAUUAUAAUAAUAUGUAAGAAAAAAUGUUGGAGAUUUGAGGUGUUGGCGGUAUAUUUUUUUAAGAUAGUGAUUUUUUAUAUGGUUGUUUCAAAUACAUUCUUUUUUGACAUCAGAAGAUUUUUCUACGAUAUCCAAAAAUUUUCUUACUCGUCUUAAACACUUAUUAUAGUGAAAUUGGCCGUUUCGAUAAAUCAACACGAGUUCUUUCAACAUGCUUUGUCUUCACUCACAUGCAUCAUAGAAAAUUUUCCAAAAUUAAGGUCACCCAACAUAGAAUUUUUCCAAGCUAAACACACUUAACUUUGAAAUUCCUAUGAUUGAGCUAUUGAAAAGGAAAGUGCACCUUAUUGGUGUAGGUAGUAACUUUUAAUUUUUUAAGUCUCUCUUAAUAUUACUUUCAUGUUCUCAGGUUCACUCUCAUUCAGAUGCGAUAUCAGUUGCUUCAUGUUUCUCUUUUAAACUCAGGGUGUUACAUAAGGUAAAAUGCAUAGCUGAGUUGUAAGAGAUUUCACUAUUGGACAUUCGAACCUAAAUUUAAAAGCAUGAUUGUAUUUAUUAAUUAUGCAUUGAUGGUAGCUAAAAUUGCAUAAUGAGAUAUUACAUGUUCAUGACUGAUGUAUUAUGGUGAUUAUGCUUGUUUUAUGGAUUUCAUGAUUAUGGCUGUUAUGAUUGGUGUUUCAUGUCAUGUUUAUGAUGAUUGUUACAUGCUUUUGGACUAUGAUGUCUGUUAACUUUGGCUGUUAGGCUGUGUACCCCACAUGUACGGUGUCCCUCAAGAUCACCACAUUAUACAUUAUGACUAUGUGCAUUCGAUGAGACCACCAAUCUGUUAGUCUCCAAGCGGUUCGAUGAGAUCACUCAUAGUCAGAUUUAUUGCAUGUUCCUUCGAGAUAAUUAGAUUAUGAGUGUUCCUACGGGAUCACUCACACAAUUAGGGGUGUUCUUACGGGGUCACUCGCUCGGUUAGGUAUGUUCCUACGGGAUAACUUACUCAGGUGUGCUCCAAUAUCAAGCACAUGAUAUUAUUACUUUAUCGUACCUCCUAAUGAGAAGUUAACGGAUCACCUAGCGAGACCCGUAGGUGGGUCCUUUAUUGAGUAUAUUUUUAUACUAAUCAUUUUUCUAUAUGUUUAAUAUUUCGAGCAAAAAUAAAGGAUCUGAAAAGCUGGCUAGUGAUAGGAAGGGCCCGUGACCUGUCAUAUGGGAACUCAUUCUACUUCUGCUCUUCUUUAUUUAGUUUUGGUUUUGAACAUUUUAUUUUAUUUUCUUAUCUUUAUUUUCUUUAAAAUUUGUUAGAACAUGUUUUCAUGGUAUUUUUUUACUGAUUUUUCCAUUUUAUGUUUUACGAACAUAUAUUCGAAAUUAUUUUAUAAAAACUUACUUUUCCUCUUUUGAAGAAAGUGUCUAUUGUUAUUUAUCUUUUACAUAACAACCACAACUUAAUAUAAGAGUUUAAGUCGUUACAAUGUAACUGCAAUAUUUUAUUUGAUAAGGGAGUUAUUUCCCUUCUUAGAUUUAAGUAUUUAAAAGAAAAUUAUAAAACUGAUUUUAUAGGGUUGCCUAUUGUGUUUAUUGAGUAAGCCGAUAUUGAUUAUCUUUAAAGCUACAUUUGAUCAUUAAGUAAGAGUUUCUUUUUAUACUACUAUAGUUGUUUUCUACAUGCAUUGUGUUCUUACUCGUUUCUCACGGUAUUCUACUGUGCAAAUUUAAUUUCUUCAUCUGUUAACCGCAACAGACUAAAGAUCAUCACUGUUUAGAGGGAGCAUAAUCCAUUUUGAUAUGUUGAGAAGGACUCUCAAUCUUAGGAGGACUCUAAAGAUACUCAUCCACCAAGAAUAAAUUUUCUAUCUUAUGAGAGGCUAAGAUUCAUUAGUGAAUGACAUGAAUGAAAGAUAAUAAUGUGAUAGGGUGUUUUACGCACACUGUUGAAGUCGAAGUGGAAUUCACUAAUAUUAUUACCACAAUUAUACAGAGCCUAAGCAUAUAGAAAGUGAGAGUAUCUCACAUUUUGGAGAAGCACCAAUGUGAAACCCACAUUUAAGUUAAGAGGCAAUCAUUUGACUAAGUGUUUAGAUUAUGAAUUUUGUGUGGUCUUUGCGAGAAAAAGUGAAUUUCUUUGCGAAGAAGGUUUCACGAGGAAACUUUUGAAGGGGUUGGUGAUAAGAAGGUUGUGUUUAAAGUAGUUCACAAAGUGAGACUUUUAAAAUAUAAUUGUAACUACACGAUAGGGGUGUUCGCGAAAAAUGUUGGGCGAGUAAGGUGCUUCGUAGAAUAAAGUUUGGAGAAAAGAAAAAAAAAGUUUGGAGGACUUUCCUUAAGUGUGAUUAAUGGGUCACAUGUGGAAAUUCAAGUUAAACAUGAUUAAGGACACAUCUUAGGUUUACAUGUGCUUCACUAAGAAGCAGGAAUUGGCGAUCUGAGAAGAGUUUAAGCAUGACUAAGCUGGUUUAAGAGCUCUAUAAAUAGAACUCAGUCCUUUGAUUUGAUAAUUCUUUGAAAGAGAAAAAUUAAAGUGUUGAAGUGAUGCUAGUUUAGCUAUGCGAGAAGAGGCUUGCGAGAAGAAGGAAUUCUUUAGUAAAGUUUGUGACUGAUUUUCUUAAAUGCUUUCAUGUUAAAAUCUUUCUUGUGAUUCCCCUUUACUAUUCAAAUAAGAAAGUGUUUCAAAAGGAAUUUUAUGAAAAAAUUAUAUGUUCUCAAGCAUAAUUUAUGAUGUUUAAAGUUUGAUUUGAUGAUUAUAAUUUCAAUACUAUGAAAUGGUUUUCAAACUAUUAGUUGUUUCCUUGAGAUGAUGUUAACUUUUAUGUGCACAUAAAUAGUCAAGACAACCAUAGGGUGUAUGGGCCUACAUGGUGAUAAGAAGUUGGCUUAUAUGUUGAAUGAAACAUAUAAAGCUUAGUGGCAUGAGCAACACGGACGAAUCUAUAUACUCUCUGAUGCGGAUGACCUCAGUAAUCUAAACACGAAGCUACGUGACCUAGCGUAAAUAGUGACCCAGAAUCCUUGGCGGAAAUGAAUGUUUGUUAACUGACGUGUGCUUAUUAUUUGAGAUGAUUCAUUUAUGCGAAAAGACGUGUUAUGCAAAAUGGUGCUUAUGCGAAAUGAUAUUUUUAUAUGAUUUGAUAUGUUAACUUGUUCUGUUGAAUUAGUUUGUGAAGUGAUAUUUAUGAAAAGGUAUUGCAAAAAGGAUUUCAUAAAACCUCCCAAAGUCUUUUAGACUAUUUCUUUAAAAUUUAUCUUCCAAGACUUAGGCGUUGAGGCCAAGAGGAGAGGGAAGUUUGGGCUUACCAGGCGAAGAGUUGCCAAACAUUUAGUUAAAAAUUAAAUGUAUUGUUUGUAUUUUGGUUAAGUAUUGUACCUGUAUGUUCUUAUACUAAAACGCCUUGUUGGUAAUAAAAGUUAAAGUUUGUUUUUAUCUUUUCCGCGUUAAGUUCUAUAUCGCCUAAAGUACUUUUGUUAAGUUAAGUGUUUUGACGAUUAAACUAAGUUAAGGGAGUUAAGACGAGUGUCGUCUUUGGCUUUUCACCGCGUCAAGAAUGCUCAAGUUGCACCACGUCUCACGAGACAAGCAAGCAGGUCUGCAGGAUGGAGGUGUGACAAUCCAAGUACAAUAGAAAGGGAGUCUCACAUCUAGGGGAAGCCUCGUGAUCAAUGAAUUAAGGUAACUCUAUGCCAGUCACUAUAGUUGGAGUAUUGCAGAUAAGUAGUACGUUAUAAGCUACUUAACUUUUCAAUAUAAGUGAAUUAUCUUUCUUAGGCACAAUACUCUCCCUUAGACGUCGAUGGUAUAUUGCCAAACUAGAUUACCAACGUUUGUCUAUUUUUUCUUUUUACUUGUGGCAGUUGUGUUUUCUUUGACCUCCCCAGUUGUGUAAAGAGUCACCUCAAUGUUUUUUUUUAAUAGGAAUUCAUUGAAAUCCAAAUCCAAUAUAUAAACAUUUAUCACCACAGUCAUGAAGUCAGUCGUCAAUAAUCAUAGUCAUUUCUUCCUUAAACUGUUAGUGGAAAGAAUUUGAAUUGAGUAUUAGGUUCGUGGAAAGAUCCUCCAAAUCUUUUCAUCAUAUCUAAAAGAAAGAAUCAUUCUUUAAGAAAAAAGAUGAUAAACUAAAGUGAAAAGAGGUAGUGACAUUUAUAUUUCUUUAUUCCUGCCGGCCUUUUCUUUUCCCACUUUAAUUUCUUUAUACAAACUUUGUCAACAAGUUAAAGUUACUAAACAACUAUGCUUUUUAUUUUCUAUCAUUGCUAUCAAUAAUUCAAGAUUGUUUUUAGUUCUAUUUUAAUUUAUAAACGUUCCCAAAAAAUUCCAUCACACUUAAAUUUUUCAUUUGAUUUCAAUAUUCACUGCAUCAAAUUUCUGUAUUCAUGUCUUUUUAGACCUUUUAUCAUUAUUAGCUAAUGUAAAAAUUUGUUGAUUUGCACUCCUAACAAUCCUCCCCUCAAAUUAAAGUAAUAUUUUGAGCUUUCUCUUGAACAAAUCCGUUUCACUCCCAACCACGAGAGCUUGCUUUAACUCUCGAGGCACCUUCCAUUCAUCUUGGACCACUUGCUGACUUUAUGAGAACGAACACAUAUCACACUCGCUCCUAUCACGUAGAUAGAACACUCAUAAUGUAGCGAAUGUGUACGAUACUUUGGUUGCAUAUGUCCAACAUAUUGUACUAUGUUCUUUUCAAGUCAAUAAAAUUUUUCUCUCCACUUCAUAGACAUAACUACCAAAAUAUUAAUCAACCACUUAUAAAUCUCUUAUAUUAAUUUUUUCUUGAUCUUUAUGGUUUUUUUUUUUUUUUAUCAAAACCAAAUACACAACUCAAGAAUAAAAUCCAUUGUGGUUCCAUGGCUUUCUAUGCACUUUCGAAGAGAGUUCCUUCACUGUAUAAUGGGACCAAACAAAUAAAAGUUAAGUACGUAGAAGAAACAAGAAACCAUAAGAAAAAACUUCUCUAACAAUUCAUUUCCAUGGGAAAGAAACUUACGAAGAAGCAAGGAAUUUUCCAAAGAGAAAGAAAAGUACAGUGAAAGAUGUUAUGAUAAUUGCGGUCAUUUCAUUUUCUAUGGGUUGCUUUUGAAGAAAAGUAUGAUGACGAUUGAAAUGUGAGCUAAAAAUUCUAGACUUAUGAUGUCAUAAUUAAACAGAGAAAAAUAAUAUGGUUAUUGCUAAGGACUUGUUUUAACACCAUAGUAAUUUCUUGAUGAAUAUAAAUUCCAUCUGGAAAGGAAACAAAUAGAAAAAGUAGUAAAUAAAUACAUACUAUUGAUUGGAUGAUAUAAUAAUAAAUUCUUCUUCACCAAUAGAUUAAGUUUUUGGGUUUAUGUCAGUACUAAACCAAAUACAAUUAUGUGAAAUUUUAAUAGAAAGCUAAUGAAAAUUAAUUAUAAUUUUUUUAUUCUUUUAAAUUAACAUUAAAAGUGAGUGUUUAGUUAAUAAAAAAGAUAUAAAAAUGUAAAAAUUUAAAUUUAGAGGAUAGAAAGAAAGGUAAAGCUUAACAACUUUACUUUUAAAACUUAAAUAUCAAAUAGAAAUUAAAUUAAAAAAAUUAAGUAACAACAUAAUAUUAAAUCAUAUUGAUAUUUUUAUGUUUUUCAUGGAUUUGAUAUCAAUAUGGAAAGGCGAGUCAAUAUUUUUAUUACGAUGAAAAUAAGCAUUUAAUGGCAUUAAUAUAAUUCGAAAAGAAUAAAACAACGCUUAUUUACUAAUUUAAUUUUUUUUAUAAAUUUUCCAUAAAUAUCCAUCUAAAUAAAUAUUUUAUCCAUAUUAUUAUUGGAAUUUUCUGUAAAUUAAGACCUUUCAUCUAGCAAAAAAGAAAGUAUGAUUGAAAUUUGGAAUAACUUUUAUUUUUUCUCUUGAGAAUAAAAUGGUCAUAAUCACAAAGCAUUAAUUCAAAAACUUGGUCUACAAUUUAAUUUGUCCCCUUUUGCAUACCUUUUAAUUUGAAUCUUCCUUUUCUCUCUCUCUCAAUAAUACACACACACACACAAGUAGUCUAUAAAGACUUAUCUUUUCUCAAUAUGGAUGAUCAAAACCAACAACAUUUAAAACAAACCAUUUUUAAUACCUUUGAUUCAUACCCAACACAUCACUAGCUAUCUCCUUGAGAAAAAUAAUGUCAACCUUUUGUUGGAGCUCAAACUUUGGAGGAGGAAGCCAUUCUUUAGAUAGUGAAGAAUACAUCAAAAAAGGGAAAAAUCUAUUGAAAUGGAAGAUCCCAAAAAUUCCCACAACCAAAAUUUACAAAUCAAACCCAUUCAUUUUCUUCUCUGACCCAUUCAUCAAAACCAAAGAAGAAACAAUGCCUUGUGAAAAUGGGAGCCAAGUUUUUAGAUUAAUAUCUGGCAAUCCCAUGGUGGAUAAUUUUCAGGAGAAGAGAUUCUACACCAGGUUGAAUAUGGGGAUGAUCCAAAUUGGGGUAAAGACUUUGACCACAAAAAUACCCUCAAAUGCUUCAAUUAUUCUAUGUGUUUUUGACACUAGAAAUGACAAUUUUGAAGAUUCAAUUUUGGGGUUGGUUGAAUCAAAGUUAAUUGAUGGGCCUAUUUUUUUCAACAUAUUUCCAAACAUUACAAUGCCUAUAUUUCAUCCUAAGUUGUUGGAGUCUUUUGUAUUGAUUGCCAUGGUUCAAGGUUUUGAGCAGCUUCCUCAAGGGACAAGUCCAAUUAGUUUAAUGUGGAGGACAUGUUAUAAGCUGCAAGCUAGUGCUCUUCCUACUGCUUUGAUUGAAAGUCCACAAGGUAAAACUGUGUUUUUCCAGACAAAUUUUGAGAAUUCCAAGGUUGCUGACCAAAAGGUCUCACAAUGGGAUGAAGUUAUUUGCAAAGUUAGGAAUAAUAUAAUGAAGCACUAAUAAUGUUAUAUCGUUAAAUAUAAUAUAAUGGAAUAAGCACUAAUACUACUAUUACACAGUAUAUAUACUAUUUUGAUCAAAUUUAGGAAGAGGAUGUGUAAUAUGAUGUUCAUUUGGUUUGAAGUACUUCUGUAUUUGGAGAAGUAUGUGUGGAGUAUGAAGUACUUAAUGUAUAAUUUUGUGUUUUGUAUGCUUUUAUUGCCUAAAUAAUGUUGUAGCUAAAUUAUAUGUAUAUCUUCUUUCUCUCUUCUUUAUGUUUUAAUUUUGUUGCAUAAAGUUGUCCUCUUCUCUUCGUUGAACAAUAUUAAAUCCAAUUCAACAAUACGAUUUGGUUGAACCUACAAUAAUUUAGAUCCAUUAUAUGUUUUAUAAUUUCUGUCUCAUCCAUCUAACUAUCCAAAAACGAAAAAUAUACAACGUAAUUUUGUCUAUCUGUUGUCAAUUUUAUCAAGAAUUAAUACAAUGUGCAUUGGGCAUAUUGAGAAUUAAAAUAUAGUGCAGGGGUCUUGCCAUAAACACACGAGUUAUUUGAGAAGUAGGAAUGUAAUUUGGAUUACUAGAAAUCUGACGGUAUUGAGAAUUAAAUGGGAAUGGAUAGUAAAACAUCGAAAGGGUUGAAUUGAAAUAAAAUGAGUUUAAUAUUAAACGAUGCAACCAAAAUCUUGAGUACGUAUAGAGACUUUGAGCAGCAUUACAAACUCAUUCUAGCAUGAAGGCGCGCUAUAUUACAAAACCACAAUGUAUUUUUGUCUAUCAAUUCAUAGAUUCCAAAAGUUAAUGGUCACAUAUAAAAUAGGAUAUUUAUAAUUGACGGUAAAUUUAGGAAUAAUAGUUAAGUAUGUAAAAGCAUUUAAUUUAUUUUUGUAAAUAUAACAAAAUCUAUUAAUGAUAGACUUCUAUCGUUGUUGAUAGACUUAUAUGGUCUAUAAGUGAUAAAUCAAUAUUUACAACAUGAUCUAUCAAUGAUAAAUUUCUAUAUAUUAUUAUUGAUAAGUUUUAAGAAAAGGAACAUACAAGGAAAAUUGAAAAUGAGAGGAUAAAUUUGAAAUUUGGAAAAUGGAUUAAUCAGAUCUUUAUUUAUUUUGUUGUCAUUAUUUGCAAUUUUUGACAAUUCUCCCGUGCGACAUUGAAAAAAUGGUUGACAUCGACUAUAAUAUCUAAACUUUAUUUGCUACCUGGUGCAAAUACCCCUCCUAUUUUAAAAACUCUCUUUUACAUCGUUAAAAAAUUACUUCGAAGUAUUUUUUUCAAACAUUAAAAAAAUUGAUAUAUGAUUUCAAAAGGUUUCUUAAUUAAUAUUUUUCUAAUUACUUACAUCGUUUCUCCUAAAAAAUUCCGAUGAUAGAAUUAAAAAAUAUUUAGGAAUUCGUUAUUUCUAGAUUAUUGAGGUGAGAGAUCAUUAUUUUUGGAAGUUUGAGAUUUGAUCCAAAUAAAAAGUUAAGGGGCUUUUGCAAAAAUAAGUUUUUUUUUAUGAUAAUAGAGUCUACGUCACAACAUUUUUUAAAUUUGUAAAAGUAGCAAAUUUAAAAGUGAAGACUCUCUGAUAGCCCUAUGAUUACCGAUAACUUAUGAUUACCGUCUAAUAGCAAUCUGAUAUCACUAAUUUUGCCAUAUUCGCAAUAUGCAAAAAAUUGGUGCCAUGAAUUAUUUUUUUUCUAAAUUUUUUUGGUCAUUUAAUGCAAUUUCCAAAAAUUAAAUUAAUUAAAAGUUCUUUUUGUAAAAAAAAAAAAUUAUUCUAAGACUAUCCCACAAGGGACAUUGAAAAACCGUAACAAUUUCUCAUUGGAAAAUUGUAAUGGGUGGCCUUUUGAGAAUAUGUUAUAACAAAUAUAUAGUAGUACAUUGUUUUAAAACUUUGCAAAUAUAACAAAAUUCUCAUUUUAAAAAAUUAUCUCUAUAUUAAAUUUGUUAUUAUUCCCAAACUACAAUUCAAUAAUUUAUUUAUGUUUCCAUUUUUAAUGCCCUAAUAAUACUGGAUUUCUUGUCCCACUUUUUAAGGCCCUAAUUAUUCUAUCUGUUAAUUACGGGAAAAACAAUUUGUGUAUUUGAUAAUGUAUGUAUUUUUUCUCCCGCUUUUUAAGGUCCUAAUAAUCGUCAUUUCUUACACGAAGAAACUGAUUUGUUCUUCAUGUCUUAAUCUUGAUUUUAGAAUAUCAAUGAUAUAUUAAUUGCAAUAUCAAAUAUAAUAAUGGUUAUUUAUCAAAGUAAUUUAACUUCGUUUGUGAUUUUUCUCUACUUUCUUUUAUGUGUAUCUUGAGUUAAGUCUGAUACCAUGUUGUGAUAUACUUAUAUUAUAUGUUUUAGUUGUUUGAUAUACUUAUUAUGUGCUUUUCAUUUUCUAAAAUUUUAUGCAUGCAAUUUAUUGUAGUUUAUUGAUUAAAUAAGUAUAUGAACGAUAUAACUCGAUGUAUCAUUACACAAUAUAUUAUUAAAGAAUACCAACAUAUUAAUAAAGUGAAUCAUUAUCAGGUAUAUAAAUCAAGUUUACAAGUGUAUAUUAACAGUGUAUCAAGUGUAUAAGUAGGACUUCAAGCAUACCAAGUGUAUAAGUAGGACUUCAAGCAUAUCAAGUGUAUAAGUAGGACUUCAAGCAUACCAAGUGUAUAAGUAGGACUUCAAGCAUACCAAGUGUAUUUAAUCAAUUGAGUGAAUAAGUGAACAAUACUGUGUAUUUGUAGUACAUAAGGUGUAUCAAACAUAUCAUAUGUAUCAAGCGUAUAAAAUUUGUUAAGUGUACAGGGCAUCAAGUGUAUUAAACUUAUUAGUGAAUUAAGCAUUUAUAUGUAUUAAGGCUGAAAGGGUAUCAAAUGUAUUAAGAAGAAUCAAGUGUAACAAGAAGUAUUAGGUAUAUCAAGAUGUUUUAAGUGUAUCAAAGGGUAUCAAGUGUAUUAAAGAGUAUCAUGGUUAAUUUUCAUCAAGUGUAUCAAGGUCCAAAGGUUAUAAAGCAGUAUCAAAUAUAUAUCAAGUGUAUCAAGGAGUAUUAAAUAUGUAUCAAGGAGUAUCAGGUGUAUCAAGGGGUAUUAGGUGUAUCAAGGGGUAUUAGGUGUAUCAAAUGUGUAUUAGUAGCGAUGACAUUUGUGACAUUUUACAUCUUGUAUAUAUACAUGGGCUAGACUUUGUUUUUUCCAUUUUUGCAAAUAACUAAUAAAUGCGUGCGUGCUAUGAACUUAAUUAUUAUAACUUGUUUUGACCUUUUUGCAAGGGUCUCUAUCUCAUUUUUAAGGCGAGAAGUUUUUCGUUGUUGUUGGAAUAGUUUUCACUUAGCUUAUGAGAUUGUUGUUUUAAAUAUUGGAGUAGUGAACAAUGAAAUAAGACUUCUUUUUACGAAUUUAUUUUAGAUCAAGAUUUAAAAUUGGGCCAUUAUUUUUCUCUAAACGAGUGUUGUGGGGUGCUAGCAUCUUUCCUAUACCUAAUUGAGUCCCGAAUUUCACCUUUUUCAUACACAGUUGACUAUCGAAUUCAACUCUAGGUUUUGCAUACCAUUCCAUUUUUUUGUUUGUUUUAUUGAAAAAUUGUUUUUUUUUUUUUAAUUUUGGUGUUCAAUCACACUAUAAAAAGAAUUGAUGGUGGCUUCUUUCUUUGUUUUAUUUUAAAAUUAAUCUUUUUCGAGGACGUCAGCUGCUCCACAGUCAUCUUGAGCACGUACGUGACGACACUUUCAUUGAAAAUAAAGAAACACUUGAUAUAACUAAAAGAAAAUGUUCCAACUAGACUCGAGGCUACAAAUUUGAGCCACAGUUGCAAUAUAAAUUUGGUAGGCCAUUGACACAAAGCAGUUCAUCCCUGCAUGAUAGGAAAGCUAAGCGAGUACACUAAAUUCCAUUGCAUAUGAAAGCAUUUUGAAUAUUUGAAAACAAACCUUUGAGAGUUUAUGUUCAUUUCACAUUGUAGUGAUCUAGCUUUCUGUUGACCUUAUCAGUUAAUAUUAGAUUUCUAAUCUAAGCUUACUGUGUGGAUGAUGAAUUAUAUACAGCAAAGAUUUGAACCCUCAACAUUAAUUUUUGCAACUGUCCAACUCCAUGUUGGCUAAUACAACCUCGAUCAAGACAUCAAAUGUUUUUUCUAGCCUAUCCAACUCUAACUAUAGAGAAAAGGAAAAAAGAAAAAGCCCCACUUAAGAUUGUAAUUCUUACUCUCCCCUCCACACCCUCCUCUCUCUCUCUAUCCAUUAAAUUAAAAUUUGAUCUCUCUCUCUCAAAUGCAUUAUUCCUCUCUCUCACCUGAAAUCUAGAAUAUUCAGAGAUCUCAAACCCUCCCUCUCCAUGUCCAUGGCUACAACUUCUUCUCUUCUACAUUUUUCCACCAUUCCUAUUCCCAUCUUCACAAAACUCCCCAAAUAUCACCUUGUCCAUACCAACAUGAUGAACAAUAACAACAAUUCCCUUUUCUCCACAAAACCCACUUUUUCAAUACAUUACUUCAAUUUCACUCUUCCAACCUCAAAAUGCUCUUCAUCAUUACCUUCUUUAACAACAAUGGAAGAUCAAGAAGAUGAAGAUCAAGAUGAUGAUGAAGCGAUAACAGUGGAAACAAAUAAUAAUUUUCCUCCACUUAGUGAAAUUUGGAGAGACAUUCAAGGGAUGAACAAUUGGGAAGCCCUUCUUGACCCUUUGAAUCUUCAUCUUCGUAAAGAAAUCAUUCGUUAUGGUGAAUUCUCUCAAGCUUGCUAUGACUCUUUUGAUUUUGAUCCUCACUCUAAGUAUUGUGGCACUUGCAAGUACCAAGCUUCCCACUUCUUUAACAAGCUUCUCAUGCCUGAUCCCGGCUACAAUAUCACUAGAUAUCUCUACGCAACCUCCAACAUCAAUCUACCCAACUUCUUUAAAAAAUCCAAAUUUACCCGUGAUGAAUCCAGAGACUUUUCUAACAGGUGAAAUUUUCCGAUGUUAUUAUAAGUUUGGUAUCUAAACUUUCAAAACAUCUUUCUGCAAAUACUUCUACAAACUUUUAAGAUAAUGUUGAUCAUAAGAAUUAGUAAGUACCAAUUUAAUUAGAUCUUCAAACUUUUAAAUUUAUAUCUAUGAAUUUAAGAAGUUGUUUGAUGGUUCUAUACAAGUUUACUCCUUAAACUUUUAGAGUUGUGUCAAACAGAUUCUUAAACUAGUUAAUACAAAAUUUUUAGAGGUUUCAAAAGUGUUGCUAAGCUAUAAUAUGCCUUAGAUACAUACUCAUUUUUUUUUAUUAAGAUUCACAAGUUUGUUAGACACGAAAUUAAAUUUUAUAUAUAAUAAAUUUGUUAUUUUAUUUUUUAGAAAAUAUUUGAAUAUGUUUGAGCUUAUUAGACACAAAAUAAAAAAUCUAUAGAACUAUUUAAGUUAUUGAAAUUUUAAAGACUACCUAUUUGAUACUUUUUGAAGUUCAAAGAAGAUACGAAAUAUAUGAAAAGUUGUUGGACCAGCACAUGUAAUUUAACUUUUUUACAUAUAUCGAUGAUUAGAGUUUGGAGUCAACAUGCUAAUUGGAUGGGCUACGUCGCCGUUGCCACCGAUGCCGAUGAGAUCAAACGACUUGGCCGCCGUGACAUUGUCAUAGCUUGGAGAGGAACUGUAACAUACCUUGAAUGGAUCCAUGACCUCAAAGACAUUCUUCGACCGGCCGGUUUUAUUCCAGAUGACACGUCGGUUAAGAUAGAGUCUGGAUUCUAUGAUUUGUACACCAUGAAAGAGGAAAAUUGCAACUACUGUGGAUUUUCAGCUCGUGAGCAGAUUUUAGCUGAAGUUAAACGACUUGUGGAGAAGUAUUGCAAAUUGGGAGGAGAAGAAAUUAGCAUCACCGUUACUGGCCAUAGUCUUGGAGCUGCUUUGGCUUUGAUUACAGCCUAUGACAUUGCUGAGAUGAAGCUGAACAUUGUCGCCAGAGGAGGUAGCAGUGCCGUGGCAGUUCCGAUCACUGUCUAUUCAUUUGCUGGUCCUCGGGUGGGGAAUCUCAAGUUUAAGGAACGGUGCGAGGAGCUUGGAGUUAAAGUGUUGCGAGUGAUUAAUGUUCAUGACAAGGUUAUGAUCAACUAAACUCAAAAGCUUAAGAUGGUAGACGUGUUUUUGAUUUGCAGGUUGAAUUAGUAUAACUUGUAACACUUUUUCUCACUUUUUGGAUAUAGCAAUUAAUUUGUCAAUCUAAAUAUAACUUAACAUUAGACAAUUUUUUUUUUUAAAAGUGAAACCUUUUAAUCCUUACCAUAAAAUCAUUGUAGGUUACAUGGUUUUAUAUCAUAUUUUUCUGGUUAAAUUUUUUAUUUUCAUGGUUUGGAAAAGGUUGGUAUUUAAUCCCUAUGGUUUUAAAAGUUCAACUCUAGCCCAUUUAAUUUUGAUAAAACUUUGUAAAUAAUUCUAUUAUGAUUUGAUAAGAGAUUCAUAAAUAUAAUUUUAUAAAGCUUGGACUAAAUGUCUUUUUGGUAUUCACAUGUGUGACAGGUUCCAAUGGUACCAGGCAUUAUAGCCAAUGAAAAGCUACAAUUCCAAAAAUAUUUAGAAGAAGCUAUAGCUUUUCCUUGGAGCUGUGCUCAUGUUGGCACAGAACUUGCAUUGGACCACACACACAGCCCCUUUCUAAUGUCGACAAGCGAUCUUGGGUGUGCUCACAAUCUUGAAGCUUACCUACACUUAAUCGAUGGGUACCACGGUAAGGGGCGAAAGUUUCGACUAGAGACAAAGAGAGACAUAGCUUUAGUGAACAAGAGUUGUGACUUUUUGAGAAAGGAGUACGGUGUGCCACCGUGUUGGCGACAAGACGAAAAUAAAGGGAUGGUUAGAAACAAUGAAGGGCGGUGGGUGGUGCCAGAUAGACCGAGGCUAGAGGAUCAUCCGCCUGAUACUGCACACCACCUUCAACAAGUGCUCAAAGAUGUUUUUGGUUCAUAGGAUUUAGGGUUUACAAUCAAGAUAGCUAGUGAUAGCCAGCUUUAUUUCAUCAUGGAGGGUAGGUUGAAUGACUUGUUGACUAAAUAAUUAAUAAUGUCCUUGUUGAUGAAGAGUGGCAUUAUUUUGGUGUCACUAAUGUAAAUUAUCAUGUGAAUUGUAUGGUAUAUAUUUUGUUGACGAUGAGUGGCAUAUAUGAUACUAUUUUGCUUUUGAAUAUGAAAUAAGUUUUGGCCAAUACCAAUCUCUAUGCUUGAGGUUAAUUAUUAUGUUGUUUAACCAUACAUUUUCAUCACAAAUAAUAUUUCAUACCCUUUUUUUAAAUAUAUUUUAAAUUCUAAUUCUAAUUGUGAACGAUGCAUGGAUGGAUGCAUUUUAUGAUGUGCACCAAGUAUUACCCUUUAAAUAUUACUACUAGAAAGUAUUUUAACUCAAAGAUCCCUUGUCCUCGUUUGUAAAGUAACAAUGUAGGUUAGGUUUGCUCAAAUAUAUAUAUAUAUCGAACAUUUGUAAUUUUGUAUACAUAAUUUAAGGUUAUGGAAAUUGAAUGUAGGUUAAUUAUAACAUGGAAUAUCAUAAAAUUAAUUGUUUCAUAUAGCUUUACCACAAAUGUUGGGUAUUCAUUAAUAUUGAUUAGUCUAACUAUUAUUAACCAUGUUUAAUAAUUAGAAGUUGAAAUAAACCUAAUUCAAACUUCAUUUCUUUUAAAAAAAGAGAGAGAGAGAAAAUGAAAGUUUUACAAAUAGAAUAAAAAGUAAGGAAGUGUUGAUAUUAUUUUAAUUUCUUUUGUUUUUGUAAGUCAUUAAUUGAAAAAAGAUAAAUUAAAAUAUAUUUGACAAUAUUAUAAUCAUCAAAUUAAUCAAAAUAUAUGUAAAUUAAAACAGAUUUCGUGUCCAUUUCAUUUAAACCAUGCUUAUAUGAGCAAGUAUAUUAUAUAAGUUUUUUAGAGUGAUAUAUUUUAAAAUAUAGUAAAAUGUGUCAAACUAUUUAUAAAAUUGAACAAAAUAUUAUAAUUUAUCUAUAAUAAAUUACUAUUUGUGUUUAUUUGAUUCAUGAUAGACAUAAAAAGAAAUAGUCUAUCAUGAAUUAUCAACAGAUAAUUCGUGAUAUUUUAUCAUAUUUAUAAAUAUUUUGAAAAGUUUUAUUAUUUAUCAUAACUUUUGAGGUUGAAACAAAAUUAUGAAUUGAAAAUGAAAUAAGGAGGGACAAUAAAAAUGAAUUACGUUAGAUGAGGUAUAUAUAUGGCUAUAAUCAAUAAGGGGAUGGGAGUCCAAACAUGACGAUACUUCUAAUUAAAGUUUGGUCCAAAAUGAGAGAAAACUAAUCCUGAAAAUAAGGGCUGUAAAGAAGAAUAGCAAAUUAUGAGUUUUACUCCGAAAAAGUAACAAAAAUAAUUUUAAAUUGUUAGAAUAACAAAAUAUAAAAAUUAGAAAAAUAAAUAAAUGAAACAAUCUCUUAAAUGUCCUUACUCAAUCUGAAAAAUACAAGUGUUCACCUUAACCCCAAAUACAAUGUAAUUGAAAUAACAUAUGUUACAUAAAAAUUUCUCCCCAAAAACAUAAAGAUUAGAAAACUUGUUAUUAAUGGAAAACUCCACCUUAUGCCUGCAAAAUUUAAAAUCCGUGCAAGUGAUUAUUUAUUUUCUUGGACUUCUGCUGCUUACCUUCUUCCAUUAACCCUAAAGAAAAUCAUUUGAAACCUUUCAUCUUCUUAGAUAUUACUUAUGGACAUUCCAAAUCUCUUCCUCUUUCAUUUGAACGCUUUUUUUUUUUCCAUCUUCUUAAAAUCUUUUCAAGUGAUUUUUUUUUUUCAUUUGGACUUCGCCCACUUACUUCUUCUGUUCCUCUUUCAUGCAAACAUUUUUUUUCAUUCGAAACCCUAUAGAAAACAAUUUAAAACCAUUUUAUUGCUUUUUUUGUUCUUUUGGAAAAGUUAGAAUAUAUGACCAUUGUUAUGACCUCUGUAAUUUUGGAAGGUUCGAAAGAGAAGAAUAGUUUGAAUAAAAUUAUUAUUGUUUUUUAUAUUUAAUUAUAUAAUAUAUUUAAAUAUAACAAACCAUUAUAUAUAUAUAUUAUAAAAUAAAAUCGAAUAUUAGUUAAAUUCAAAAUAAAAAUGUCAUACAAAAAUUAUCGGUACAAUUAAGUAAUUUUUUUAGAUAAAAAUUACACUAUUAUCACGGUUUUUAUGGGAUCUUGAUAUUUAAAAUUAAAUUUUUAGUAUUUUGAUGGUUUUAAAUCAAACUUUAAAACCAAAUUUUAAAUAAUAUUUAUAGAAAAUAUACCUCUUUUAACAAUUCUUCCAUAAAAGGAUUUUAUUCCCCUAACUUUGAUGCAUUUAACGUUGGUAUCAUUAGUUUAAGGAAAUUUUUAUCAUCCACAUACAUAUCGUUAUAAUUGAUUGUUUCCCCUUAAAUAAUGUCAAUUUAUUAUUAUGUUAAAUGAAUAAUUUAUGGAAUAAUUGUUACAUGCAUAAUUAUAGAGAUGAUACAAUUUAAUAUGUGAAGUUGUUAUUAUAUCAAAUGCAGAAUUUUAGAACAUGAUACAAUUUUAAAAUCAAAUUUUGGAGAUCUUUAACUAAACUUUAAAAAUCAUAUUAUGAAAUAAAUAUUUAUUAGGUGCAUUUUUAAAAAUAGCAAAAUAAAUUAAAAUAUUUACAAACUAUAGCAAAAAAUUUUAUUCUAUCACUAUAAAAUAUCAAUGACUAUCAGUGAUAGAAUUUGUUAUAAACUGUAAAUAUUUUGUAAAAUUUGCUAUUUUUUAAAAUUUCCAAUUGUGUAUUUGUUUGAUAUAAUAAAAUGGUUACUAAGAGAUGACCAAACCUUAAGACACGUAGAAUGAAUAAAUUAUAUUAUAAAUCAUUAUAUAAAAAUUUUUGUAUUUGUAUAGUAUAAUAAAAUAUUAUUAAGAAUUAACUAAAGCUUAUGAAAUGUACUGAAGAAAUUAUAUUAUGAAUCAUUUUAUAUAUAGCAAAAAGAGUAUGAAUUAAAUAGCUAUUACUAUAUAUAUAUAUAUAUAUUAAUAAAAAUAAAUUGUUAAUAAUUUGAUUUGAAGUUUACAAAUCCGAAAAUCUGGUAUAAAUUGAAGACAUAAAUCUAGGAGAUGUUUGUUAAAUUUGAUCAAUCCCGAAAAUAAAUAUAUAUUUAAUAUUUUUAUAAAACCGAAUGAUAUGCAAAUACACUAUAUUUAUGGUUCUUGGUUAUAUUGCAUUAUUUUACUGUGCACAAAUACAUUGUAUCUAAGAAAAAGGAGUUUCAGUUUAGGAAGGGGGUAAAAUCGGUUGACAAGUUGUAAAAAAAUAUCUACUUCAAGCCGUUUUGCUAAAAUUCAAAAUAUUUUUUGGAUUUACCAUUUUUCAAAUUGUUAUAUAUUAUUUUGUUAUUCUCACGGUUAUCUCCUGAAUAAUACUCUUUGUGUUCAAUCUAAAAUAAAAAUAAAUUUUGAAAGUAAAAAAAUGAGUACUUUCUAUUUUCAAUUGAUAACUAUAAAUCAACAUCUCUAUACUAGGGAUGAUUAUUAGUCAGGUGGAGGCCGUUUUGUACAAAACAACUAUUAAAAAUUGACUUGAUCAAUUUAUAAGAGGAGAAACUGACCACUGGCUGCCAAUAGUUUGAACCGAUCGACCGAAUCGCUGGUUGGUUUAUGUCGGUUCGAUUUUUUUACUUUUCGAGCACCCUCGGGGCUAACCUUAGUGUUUUCCGACCUAGAUGAAGGACAAGAAGCUUUAGAGAUUGAGUUCUCGAGCUAAUCCCAAUGCUUUUUCGGUCGGAGUGGAAGGAUGAGAGGUUAAGAAGCCUAGAACUCAGACUAUCUCGAGGUCGAGUUCAGUCAAGAUUGAAAAUAAAGAAGUUAAUCUUGAGCCAUCUCGAUGCAAUUAAUGCUCGAGGUAGACUAACUAAAGACAUAAGUUUUUCAUUCCAGGACAUCUCAGGGUAAUGUGUGCCCGAAAUCAAAUAAAAUAAAGGUAUAAUUAUUUUAUCCCAAGUCACCUCGGUGCCUCUAAGGCCUGAGAUCCAAUAACUAAAGGAAGAAAAAAUUCUUUCAUCCUAGGGCAUCUCGGUGCAACUAAGGCCCGAGAUCUUGGGCUACUAAGCAUUCAAUUUCAUUUUUCAAUAAUAUAACAAUAUAUAUUUUAUAUAUUUUUUAAAUUUUGGUUGGAUUCAGUCAGCGAGAAUAUAAAUUCAAUUGAGUUGGUUCAGUUUUCCAAAAAGCUCUUCCUUAAACCGACCGUUGACUGUUUUUCAUAAAAAUUGACCAUUGAGCGUCGGUUUGCUCGAUUUCAGUCAUUCAGAUCGAUUUUUCGAGUGGCGUUGUUCACCCCUACUUUACACACACUUUUAGUUAGUUUUAAAAUAAAUUGUAAAAUAAGAGUUGAUCAUAUUAGUGAAAGGAAGGAAUUCACUGUGAAUUUAUUUUUUAAAAAUUUAUGUGACAUACUAUUUGUCAAUCUUAAAUGUUAUUCAACUAAUCAAAUAAAAUGAUAAAUCUAUCUCAAAACAAAGUGUGCCUAUAUAUAUAUAUAUAUUACAAAUAUUAAAUCUUCUAGCUCGUUUCUAGAUUGAAAAUAAUAAUUGGUUCUUAUCAAGUUUGGUCACCUUACACUCAUUAGGUAAUUGUCAACCAUAGUUCUUUCUUUUUCCUAUUUCAUUUAAGUUUAACAAUACGUGGAGUGACUUGAUUGAAGGUAAUAUAUGACUUAGUUGUGCUAUGCAAUUAGGGUGGUUCUCUGUCUUGCAAAUUAUUCAUAUAGGGGAACACAACAUUCAAUUUGAUGCUUCUUUUAAAUAACCAAACUACCUAUAAUUUAAUUCUCCUUAAUUAUUUUAAUGAUUUUUAUUUUCCAUUUAUAGUGAACCUCAAACAAAAUAAUGGAAUAUAUAGUCAACUUUAAUUAAACACUCAACCACACCUCUCCUACGUACGAAUGUAGAGCCUAACCCUAGCUAGUUCCAAUAUUUAUACAUUCAAUAGUAUCUUUUUACAUUGAUAUAUACGAGAAGAUGAUACAAUUACCUUCAAAAUGGAGCUCAGCCCCUAGAUAUAGAUAUAACAGUAAUGGUAAAAUGUUUUAACUUCCAUAAUAUUCUUUACGAACUAGAAAAUAUAAUAUCUUCUCUUAGAUUGUUUAAUCUCGAAUUGUUAUAUAGUACAAUGUUUAUAUUAGUUGAGCUAUUAAAAUUUCACUUGAAAAAAAGUGUAAGACUCGGUUAAAGGUUUUUUUUUUUUUUUUUUUCAUUUUAAAGCUUUAAGAAAAGGUUAUUUUUAAAUAAUCAAUAAAAUACAUUCACAUUGUGUCAUAUUUGACCUCACAUUUUAUCAUACUACAUCCAUACCUACAUAAUAAAAAGUCUCUAGGGUAUUGGCACCAAUUGCAGAUUGAUUAGAUGUUUGAAGGAAAAGUCAUUCGGUUUCUUGAGUGGCCAUUCUAUGCAUAUGGAUACCCUUCAGUUGUAUCAUUUUUCUUAUAUAUAAUUUCUAUAAUUACUUACAAAAUCAAACUACAUCCAUACUUGAAAUAAUCAUAUAUAUAUUAUUCGUAAAACUAGAUUAAUGUACUUGAUGACAUAUAUUACAUAAAGAACAUUUAACAAAAAAAUAUUUGAUAAGAAAAUCAAUCUCAUUUUCGAAACAGGACAGAAGACGUCAAUUUUAGUCCCUAUCAUUAGAUUUUGAUCACAAGCAAGACAAUAUAAAUUCACAUCGAUCGAGUCAUAAUAUACAUGUUAUAAACAAUCCAACCAAGUGAUCAUCAACAGCACAUCUAACAUAUGUUGAAAACACACAUCCACAAAUAGUGAAAAUGGGAAGGAAAAAGAAAUGUAGAUAAUGACUUAUACAUAAGGUGCCUUUUGAUUCAUAUUUGUGUUCGUGCGCCACUUCUACAAAUGUUUCCCUUACGCAAAUGCCAUUUCUUUGAAUGGCCAACAUCAACCUCAUCCUCUCUCUUUUUCACUAUUAUUUCUUUUUCCUAUCAUGUUAUCAACGUCAAUGUUAAUUAAAAUAUUAAAAGAGAUUUACUCUAUCUACUCUCCUAGUUGUAAUAAUAAUAUUUUAGUUCUUGAACUUUAACAAGGUAACAAUUUUUUGGUCCAUAUAUUGUCUCAAAAAUUUAUUGAAGUUUAAUGAAAAUUUUAAUCCACAUAGGUAAAAAUUGACUUGAUAACAAUAUAAUAAGAGUUGACACUCAUUUUUCACGGUAGAGACUAAAUUGUUGUAAAAUCAACUUAUAUAGAAAUUCGAACUUAUAAAUGUGAAAGUCUAUAAAUUAAAUCGUUUUGAAUUAUAGUCAAAAGAGAAGAACUAAAGUGUUACUUUUAUGAAAAUUUAGAGACUAAAAGUAUUUGUUUAACCGAGUAGCAACGUGGAUGAAAUGUAUUUUGACAUAGGUUUAUAAUAGACUAUAAAUGUGGAUUUUCUUUUCAUAUCAAUGUCAACUCAAUCGAUGGAAAUUUAAAAUGUGACAUACAUUAGCCCGCAUGCUCUUUCAUCACUAUCAAGAGGGAAAAGGGUUUCUUUAUGAGAUGGUGGGUAAAAUAUAAUUGGUACCUAAGCUCUAUCCAUUAUAUAUUGUACUUUGAUAAAGUUGUGGCAUUUGGGUUUGUGUGUUUUCUUACCAAAAUAUGUAUAUCUCAUAUACUAUAGAACAAGAACACAAUAUGUAAAAAUUAACCAGAGAAUAAACUAAGUAAACGACUUUUAGUAUCAGUAGUUUAGCGACUUAAGUAACAACAAGAAAAACAUAAAGGAGAAAUAGUCAAAACUCACAGCGUUGUUAAUCCAGUCCAAUGACUCAACAUUUAGACCUGGGGUCCUUGUCCCAUGUUUAGAUAUUUUAUUACUUUGAUAACUUUUAAUCAUAAUCAACCUAUUAUGAUUCUAGUACAGAGAUUUUCGUCAACUUAAACACUCAAUACUAGUAACGUGAUACAAACUCAAAUAUCAUUGUAUGUCAUAGUUAGGUUAAGACAAACAAAAUCUUCAAUCCUAAUCAAACUACAAUCUUUUCAUCUGAUAGAAAGUUAGUCAAUUGAGUCUCCCCUAAACUAAUGACCUUCGACUGAUCGAAUCUUAACACUUCAGGACUAGUCCGGUUAUGAAGGUUUUUCUUCUUCUUUCAAGAUAAUGUGCAGCCUAAUACAUUAUCAACGGGUAAAUUACAAGUUGCAGAAGUUACAGGAGCUGCUUAAUUGAAAUAACUACAAUCAAGCUAUCACAUCAACUUUUCUUGAAACAAACGCUUUAGACUUUAUGUUUUUCUCGAUUACACACACUAAACACGGUAAACGAACUGAGGUUAAAUAGUAGAAAAAACUAAUAGCAAGACUUUCCAUGAAGGAAUUCCUUCCAAAAUUCGGAAAUAAUAAUAUUCAGAAUAAAAUAUUAUCUUGAAUAAAAUCUUUUGAGAGAACAAAAACUUUUCAAAUAAGAAACUUCCUUCCAAAAUUCUAUUUUUGCCAUAGUUGAAACAGUUGGAAGAAUGAACAAAAUCGGAGGCCCACAGAAUCAACAAACUCCCCCUUGGAGCCAACUUUCUACAUUUGUACAGACAUGUACAAAAGAUAAAGUAGACCCACAAUGCUAGACUAGCAAAAAGAGACUUACAACAUCCCUUGCAUGUUGAAGCAGAAUUAGGAAGCACAAUUAGUAGACUGUCCGUCGAUAAGGUGGGGGAUAGAGUGAAGUACAAAGAGGACAGUAGUACGACGACUAGUCAGAGCAGAAAUGGCUACUGUAUGGCGCUGAGAAUGCACUGUUAACAGUGAAAGAGUUCUUUAAUAUGAAGCAUUCUUCUGCACGAAAUACAAUUGAAAGAGCAUUCGGUGUUCUAAAGAGUCGAUGAGCAAUACUGCGAGGAAAGUUGUACCACCAUGUAGAAGUCCAAUGUCGGACGAUACUCGCAUGUUGUCUACUGCACAACCUCAUCAACCGAGAAAUGUCAAACUUUGAUAUGCCUAACGACGUAGAUAAGGGUGAUUCAACCCACGCGACUACUACUAGAGACAAGAUACACUACAUAGAAACCUCCAAGGAGUGGAGUCAAUGGAGGGGCGAGCUUGCAGAUGCAAUGUUCAGUGACUGGGAGUUGCGUAACUAGUAGCACAACUAGUGUAGUCAUAGUUGUUUAAUAAUGAAUGUCCUAUGCAUUUUCUUUUGUCAUAGUUUUUGGAAAUUGUUUUUAAAAUCUAUUAGUUUACCAUGUGUUCCAAUUGACAAUAUAUUUGUUUCUGAAUGCAAAAUGGAUUAGAUGUGUGUAUGUCAUAACAGUAGCGAACUUAAUGGCACUAAUAUGUUUACGUUGAUUUUAUAGAAUGACAACUUCAGGAAGAAUGUCAAAGCACAGUUGGAUGAAAGAAGAGGAUGCAACCCUGGUCGAGUGCCUCGUUGAGUUAAUGAACGUCGAUGGCUUGAGGUCCAACAACGGGACCUUUCGACUAGGGUACCUUAGUCAUCUCACAAGAAUGAUGGCAUGUAAGAGCCCAGGACGUAACAUCCAAGCAACAACUAUCGAUAGCCGCAUAAAAUUGCUUAAGAAAAUGUUUCACGCUAUAGCAGAGAUGCGUGGCUCAUCCUGCAACGGCUUUGGGUGGAAUGAUGAACUCAAGUGCAUCGUUGAGGAGAAGGACGUGUUUGACGUGGGUCAAGGUACAAUAUUAUUUAUGCCAUCUGUUAUUGUAGUACAAGUGACAAUAAUACUAACAAUGUUUUUUGUACUUAAACAGAGUCAUCCGGCCGUGAAGGGCCUCUUGCAUAGAUCGUUUUCUCACUACAAAGAACUUUCUUACGUCUUUGGCAAAGAUCGUGCAACAGGCGGUCAGUCAGAGAUCUUUGCUGACAUCGGCUUGAAUGUGCCUGGAGGUUACAAGAGAUUUUCUAUUGACGAUGUCAAUGAUAUAGAGUUCCAUACAACGUACAGUCAGGGAUUAAAUAUGUCGUCUGACGAAGUAAUGGGCACAUGAAUUGCUCGCGAAAGUGACAGUAGGAAUGUUUCUAGCGAGUCUAAGCGGAAAUGUGGAGGAGAUUCCGUAGAAACUGGGGACGUAGUUCGCAAUGCAAUUUAGUAUGACAAUGAACAACUAAACCGCAUUGCAGACUGGCCUAUCCUCGAGUUGCAAGAUGCGAGCACAACAUGGCAAGAGGUCGUUCGCCAGUUACAGGCCAUACCAGAGCUUACUAUAAUCUAUAAGUGUCGCUUAUUGCGUAUAUUGAUGCACAACGUCAAAGACAUGAAAGGAUUCCUCGAUAUACCCAACGAAAUGAAGUUCUCAUUCUGCAACGUCAUUCUCAACGAAAACCCUUGACUUGUUUGCACUAUAUUUCAUUCUUUUAUCUGUUUGUUGUCUUAAUUUGCGUACUUGAUGCUUUUUCGUAUUUUUAUCUAUGUUUUAUGGCUAUUGGACAAUUAUGUUAACCCUAGUAUGUAUUGAACUUGUUUUUUCCAAUCUCAUUCAGCACAUCAUUUUUAUUUCAAUGCUCUAACUAAUUUACGCGUUACGUUUGCACAAUGAGAAAAAAAAUUAAUUUUAAAGGCCCCCUCACACUAAGCUCUUUAUAAAACAAAUAUUUCAUUAAUCACGGGUCCGUAACAAAAAAUUACAAAUCGUGUUGAAAAAAAUUAUAUGCUUUAUUAUAAUUACAUAUAUUAAUAUUGUUUAUUUUUAAAAAAUAAUAUGGUUUAUUAUAAAUGCAUAUACUAAUGGGGAUAUUUAAAAACUGCAAAAUAAAUUAAAAUAUUUACAAGCUAUAACAAAAUUUUGGAUUCUAUCACUAUAGUAUAUCAAUGACUAUCAUAAUACUACACUCAUAACCAUUUCCUCAAACACAUAUUAUAACAAUACUCCAACAAUAAUUCUUCUCCCAAACAGAUAUUAUAAUAAUACUACAAUAAUGAUCCUUCCCCCAAACACACAUUAUUAUAACACUACCCCCCCCCCCCCCCCCCCCUCCCCAUACAUAUUAUCAUAACACAACCAUUCAUAUUUCUUCCCCAAAUACAUAUUAUCAUAACACUACCAAUAAUAACCCUAACCCCAAACGCAUAUUAUCAUAACACUAGGGUUAUCAUAAUCUUCUUUCCCCCAUAACUCUAGGAUUAUCAUAAUCUUCUUUCCCCCAUAACUCUUUUCCUUCUCUAAACACACCAUAAAUCUAUGUGAAUGAUAAAAUUACCACUAAAGCAAGAUUAAAAAAAUUAGCAUGAAAGGAUAAAACAUCCACCAAAAUCAUAUUUCUUUUAAAAUUAUAAUGUUUUUUUAAUGAUUUUGUAGGUAAAAAAAUCAAAUUAAAAAAAAAGAAUUCUUGAUUUACACAUUUUAUUACCUUUAUUUAUACUUAAUAAAUUCUAACAAUAUUUACAUUGUUUUAAGAAAAUCAAAGUUUAAGUCACUCAGUCAUUUCAUUAAUAAAAUAGCUUUAAUAAAAAAAUUAAAGGAAGAAAAAACAUGAGCAAAAUUCUCAUGAUUACAUUAAAAAAAAUCUCAAUAAUACAUGAUUUAAACAUAAAGAGCAUAGACAUAUAUACAUGUCAAUCACUAAGUUGGUGGUUCAAGUUUCUCCAACUUAUGUUGUGUACUAAAAAGAAACCUAUAAAUGAAGAAAUAAACACAAGCAUACUUGUAUAUAAAAAAAAAAUAGACAACAAAAAAAAAAAGUAGAAAAGAACAAAAAAUCAUGACUUGAUUUCUUUUUCACCUUAGCAUUUUAUUGUGGUUUGUGAACAUGAAUGAAAAAAAAAAGAGAUAUUUAUAACCAAGAUUUGAAAAGAAAAAAAAAUUUGAAAGGUUGAAAUAGAUAAGGAAUAAGAAUAGUUGGGAGAUAAAAGAUUUAAAUGACAUAAUUAUUUGAUAAGGAGAUGAAAAGUUUAAAAAAUCAUUCCCGCAAUAUUCUUUGCACCUCUCCUUCUUAGUCGAGGUGCAACUUGUCAAUAUUCUUUUCACCUUGGUUUCCUUAGCAAAAAGAAAGGUCAAGAUGACAUUCUUGAUUUUUGCUAGUCGUAAAGAAUAUUGCGUUCCGCUUAAAAAGUAUUAUAAAACUGAAAUAAGCGGUUCAUUCUCCCUUAUAAAUGAGACGGUAGAUUCAACUCAUCUGGAGCUUUUCUUUGACCCCGUUCGAAGUUUUCUAAGUCAAUGUUUCUGACAAUCUGAAGGACAUGCUUGAAUUUUUACUUUGUCUCUUAUAUGAAUUCGAUUGACUGUCUUGAUUUUUAGCUAUAAUGAAAAUGACAAAAUUGUCGGUAAAGCAAAAUUAAAAAAUGUUACAAUGAAAGGGUAAAAUGGAGCUAAAUAAUUUCUCCACUUCCAUCCUGAAAAAUAGGUGAGACGAUCAAUAAUAUCCUUAAGCUAUAUCGAAAGUAAUUAAUUUAGAGAAUAACUUAAGAAAUAGAAAGAACAAAUAACACAGAAGACUUUGUUAACCUAGUUCGAAAAAUAUAGCCUACGUCUUGGGAGCUUCUCCGCUCAGAUAAGAAAUAUUAUUAAGAUUUAAAUGAGUAAUCAACAACACUCUUAAGUUAGAAGAGAAACUUAAUCCAAAGACAUGCAUGCUCCCCUAAAAUUUUGUUUGAAUCUACUUGAAGACAAAUUUAUGCUCCCUUGAAUUCAUUGAUCGCAAUUCAAUUUUUUCAGUCUUCAUUCAUAUUUCUUAUCAACAGGUGCAGCGUAAAUACUACUUGCAAACUUCAAUAAUCCAUCCUCACAAAGAAGAUCAAAAUUCAACUACCUUCCCAAAUAAUAAUUCGUCAAGAGAUAACAUCUCAUGGCUUAGCUAUUUAAAAAUCACAAUAAUAUAUAUCAUGUAACUACUUUAUGCAAAGAUAUAGACAAAAGAUUUCGAGGAAAAUCUUUUAUCUUUAGAUAAUAUCCGUAUUUUUAAGUAAUAUUGUUUAUUUAAAUAAUUAUAUUAAUAAAAAAAAAUUUACAAAAAUAUCCAACACGUACUUUUAUAUAUACUAUAGAUAUUUCAUCCGGAUUUGAAAAGAUUUUAAAAUUGAGAUCUAAUUGAAAAUAUCUUUUUUAUUUAAUUUAGAUGUUAAAAAUGUGUAUUCUCUUAGAUUCUUUACAGAAUGGUUGUUGAGUUCUUCUGAAGUAUGAGGGUGUGUUUUCGUUGUCUUUCGCUCUGUUCUACUCUUCUGAUUUGAGAAUAUUAAAGUUUUCACGUUUGAGAAGGACGUUAUAUUAGUUAACCUUGGAGAGGUUGGUUUGUAUUUGAUUCCAAGGUAGUGGCCAUUCUAUUGCAUAUAAAUACAUUUGUUCGACAUUCUAUUCAACACAUGUUUGCCAUAUCACAUACAUAAAGAUGGACAAAAACAUAUAUAACAUAUAAUAUACAUAUACACAAAAUUGAGUCAAAAAUAUGUUUGUUGAAUUUCCACUAUAAUUAUUAUAAAUUGAACUUAAUUAUUAUUGACUAUAUCAAAACAGUUUGGUAAAAUAAUACUCAGUUUUUGCCAUCUAAAUUUGAAACAAUAUCUUUGCUAAAGUUAAAACUCUCAUAGCCAACAAAAGAAAGAGAGGCCAUACACGCACACACACACAUAUAUAUAAAGGAUUUAAGCCAUGACUUCCCCACUAUAACAAGGUCUAUAAUUCACUUCAGUAACAUUGGCGUCCAACAUUCUUACAUCACAACACUCUGCUCCUCCUGCCUGCAAAUAAUUGAGCAUGACUUGAGUAAGUCUAACAUUUCCUAAUUAUGUGUUUGUCAAACUAAAUGCUACGUAUUAAAGUAAAAGACGAAGGGUUAUUUAGAUUGACUUGAGAAAAAUAUGUUGUUCAAGAUAUUCAUAUUUGUUUAAACUCAUUUUUGUGAAAAUUGUUUAAAAUACGCUUAGAAAAAUAGUUUUGAAUAGCUUUCAAACGUUUUAAUUUUUUUUUAAAAUAACUUAUUUUUUAAAUGAAACACUUGAAAAUAUAAUUCAAACACACCGUAAGUUGUUACUUCAACAACGUCCACACAGUUGGUGUCUUUAAAAUUUUUUGUUCUGUGUAGAUUCUUUUUAUAGCUUUAUGUUACUCCUGAAACAAUAAUCGUUCAUUGAACAAUUGGUUUAGGGAUGUUGCUUAUUGAACAAUUGUUUUCAUGUGGGUUUUUUUGUGAGUGUUUGUGUAAGUGAUGUGUAUAUUUUCACUAUAUAUAUGUGGUCAUGCUUUGAUUGGUCACUCUUCUGUAUUUUAAUUUACGUGGAUCGUAUGAGAGGCUUGUUUAUCUAUUAAUAGACAAAAGGUGUAUUCUUCGUAUAUCAUCUUGAUAUAAAGCCAACUUUUAGUGGGUAAUUCUCACAUUCAGGGAGAGGCUAAGUUUCUCAUUUGAAAGGUUUUUCUUAUGAAGUAAGGAAAGAUAAAAGAGAAUGUUUGAGAGGAAGUCUCACGUAUAGAGGGAGUCUAAAUUAGCAUUAUUUUUUGAAAGCUGGGUUGUUUGUUAGUCUUUGUAGAUGUUUGUUGUAAUUGCUUUACUUUAUUGUACUGAAGUUUCUUUCCUCGGGCACACCCUUCCUCAGACGAAGAAGGUAUUGCACUGAUUUGGAUUAUCAAUUCUUACGUGUCUUUAUUAUUGUCUCUUGUCUCUACUGUUUGUUCACAUUGUUAUUGAUCUUGUUACAACAUUGUUUGACCUAUUAAUAAUGUGUGAUAGAUUAACCUUCUCAACAAACAGUUCAAAAGGUUAACUUCAAUUUUAAUUUUAUAAUUGCUUUUAGCCUCUCUAAUGUCAUCUGGAAGCAGCUCUAUAUGAUCAAGCAAUCCAAAAGUUUAAAGUUGCUUUUAACCAUGGAUAGAAACAGAAGAAAAUGAGAAAGUGAAAGGCAAACCUCUAAAGGGAUCUUGGCAGAAGAAAAAACCCUAAUCUUGGAAAUGGAUUCAGCAGAGUGGUUGCCAGAAGAAGCACAAGAAGGGAGGUUACGUGCCCAUUUCCUCAAAUAAGUAGUAACAAUCCUAUCUUCUCCAUCUCUUUCAAUGGACUCAAAAAACAACACAUGAGGAGCUUCACAUGGGUUAUCAAGAACUCCCCACCUUGUGUUGAACAUGAAAACGGGAGCAUGAGUUCUUUCAAAUGGUGCAAAUGUCUCCAAUGGUCUCUUCAAAUAAUUUCUAGACAUUAUGGCCUCAUAGAUGUGGGCUGAGUAACCCCAUGACAUUGAAAAUGUCCAAUUUAAGGGACGGUGGUAGCAUAUCGUUUGUUGAAGUAGUCGGGACUGGUCGACCGCUCCCGCUUUCAUCAAAUGUCUGAUCGCCGCGGGACGGUCCAUGUUUGGAUAGAUGGGAUUGAUUAGGUCUAUGUGAUGGAGGGAGAGGAGGGGGGUUUGUGGAUGGUAUGAUAGAUAACCUGAUGCAUCACCUCGUAGAUCAAUCUGUCAAAAUCAUGCACACAAAGAAUUAUAUGUUUGAAUUUCACCUUUAAAGAAGUUAAGACAUCAAGCAACGUGUGCUCUAAUAUAAAAAAUGGUGAUGAUUACGCAAAAAUAAUGAAGAACUCGAAAAACUAUAAUGAAUAGUAUCCCUAAAUUAGUUUCAUGCCGAUGACAAACAUUUUGUUUUAUAGUACACAUUCUGACAUUCAUAAUGGUAAGUUGAAAUAUAUUAAAUACACAAAUAUGUGUGUGUGUGUGGGGAAACCAAAAAGAUAACCUACACUAAUUUUUAGUUUUAAAGUACGAAAGCAGUUGAAAAAUAUAUUUUAUAUUCUCGUAAAUGUCAAGCAAUAGUUUCCCAUUUCUUGAAGAAAUUAACAUGCAUUAAUUUUGUUCUAAAAACAAUAACGACUGCCUUUUAAAAGCAGUGUUUUCUUUAACAUUCAACUUGAUUUUCUAAAAAAGUAAUAGAAUGCAAAUAAUAAAGAAAAAUUGCAUAAGAUAACAAAAAAAAAUUUUAAAAAAAAACCCGUUCAUAGCACCUCUUUCUUACAUAUAUUGCAAAUUUGACAAAUAUGACAAUGAUCAGAAAUAGGAUGAUAAUCUGUUUUUAAAUUUAUUAUUUUUGUAAUUUUGAAAAUGUGAGUGACAUGGACUAUAUUAUCAUAAUUUUUUUUUACUUUUACAAACUUCCCGAAAUAAAACAAUAAAAUGCAAUUAUUAGAGGUAAUAAUAUAAUAUGAGUUACCUGAUGAAACCCGAUUUCAUGAGUAAUAGUGAAUCCCAAAUCAGACAAACAGAAGAACAACAUUUGAUCACUAACCCUUAAAUGGGGAUAUCUCUCAAUGCAACCAUCCAACCUUUUUGCUACCAAAGCAGCAAGUGGGUAACUCAAAGCAUAACCAGCUCCUCCAAAAGCCAUAUCAAAGGAGAAAUCGAAGUUUGACUUCACACACUCUGAGUUCAUCCCAAUGUACCAAUGUUUCUUGUGAUCAUACUUUCCUAAUGUCUUCACUAAAUUAUCUACAAAUAUUAUUGUAUCGUCAUCUGUCAUUACGAACCAUCUCGUGUCUUUGUCACCUUCUCUAAAUGACUCCAUCACCGUUCGAAAAAUCCUCACCUGUAUGAAGUAUAAUACAGUGCAAAUGAUCAAAUUAAUUAAGCCUUUGUGAUACGUUAAAUAAAAACAUAGAAAGCUGAUCAAUUCAUGAGUUAUAACUUUUAGAUGUUUAUACAUAUUUAGUCUCUCACAACUUUGAAGGUACAACCUAUUUUAUCUCUAUACUUUCAAAAGAAAUAAUAGAUUAUUAUGUUUGGUUCAUGCAAUAGACUAAUUUCAAGUAAUAUCUCAAAUAACAUAGUAGUUUAUCUACGCAAGUAACAGACCACGUACUAACAAGGUUAAUAAGUAAAAAAAGGUACUUAUUGGACACAUAAUAGAAGAUUUAACAAAUUAUAAAUGUAUUAGCAAAUUAAAGAGCUAAUUAAAAGUACUUCUAAAACUUUAUAACUAAAUAGUUACGUACAAUUAAAUUCCUAAUUUACUCAAUAUUAUUAAGUAUGUUAUAAUAUGAGUAGGCAUAAGCUUUUCAGUAAAUGUUAGCUUAACCAACCUGAUCUGGCCAUUUGAUUCUUGGGUACACUGCAAAGCCUCUGAUAUCUUCGUUGACUCGAAAUGGAGCAGAGGAAUCCGACCAUGGAAGGAACUCGGCAGAAGGUGAUCGAUCCAAGAAGACAUGGCCACGAGUUACAUUGGGUCGCCACCAUGACUCGCUAUAAUAUCUCUUGUACUUCCAUGUGUUCAUUGACCCAACGAUGCUGAACAUAAUGUGGGAGGCAUUAGUUGGAGGAUCGGUGAGCGACAGAGAUGUUGACAAUGGAGAAGUGUUGAUUAUUGGAAAUUUUUGUUUGAGGGUUGUAAGAAGAUCAGAUGGUUGGUAGUUUGGAGGUGAAAAGAUGAAAACAUAGAUCAUAAACAAGGUUAGUCCUAAGAAUGCCAAAACUUUGCAAACAUCUCCUUGAGAUAUUGAAGAAAGUUUGGUUCGAAACUUUGCUAUGGUGGAGUUCAUUGAUAGUGGAGAAGACAUGUUGAAGAACAAGAUGAAAGGAGUUUGAAGAAAAGGGUACGAAUUUACAUAGCAAGAUGGAAUAAAGAUUAAUAAGAUUUACAAAAGGCCAUUAUAGAAGAAAGCUUAAUCCUAAAUUAAAGGGUAUGUUUUCAUUAAAGAAAGACUUUCUGGAAAGGAAUAGUUUGAGGUAGAAACCAUGUUUCAUGUUUAAGUUUGCAAAUAAAUGUGAAGCUAUUUGCCUACAAAACUAUGAAGAAGAGGAGUUUUAAUGUUAUUGAUUGUCGUUUAAGCAUCCUAAAGUCAAUUGUGUAGGGGAAAAGGGAGUUAUUGUUGCCAACUUCCAUGCUUCCAAUUUGUAAUAUAUAUAGUUUACUUCUCUUCUUUAACGGCUAAUUAGCCUAGCCCACAAUUUUCUCUUUCUCCCCUUUUGAAUACUUAAUUAGAUCUUGCACUCUAUAAGAUUUGUUAGGUUCUUUAAUUUUAUCCAAUGUAUUCAUCAAUUAUUGUUCCAAGUGGCUUAGAGUUUUUCAUUAAGGGAAUUCGUGUUAGUUCUUCCAUUUCAAAUUGAUUUUAUUGAGAUAUGUUUUGAGUGGAUUCAAUAUGUUCUUCUCCUCUAUAAUUUGCUUCUUUUGGAGUGUACUUUAGGGUUCUUUUAAUUUGGGUAAGUUUGUUUGAUUUCUGUCUUGUAUUCUAACUCCUGUGGUUGUAUUUUGUUUGUGUUUUAAUUGUGAGGUCUCCUUCUUUCUUACUUUCAAUAAUCUUACAUUAAUAAAUAUAUAAUCACAUCAAAGAAAUUAUACUCAUAUGUCUUGUCACUUAUUAUUCUCUCAUAAAUUCUUGUGCAUUAGUAAUCUCUUUUCCGUAUGGAAGAUUAUUAGAAUUGAUAGCAUUCCAAACAGAUAAGUAAUCCAUCAAUUAGUAUUUAAUUUUGUUUGGCAGUGUACUUGAGCAAUUAAUUACUUUGGUUGAUUUUCAAUUACCCUUGUUAAUAAUGUAAUCAAUAAAUAAAGUUUUAAUUUCAAAGGUUAGAGUGAAUAUAAUUCAAUAAGAUGUGUAUCCAUAAUCAAAAAGUUCCGUUUUACGUUGAACUAGAAAAAAAAAAGUUUAAAAAGUUACAAAUUUAAAGUAACAAUUCAAUUUUUCUUUGACAUUAAUCAGAGGGAAAUACCAAACAAAAACAUACAUUAUAAAGAAAAGUCAAACUUUACUUUAAAAUUAAAACUUUCCUCUCCAAAUUUAAAUUCUUUUGGUUUCUAUAAUAUAAAUAAAAAUUCAUCUAUACUAACUCUAAAAUUAAUAAAAUUAAUGGUAAUUUUGUCCAUUUUAAUAAAAGUUGUUAAAUAAAAAUUCAAAAUAAAGUCAUUAAAUUAAUUAACAAUUAAUAUCUAAAUAUUAAGUACAAUUGAAAAUCAAAUUACCAUUAAAUACAUUAGUUAGAUGUUAGAUAAAUUUUUUAAAUUCCAAGAACCUUUUAGCUUUUCAAAUUUUCAUUCAUUGUUUUGCAAAAUGAUUUUCAUUAUUUUUUUGUAUUACAAAAUCAUUCACUAACUACGUUUAUUAGGCACCAGUAAUAAAUAAAUAAAUAAAAUUUUGCAUCGAAUGUCUCUUCUCAUUCUACAAAUUUAAUUCACUACAUAAAGCUCUUUAUGCUAAUUGAAAAAUAUCAUCCUCUCAAGCCUAUAAUAAGGGAACAACAAUAUAGAAAUAUGAGAACGUUUGAGGCCACACCAUUAGAGCAUCAAGGUCACAUAAAAAUCAAUCCAUUGAGACAAAAACCAAAAUAGAGGAAUAAGACACCAAAACUAAUAGAGUUUUUCGUGUUGGAGUAUUGUGAUUAAGGUAAGUAUACACAACAAUCAUUAGACUAAUAUAAAGAAUAGCUUAUUUAAAAUUUCUUAUUCGAUAAAUAAUGAGCACACAAAUUGUCAUGGCGAUGCAAAUUAAUUGCUACUCAUAGUCAUUGCAUUUUGACUAUAUAUAGCGGUUUGAUUUGGAAAUUGCCUUUGCAAUUCUUUUUUCCCCUGAAGAUGUGAAAUGAUGAUUCUAAGAUUUAUUUUUAUUGUAUUUCAUAAUCAUGGAUUAUUUUUAAAAAACUAGGUAAUUAAUAAAUUAUGGUUAUUAGUCUAAAAAAGAUUAUUUGCAAUAUGUAAAAAAAAAACACACACAUACUUCCCACAAACAUUUUUUCCAUUUAAAAAUUUAUUGGUCUAAUAGUUUACUUUACUUUCAUAUUUUAGAAAAAAAAUACUUUAAUAAGAACAUAAUGAAAAAUAUAAUAUAUGUAUUUAAAAAUAUCAUUAAAAAUGUUUGAUUUAUUAGAUAUAUUACCGUACAUAAUAGGUCUAUUAAACAAAUAAUUUAUUAGCACAAAUUUUAUGAUUUUUCUAACUCUAAACAAAUUUAUAAAAAUAAACGUAGGUUGUAAAUAAAUAAAAAAAUGCGUAGGAUAGUAUUUUGAGAAUAUGAUACAGCAAUUAUAGCAAAUAUAGCAAAAUUUUCACUUCUUCAUCUUAAAUUUGAUGUUAUUCCUAAACUACCCUUCAAUAACUCAUUUCUUGUUUUAUUUUUUUACAUUAAUUUUUUGAUUUUACUUUGUCUCAGUUUCAAAUAUUAGUGUUGUGAUAUAUUUAUAUUAUAUGUAUUCGUUAAUUAAUAUACUUACUACGUAAUUUUCUUUUUUUCAAAUUUUAUGCAGUUCAUUAGAGUAUUAUUAAGUAUAUGAAUGAUGUAACUCAGUAUGUCAACAAUAUAUUGUUAAAGCAUAUCAGUAGAGUGAAUCAUUAUCAAGUAUAUGAAUCAAGUUUACAAGUGUAUAUCAAUAAUAUAUCAAGUGUAUAAGUAGGACUUCAAGCAUAUCAAGUGCAUUUAAUCAAUUGAUUGUAUAAGUGAAGAAUACUAAAUGUAUUUGCAAUAUAUCGGGUGUAUCAAACAUAUAUUAGUAAUGUUUCGGUAUCGAGUGUAUCAAAGAGUAUCAGGUGCAUCAAGUGUAUCAAUCAAAUGUAUUAGGUGUAUCAAGAAGUAUCAAGUGUAUCAAGGAGUGUAUUAGGUAUAUCAAACGUGUAUAAGGUGUAUCAAACGUAUAUUAGUAACAAAGACAUUUGUAACAUUUUACCACUUGAUGUGUGAGUUGGACUUCGUUUUUGUCAUUUUUGCAUAUAAUAAAAUGUGUGUUAUAAACUUAAUUAUUAUAAUUUAUUUUACCAUUUUUACAAUUUUUCUAACAAAAAUUGUUAUAAAUUUUUAAUAAAACCUUGGAUAUAAAAGGAUGAUUUGAAGACCCAAACCCACACUGUCUAGAGAGUCCAAAUACAUUGUCCAAUGAAUUACCAAAUUGUUAAGUUUUGUUUGAUCAAUUUUCCCUUCAAAUGAACGUUACAUACAAAGUUGGGCAUAAAUAUAUCAUUUUAAUUUUGUCUCUAUUGUUCUCUUUAAAUUUUCAUUUAACAUUCUUUUAUAUGUUCAAUAUUUUGUUUCAACUUUAUUUACAUCUAAUCAAAUGGUCAAAUGUUGCAAUUAUUAAACUACAACCUUAUUCUAUUGUUUAAUAGAUCUUUCUAAACUUUAAAAGUUAUUUAAUCAAUUUUUAAAAGAAUUAAUUUCAAAUAUAAUAAAUUCUCUUGAUAAUAAAUAUUAAUGGACAAGUGCCUAUCAAUAGUAUUAUCACGGUCUAUUAUUGAUAAUUUUAAAAUUUUACUAUAUUUAUAAAUAUUUUCUUUCAUUUUGUCAUUUAAAACUAUCUUUUUUUUUCUAAAAUUUGUAUUUUAUGUUAACUAGUUUCUAAAGCUUAAAAGUGGUUGAUUUUGUUUCUAUUUUUUUUUUUUUUGUUGCUAAUAAUACAUUUGAUGUUUUUCUUUCAAGUAAUGAAUCUAUUCAAAAUAAUUGAAGCUUGUGUAUAAUACGAUCUUUUAGUUUCUAAUUUUAUAUCUAAUGAAUUUGUGAAUUCGUAAAUAUGUUGAAUAUAUCCAAAGACACUCUAAAUGCAUCUAUUAAACACCCGUUUCCAAGACCUAAGAGACAAAAUUGAAAAGUUAAACAAUCUUUUAGAUACAAACGUCAAUCUAAGCAUUAUAUAGCUUAAGUAAGAUUAAAUAACAAUAAUUGUAUCAUCUUAGGUUGAGUGGAUUGAACUCCACCAAUGUCGUCAUUUAACUAAAAAAAAUAUAAGUUAGAGCGAGAUAAAAAGUUAAAAGAGAUUAAAUUUAGAGUUUUAACCAAAAAUUUAUUCAUUAAAUCAACCUCGUCCAUAUUUCAAUGUAAUGAUCAAGUUUGGACAUGUAUUCAUCUCCCACAGUCAAAAACCUACUCACUCCUCAUUAUCCUCUACCAAUAGCUUAACCUAAAAAUUUGAUUCAUAAAUUACGUUAACAAAUUAGUAUCACACACAAAUAUAUAUCCAUACAUUACGGAGUAAAUUAUAUAAAUUUCUCAAUACCCAAAAGCAAGACAAGUUUGCUUAAGAAUUGAAGAGAUGUUUGUUAUAUAAUUUAGCAUAUGAUACAAAUUAAAUAUAUAUUGUAUAUGGUAUUUGACCCUUCCAUAUUACGUUAACAAUUUCUUAAUAAGUUAGUAUUAUAAAAUGAAGCUGUAGAUCUCAAGAACUGAGUUGUAUGGCAUGGGGCAGCUUCUUUGUGGUGCAUGAAAGAAUGUGUACUUGAGUUUAUCAUUACUUUUUUCAUCACUUAUUUGACCAAUCAAAAACCAAAAUAAUUUUUUUUUGUUCUUGACUUUAUGUUUGUUUAGAUAUUAAGUUCCCAGAUGAAAUUUGUCGAUUUAAGCAUUUGCAAUUUUAUUAGAAUAUUUGUAUUUCUUGAAUAUAAUUUCGGUCAGAGAUACAAAUCCUGAUAACGUUUAGUAACAGAUAGAUGAACAAAGCAAAACGAGGAAUCUUGAAAUGAAAAUUUGAGCACCAAAAGUUGAAGGAAUCGAAUAACUAAAGAAAAUUAAUUAAAUGGCGAUGAAAAUUCAAAUUCUUGACUAAACCCACCGUCCUAAACAAAAUAAGAAAUCCAGCUCAGUACACCACUGAAAGCAUGGGGAAGAAAUGUAACUAUCAUAUCUUAUCAUCAUGCUCCUUAAUUCUAGAAAUAUUUAACUAUAGCAGUAGAGCGUGAUAGAUUGAAAAACCAAAUCGACCUACGAAAAUUGAAGGUAAUCAAUUGAAGAUAAAAACGAGUUCGAUCGAUGUCGAUUUGAAAAAUUUUCAAACUAACAACAUUUUUUAAAAGAUUCUUAAUUUAGUGCACGUGAAAUUUUAUUCUCUUGCUUUGCAGUAUAGCUUAUGUUUUCAAACUAGUGACUAUUUUUGUUCUUCCCUAUUGCUAUAGUCGAAGUGCUCACACUAGCACCCAUUGCUAGCACUCAAAACGUGUUAUAUUCCUUAGCUUAACUUGGAAUCAUCUGGCUAUUUAAUGUGUUAAAUGAUCGAAUAGAUUUUGUUGUCCAAAUUUUGGAUCAACUAAUCUUACUGACACCUCAACUCUAAACACCCAACUGACACCUGCGGCCCAGAGAUAGCUUCGAUAACCUUAGUGAGAUCGAUCGAGAUCUUCCUUCUCCCUUUUAAUUAUGAAAUCAUUCAAUAUUAGGAAGGUGGAACACCUUAUUAAUGGACCUUGAGCUAAAGAAAACUACCAUACUACAAUUUUGGCUUUUCUUGACGCAAACAAAUUUAGUUUUUUUUUUUUUUUUAUGGUCAUGGCAAAAGACCAUCAAGAAAAAUGUCUUUCUUUGACACAAUAAAGGUUAAUAUUUUGCCCGAGUGGUUUGAAGUUAUAGAGUUGAAAAUUUGGAGUUGUGGAGUUGUUUGAGUUAUGUAGUUAUGGAGUUGUGCAGGUUUUGAAAAUUCGGUGGUGUUGGAAAUUUAGAGUUGCGGCAGAGUUGUGCAGAUUCUGCAAUUGUUGAUAUUUUGUAGGAGUUGUUUGAAGUUGGCUUGUAGUUUUAUGGUAUAUGGAUUUUGCAUAUUUUGUCGUUUGUGUGUCUAUGGUAUAAAGUACAAAUUCUGUAUCUGAGUUAUAUAUAUAUAAAUUAAUUUUAGGUUAAAAGCUUGUUUGAAGUUGAUUACAUGUUGGAUAUAUAUGGAAGGAUUGUAAUCAUCCAUAUUCUUUUUAUUUUUUCACAAUUGGUAUAGUUGACCGGUAAAAAACAUCAACAAAAUAGCUUAGUUGAUAGUUAUAAACCAUCAAUAUAAAGAUAAUUAGUUGAUAGGCAACACACGUCAAUGAAAUUUCUUGAUGAUUUUAAAGAAUAGUUGAUGAAUGAAAAAAACCAUUAUUACCUUACAUUAUAUUUGACGAGUAUCAAUGAAAGGUUGUUUCUUGAUGAACUUUUAAAUUUUAAUAUAUUUGAUAGGUAAAAAAAAUCUUAUUUCUUGAUGGCCAAAAACAUUAAAAAAAAAAAAAAAGAAAGAAAAAUUAUGACAUGUUUUGGCCAUCAAGAAAACUUACUUUCUUGAUGGAUGAGCUUUCUUGAUGAUCUUUAGCCAUCAAGGUACACAUCUUUUAUGUGUUUUGCACAUCAAAAAAACGCCAAAAUUGUAUUAAUGCUAGGCGACCUCAAACUAUGUAAGAAUCCCCAUCCUCAUCUGUGUCCGAUCAGAACUCUUCAACAAUAGGGAUAAUGCGCCCUUUGGCUGUUGCAUAAAGAACUGUCACCCAUGUGUUGUCUAUUAGUGGCAAAUCUAGAAAUUUUAUUUAGGGAACACCGAACACUAUAUAAUAAACACACUAAAAAUAUUAAAAAAAUAUCUCGACGUUUCACUGAUACUUCAAUAACAUUUUCCUGCGUUUGUAGCAAUAAAGACCGACAAUUUACAUAUGAUUUUUUGUAACGUAAAUGUGUGAAUUUAAAAUUUACAUCAAAAAAAGAAAAAAAAAGUACAUUUAUUAUGAAAUAUUAUUGGGAGUAAAAGUUUGAAUCACCGACUUUAUUGCAUUUUUUUUAAACUUUUGUUAGAUAGCAAAUGAGAGCAAUAAAAUACAUUAGAAUUGUAUGUUAGAUGAGUUUUUUUUUUUUUUUUCCUCUUUUUAAAGAAUUAUCUUCCUUUUAAAAAAUCAUUCAAAUUUAAAAAGAAAAACCAUAAUCUCAUUCCUUUUAAAAUUGUUAAAAUUUAGAAAGAAAUUUUAUAUAUUUAGAAAUCAUAGAAAUUUAGGAAGAAACUUGAUAUUUGGAAAAAGAAAAUUAUUGAUAUUUGAGAAAAAAUUAUUGAUAUUUUGAAUAAAUCUGUUUUAAAAUUUGAUAUUUGAGAAAAAAAAGUGGAAGAAAUUUGAUAUUUGAAAAAAGAAAAUUAUUGAUAUUUGAAAUAAAAAUCAUUUUAUAAAAAUAAUUGUAAUAGACAAGAUUUAAAUUCCCAACCAAAGGAUUGUGCACGGAACAACCACUAAAGCAGAAUUUAAGCAAAAUGAAGUUAAAUUUAAUAUGUAUUAUAAUCAAACACUCCAAGAUUAAUAUUAAAAUACAAAAACUUAUAAUACGAGCGACACAUGCCCAUGGCCCUUAAUAAAUCCGGUAAUAAUUCGUUUACACACUUCUCACAUCAUUGUUUGAAUUCUAUCCUCAAAACAAUUUUCUAUUUCAAUAAUUUGAUGUCCAAUGCUUGUACCUCAACUUUUCUGUCACUCUGUGAGGAUGUUCAACUCAUCAAGAAACCACUUAAAAUGGCAUACAUUAAAGGUGAUCUAAACAUAGAAUGAAUAACGCCUACCUUAUAGCCAAAACACGUUCGUGUUUCUGUACUCCAAAUCUCGAACAAAAGUCUCGUCCACGUCCAUGUUAACUAUACUAUCCAUCACUUAAUAUGUAUAUGGUUUGAGUUAUGACUACAAAUUCAAAGUUCAGAAUUAACACAAUUGCACAUUGAGAAAACAUGAAACAAACUUUGUUAACCACCCCACCAUCCAGAAACUAUUGAAAAUUAUUUUACUUCAUCCAAACCAUGUCAAUCAAAAUCAAGUAUGAAGAUAGAUUUGGAAGUCCUAAGAGAACGAAAACUUCUAAACUCAAAAACCAAAACUAAAAUUUCAUAGAGGAAUGAUGAACUAAGGAACCAUCAGAAUUACCAAUUUUGGCCAAGUCAAGUAGGUGUAUCUAUUCAGAGGGGGGAGAGUUCAAAACCCACAAAAAUAAUAAUAAUAAUAAUAAAAGAAAGAACCAUCCUCAACCAAAAUAAAUCCCCAGUAGCUAAAAGCUGUUCGGUUCACAUCAUGGUUGCGUCUUCUUUGGAAAACGCUCAUCAUUUGGUUCCUUAAUUUCAUCUCCAUCAGUUUCAAAACCAAAAUCGCAUUUCCCAAAUAUUUGAAUCAACAAACAAAAAACUAAAGAAGAUGAAGACAAGAUUUGAACAUAAACAUAGAAAAGAAGGGAAGCUUAAAGAAUUGUAUACUUACCAUUUUCUCUUGUAUAGUUUAUUUCUUCACAGUCGUUCUAUUGUUGCUCAACAUGAGCUAGCUCGCAAAUUCAAAUUCAACUAGGAUCUUUAUUAGUGGUUGAGAGAGGGUAGGAGAAGAAUCUUUUACCUUUCAGUUUGUCUUAAGCUUCACAUAAAUCCUUUUCUUUUACCAAGGUUGAAAUUGUUGGUCCACUUCACCAUGUACAUUGUAUACAAAUGGAAUAAAUUGUACAUGACCAUUUGUAUAGGGUUGCAUCCUUUUAACUCCAUGGGUAGCACGUUCUUUUACGAAUAGAUGCCAUUUCAAAUUUUAACCAACUUAAGGAAUAGACUAUCCAAAUGGUCAUGAAUCUAUAACUAUGUUCUUUCUUCAAAUUGGUUUUUAACCUUUUUCAUAAGCAUUUUUCUCCCAUAAACCUUUCUUCCUAUUAUAAAUUUAUCAAAGUUUGCUUUGUUCCACAAACUUGGGUUCGUUAGAUUUAGAGAACAUUUGUUUUAAGGUGUACCUCUUUAUGGCUCAGUGAACAUUUGUUGAAUGAAUCUAGGUUCGUUAGAUUUAGUGAACACUACAAGGUGUUCCUCUCACAAGAAAGAUAACUUGUUCUAUCAUGAGAGAAAAUUACUCUCAAAACUCAAGCACCCUCUAGAGCAUUUGUUUUAAGAAGACAAGAAAUUCAUUGGGCACAAAUUCUCUCCUAGAUAUAAGGUUUUGUAUUUUCUAAUAUUAUGUGACGUUAUUUUUCUAACAGUAUAUUUUUAGCAAUUAAGCAUAAAACAUUCAAGAAGCAUGUAGCCAGUGGCCCAGAAGCCUACUUACUCACAAUCACAAUAGUCAUCAGUCAUCACUUGACAGGAGCUGACACGAACAUAUGCUUCAAAGUCAAAAUCCUUAAUAAAAAUAAGUCUUCCAAGAGAAUUCUGUAGUUGAACAUGAGAGACAUCAGAUCAGAUGACAAUGGAAGAUAUCAUGAAAUGAUUCUGGAAAGGAGCAUGGAAAAAAGUAGUUUCCAAAAAAAAAGGAAAAAAGUAGUCGCAUUUAGAAAGUGGUCAUCAAAUGUGGACCUAGGUUCAUUCAACUAAACUAAAGAGCUGGAAGGCUACUAACCCUCAAUUAUAAUCCCCAUUAGCAAAGGUUUGUGUGCCAGUAUUUGAAUAUUCAACUUUCCUUGCUUCCAAUUCUGCCAUUGCAAAUGGCUUCCUUGUUCUUGCUAACCAUCCUAAACAUAAAAAAUUCAACAAACAAUGAACACCACUAUUAUUUCUCCAUUAAUUGGCAAUCCAACGAGGAAAAGGAGAAGGCAUAUAACAAAUAAUUCAACAGCUUUGAUAUAGUGACAUGCUGGAAUAUCUAUUUACAUAGAUAAGAAAAAGUGGUACAGCCAUAAAGAGAGAAAUAAGACGUCAUUCUAUGAUAUGCUAACAACCAUGUAGAAACCAUUGAAAAGUAUUUUAACAAUGAUUUAGGCAACAAAGUUUUUUUAUAUAAGAAAAGGAUUACAAACUUUGCUAACAACCAUCCACAUCCAGAAACCAUUGAAAACUAUUUUUAGUUCAUAUUUCAUUCAAACAACUUCAAUCAAAAUCAAGCAUGAAGAAAGAUUUGAAAGUCCUAAAAGAACAAAUACUUCUAAAGGCAAAAUCACUACUAAAAUUUGAUAGAGGAAUGGUGAGCUAAGGAACCAUCAGAAUCACCAAUGUCAGCUGAGUCAAGUGUAUCUAUUCAAAAGGUCGAGAGUUCAAAACCCGCAACAAUAAUAAUAAUAAUAACAACAACAACAACAAUAAUAAUACCAUUAGCGACCAAAAUUAAUCCACAGUUGCUAAAAGCUAUUAGGUCUGAUCAUGGUUACGUCUUCCAAAGAAAACGCUCAUCAUUUGGUUCCUUAACUUCAUUUCCAUCACUUUCAAAAUCAAAAUCACGUUCCUCAAAUUUUUGAAUCAACAAAACUAAAGAAGAUGAAGGCAAAAUUUUAACAUAAAACAGACAAAAGAGGGUAAGAAUUGUGUACUUGCCUUUUCUUUUGUGUAGUUUCAAUCAGCAACGUGAGCUGCCUCCCAAAUUCAAAUUCAACCGAGUUCUUUAUUGGUGCUAUUUACUUUGGGAGAAAGUAGGAUUACGAAAUUUGUACCUUUCAGUUUGUCUUAACCUUCACCUAAAUCCUCUUUUUUUCUGAAUAGGUUCAAAUCCACAUAAUUGUCACAGUCCUUAAAAGUAAUUCAAACAGGCCAUUUUUUUUUCAUACAGACGAGAUGUCAUUGCACUGAUGUCCAAUGACCCCUAUUCUAAAAACAACAAAACUAACUCUUUUUUCCUCACAUCACAAAACACCAACCAACAAUAAAAUCUCCCUAAAGCCCAUUCGCAAAUCAAUGAGACCCGGAACACAAUUUCAAGGUCUAUUGCAACUUUUAUAAAAAUAAAAGUUCUUGGCCAUUGCUAAAAUUGUGGGCUCAACUUUUCUUGAAAGUGAAAUCGCACUCGGGGUUUCAUCAAUUUGCUAUGGUUGAGACCUGCAGUCUCAAAUAACAAUUUAACGCUGGUUGUUGCUUUAUGAUGCAAGCAUAACGUUAGUUUUCAUCAUGUAUAGAAUUCAGGUAAUUUUAAAUUAGCGAAAUCAAAUUUGGGUCACCCAUGCAAAACUCUCUACUUAUCGAUAGGGACUAAUGUUACAAUUCUUAACCUAAAUAAUCAUCAUCCCUCAUUAAAUUCCAAAACGAUUAGUAAAACUAGAAAUUAACAUCCACAUUUAUGAAGGAAAGCACCAAGAAAACCAAUUAACACCACUGAAAAUCAACCUAUGCAGCAGAAAAACGAUAAUUGAAUGAGAGGAAAUUAGUGGGUAAACUUAUUUUGGGAGUUUCUUAGGGGAAACGCUCUGGGGUUUCCUGCAAAAUUAGACAAAGUUUAGGCACAAAAGGAUUGGUGAACCUGAACGGAGAACGUCACUGUGAAGGCUGGUGAACAGACGAAGGGUAAGGGUUGCGGGUGUUGGACCGACGGCUGAAUGGACACUGAGCGGAAGGGCUUGAUAUCAUUGUACCAUCAGCAUUCAAUGUUAUUGAUAUCAAUUGUAAGAUAAAUAAUGGAAUAUCACUUUUAGUUCUUCGUUAACAGUCGAAUACGAUCAUUUCCCCAUUGCUCUAUGAGCUUCAAUCGAACACUACAUGGUCAAUAUCAUUUUCAAUUUUGUUUGUUUCAUGGGUCUAGACUCAUUAUUUUUUUUCAUUCUUGAAGAAAAUCAUUUAUGAAACAAAUAGGUCGUGAGUGUUAGCCAAAGUCUUUUAGUUUUUUCAAACAUACAUUUAUUCAAAUAGGUUCUAAAUUUCAUAUAUACCCUUGCGAUAUAUAUCUUCUUUGUGAUGUAUUAAUCUAAGACUAUAUCAGUAAAUUAAGGUUGGAGAUCGAAUAACUAAAGACAUCAGUCUUUCAUCCCGCGACAUCUUGGGACAAGCAUAUAUAUCUGAGAUCGAAUAAAAUAAAGACUCUCAAGCAAUUUUGGUACAAUUAAGGCCCGAGAUUGAAUAACUAAAAGAAAAAGUCUUUCAUUACAAGACAUCUCGAGACAAUGUAUGCUCAACAUCGAAUAAAAUAAAAACAUAAUUCUUUUAUCUUAAAACAUCUUGGUGCCUCUAAGGCCCGAUAUACAAUAACUAAAUUAAGAAUUAUUUCAUUCACAUAUUGAGGCAUGGUAUGCACGAGUUCGUAUAUCAAAAUCUACAUGACGAUCCAUCGCACGCAUGUGACCGAUUUAUUGCGUGUUGACUAGGAUAAUUUUGGUAUUUUACAUUGCCAAACCUGUGAGCUUUUUCCUUUUUCAAAAUUGUUCUAUAUUGUGUAAAUAUUUUUCCGAUUUGUUAUGAUAAUUGAUAAUAUAGGAGUAUAUGACAUUUGAUGUUUUAAAAAAGUGUCAAGGUAAAGAUAUUCUUGACAUUCAAAGAUAGUCAUUUUAUGCUUGUUCAUAACAUUCGAUGGAAGUCAUGUUGGGCAUGUUCUUGAUAGGAAAAACAUGUCAAAUUAUAUAAAUUCGUAACAUUUCAUAACCGUCAUCAACAUUUAAAAAAUGACAAAUAAUUACUUCAAUGUGUGAAUUGAUUAUGACAAUAACUUACUGACAUAAGAUAUAAAAUAAUGACAUUCAUUAUUUUUCAAUACUACUAGAUAUGUGACAUUUAUUUUUGUCAUGAAAAUGAAGUUUUUCCAAUCUGUCAUAGAUAAUUAUACAUUUACAGGUGAUAUAAUGACAACAAAAAUCUAUCAAGAAUUUUAAAUCUGAUAGCUUUUAAAUGUCGUGGUAGGUCAUUUUUCUUGUAGUAACAUUUUUAAGAUAGAAAGUACAUGCAACUAAUAUACUAUGAUUUUAUAGUUGACAUGAUUUUAUAGUUGACAAUCAUAGUUAGACUAGUUAGUUGCCUAAAAUGAUUGUUAUUGAAGUUGUCGAAGUUGGCCACAAGAGUGGUUGUUGCCGAAGUUUAUCAUUAGAUGUGAUUUUGAUUGGAGUUGGUCGUGUAGGGGUAAAUGAUCAUUGAAAUUGAUCACUAGAACUGGUUUUCGUCAGAGGUGGUCACAGGAAUAUGCACCAAAGUGUGGAAAUGGUAGUUGUGGAUGGUGGUCAAUGGGUUGAGUUAUUAAAAACGAAGAAAAGUUGGGAUAAGUUAAUAAAAAUAACCAUCUCAACCCCACAAAUAUUUUAAAAAGUGGUGUUCUAAAUUUAGCUGAAAGUUGUCUGACAAAAGUUGAAAUAAACAAAGCAAAAAAUGGGCUAAAGCAAAGCAAAAAAUUUCUACGUUCCACAUUUUUCUAUUUGAAAUGAUAAAAAGAUAAUAGAGGAAGUCAAAUACGUCCUGAAAUAAGGGGAAAUCCUAAGAGAAUCAGAGAACAUGGGUAUCAGUUUUAAUUGAAAUAAACAAUCUGCUGAACUCAAAUAUAUUGUUCGUUUCCUAUUUUUCAAAAACUGAAUGCCAGCCUCCAAAAAAUAGUCAUAUGCUCCAAUUUCUCUUAAAUGACCCUCGAGAUAAUGUAGUUAUCAAUAUCUACAUACUAUGAAUUUGAUAUAAAUGUCAAUGUCACUGACAUGAUAAGAUUUAGAUAUAAAUAACAAGAAAUGUUAUUGACAUGACAAUAGAUGGGGUAGUACGAAUGUUUUUUUCUAAGAAAUAUUUCCCAGCUAGUUGAUCAGAGUGUGUGCAAGAGAGGUGUAAGAGAGUCAGAAAAUGAGAUAAAAUCACAGCUGAGGGAAGGAAGAGAAACUACUUCAUUAGCUACAACAUUAGUUACACACUUGAGGAUGAAACCAAAACUUCUGAGAGAAAUUAUGGUUUAUGACAACACUACUACUGUUACAUGUAAACACUUCGAUUCAUCUAGACAAGGCCUUUUUAGACAUACAAUUAUCAUACAUACUAAGAACUGAGAAAGAAAAUAGAAAUAUUACAUUCAUCUAUCGCUUACAAUUCAAAAAUUUGUCAGCAGUCAUUCUACCAUACAACUUAUUAAAAUAUGGGCUCUCAUCAUUUUCUUGAGCCUUCAGCUUAAACCAUAAAUAAUGAAAGAAAACUACUGUUAUUCAGUGAUUUUCUUUCUCAUUUUUCCUCCUACUACAUCUGUUCAUUUCUGAGGCAGAACUACUAAGGUAUAUGUUGAAGAGUAUAAAUACCAAAGAGAAUCAACUGCUUCCUGUCAACAAGUUGUAAUAUAAAGAAGCUUUAUGAUUUGGUCAUGCAUCUCGAGGUCCAUCGAAAGAUUGUGUCUUUCUUAGAUUCCAGUGAAGGCCAUCGUGAAUGCUGCGCAAAAAGUCAUUUGUUGAGUCUACCUGGCAUGCUGUAGGCACUGGCCAAGGUGCCAUGCUGCAUACAAGUGCAUCCCCUGCUGCCAAUUGCUUCCUGUCUUUACCGUCGAAAGACGCCCAUGCGUGCCCCCUGCUGUUGAAUGGUACUUGUAUACGUAUCGUUACAUACUCGGGAAAUAUUAAGGGUCGAAAAGACAAGGAGUGUGGGCAUAUUGGUGUAAAUAGAAUGCCGGGAACCUGUGAACGUUGCAGUAGCAUUUAAUAAAUUUGUCAUUCUUACCAAUACAAAACUAUCAGCUGAAAGAUUGGUUGAACGAAGUACAUACCUGAGGAUGAACCAUUGAUCCCCCAGCCGCCAACGAGUAUGCUGUGCUGCCAGAAGUAGUUGAUAGAAUCAGUCCAUCUCCUUGGACACAAGUUACGAAGGAACGGUCACAAUAGCAUUCCAAAUUGGUAAGGUAGGACGAUAUUCCACGAUCAAUUGUAACCUCAUUCAGCACAAGUAUAGGCUCUUCGGUUUCAUAUUCAUUUCUUGCUGCAUCUCGAAUAACAUGGCACUGCAGUCGGUGUCGCAAUGUAAUACUAAUUGGACCCUUUAGAACUGAAUCCAAGCACUCUCUAUAAUGCUCACUGUCUGAAGCAUGUUAAAGAAAAUUCCCUUUUCAGCAAUGAACAGAAAUAAACGUCAUGGUGUAAUAUGUUAGUUUAAGAAUUACUUUUAAAAGAAGCUUAUCACAGAUGUCUUUGGGAAGAAAAUAAAUUAUUUUUGGUUAAAUAACAAAUAAACGAAUUUCUAAGUCAAAUAAUACUUCCUCACAACUAAAGGAUACGAAAAGGAGUCAUAAAACCCAGAGACCCUAAAGAAAAUGGAACAAGCGGAGGAACUGGUCCUUUAAACAUUGAUGCUGCCUGCAAUCAAGUUCCAAAUUAAUCCAGAAACAAACUUUCGAAGUACAAAAAGUCAUAAAAACAUUAAAUGCAAUUUAUAAGAAUAGUUAAGGCCAUAGUUAACAACAAAAGUAGCAAAACAUAACAAGCUAAUUGUAAUCCUUUCUUUUGGUAGGAUUUAUGUGCAACAUAUUUUUGGUGUUCAUAAACAAGGGAUUACGCCCCUCUCAGUCAAUUAUGUAAGGUGGUAUCAGCUGAAUUUUUUUAUUUAACGAAGAUGGCUAAUGAAAGCAUACAGUUCAUAGUCGUUAACAAAGUUGAUAUGUGGUGUAGUUCAUAGUUGUUUGUUAAUAAACUUGAUAUGUAGUUCAGCCAUGACCUUUCUUGAACAAAAUUUAUUCCAACUGUGAGAUAAUAAACUUAAUGUGUCUAGAACAAUAAGAAGAUACUCAAGAAAGUGAAAUGGUUCGACAUACCCAAAGCACUGUUCCAUCUCCACCAAGAGUAACAACAAGGUCAACUUUAGUGUGGAGAAGCAUAAUUUCCUCGUCUGCCAAGAGGGAGAAAAGAAAGGUCAAUCAAGUGCACAAGGAUGAGGGAGCAUUUAGGGCAUUAAGUUGCGUUAUAAUGUGUGAAUAAGUUCGAGUCAAGGAAUCUGUCUGGUAUGCAGAAAUAUAACAUAAAGAUCAAUAAUUGUAUAAAAUAGAGAGAGGGAAAGUGUGAAAAUUUCAAGUGUUUACUAUUGAAGUUGAGUUGUUUAAUUAUUACAAACUUAUGAGGUUGGUGGGCCAAAUUCCCCACAAGUGGUUGCCAUGAAAAUCAUGCCUCAAUAUGCAGUCAAGACCAUCCUUGAUUAAAAAGAACAUUACGAGUGAAGUGACAGAUGUGGGGAGAAUAAUUAGUUAGAUAUAAGUUUAUAAAAUAAUAGCAACCUUUCACACUCACCGCUUUUCCAUGUCUGGACAAAAUUGUAGUAGUCUGAUUCAGUCAGAAGCUCAUUUUUGACGCGAGGCUCAACAUAAAUGUGAAGAUCUUUAUGUUCUCUCAACCAUCUAGGUGGGGUAGAAAAUGAGAAUUAGGAAAAUAUAGCAUGCUUUUUACAUUAUACAUACAAUUGUUAUGAUGCAUAAAAACUUUGAUCUAGGCAAAAAGAGAGCAAAAUUUCUCCUCUGUCCAGCUGAAAAGAUAAAUGUGAAACCAUGAAGUUGACCUAUGAUGAUUUCAUAAUUUUACAGAACUUUCUCCAUACUUAUCCUUAUCACUAUUUCCAUACAAAAAUGAUGAUUAUUUUUACAUAUUAAUUUUCUCACAUAAAAUGAAUAGAAGUGGGAAACUGAUUUAGCUACUAUAAAAGAUAUACACACCUGACCAUCUCAAAACAAAUCAUUUGAACCGAUAUUGAGUUUGGUUUGGUCAAUAUAAGCACAGUCUGAGGUUGAGAUUCCCAUUUCAAGGAAAUCUGUAAUUAAAAUGUUUUGUCAAUUAAAAUGUGGGCCCACUCAACCACAGUAAACCAAAUAAAAUAAUAGGUAAAGAUUAAAAAUUAAAAAUAGAAGGAAAGAAAAUGAACUAAGAGUUCUAUGAAGUGGAUCUGAUGAAAGAAUUGGAACUUUCCCACAUUUAUCACUCAUUUCUUUGAGCAUAUAAGUUGUACAUACAUGUUAAAAUUUGAAUUAUCUUCAUAGGCUUUUAGUUGGAUGCUGAAUCAUUUAUUAUAUGUAAUAGUUACGUUCAGUUUUUCAUUUCUGUUUGCCAUAAAAGCAACUUUUAGAAAUCCAGUACUGCCAUAUCCUAAACUGUCACAUAUAUAAGUAACAAGUUACUUUUGUGAAAGCCACUGUGAUGUGUCUGUCCAGGUUCAGCAGAAACAAACCUGUCUACUGCUACGCUCUGCAGUUGUUAUGUUUCCUUUUUCAAAGGAGACGACAUCAUGCUUGUGUCUAUCACUAUGAUCGCCAUUGCAGCACCAUGAAAGUUUAAAUGAUGCCUGUAAUUGUAAAGUCAUAUGGGAUUAGCACAACUCUGUAAAUAUCUAUUAUCACUUUGUUACAUUUUGAUGUACUUUUUUCUGAAGGUUUGUGCUGAUUUUAUUGACAAAAAGGAGAACUGAGUGUCCUCUUCAAACAAUUAAAAUUAAAAAAUAAGAAACUGCGCCAAUGUUAAUAAAGAUACACGGGGAAGUAAUUACAUCAGAAACUGUUCAUAAAACAUCACUAAGGACAUUGGAACUUUGAAUUAUGUGUUGAACGCUACUAAGGACGUUGAGAUUUUGCUAAAUAAAAUAAAAUAAAAUAAAACCCAAUUUUUUAUUUUAUUUUAUUUUGUCAUCAAACAAUUUGCUGUUUCUUUCCAGUGACUUUCCCCACCAGAAUGAAAGGGACUUCACUGCAUAUUGUUCUUAGGAAUUUGCUCUCUUUUCCUUUCUUCUUCUUCUUUUUUUUUAUAUAUUUUAUUUUGCUUUCAAACUAAUGUGCAAUGUUGUGAAUAGGUAGAUAUUUAUGCAUCACACAUGCAUAACUUAGAGAAAUGAUGAAAUUUGAGAGAACUUUUUAAUUUAUUUAUUUGUUUAAUUGUUUAUUGUGUGAAACUAAAUGGUCAAGUUUCUAUGCCUUGUUAUUGUAUCAUAAAGAAGUAUGACUAUUUGGUAUUGGAUUUCCUUGAGAAAUCUUGGUCACUAGAAUAUUGUACAGUUGUAGAAAUACGUAAUUUGUGUCUUCAUCUUCUUCAUCAAGUUUUAUAAAAUAAGCUAAAUUAAACAAUUAAAAUACUAAUUCGGUAACUAUAAACAGAAAGACGAAGAAGAGACAAAUUAAGUCAUGAAAUAACUGUGAUAGAAGCAGGUAAGAAAAUAAUCGAAUACCUUUCUCGUAUAUUUUCUGGAAGCCUUCUGAGAAGCAGAAUCAAUGUCUCCGUCUUGAAGAACUUCAUGAGAACAUAUUCCAUUUAACCCACAACACCACUCUGACUUCUCUGUGGCUUGUGGAGGUAGGUUCCUUGACCUUUUAAUAUCAUACCCAUUGCGUUCAGUGGGUGACUGACCUAUUAUAAUGCACAAGUAUAUGUAGUUUUAAGGAAAACAAUACCAAAAAGGAGAGAAUAAAAGAAAAAUUCUACAUUGAAUAAUUUUCAAUGAGUACAAUUAAUAUGCCUUACACACACUGCGUGAUAUUUGAAUGGCAUUGCUGUACUAGCAUUUAAAAUUAUUUUUAAUUUGAACCUUAGUGAAAAUCAUUUUCUAUUUAAUGUAAGGUAGGAAGUUAUUUCCAAUCCAACACUAUUUCUGAAAAAUGAUCUUUUACCUACUUUGCCUAAAAGUCAUAAGAUGUCUUUAGAAAAAGGCAGCGAUUUCAUUCAACGAAAGAUAACGUCCUCUAUUGGAUAGAAAAUGGAGAGAUUUCAACAUGAUUCGAUGAGUGAAUUUUUUUAAUUAACGAUAAAAUGUCCAAUAAAUCAAGCACCUCUUUAAUUUGAAAGAAGUGGGACUUAUUUUAUAAAAAAAAUCGACAAUGAAAACCAUUAUGACACCAAACUGAAGAAAACUAGGAUGAAGUUUGUCCAGUUUUCUUGAAUGAGAUAUAAAAAAUCUACACCUUAAAACCUUCAAGGUGUUUAUAAGCAUUAUAUUAAUACUCUCUCCACUCUGUGCACGAAAACAUCUACAAAAGUAUUCUAAAUAAUCCAAGAAAUCCUGUAAGAAAAACCUUUAUGCUCAAGUUGAAGAUUUCUUGUCCUCUCCAGUUCAAAUUUGCGCUUCCAUUCAGCAGCCUCGGCCUGUGCAGCAGCCUUACCCUCAGCUGCUUUUCUUAAUGCUUUUGCAACAGCUGGAGACCAAAGAACAUAUACAAUCAGCAUAACUUAACCAACUAAUAUUCAAUAGCAAAGCAAACACGUCUGUAAAACUACAUAAAUGUAAGGAAAAUUUUUGGAAACACCACAUAUUUCAGUCAAUAUAGAUGAAAUAGAACUGUGAUAAUUACUUCUUAAGGCCUCUGAAAAUUCAACAAGGUGAUCAUCAGUCUCCAUCAAUGGAGACCGUUGAAGAAGUUCCUGGACAGCCUUCUCAGAAUUUAACAGAGAAGUUGAAUUUAGAAAACCAUUCUCUGCCAUGGGGCUAGAAAAGUUUCCUUCUCCCUAUAUCAACAGCAGUUUAGUUGGCCAUAAAACUAAAUUAAAUGAGAAUCAGAAGUUCAAGAAUUGACAUAAAACUUUGUUUCUUUUCAGGGAAAAUUGUAGAGCAACAUUCUAAAUAAAUAGAAGUAAAAGAAAAGUACCCCCACUUUUCCAGAAAGACUAGAGAAUCUCAGAAAGUAAAAAGAAAAAAGAAAAACUAAACAGUCCUCUGAAAAAAAAAAAAAAAAAAAAAACUUUAUCCCACAACAAAAAGCAUCUUUUCCCACUUAAUCCAUCCAUCAGUAUCGUCAUCAAAUUCAGCAUCAGUCAGACCAAAUCCCAAUUCCUCCAAAUCAGCAACGAGAACCCACCCAAUUAUUCCACAUUUAUCCAGAAACACAACACGAAGAUCAAAACUAAAAUACAAUAAAUAAAUAUAUACAUCCCUUACAACAAACAAACAGAGCAUGAAAAAAGCCCAGAAAGCCCAAUUAUCAGGUAAAAAAUCCCAAAAAAGAUAUGGGUUUGAUUCACAAAUCAAGAUCACAACAAAGAAAAGAGUAAAUACAGAGAGAGAGAGAGGGAGAGAGAGAGGGAUUACAGAGGAAUUAAACUUGCUGGGAGCCAUGGGUGUUAUACAGAGAGGGAAAAGAAGAAGGAAGAAAAGAGAAAAUUCCCAAUCCCAAUCCCAAUCCCAAUCCCGUCGUUAAGCUCUCCUAGAACCGCAAACCGCUUGAAAAUGGCCGCAGAAGCAGCAGCAGGAGGAGGAGCAUUCGAUUGAAAUGUGAAAUUUCAGUUGAAUUUAGGGAACGCCCACCUGAUCCAGAAGGAAAUUAAGGGGGAUGGAAAGAAGUUUAUAGAAGGUAGAGAGAGAAAGCAAGGUGGGUGGGUCCAUGAAAGAACGCGUGGCAAUUGAGGCACAGCAUGAAGAAGAAGAAGAGGAAGGAGAAGAAGAAGAAGAAGAAGAGAGGCGCUGUGUGAAAUUGAAGUUUGUCUAACCAACCAACUUAUACAAAGCUGAAAUUACUAAAAUGUCUCUAUGAAUUAAGAAAAUGACCUUUGACUCCAAAUAUAUAUAUUCUUUUGUUGGUAAUGAAGACAAACAAAGUUGAGAAAUUUUGAUAUCUUUUCUUUCUUAUUUCUUUGGAGUAUAUGUGUGGGUUGGUGGAUUUUGAAAUGAAAGUUGGAAUUCUUUUUGGGACUAUUUCAAGAACUUAAUUUUCUUUUUUAUUAUUAUUAUUUGUUUUUUUUUUUUAAUAUUUCACUCAAUUAAUUAUCGAUCUUACACGUACAUUCUCAAAUGAGUCAUAUCAUUUAAGAGAAAAUAUAUCAAUUUUACAAGAGAAGAUGUUGAUCUACUUAAUUACUUUUAAUUUAUCGACAAUAUUUGCAACUAUCUCAUUUUAAAAACAAUUUUAUAUUAAAUAGAUCUUUUAGUUAAUUUAUAAAAAAUAUUAUAAAAUUUUCUAACAAAAAAUUAAAAUUUAAAUAAUACAACAACAUCAUCUACCUUCAACUUAAAUAUUCCACCAUCUAUAGUCAUAAGAGUAAAGAAGUCUUGAAAUAUUAAAGCAUCUUUAUCUUAAAACUUAUUGAAUUAAAAUAUAGAAAAUUGUGAAUGGAAAUUAUACACAUAUGGAGAGGUGCAAAGGGUCGAGGAGAAAAUCAAGAAAUUACCAAAAAUAUGAUUAUUAUAGAGACAUUUACAUUUAUGACCAAAUAUAAAAUACAAAAUUAAUUUCAUGACCUAACAUUUUUUAUUUUGCACGGAUCACAAAUUAUCAACUUCAAGCCAAUUGAAAUUUUCGGAUGAUCAAAAUGUCAUUAUAGUUAAAAAUGUGUAACUGUUAUUUGAUUACCAUCUGAUUGUUAUUUGAUUGUCAUCUUAUUACCACUAAUUAUCAAUAAUACCAAUUACUAUUUGAUUGUUGUCUAAUUGCUAUUUGAUGAACAUUAUUGUCUAAUAAUUAAUUGUAUUGAUUUACUAUAUCAUUAUUAUUUAAUUUAGUAUGAUAACAUUUACUAUCUAUGGACCUUUUUUUAUAAUUACUAAUUAGUUUAUUGAUAUCUUUCACCUUUGGUCAAUUAUUAAGUAGUUUUUUAUUAUCAUUAUAAUAUCAUGUGAUUACUUUUUUUUUUUUUUUUUUGUCAAAUGCUAAGAAUUUUUUCUAUUAACAUUAUGAUUGUCAUUUGAUUAUUUUACAUCCUUUUGUUAACUUCUAUGCAGUUUCUAAUUAUUCUUCAUUUUUGUAAUCUACAUAACAUUAUCAAUUAUCUCAUUGUCACUCUAAAAAAUGAUCAUUAUUGGAAACUUAACCACCACGCGAAAAUACUGAAAUAGUAUUAUUUGAUUAACUUUCGAUUGUCAUUUGAUUAUUUUUAUAAAAUAAAAUUGGUAUAUGAUUAUCAUAUGAUUGAUAUGUGACAGUCUUAUAAAUUAACUUACAAAAUAUACAAUGUUGAGUAUUCUCUUCUUCCUUACUUUAAGAUAAGUAUUCCUUUAAAUGGUGUCUCCAAGACUUGAAUAAAGGGCCAUAUCCUCUCUAUGACACGAGAGGGGUUUUUGUUUAUUGGUAGGACCAUAAACAAGUUGUUCAUUAGAGGAACACUAUUAUUUAAAGAUUAGAAGUAACCUAGAGGUAAAAUAGUAAUUUGAUCUAGUUGGUGUUACGAACACUUGUGAAUGACUAACUUACUACUAUUGGUCUAUAUCCAUGUACAUUCCACUAAAAACUCACAACUGAUCUCUUCUCACUGUAGAUAUUUAAUGUGGUUAAGGAGUUUAGCCAAUUAAUCUAAGAUUGUUGUAGUUUCUGAUAUGUAGGUUCAUUAGGUUUCCUUCCUCGAUAGUAAGAGUAAUGAGGUUUAUCUAUAUUAGUUGUAAUUGAAAAUGUUCAAAAUUACUUUGAGAGUUAAUUUAAUGUAUAGUGAUACAUUAUAAUAUAAAGUUUAUCAAACUUUUUUAUAUAAAUUUAAUUUUGGAUAUGAUUCAAAUAAUUUAUGUGAGAGAAAAUAUUUGAAUGAGUUCAAAUAUUAAUUUAAUGUGAAUUAGAUUUAUAUUAAAAAUAUUAAAAUUAUUGGUUGUGAGAGAAACUUAUAAAUAUGAUUCAAAUUUAAUUUAAGUUAAAUGUAAUAUAUUUAAUUUAGCUAUUAAUUAAUUAGAGAAUUAAUUAAUAGUUUAGUUUUAUUUUAUUUUAAUAAAUUUGAUUUACUUAAAUUAAUAUAAAACUGUAAAGAUAUUAGAGAGAUAUUCAUUAAACUACAAGGAAGUGUGGUUAAUCUAAUAGUUGUGGAGGAAGGGCUAAGUGUUGAGCUGCUUGCUAAGGAAGCUAGAUGAAACAAGAAAGUGAACUAGGCGUACUAAUAGAAAGAAAACUUAAGAAUUUCAUGCAAGCGUUGAAACCAAGUAAGAGAGCUUAAGAUGGGUUGCUAUGUGGAAAAGCGGAUCUAGCAAUCUAAGUUAUUUUACUUUGUAUUUCUUGUAGUUAACAAAAAAAAAUUGUAUACAGAAGCCCCCGAUGCUAGGAGCUACAUCUCAAUUUUAUAAGAGCUAGGCAAGACAUUUAAGUUUAAGUGCAAUUCAUUGUGAUAAGGAAAGUGUGUUAAACAACGCAUGUUUUUAAAAUUAAGAGUAGUUGAUUGUUAUAUUUUGUUGCACUAUUUUGUGUUUAUUGCCUAGCAGUAUUAAAGAGUUUGAGUUGAACUAAGUAUUGAAGACUAGUCAUUAAAGUUAAGUUAAAGUGAGUUAAAGUGAUUGUUUAAGUCAUUUCUAUUGUGUUAUGUUGUGAAAGCCUUAAAGUUGAUCAAAGUUAAAGCUUUUGCAUUGAGAAUGGUUUAAGAAGUUGUUCUUCUUAUUAGACAUUCAGUGUUUAUCACACGAUGUGAUGUGAUAUGCAUUAAGAGUCUAGGUUGUACGCCUCCACUUGGUCGCAUAAAGCGACAUUUGGGGCGGGACUUGACAAGAUGUGUUUAAGGUAAUACAUAUGUACCUAAAAUGCUUUCUAAACAUGCGUAAAAGCAAUCGAAAGAACUUAAGAGAGAUAGAAGUUUGAUUUUGAAACGUAAAGUAAAAGUUUGGAAUGUGCGAGAUGUGUUCAAGAUUUGUGUAAGACAAUACAUAUGUACCUAAAAGGCUUCCUAAACAUGUGUGAAUGCACUCUAAAGAAAUUAAAAGUGGUAGAAAUUAGAUUUUGGAUUGCAUAUUAAAAGUUUAGAAUGUGCGAGAUGUGUGCGAGAUAAUACAUAUGUACUGAAAAGGCUUCGUAAACAUGCAUAAAAGCCCUUCAAAUAACUUGCGAGAGGUAGAAAUUUGAUUUUGGAAUGCAUAGUAAAAAAUUGGAUAAUGCGUGAGAUGUGUACGAGAUAAUACAUAGGUACCUAAAAGGCUUCCUUAAACAUGCAUAAAAGCAUUCCAAAGAACUCAAGAGAGGUAGAAAUUCGAUUUUGGAAUGCAUAGUAAAAGUUUGGAAUGUGCGAGAUGAUACAUAUGUACAUAAAAGGCUUCCUAAAUUAAACAUAUGCAAAAGUACUUCAAAGAACUUGAUUUUGGAACAUAGUAAAAUUUUGGAAUGUACAAGAUGUGUGCGAGAUAAUACAUAUAUACCUAAAAGACUUCCUAAACAUGCAUAAAAGCAAUCCAAAGAACUUAAGAGAUGUAGAAAAUUGAUUUUAGACACUCCAAAGAACUUAAGCGAGGUAGAAAUUUGAUUUUGGAAAAUAUAGUAAAAGUUUAGAAUAUGCAAGAUGUAUGCUAGAUGUGUGCGAGAUGUGUGUAAGAUGUAUGCUAGAUGUGUGCGCGAUAUAUGUAACCAGAAAGCUUCCUAAACAUGAGUAAAAGCAAUCCAAAAAACUUAUGAGAGAUAUAAAUAAUUUAAUAGAUAUAAAGCUUCCUAAACAUGUGUGCGAAAUAUUAUAUACGUUCCUAAAAAGCUUCCUAAACAAGCGUAAAAGCACUCCAAAGGACUUAAGAGAGGUAGAGAAUUUUGAUUUUGAAACACAUAGUGAAAGUUUGUAAUGUGCGAGAUGUUUGCUUUAAAAAGUUUCUAGCAUAAUUAUCCUCUUUGACUUAAAAAGUGCAUAAUUAAUGAAAAUUGGGCUCAUCGAGAUGAAUUAAGCAUAACAUUAAUUUAUUAUACUUUUUUUCAUACUCCACUAUAUAGAUAAUGAACAAAAAAUUCGAGCACAGGUCAUCCUUUAAAUUAUUGUGAGAAUUGCAAUAUGAAAAUCAGUACCUUCAAAUUACAAAAUAAUCAACUUAUUGUUACACACCGAUAUCACUUAUUCUAAGAAAAACAAUUUGUCUAAUGAAUGAAGAUUUUACACAUCAAAAAGCUGACAUGAAUCAUGAUCCACAUCAUACUAUGAUAUAUAUAUGAAAGAAGCAAAUUUCAAAUCUUCCUUAUAGCGAUAACACACAAAGAGUCCAUAAUCUAUACAUUUCAUGCAGUAUUGCCUUUCAACAAAAAAAAAUUAAUUUAUUGUGCAUCUUUUAUUAAUUUAUUGUGCAUCUUUCAUUAAAACAAUUUUGUAAACAACAUUCAAAUUUGGUAAAUCUUAACUAAAUUUGUUAUUUUAUGGCUAAAUUUAUGCUAAUGACAAAUAUAUGCACAAAAUUUUUAAAUUUUUUAUAUUUUAAACCAUUUAUUAAAUAAUAGAUAAUAUAUAUUUUUAAUAAUUAUUUUAUUUUAUUUUUAAUAAGAAUGUGAAUUUGAAUUUUAGGAUUUAAUUAUGUCUCAAUGGCAUUUUUGUAAUUAUUUGAAACUUCUUUUAGAUUUUAUUAGAGAAACGAAAAGAAAGAUAUUGAAAGAGGGAUAACUGACAAGAGACAAACACAAUGUGAGAGAGAAAUUUUUUCUUGGAAACAAAAGAAAAUAGCUCAAAUAAAUCUCAAAUGUAUGAAAAACUUAUCGAUUUAAGUGGAUGAACUCAUCUUACUAAGAUGUAUAUAAGUUUUGAAUUUUAUUGUAUAGUUCCAUGAUUUCAUCUUUAUUAUAAUAUCAACAAUGCUCUCCUUUUCAACUUGAAGCUUUCGACUAUGGUUGUUCCACAUGUGUAGAGCCAAAUUAUUGAAUUGAAUGUGUCUCAAUUUUGCAAUUACCUAUUUCAAAUGAAUUGCAUCUUUUAAACCUUAAAAUAGAUUUUAAAUUUUGCAGACAUGAGGUGGAGAUUUCCAUUAAUGGCAACUUUUAUAAUCAUUAUGUUUUUUGGGAAAAAAAUUAUAUGUAGCAUAUGUUAUUUCAAUUAUAUCGUAUUUGGAGUUUAGGUGAAUAAUUGUAUUUUUCAUAUUAGAUAGGGGUAUUUGAGAAAUUGUUUCAUUUAUUUAUUUUUCUAAUUUUUAUGUUUUGUUAUUCUAACAAUUUAAAAUUAUUUUUGCUAUUUUGCCAAAGUAAAACUCAUAAUUUGUUAUUGUUCUCGAAACUCUAUUUCACUCAUUAUUUAAUAAAAUAAUAUUUUUUAAAAAAAGUAUUCAAAAUUUAUGAACUUGCAAGUUUCUUUCUUUUUUUUUUUUUUGUUGGUCAUCCUCAACUCUUAAAAGUGUCAAAAUUUAGUCCAACGAAUUACUUUGGUUCACAUAUAUCUUAAUUUUCACAAAUUACUAUUAGCAUGAGUUCGAAUAAUAUGUGUUACCUACCUCCAAAGUUAUACAAAGUAAGUUUAAGUUAGAAAAAUAACAAAGCAUAGUAGACAUUUUAAAAAAUAGAUUUUUAAAAAUAUAAAAAAAUUGACAAACUAUUUACACUCCAUAGAACAAAAUAACUAAAAGAUAAAAGUAAUUACACUUAAUUUUUGUAUAAAGUAUAAAUAUAUUUUUUCAAAUGUUCUACUUUUUACCAUUUUCUUAAAAGAGUUACUGCGUAACAACCAUUUUUUUUCUUUUAAAAAUUAAACAUAUAAAUAUUUCUUUGAGGUGUUUGCAAAAAUAGUAAAAGAAAAUAUUAUUAUAAUAGGGUCUAUGUCACUAUAUUUUCUAAAUUGCAAAAAUAGCAAAUUUAAAAGCAAUUAAUCCUCUAAUAGUCAUUUUAUAGUCUUCUGAUUAUAAUACUCUAAUAGCCACUUGAUAUAUCUAAUUACUUGUCAUUUUGCAAUAUACAAAAAAUAGAUACUAUGGGCUGUUUUUUCUAUAAAAAAAAUUGUCAUUUAAUAUAAUUUCUCUAUUUCUUUUACAUUUAUCUUUUUUAUUUUGUUAUCUACUCUAUCAAUAUUUUAAAUAACCAAGCCAUAAAUUUUGAAAAAAAACUAAUUAAAUUAAAAAAUUUGUUUUGUUUUCCAAACGUGGUUAAGAAAAUUAAGAAAGUCCCAUCAUUGUUAAAAAUUGUGGAGACAUAGAUUGACGUUUGAAACAAAAAAAUAAAUAACAAAAUGACUACCAAAUGCAAUCUUAAAAUACAAAAUACAAGAUAAUUGCAAGGACUCAAAGUAUCAACACAUAUAACAAAAUGCAAAAGAAUAAUUUACAAAUCUAACAUUAGGUUCCGCCUUUAAAAUCUAUCGGUAACCGACUAUAUCAAUAAUAGUGCUUAUUAGAGAGAAAUUUUGUUAUAUUUAUAAUUAUUUAAAAAUGUUCGUUGCACAUUUAAUUAUCAUUAACUCUAAAAUACAAUACUACGUUAGAAAGUUUUAUUAAAACGACACACGUAUAUAUAUACACCAAAAGAGACUGAGACCUAAUGUUAGUUAUAUGGUCAAAUUUGAACCAUAAGAACCAUAUCAAAUAUACUUCAACCUUCAACACAUCAUAGUCCACAUGUUGAGAUUUCAAAGGAAUCUCCUUCUAGAAACGUAACUACCCCUAGUCAACUCAAUUACUGAACCAAAAUUAAUUAAGCUUAGUGAGGGCAGCCUGGGUUAAGGAUGAUUCACAAUUUUACAUGACAAAGGAAAGGUUUGAUCCCCUAAAUUCUAAUACUACAAAAACCUAUGAUAUAAAUUUAGAUGCAUUUAAUUACUUUUUUUGUUAUUUGUUUUAUGAAAAAUACAACAUUAGAGGGAGAAGAUUAAUGACAUAUUUGUAAGGUUGAUUUUCAAAAAGAGUACUGACAUGUUUUGAUUUGGUUUUGUUGAAAUGUAUUAUAUAAAGGUGGAAUUGUUUGUAAAUUAAUUUGACCAAACUUUAUCUCAAGGUUGGAUGGAUAUGGAUUUAGAAUUGAAUGAUUCAACCAUAGAAAAGCAUGGGAGUAGUUGAGCUUCAUAAAUAUAUUAUUUUGUUCACUAUAAUUUCAAUGGUUGACCAGGACCUUGUUUUCUCAUAGCCUACUUUUGUUGAUUUCAACAAACAUUUGCUUUCAAUUACUUUCAAUUAAAGAGAAUCAUGGAUGGGAGUGGGUUUAGAAUUGAAAAUACAAAUGAAUUUCUUCUGAUGUUCUUACGUGAUCUUGUUAUUUACCUAUCGGAUUUGAAUGCAAAUAGUUUAUUAUCCUAAUGUAUUUUAUAUUUAUCAUUUUUGUCCAACAAGAAAUCAUAUUAUUUAAAAGUAAACAUAUCUUGCUACAAAAGUUAUCAAUUAGCUUGCUACCGUAAACACUAUUUCAAAAUCCUCAAUUUGAUAUAGUAUUUACUAUUUACUAUAGUUUGUACUAUUUUACGUUCAACAUUUUUUAUUAUUUGCUUCAAUUGUGUAAAAGGACAUUGUUGCCACCAAUCCAAUUGUAGAAUAAUAGUUGUAACUACCCAACUUUUCUAAACUAAGUUGCUUGACAAAACAAAUUUUCAAAAGUAAAAUAUAAUGUCAAGUCCUUCAAUUUAUUAAAUAGAAGUCAAAUCUAAAACAAACUAAGCAAAACCAAUGUUUGCAAAACAAAAGUAGUCAAAAAAAAAUCAUUCAAAGAAAUCAGUUGUUCGGGUCCUAAGUGAAACAAUAAAAACAUGUUCAAAAUAAAAUCAUCUCAGACAUGGCAUAGAUAACAUAAGGAAGUCAUGAAAGAUAGUGGAAGCAAUAUCAUAUUGAUCCCCAUAUGGUCAGUCACGAGUCCUUCUUGUCAUUUGUUUUUCUAUUUACUUUUACCUGAAAAGUUAAAGGUAAAAAGGGUAAGUAUAUAUAAUAUACCUAGUAAGGGACCCACUACUAGGCCCAUUAGAUGAAAAUUAACUUCCUAAUAGUUGUAUACAGUGCCAUAACAAACGUAUGAACACCUUGAAUAGACAUAUGAGUCAUAAAUGUUAACCCACAAGAACACACGUAAUAAUCACAUAGAGUGAACCUGCAUAAACAUGUAAUAAUCACACACAGUGAACCAAUAGGAACACACAUGCAUGCAUAAUAGUCACAUAAGGGCGAGAACCAUAAGGAUACCGUGCACAGGGGUAUACUAUCCUAAUAGAUAAAGCCAACAAUCACUGUCAAUCCAAAGCAUGGCUCAUAACAAACUCAGUAAAUAAUCAUCCUCAUGAUUUUACAGUAAACCACACAUAAAUAUGCAAUUAACUAUAUUCACCAGUAACCAUAGGCUAUGCAAAUGGUUACCUUUCAUAAAGUUUACCGUGACCCAUUGGCUAAGUAAUUGGCUACCCAUAUCAAGUACCACAGUAACUCAUACUAAGCCAAUAGUUAUCGGCCAACACAAUCAUACAAUACAACCUAUAGACUAUGCAAAUAACUCCUCAUAACAGUUAUCACAAUAACCGAUAGGCUAUGCAAAUAACUCCCCAUAACAAUUAUCACAAUAACCCAUAGGCUAUGCAUAAAUUUCAUAAAUAAAAUAUUCAUAGUAAACCGUCACAGUCUAAUUCACAUCAUGCCCUAUCAACAAUCCAUAAUACGCAUGUAAGUAGUCAUCACACUUUUUACACCAAUUAAGCAAGGGGAUUAUGUAAGCAUAUGCAAAUAAUUAUCAACAUUCCACACUAACCCUAACCUAACCGAAUGGCUACCCUUCACAAUUAAUAGCAACCUUAGACUAUACAGAUAAUUGACCAUCAUAACUAUCAUAUGUUAUUGCAUAUAAUUUUAUCACAAUUAUCACAGUAAUCAACCCUCAAUUGGAGGGAAUCCAGUAGUAGAACUUUUACCUUAUGUUAUGUGAAAUUCCUUGCAACCUAAUUCCCAAAUUCAACCUAUACAAAAAGCAAGAAAUUUAAUAAUGUUUCUUAAAAAAUUACUAAUUGAAUUACCUUAGCUUAUCAUACUUACCCAAAUGGGGGUUGAAAAAUUGUACUCAACUCUUAUGGAAAAAUUCACCACUUAAAUCUUCAAGCUUUGCCACAUAAAUAUUCCCAAAAAAAACAUGCAUCCAAAAUCAAUUUCAAUAACAAACUUAAUUUAGAGUCUCAAUUAACAUUUAAUGAGUAUUAAAAUAGAAUAAUAUAAAGAGCCAAAACACUCACGUAACUCACAAAUCGUAAUCAAAACUGGUGAGCGACAACGAAAAAUGGCAACACACAACUGACUCGAAUGAGGUUGGACAAAGCAACGUAGAUUGGCGCAUUGAAAAAACAAAAGAGAAAAAGUAAGGGAGAUUGAGCGGCUUGACAGGGAAGAAGAUGAAGAAACAAAUUAAUAAGCGUUAAAUUAUCAAUAAUAAUAACAAUACUUUAUUAUUAUUACUUAUUAUAUUUUCCUUUUCCCCUUUUCUAAAAAAACAAACACACACACAUAUAUGUUAUAAAAUUAUAACGCCUGAAAUGAUGAGAGAGACAUGAAUGAACCGGUAUCACAUCGAAAUAAGGGAGAUCUUGAGAACAUGAAAGUAAUGUUAAGAAAGUCUUAAAAAGAAUUAAACGUCAAUAAUUAUACCAACAAGGUGCACCUUCAUUUUCAGUGGCUCGAUCAUAGGAAUUUUAAAGUAAAGUGUGCUUAAGUUUGGGGCAAUUCUAUGUUAGGUGACCUCAUUGAAAAUUUUCUUAGAUGCAUUGAGUGAGGACAAAGCAUACUGGAAGGAUUCGGUUGGUUUGUAGGGAGAACUUUCACUCUAAUAAACCUUAAAGACAACAAGGAUAAUGUUGUUAGGUCGCACGAGAUGCAUGAAAAUAUUUGAGAUUCGAAUUCCAAAUCGUGAACUUGGGGCAUUACAAAAAUAAAGAACAAAUAAACUAAAUAAAAACAAUGAAAUAACACAAAAGAGGAAUAGAGAAAAGAGAAAGUAGAGAACAAUUGAAGUGGUAUGUAUACAGUGAUCUCUACAACCUCUAUUUAUAGGAUUAUGAGAAUAAUAAUUACAAAAUCAAAUAUAAAUAGGGAUAAAAAAAUUUUAUGAAAAUUGAUGGAAAAGUCAGUGGAUAAAUUUAUAACUCAGGAAGGUUAUAAACAUCUAAAAAUAUUUAUCUUUAAUUAAACACAUAUAUUUAUACAUAUUUUGGAAGGAAAUUUUUAAAAAUAGUAGAUUUUACAAAAUAUUUAUCACCUGUAGUAAAUUAUAUCAUUGUUGAAAUAGUGAUAGAAUCCAAAAUUUUGUUAUAGCUUAUAAAUAUUUUUGAUUUACUUUUCUAUUUUUAAAAGUACCUUCAAAUAAUACUCAAUAACGAAACUUAAAUGAAUUAAGAUAAUUAAAUUAUAAACUAGGGUGUUAUGAAGGGCAAAAUUGCAUAAAAUAUUUCUCUUCUUUAUAUUUUUAUAUAUAAUAUUCAUUAAGAAUCAGGAGAUUCCCAAAUUUGAAAUGUGAGAUCAUGUUUUAUUCUUGGAACAACUACACUAAAACAAAAGAUGAACACAAAAUUCAAUGUGGAAAUCGAGACUACUACACGACCGUAGAAUGAAUCUU
rnacentral:lncRNA from 1 species